rnacentral:lncRNA from 1 species
UUCUGCACUUUUUCCACCCCUUUCAUAAUAGUACCAAGCCAAAAGGUACCUACAAAGAUGGAAGUUAAGAACAAGUAUGUAGCAAUAAAAGCCAACAUAAAUGGUGCACCAAAAGAGUCAGACUUCGAGAUAAAAGUCGAAAACCUCUCACUUAUAGUUGAGCCAGAGUCUAAGGAGGUCGUCAUCAAAAACCUUUUUGUAUCGAUUGAUCCGUAUCAGAUAAACCGGAUGAAGAGCCAAAGUUCAUCACAAACAUCGAUAAGUUAUGCAACUGCCAUUACUCCUGGCGAGGUCAUUGACAAUUAUGGUGUAGGAAGAGUGUUGGUUUAUCAUCGGCCCGACUUCAAGAAAGGUGACUUGGUAUCUGGGCUGCUUACCUGGGGAGAGUACACUGUUGUAAAGGAAGGUUCCCUGUUGAAUAAGUUAAAUCCUAGUCUGACAUUUCCUUUGUCUUACCAUGUCGGAGUUUUUGGAUUCAGUGGACUUGCUUCCUAUGGUGGAUUCUUCGAAGUGUGUAAGCCGAAUCCAGGGGAGAAAGUUUUCGUGUCUGCUGCUUCUGGUUCAAUAUGACAUUUAGUAGGACAGUAUGCUAAAUUACUUGGAUGUUAUGCUGUUGGCUCUGCUGGUAGCCAAGAAAAGGUAAAUUUUCUUAAGGAAACACUUGGAUUCGACGAUGCAUUCAAUUAUAAACAAGAAACUGACCUCAAAUCGGCUCUCAAAAGGUGUUUCCCUCAAGGGAUCGAUGUCUACUUUAACAAUGUGGGAGGCAAGAUGCCAGAAGCAGCAGUGGCAAACAUGAAUUCAUUCGGCAGAGUAGCCAUCUGUGGGGUUAUUUCUGAAUACACGAAUGCUAGCACACGAGCUGCCCCAGAUGUGAAGGAUAUAGUCUACAAGAGGAUUAGAAUCCAAGGAUUCCUAGCAGCUGAUUUCAUGCCAGUGUAUGCAGAUUUCCUGUCGAAAACAGUUGAGUACCUCCAAGAUGGAAAACUUAAAACCAUCGAAGAUAUCUCACAAGGUGUUGAAAGCAUCCCCUCUGCUUUUAUUGGACUGUUCUAUGGUGAUAAUAUAGGCAAAAAGAUUGUCAAAGUUGCAGAUGAGUGAAAAAAAGAACAAGCAUCUCAAGCCCUUUGUGUGACUUCUGAAGUUUCUGCUAGUAAAUCUGAGAGCAUUAUCUGGCAACACCAGAGUAAGGAAAGAAUUAGGAUAACUUUACUUUCGUAUGGGAGACACCAUGGAACGAAUUAGAGUAUGAAAGAGGAACAUCCUGACUCCAUAACACGAACUAGAACAUGAAGAAAGAGAGACAUUCCUAAACGCCUUAUAGCCUCCUGCUUAUCUAUGUGGCGCACUACACACCCAUAAACAAGACUCUACCCGACGUGAUUUCGCACACCCUGGGACCAUGAACCAUGCUCUAAUACCAAGUUUGUCACGACCCUAACCGGGGUCCUGGCCGUGACAGGGAUCCCGAACUGUCACGCCCCAAAAUUCCAUUGGGCCGGACUGGCACCCGAAGUCGAGAAGGCCCGGGAGAACCCGUUCAAAUACCUGUACUUUCACUUAUAUGUCACCAAAAAUUUGGACAGCACUUCGUUGCAUUAGAAGGGUCUAAUUACCUGUAUCAGCACAACACGCACAAAUNNNNNNNNNNNNNNNNNNNNNNNNNNNNNNNNNNNNNNNNNNNNNNNNNNNNNNNNNNNNNNNNNNNNNNNNNNNNNNNNNNNNNNNNNNNNNNNNNNNNNNNNNNNNNNNNNNNNNNNNNNNNNNNNNNNNNNNNNNNNNNNNNNNNNNNNNNNNNNNNNNNNNNNNNNNNNNNNNNNNNNNNNNNNNNNNNNNNNNNNNNNNNNNNNNNNNNNNNNNNNNNNNNNNNNNNNNNNNNNNNNNNNNNNNNNNNNNNNNNNNNNNNNNNNNNNNNNNNNNNNNNNNNNNNNNNNNNNNNNNNNNNNNNNNNNNNNNNNNNNNNNNNNNNNNNNNNNNNNNNNNNNNNNNNNNNNNNNNNNNNNNNNNNNNNNNNNNNNNNNNNNNNNNNNNNNNNNNNNNNNNNNNNNNNNNNNNNNNNNNNNNNNNNNNNNNNNNNNNNNNNNNNNNNNNNNNNNNNNNNNNNNNNNNNNNNNNNNNNNNNNNNNNNNNNNNNNNNNNNNNNNNNNNNNNNNNNNNNNNNNNNNNNNNNNNNNNNNNNNNNNNNNNNNNNNNNNNNNNNNNNNNNNNNNNNNNNNNNNNNNNNNNNNNNNNNNNNNNNNNNNNNNNNNNNNNNNNNNNNNNNNNNNNNNNNNNNNNNNNNNNNNNNNNNNNNNNNNNNNNNNNNNNNNNNNNNNNNNNNNNNNNNNNNNNNNNNNNNNNNNNNNNNNNNNNNNNNNNNNNNNNNNNNNNNNNNNNNNNNNNNNNNNNNNNNNNNNNNNNNNNNNNNNNNNNNNNNNNNNNNNNNNNNNNNNNNNNNNNNNNNNNNNNNNNNNNNNNNNNNNNNNNNNNNNNNNNNNNNNNNNNNNNNNNNNNNNNNNNNNNNNNNNNNNNNNNNNNNNNNNNNNNNNNNNNNNNNNNNNNNNNNNNNNNNNNNNNNNNNNNNNNNNNNNNNNNNNNNNNNNNNNNNNNNNNNNNNNNNNNNNNNNNNNNNNNNNNNNNNNNNNNNNNNNNNNNNNNNNNNNNNNNNNNNNNNNNNNNNNNNNNNNNNNNNNNNNNNNNNNNNNNNNNNNNNNNNNNNNNNNNNNNNNNNNNNNNNNNNNNNNNNNNNNNNNNNNNNNNNNNNNNNNNNNNNNNNNNNNNNNNNNNNNNNNNNNNNNNNNNNNNNNNNNNNNNNNNNNNNNNNNNNNNNNNNNNNNNNNNNNNNNNNNNNNNNNNNNNNNNNNNNNNNNNNNNNNNNNNNNNNNNNNNNNNNNNNNNNNNNNNNNNNNNNNNNNNNNNNNNNNNNNNNNNNNNNNNNNNNNNNNNNNNNNNNNNNNNNNNNNNNNNNNNNNNNNNNNNNNNNNNNNNNNNNNNNNNNNNNNNNNNNNNNNNNNNNNNNNNNNNNNNNNNNNNNNNNNNNNNNNNNNNNNNNNNNNNNNNNNNNNNNNNNNNNNNNNNNNNNNNNNNNNNNNNNNNNNNNNNNNNNNNNNNNNNNNNNNNNNNNNNNNNNNNNNNNNNNNNNNNNNNNNNNNNNNNNNNNNNNNNNNNNNNNNNNNNNNNNNNNNNNNNNNNNNNNNNNNNNNNNNNNNNNNNNNNNNNNNNNNNNNNNNNNNNNNNNNNNNNNNNNNNNNNNNNNNNNNNNNNNNNNNNNNNNNNNNNNNNNNNNNNNNNNNNNNNNNNNNNNNNNNNNNNNNNNNNNNNNNNNNNNNNNNNNNNNNNNNNNNNNNNNNNNNNNNNNNNNNNNNNNNNNNNNNNNNNNNNNNNNNNNNNNNNNNNNNNNNNNNNNNNNNNNNNNNNNNNNNNNNNNNNNNNNNNNNNNNNNNNNNNNNNNNNNNNNNNNNNNNNNNNNNNNNNNNNNNNNNNNNNNNNNNNNNNNNNNNNNNNNNNNNNNNNNNNNNNNNNNNNNNNNNNNNNNNNNNNNNNNNNNNNNNNNNNNNNNNNNNNNNNNNNNNNNNNNNNNNNNNNNNNNNNNNNNNNNNNNNNNNNNNNNNNNNNNNNNNNNNNNNNNNNNNNNNNNNNNNNNNNNNNNGGAAAGAAGACUCAAAGAUAUUUCUUUUGAUCUGUGGUAGCUCUCCCAGUUCAUUAUAUUGAGGAAGUUAUUAUCGUUCAAAGUUGACCCAAAAAACUGGCAGGCCUCAGUAGUUUGUGUGCAGGAAAUUUUCCUGCACAUUUACUGUUCACAACAUCCCGGCCACCGUUUUAUAGUUUCGAACGUGCUCAAUUAUAUCCGAAACUUAUCCGUUUUUGAAAAUCUUUAUAUCGUUGGAAAGCUUAUUCAAUAACCUUCAUAUGGAAUCAUCGACGGGCAAAUUCCGGUAUAAAUAAAAUAAAAAAUUAAUUCCAUAUAAAUAAGACCAACACAUGUACUUGAAUACGCCAAUACAUGUACUUGAAUACGGGGUGUUACACGAACCAUGAAGGUCCGAGAGCCCUUCUAACUUGCAAUCAUAUACACCAUUCAUUUACAAAGAGGAACUGCGGAAAUACAAAACAAAACAAAAUCAUGAUCGACAUCUUAAUUCAAUUGAACAAUCUGGAAUGGAAAACAUAAAUCUCUAAACAACGUCUAACAUUAGUCUGCGAAAUCUCUAACAAAUGAAAAUGACAUUUGUAUGAAAUCUAGGAUAAUCCCCCAGUCGGGCCAUGAAUCAAAAUGAAAUAACAAUAACAAGUUCUAAUACAGGCCUUCCGAAGUAAGGGAGGCUCACCACUUGAAACUUCCGACGCACUCAAACCUAUUGCUGAACUGGACUUCGAGACUGUGCCUCAGAUCCUGAGAUGGAGGGGGGGUCAAUACAGAUGUACUGGUAUGCAAAACAAUCCAAAAUAAUGUACUUUUAUAUACAACAUAGGUGAGAGCAUUUCAUAAAAAUGUUAAGCAAGAAAUAAUUUAAAACACAUGUGCAACUUAAAAUAAUCAUUCAAUGCAAAUCUGUAGAUGUAAAACCAUUCUUUAUUUUUUUACUUCUGAGGUAAGUGGUACACCCUACAUUUUGAAAGCUUCCCACAGGCAAUAUGGGAUCUGCCAUUAACUCGACGGCCAAGCCCCCAACCCAAGUUUGCCGCAAGGGUUGAAGUAUUUGAAUCUGAUACGCCCCAGGGCACUAGGCCAUCGUAUAAUAAUACACCCGUAUCGGCAAAACACGGUUUCGGGAAAUGAAUCAUAUGACUCGUGCCUUCUUCGGGUAACCACCUAACUCUCUUAGUGCCUAGUUUUUAACCCAUUCUAAACAUGCAUCUUUUUGAAUUCAAAAUUUGAAAUGUAAAAUGAAAUCUGUAUCCUAUUCUGAGUUUUAUCAUAACUUUAUCUGAUUUGGUAUCGUCAUACCAAGACUUGCAAGUCAUAAUUCUGAGCCAUAAAAUAUCCUUUACAGCUUUCUCUUUCAAAAUACAAAGGUUAGACCACCAUACUUCAAACAAUUUCGAAAGAUUCAUUCUUUCAAAACAUUUAUCAAAUUACAGAAAGGUCAUUCUUUUUCAAUCAUUUCAACAAACAUGUGGUGGUCAUGAGUUUCAACAACCCAUGAACUUUUUUUUCAUAUAUAUAUAUAUAUAGAUAUAUAUAUUUUCAGCACUUACCAACAUGUAAAUCCCUCUCUCUUCAAUUCAAAAAUCACAAUCAAGUCAUAAACAAAGUCAAGGCUUUUAUAUUGAAUUAUAUUUCCAAUAUUACAUUUCGAACACAUCAUAUCUUAUGAAGUUAAGAGACUUGUAAAUAAGAGAGGGAUUUCAAAUAGUUCAUGCUCUCAAUUCAUAAUUCAAACUCAUCAAACUCAUAUAUAUAUAUCUACUAAAACAUGGUUAUAAAUCGGAUUUGGGGGAAAGGCCUCAAUACCAAAUUAAUAUCAUCAAAAACUUUAAAAGCAUGAAUCUAAUUAUAAAUCCAAAACCCCCUUUUUGUAAAUUCAUAAUUUCUAAACUUUUAACAUGAUUAAUAAGAAUUUAUCAUGCCCUAGAUUUAGGAAAACCCCACGUACCUUAGAUUACAAGGUUUGAAGGGUAGAACUCGAAUCUUGAUUUGUUCUUUAGAAAUCUUGGACUUACGAGAUUGAUUCUUGAUCUUGAAGAAAGCCUAGUUUCCAUUUUACUCUUGAGAGAAGAGAGGAAUUCAGAGAUUAAAACUGACAAAAGAAAUGGAUUAUGGAGUGUUUUGGACGAUUUAAAGGUAUAAUAUAUAAAUAUGACCCUAAACUUGACACCAAGUUAUAACUUUGACCUUAAACUUUGACAGUGUACAAAUAUGACCUUUAACUAUUCAAAACUGCACAAAUAUGACCUCCGAUCCUACGUGGCAAAACGCGUGUUCAACACGCAAAACUGGACGCGUCCAGCUUAAAAUCUAAGGGCAUAAUACAUAAAUAUGACCCUAAACUUGACACCAAAUUAUAACUUUUACCUUAAACUUUGACAGUGCACAAAUAUGACCUUUAACUAUUCAAAACUGUACAAAUAUGACCUUUAAAUGACUUUUCACUAUCAUUUUUUCAUUAUUUUCGGCUCAAAGAUGAAAGUGGCAUUUAAUUUCUAUUCAUAUGGCGGAAAAAGAGCAAUAUUGAAGAUUUAUUAAUUAGGUGGGUCAUCCUCAUAAGAAAAAAUCGCGCAGGUAUGUAUAUAUAUUAUAAAGCAAAGGACGAAUUUAUAUUAUAUAAUAUAUCUAAAUAUAAUUUAUUUAAUUAUUAAAUUAAAGAUGAAACUAUACUAAUAAAAAAAAUUAUAGUUUUAAUAAAAUGUUAUUAAAUUAACGUUAUUANNNNNNNNNNNNNNNNNNNNNNNNNNNNNNNNNNNNNNNNNNNNNNNNNNNNNNNNNNNNNNNNNNAAAUGUUAGUAUUAAAUUAACGUUAUUAAAUUAACGCAGGGGCGGACCUACGUGGUUGCCAUGGGGUUCACCCGAACCCCCUUGGUAAAAAAAUUAUGUUGUAUAUAUAAGGUAGAAAUCUAUAUUUAUAUACGUAUAUUAAUGUUGAACCACGUGAAAUAAGGCACUUAGAUAGCCCAGUGGUGUUAUUUGCUCUUCUUGGGCGCUUCCUUCAGCCUACUACAUGGGUUCAAUCCUUGCUAGUGGCUUUUUUUUUAAUUAAAAAAAAGAUUAGGUGUUGCUGCUAUAGAAAAAGUAGAGGUCAAAAUGUUUAAAUAAUAUAAUACUUAGUAACAAGUUCAAUGUAGGUGGCUUAGAGGGAAUAUUGAAACAAAUUAAAAGGGUUGUUUUUCUAUAGAAACAAAUAAAAUAAUAAUAAUAAUAAUAAUAAUAAUAAUAAUAAUAAUAAUAAUAAUAAUAAUAAUAAUAAUAAUAGUAAUAGUAAUAAGUAAUAAAAACGAUGCCGUUUUAACACAAAAAGCAAAACUUUGACAGUGCACAAAUAUGACCUCUAACUAUUCAAAACUGCACAAAUAUGACCUCCCUCCAAAUCAGCCCUUUUAAUGAUGUGGCACCGUAUGAUUAGAUGAGCUGUCCACGUAGGCGCAAGUGAAACUCACGCAUGGGAUUGCAAAAUCGAAGGUCAUAUUUGUUCAGGUUUUGAAUAGUUAAAGGUCAUAUUUGUGCACUAUCAAAAUUUAAGGUCAAAGUUAUAAUUUGGUGUCAAGUUUAGGGCCAUACUUAUAUAUUAUGCCUGAUUUAAAUCGUGUGGAAGAAGUUUGGGAUGAUAAAAAUACCAAAAUACCCCUAAGGAAAUCAAAAAUACCGCAGCAGUCCCUCGGUUUGACAGACUGACAUGCUGAAGUAAAUUGGGUAAAACUUUUUACUCCGAUGUUGAAUUUCGACGAAAUCAAUUGCGUCGGAAAGAGGACUCAAAUUACUUUCAUUUUAUAUAUAGAAGGACACCCAGUUCAUUAUAUAACAGAAGUUAUGCUCAACGAAAGUUGACCCAAGUUGAAGUGUCCACUAAAACCUACUCGAUGGAAUUGUUUUCAACUCGUCUUUGAGUUAGUUGAUUUUUGUGACUUCAAUUAUUAUACAAAGGUAUUCCCACACUGUAGGAUUUAUCACCCCACAUAUAUUAACAAAGAAUCAUCUAGUUUGGGUCAAUACACGUAGGUUUCUAGUCCGAAAAAAAUGCAGGGUGUUACACGGGAUGGCUGAACUUAGUGUUAUCUUGUAUGUAUUUUGGGUACAAGAACCUGUAUAAAUGCAACAAUAACUUCAUCACAAGUUCAUGUACAAAACAAGAACACUUAUGAAGUUCCUUAAUACCUUUAAUACAAGAUUAUGAAUAAUCUAUCCAAAAAGUGUGUUAAAUUUCAGAAAAAAAAUGAAACAGAAUUUUAAGGCCAAGUCUCCGACUUCACGGAGUAUCCUUAAGGAAUAAUUCCCCUCACUGUACCCGAGGUUAUGGAAUCUUCCUACUAGGAUAAAAUGGCCUUCAAUCCGAACAAUAGAGGUACCUCAAAUUAUUGGAUUCAACGAACUCACUCAAUAACUUGAUCACACAGAGUUUUUGUUAAUAACAAGAGAGUUUUUGCUGUCAAAAUUGAUACCAACACCUGAGGAAAAUAUCAGGUAUUUAUAGCCUAAAGUGUAUCCUUUCAGAAAGGAUGAAAAAAGCAUUGUUUCAGCAGAAAGGCACCUUUUCUGCAAUAGUCAUAUCCCUGCGUUGGGACUGCUCUGGAGAUGCGUCUGGACUGUGGCCACAUGUGACGUUUUACAGAUUCCAGUGAGCAACUACGCUAUGUCUGCGCCACAGGUCGUAUACCUGCGCUACGUAUGCGGACGCAUGUCACCCUACAACGCGAAAUAGUGUGCCUCUUGUCACAUCCCUUUGUGAUGUGUGUUGCGUAUGCAUUGGAAUGGCGUCCAUUUGGAGAAAAUUAAUACUUCCAGAUUUUGGAUUAAAUUUUCAUGGCCAAACGGCUACUAAAGAUUUGUGCAAGAUAUUUUCAUCUUUUUGUCUUCAAUCCAAAAAUAAUUUAUGGAGGUACAAUAAACAUUUGUCCAAGAUAUUUUCAUUUCUAUGCUGUUUGAUAUGCCAAUUGUCUGCUGUUGGGAGCGCUAUCCCCCGAAUGGAGCCCUACCCUAUGCGAAUCCAGAUUAGUCGGGCUCCAAUGCAGAUAUCGGACACCGGAUGAGAAACCAAAAAAAGAAGAUAUGUCAAUUGUAUAUUUUCAUCUUAUCUUAUUUAUUUUUGUAUUUUUCAAAUUUGAAAAAAUAUAUAUUUGAGCUAAAAAUCUAUCAAAAAUAAUUUUUUUUAUCUAAAAAUAAAAUUAGCACACAAUUUUUUCUGACUCCACUUAUUAUUAUUGUUUGUUAUUAAGUUGAGAUUAUUAGGAUCAAGAGAGGGAAAAAAGAGGGGAAAUUUUCACUUAUCUUGUGGAUGGAAAUAUUGGAAUUUACUAAUAAUAGAAUGGCAUACACAUCGCCAACCUCCUUAAUUUGGCAUCAAUUUUAAUUUUGGCAUCUUAACUGUCAAUUGCUCAUUGUAAACAUUUAAACUAAUGUUUCGCUGUGUCUUUUUUAUCACUUUUCGCUGACAUGAUAAAAUGAGUAUGACGUACCCCCUUAAAGUUCAUGAGAAGAUUAUUUAGAUGAUUUUUAUUUUUAUUUUCUUCAUCUUCUUUUCCAUUGUGAUCCACGCACAUGAUAUAUUUUUACUGAUUGUGUGAAAAGUAUCAAAAUUACAUAGUAAGACAUCGGUUAGGAUGCUUAAAAUGAACGGUAUGUAGUUAAAGUGCCCAAAUAAAAAUCAAUGCCAACUUUAAGAAACUGGCGAUGUAUUUGACCACAAUAGGAAGUUUCUAUCUCUCUAAGUUAAUAUAUAUAUAUAUUUGAUAAAAACGACUUUUUAUUUAUAUUACAAAUAUUACAGAGGCAGAAGCUGUGGCUGUAUGAUACGAGAAUUCCUAGCUUGAGACCUUUCACACGAAGACAAGCGCAUGAGUUGCAACGACUCCAAGCCUUGUUCGCAUCCUUUCCCUUGUGAGCCCAUCCAAGGGCCUAUACUUAUUAAAAUGCGAAGAGGCCCGACUAAACACCCCAAACCCACCCACUAAAUGCCAAGGGUAUUUUGGUCUUUUGUCCCUUCUUUGUAAUUGACUAUAUAAGUCAUUUGUUAGGGCUAGUAUUGUGGUAGUUCAUUCAUGAUAUUUUGAGAACACAAGACUUGUAAUAUUUUGAACUUUUCUCUUCCAUUGGAGAAGCUCAAAACUGAAAUUCCCAAUUGGAGUGACACUUGGGUUGAGUCUAGGCUAAAAACUAGGAUCUUGAGGUCAUUGAGUUCCUCUUUGUCCAAGUAAGAGCUUGGUGAUAAUAUUCUUUAAUCUUAGGGUCCUUUCAUGUUGUUAGGGUUCUUAGAUUCUUGAAUAUUGUAUGUCAAGUUACUAUCUUUAAUUUUGUAAUCUUGUUGUUUGUGUGGUAACAUAGUGAAGCCGUGUGGGGCUAUUUUCGAUUCACUAUAGUUGAUGCCACUUUGUUGCUCUUGUUGUUGUUAUUGUAAUCUCUAUCAUCUUGUCAUUUUUGUAAACCUUGAAGUCUAGUGAAGCCGUGUGUGGCCUAUUUCGAUUCAUUAGCAUUGUUAUUGUUCAUCUUGUUAUUCUUGUGUUCUUGUGGUGGCUUGAUUCUCUUGAUACACACUCACUUUUGUAUCAUUUGGUAUCAAAUCCAUCUUCGAUUUUGUUUUAACAAGAUCAAUCUUGGGCUUGGGACUUGAAAACUACAAAAAAAAAAAAACUGAAAACUAAAAANNNNNNNNNNNNNNNNNNNNNNNNNNNNNNNNNNNNNNNNNNNNNNNNNNNNNNNNNNNNNNNNNNNNNNNNNNNNNNNNNNNNNNNNNNNNNNNNNNNNNNNNNNNNNNNNNNNNNNNNNNNNNNNNNNNNNNNNNNNNNNNNNNNNNNNNNNNNNNNNNUUGUUAUUGUGUUCUUGUUGUUCUUCACCCUUUUCAUCUUUGUUAAAACAAAAAGUGAACAUUAGAUCCACAAAAGGUGAAACACCAAGUUGUAGUAUUUGUUGAUGAAAGACUUGAUCACAUCACUCAAAAGACUUGACAACCACUUUUCACCUACUUUCCUUGAUUUAAUGACCUUGUUUCAAGGAAAAAGUACCAAGAAGGUCAAGUCUUGUUUUGAACUUGAAAAGCAAGCUUCAAGACCAAAUUUCCCUCCAUUAACCAAUUCCACCAUUUCCAAAUUGUAGAUUGGUCAAGACUUGAAAUUGGAGAGUAAAAUUCUGACAAAAUCGAGGCCAAUAGUGGACUGCCACAUCACUAAAUUACUGUUCACACAAUAUUUUGAGUUCAAAUUUUAGAUUUCUUGGUUUCAUUUUAUUGUUUCUUAGUUUCGUUUGUUGGUUCGAACACUAAUUGACAACCUAGUACAUUCCUACUAGCUUGUUAAUUAGUCCUUUGAAGCUUUGUGUUCGUGUCAAUGUUUGUUUGUGUGCUUUUGUCGUUUGAAUACGUUGUAACUCUUGGCUCUAGUCCGAUGAGAAUUCUUUGAUUUUCCAAAAAAAAAUCCACUCUGGACAAGAGCAUACUCAUAGCUUAAGGAUUCAACUAGCCAAUCUACAACACUUGUGGAGCUCGAGUGUGAGUGAACCAAAAGAUUGUGAGUGAGAAGAGGGAUUUUAACUAACUUGUUUGAUGUUUGCGUAGGUGAUACCUUGACAAUGGAGGGAACCACAUGUCAAACCGUGGAUUCUAAUGAAAUGAAGAAUAUGAGGGUCACUCUUGAAAGAUUGAGUAUGGAAGUGGGAGCCAUAAGGUGAGAAGUGACGACUAUUAGUGGGAGGUUAGAACAAGUGGAGAGUCAAAGGAACUCUCAUCCUUCUAAUCCUCGAAAUGUUUCAUCAAGUGGACAUGAUAGAAAUUCCUCCAUCACCGUUACUCCCGAAACAUGGCCACAAUUGCCAAUUUCUUCACUAGCUUCCCUAAAUGCCGCAAGCCAAACCACUCAUAACAUUCUAAAUCAAGACUCCAAUAGACCAACCCAUUCCCAAAUUCCUCAAGUUUCGCAAGAGGUACUCUGAUGUCAAAUGCCUCCACAAAACCCGAACCCUCCUUUCCAUGCUCCACUAAACCGAAGAACACCACCUCCACAAAAUACAAUUCCUCCGAAUCAAGUUCCAAAUGUCCAAAACCAUCCCAUCCACCUUGAGGAAUAUGGUAGAUGGAAUUAUGAAGGGUAUGGAGCCUUUGACGAUGCCUACAUGAGGGAGGAGGAGAUGAGAGAGGGUUGUGUGGAUCCAAGGAGAUACCGAGGGUAUGGAGAAAGGGGAAGCCAACACCUAGAGAGAGACGUGGGCAUCAAUACCAUCAAAUUAAGUCUACCUAUCUUUAAGGGUGAAAGUGACCCCGAGGUGUAUAUCGCUUGGGAAUCGGCGUGUGACAAGGUAUUCCAAGUGAAUGAUAUUUCAUAGGAUAAGAAGAGUUGUUAUGCCAUAGCCCACUUUGAAGGCUAUGCUAACACUUGGUGGGAUAUAUCAAGCGAUUUGGCAACUCAACCACCACCAUAGUUUCGGUUAAGGUAUCUAAUAAGGCAACGGUACCUUCCCAAAAGUUAUCAUCAUGAGUUGCUUGCAAGGUUGUAAAACUUGAGACAAGGGAAUCAAAGUGUUAUGGAAUACUAUGAUGAGUUUCACCAACUCAUGUUGAAGCUUGACCAUCAGGGAGAACAAAUCGGCCAUGACAUCAUUCGGUUUAAGUGUGGGUUGAAUAAGGAGAUUGCUACUCACUUGACUCUCUAUAAAUUUGAUACCAUUGAAGGCAUCUUUCAAGAGGCCAUUGAAAUUUAAAGAGAACUUAAGAAAAGAACAAGUUACAAAGCCAAAGGUCAAGCACCAUCGGGUUGGCUGAGGGGUAAGGAGGUUGCUUCCUUCAUUACGGGUUGGCACAAAAACAAAGACCAACCAACCACUACAAAGAAACCCGAGUCCAAGGCAAUGCAAAAAUAUCCACCAAGGCAAAAGGCUCACAAGUAUCCUAAUCCUAAGAGGUUCCAAUGUUUCAAGUGCUAAGGUUAGGGACAUAAAGCCAAUAAAUGUCCAAACCGAUGCAAUGUGAUUCUAAGGGAAAGGAUAUUGUAUUACCUUUGUGAGGAAGUGGGUCUUGAAAAUGAAGAUAAUAAGGCCAAGCCUCAAGAUAGAGAGGAACCCAAAAAUGAGCCACAUGAUGAUGAUGAUGAUUGUGAGGAUGCUUAUCCACAAGAAGGGGAGUGUGUGGUUCCAAACUUUGUAGUGAGGCAUGCCAUGAUUAGUAAGGUGAUAGAUGAUCCUAGCCAAUGGGAGAAUCUAUUCCAUACUAAAUGUUUUGUGAAGGUAAGUGUGUGCACUAUGGUGAUAGAUAGUGGAAGUUAUGCGAAUGUGGUUAGUGUUGCAAUGGUAAACUUUUUGAAGUUGCCGACUACACCUCACACUAUUCCUUACAAGUUGCAAUGGUUGAAUGAAUGCGGCGAGUUAAAGGUCACAAUUCAAUUCAUGAUACAUUUUAAGGUAGCCAACUACCAUGACAAGGUGCUUUGUGAUGUGAUACCAAUGCAAGCUUGUCACUUGUUGUUAGGAAGGCCUUGUCAAUACGAUAGGUCGACCAAAUAUGAUGGAAGGUCCAAUCGAUAUACACUUUAUAAAGAUGUGCGAGAGGUCUCUCUUCAUCCAUUAUUGCCUUUCCAAGUGAAUGAAUUACACCAAAAGAUGCGGGAAUUGAGGGAGAAGGGAAAGAAGGACGAGAGUGAGGGGAAAAGAGGAGAAUCUGAGAGUGAGAGAGUAGGAGAAACUGAGGAGAUCCUAAUUUCUAAGGGGUAAGGAAGUGUGGUGAUGAUGGCUAGGAGGAAAGAACUAUUUGUGGAUAAUGACGAGGACACUCCGAUGCUCCUCUUGGCUCAUUAUUUUAAUACUAACCCCACUAACAUUUUUAUUUCUCCUCCUAUUUCUCAUGUUGUGAAGGAUUAUGAAGAUGUCUUCCCAAAGGAAUUACCACAAGAAUUGCCCCCACUUUGGGGAAUUGAGCAUCAAAUAGAUUUUGUGCCGGGUUCCCAAUUGCCCAACAAAUCGGCUUAUAGGAGCAACCCGACGGAUACCAAGGAAUUGCAACGCCAAGUUGAGAAACUCCUCAACAAAGGGUAUAUAAAGGAGAGUAUGAGCCCUUGUGUGGUCCCAGAGCUACUAGUUCCCAAGAAAGAUGGGACUUGGUGUAUCUGUGUUGAUUGUCGAGCCAUCAACAAGAUAAUGAUAAAAUAUCGUCACCCUAUUCCUAGGAUAGAUGAUAUGCUUGAUGAAUUGAAUGUUUCGUGUUUUUUUUGGCUAUCACCAAAUUCAUAUGCAACCGGGUGAUGAAUGGAAAACCGCCUUCAAGACCAAAUUUGGUCUCUAUGAAUGGAUGGUUAUGCCAUUCGGCCUAACAAAUAAUCCAAGUACUUUCAUAAGGCUAAUGAAUCAUAUUAUGAAGACAUUUAUCGGAAAGUUUGUUUUUGUUUACUUUGAUGAUGUGUUGGUGUAUAGUAAGUCCUUAGAUGAGCAUGUAAAGCAUUUACAAUGUGUGUUUGAUGUCCUCCAAAAGAAGAAGUUAUAUGCCAAUCUAGAAAAGUGCUCUUUUAGUGUCCAUGAGGUUGUAUUUCUUGGGUUUGUGGUGAGCUCAAGAGGGGUCGAAGUGGAUGAAUCUAAGAUUGAUGCCAUUAAAAAUUGGCCAACCCCCAAAACCAUCGGUUAAGUGAGAAGCUUCCACGGGUUGGUUAGUUUUUAUAGACGUUUUAUCAAAGGAUUUAGCACCAUUGUCGUACCCUUGACCGAAGUGAUUAAAAAGGAACGACCUUUCAACUGGGGAAAUGAACAAGCUAAGGCCUUCGAGGACUUGAAACCUAUGCUCAUCUCGACCCCUUUUCUACAAUUGCCAAAUUUUGACAAGACUUUUGAGGUUGAAUGUGAUGCUAGAAAAGUCGGCAUAGGUGCGGUUUUAAUGCAAGAAUUGAAGUCUAUUGACUAUAUUAGCGAAAAUCUCAAAGGAGCAACUCUAAACUACUGUACGUAUGAUUUAGAGUUGUAUGCCUUGAUUAAAGCCUUGGCCACUUGGUAAUAUUAUUUGUGGCCUAAAGAAUUCGUGAUCCGAACGGAUCAUGAAUUCUUAAAGCAUCUACGGGAACAAGACAAGGUUAACCAGCGGCAUGCCAAAUGGAUUGAAUUUCUUGAAACUUUCCCUUAUGUUAUUCAUUACAAGAAGGGUAAAGACAAUGUGGUUGCCGAUGCUUUAUCCCGAAAAUAUGUGAUUGUUUCUACUUUGUCAUCUAAGUUGAUGGGGUUUGAAAGCCUUAAGUCUUUAUAUCCCGAGGACCCUCACUUCGCUACUAUCUAUAGGGAAAGUGAAGAGUUGGAUAGGGAUAGGUGGGUUACGGAUAGGGGUUCCCAUCCUUAUACCAAAUUUGAUGGAUGCUUAUUUAAGGGUAGACGAUUGUGUGUUCCCUCAAGUUCGUGGAGAGAAUUGUUUGUGAGGGAAGCACACAAUGAUGGUCUAAUGGGCCAUUUUGGGGUCGAGAAGACCCUCAGAAUUUUGGAAGAACAAUUUUAUUGGCCUAGAAUGUACAAGGAUGUGACCUGGAUUUGCGGACAAUGUGUUGAGUGCAAAGGAGACAAGUCACGGCUCCAACCCCAUGGAUUGUACGCCCCGUUGUCCACCCCUUUGCGUCUUUGGCUUGACAUAACAAUGGACUUCGUGUUAGGAUUACCGAGAACUAAAAGGGGGGGAUAGUAUUUUUGUCAUGGUGGAUUGGUUUUCCAAGAUGGCUCACUUUAUUCGUUGUUUUAAAUGUGAUGAUGCGCCUAGUGUAGCCUCUUUGUUUGUUGAUAAUAUUGUAAAACUUCAUGGUGUUCCAAGGACCAUAGUGGUGAUAGGGAUUCUAAAUUCCUAAGCCACUUGUGGAAGUCCAUGUGGGGUAGGUUCGGUACUAAGUUGUUGUUUUUGACUUCAUGCCACCCACAAACCGAUGGCCAAAUGGAAGUAGUAAGUAGGACCUUAGGGUCUAUGCUAUGGUCCAUGGUUAAGGGAAAAAUGACUUCUUGGCAGGAGCACUUACCGUUGAUUGAGUUUGCUUAUAAUCGUGUUAUACACUUAAGUACGGGGAUGACACCCUUUGACUGUAUAUACGACAUCACCCCCCUUACCCCUUUUGAUUUAACCCCUUUGCCAAGUGAUCUUGUGAUAAGCUUAGAUGGAAGCAAAUGGGCCGAGGCCAUGAAGAAGCUACAUGAGAAGGUGAGGUUGCGAUUGGAGAAGAAAAACCAAGAAGUUGCAAGGCGAACCAACAAAGGAAGAAGAAAACUCAUUCUUGAACCGGGAGAUUGGGUGUGGGUGCACCUAAGGAAGGAUAGAUUCCCAUCUAAAAGGAAUGCUAAGUUGAUGCUGAGGGGUGAUGGCCCGUUCCAAGUAUUAGAAAAGAUCAACGACAAUGCCUAAAAGAUUGAUCUACCCCCAGAAUAUCAAAAGAUUGAUCUACCCCCAAAAUAUCAAGUGCACAACACUUUCAAUGUGUGUGACCUCUCUUGGGUGGAAACGGUGGAGGAUGGCAAUGAUCUGAAUUUGAGGACAAAUUACCUUCAAGAUGGAGAGGAUGAUAUGAGAAUUCCUAGCUCGAGACCUUUCACACGAAGCCAAGCACGUGAGUUGCAAUGACUCCAAGCCUUGUUCAUAUCCUUGGCCUCACAGCCGCUGAGAUUAGAGUAUAAGUGAGAGAGAGACACACAAGACCACGAAGCAUGGUGUCUCGACCCACUGGUAGUGCCCAAGAUCACUUAGAUCGGGAUCCUACCUAUAGUCCCAAUUUGGGAAUGACAUAAAGCCAAGUACUCAAGAUCACUUUUCCUGGUACCAAAUCUCCGUGUCGGCAAACACAUUUUCCAGCGAUGAGCUCUUACACUCAAAUGCCUUCUUCGGGCAUCCACCUAUCUCAUGUAAAAUCAAUGCAUUCAAAUUUUAUCUGUUUCAAUCACAUAUCAUAUUCUAUAGGGUAUCGUCAUACCCGACUUGCAAUCCUUAAUAUCACUUCCACAUAUGCAUAAUUAUGUAAAAACCAAGGUGCUUCAUCAUUUAUAAGUGGUGAACAAUAUUUAUUUCAAAUUCAUGAUCUUUUUUGUUGAUCACAAUAUGAUAUGGGGUAUCAAGACAUUAUAAUGGGAAUUUGAAAACAAUUUAUCAUUCAUAUUUAUCAAACUUCCAUGGAAAAUCUCAAAUCACAUAUGCAUGGUUUCAACCAUUGAAGUAUAUAGGCAAACAAUUCCCAUAACAUAAAGUAAAUGACUUAGAAAUCAUAUUGAAAGCAAGUUAUUAGCAUUUGAUUGAAAACCCCCAUUUUAAAAGCAUGCAUGUUCAUAAAAACUACACCCAUGAGAUUUUAGGAUAACCCCACGUACCUCUAUUUCCAAGGAUAAUAGAUGUUUCUUGAAGCUUGCAGAUUGGUGAUUCCAAAUAUGUAAUUAUCUUCGAAAACCUAUGGUCGAAUCUUCAACUAUUUGGGUUUUUAUUUUGAAACCCUAAGGAGAAUCUUUGAGCACUUUUGAUGAAUAAAGGUGUAUUUUGGGGUCCUUGAAACUGAAUUUCGUGUUUUAGGGCUAAGUAAGGGUGGAAAAGGACCAUUUUGCCCCAAAAACGGAAUGUUUAAGACACUUGAAUUCUUUACAUAGGCUCCACCCAUCCCAUUGCCUAUGUUUACAUAGGCGCCACCUAGGCUAUUGCCUAUGCUUUACAGUGGCCAUGGGCGAUUGGUUAGGCGACACAUAUCACUUUGAAACGCCAUAACUUCUUGCUCGGGUGUUGGAUUCUAGAAAAAUUGGUAUCGUUGGAAAGCUAACUCGAAAACCUAUCAUUUUACACAUAGUAGGCUCCCUAAUUCAAUAUAUAUAUAGAUUUAGGGUCGAUGGAAGCUGACACACUUUACCACGUCCACUAAAACUUAGUCGAUCGAAAUAGUUUUAACUCGUCCUUGAGUUGAAGGACCUCUAUGGUAUAAAUUCAAUCUUGAAUAGAUUCACACGCUACACAAUUAAUUGACAUGCCGUAUUGGUAUAGGAUUUUAUGGCUUUGGGAUUUAUCAACUCAUCGAAAUCAUGGUCUAUAUUGUAGCCCGAAAUGCGGGCCGUUACAUAAAGUAGAUUUUUUAGAAUCAUAUAUUUCUAGCUAAGUUUCUAGAAUAGUCUAGUGUAGUAUUUAGGAUAAUAAAAUGGAAGAAAUAUCUAUAUUUAUAGGUAUUUCUUGGUAGAAGAAUCUAGAAAGUUAUAGUAUAGUCUCUUUGAUAUUUACUUAGUACAAGUCUUGAUAUUCUAGAGUGUUAGAUAUCUGAGGAUGACAUUUGUAGAAUAGGGUAGAAUACUCUAGAUUUGUAGUAUCUAGAAUCAUCCCUACACAACUAUAAAUAGGGUAUGACACUAGGCAUUUGUAACCAACCAAAAUCAAAUCAAUUCAACUAGUCUUCUUCUAUACCCAAGUUUCCAUUCAAUAUCUUACUUCACCUUUCUAGCUUCCUCUUCACCUUUGUAGUUUUCUCUUCUUAGUUGAAUCUUCAGAUCUUAGUUAAUGAUCUUGGGAUAGCAGAAGAUCUCUUUAACUACGCCUUUCUUCUGCUAUUCUCUACAUGGUAUCAGAUCCAUAGCCACACGUUGGCUUCUGAAGUUUAUUUCAAGAUCGGGUUUGUGGUCGAUUCAACUAGUUUGUCCUAAUGGAUUUAAGUGAUCGCGUUAAUGGACUGGGAAUAGAUUUGUUGAAUCAGUCCAAUUACAAGGUAUGGAAGACUUUUCUGGAAUCAUACCUUGUGGGGGAAGAUUUGUAGGAUGUUGUUAAUGGAAGUAACACAAGUCUUCCGAAAGACGGAUCGGAGAAUAGCAGUGCAUACAAAAAGUGGAAGCAGAUUAAUGUGAAGGCGGAGUUCAUUUUGAAGAGGUCCAUCUUCUCAAAUUUAUUUGACCAUAUUAUAAGGUGUAAAUUAGCUCAUGAUAUUUGGAGGACGCUCGAUCAGUUAUUCACUAAGAAGAAUGAAGAUAUUGGAGAAUGAUUUGUCUAACGCCAAUCAAGGUAAUCAUUCUAUUGCCGAGUAUUUCUUGAGGAUUAAAAAUUUAUGUUCUGAGAUCUCCUUAUUAAUUCCGGAUGAGGCUAUCUCUGAAGCACGAAUAAGAAGAAAUAUUAUUUGCGGUUUGAAGCCAGAAUAUAUUCCUUUUGUUACAUCGAUUCAAGGAUGGGCUCAACAACCAUCUUUGGAGGAAUUUGAGAAUUUGUUAUCAUCACAGUAGUUACCAGCCAAACAAUUGUCUAGUGAAUUUGUCAAAGAAAGGGAUGAAAAUGCUCUUGUAGCUCACAAGAGGAACUUUAGAGGAAAGACAAGAUAUAUGCCUCACUCUCGAUUCUCUAGUGGUUCAAGUUCACUUGGAAAGAAGGAAGAGUUUUAUGACAAUUAUGGUAAAAGGCCUCUUAGGAGGCUAGCAUAAUAUAAUAUAUCCGGAUCAGCAAAUCACGGUUUCGAGCAAUGAGUUGUCUGAACUCGUGCCUUCUUCGGGGAACCACCUAAGCUCUCUUUAUGCCGAAUCUUUCAAACAUGCAUUCUAUCUUUUCUGAAUUAUCGUGACAUAAUCUGAAUUGGUGUCGUCACACCAAGACUUGCAAGUCCUAUUUCUGAGCCAUAACGUAUCAUGCAUAAUUCUUUCAUUAAAACACAGUUCAGACCAUCCAAACAUGCAAACAGUAUAAAAGAUUUCAUGUUCCUAAAACACAAGUCAAAACUAUGCCGAGAUUAUUCAAACAUAUGGUGGUCAUGUGUUUUUUUGGCAAACCAUGCUACUCUUUGUUAUAUGCAUAAUCAACAUUUAUCAACAUGCAUAACCCUCUCUUUUUAUUUUGAAAUAAUAUUCAAGUCAUAGCAUAAAUCAAGACAUUUCAUAUCAUACUUUCAAGAUGCAAUUUAGAACAAUGAGAUAAUACAUCGAAACACCCCUAAACUUGUAGCCAAAACUUACUUUAGACCCUAAACUAAUCAGGAAAUUAUAUACUCCCCUUAACAUCUUUCAAGUGAAUUAAUUUCACCCUCUAUGGCUGACGUGGCAAAAAAAAUGAGUGAUUUUUUUUAAAAGGGCCCACUUUAUUAUUAUUAUUAUUAUUAUUAUUAUUAUUAUUAUUAUUAUUAUUAUUAUUAGUAUUAUUUAUAUAUAUAUAUAUAAAGAAAAUUAAAAAAAACAAAACACCCUUCCCUUCUUUCCCAGCCGUAACCCCUCCCCUCAUUAUCAUCUUCUUUGUAACCCCCCACCCUCUUCGUUCCCCAACCCCACUCCCACUCCCCAACACGGUUUCUUUAUCAAAUUUCCCAGCCAUGGUAGCUCAUCCUAGCACUGCCAUUCGAGCUAGCUUAUGCACCUUACUAAUUCCCGAUUUGAACACUGGACUGGUUGAUUUAUCUAGAUUCGUGUUCUUCAUUUUGGAAUUCUUGAUUUUGUAAUCUUAUGCUACUUUUAUUUGAUCUGAUUACGAACUUGUUCUUCUUUUUGUUUUUGUUUUAUUAUGGUGGAGCAGAUCUCUUGCGAUUUCAUCUCAUUUACGUGUGCUCAAUUUUUGUACGGACAGAUUUAUUUAGCUCAAUGUUUGUCGUUUGAAGAUUUGAUUUUUGCUCUUUUUUUGAGUGAUACUUGUUGGGUUUCGGUUUAACUUGAGUUGAUCUCUUUCAGUUUUCAAUGGUAGAAUUUUGCUGGCAAAUUUUUGUGACUACUGUGCGUGUCUCACUCUAAUUAAAAAAAAUUAUGAUUAAAAUCGUUCCACUCUCAUAAAAAAAAUUGAAUUUUGGUGAAUUUUCUAUCUUAUACGAUUGUAUAUCUCAUCUAUUUGGGGGUGGGGUGGGCUGUUGAAGAAGAAGAGGGAGGAAGGGNNNNNNNNNNNNNNNNNNNNNNNNNNNNNNNNNNNNNNNNNNNNNNNNNNNNNNNNNNNNNNNNNUAUAUAUAUUUUAAAAAAAUAAUAUAUAUUUUAUAUAUAAACAAAUAAUACACAUAUAUUUUUGCUUUUUAAAAAAAAUAUAUAAAAAUCAUACGUAUGUUGGAUUAUUUUUUUUUAAGAAAAUUAUAAUUUCUUACAUGGAAAUGACAUGGCACUGAUGUGGCGUUGAUUUGGCAAUGACGUGGGGCGUGUGUACUUCACUCUCCGUAGUGAGAGUGGUAUAAUUUUUUUAGGGUGGUAAAUAAUUCACUUGAAAGUUGUUAAGGGGGUAAAUAAUUGCCCGAUUAGUUUAGGGUCUAAAGUAAGUUUUAGCAACAAGUUUGAGGGGGAUUUGAUGUAUUUUCUCUAGAACAAUUCAUAUCAUAUGGAAGAUGGAAAAAAUCAUGACAAGAGAGGGUUCAUUAUAACUCAUGCUCUCAAUUGAAUAUUCAUCCUUAAACACAUACAUACAUACAUACAUACAUACAUACAUACAUACAUACAUACAUAUAUAUAUAAAAAAAAAAAUUCAAUCAAUUUGGGGGAAGGUCUAAAGACAAAAACCACACCGUCAAAACUUCUAAAACAUGAUUGUAUUCAUAAAUCCAAAACCCUUUUCUUAAAACAUGAUUUCUAUACCCAUGAGAUUUUAGCAAAACCCCGCGUACCUUAAAUUAUUACUCUUGAAUGAACUUGUGUCUUAGGGAUGUUAUUCUUGUAGCCCUCGUAAUGGGGAUUCCGAAUCUCGAAGAAUUAUUGAAAACCCACAAUGAAAUCUUAAGAUAUAUUGAUCUUUGGGUUGAAACCCUAAGGGGUGUUCUUGAGAGGAAUUUUGGAGAGAAUGUGAAUUUAGGGGUCUAAGGUGCUGUUUUGGGGUUAAAAUUCGGUGUUUAGGUUGAAUUAAUAGGGGUGGAAUUGACCCAAAUGCCCUUGAAAAACGUGGAGCUGAUUGCAGAAAAAUACACUGGCCGGAAUAGCCAGGGCGCCGCGGGCUUAUCGCCCUAAGCUACUGCCUCUCACAAAAAUGACUAUAACUUUUCGAUCGGUUGUCCGAUUUAGGUGAAAUUGGUAUCUUUGGAAAGAUACUUCAAAGACCUUUCAUUUGAUAUAUAGUAGGCCUACUAAUUCAUUAUAUACAAGAAGUUAUGGUUGAUGGAAGUUAACUCAAGUUUUAACAUCCACAAAAAAACUUAAUCGGUAGAAAUGUUUUCAACUCGUCUUAGAGUUAGGGGAUUUUUGUGACAUUCAAUUCAUAUACAAAGGUAUUCCCACAUUGUAGGAUUUAUCACCACACAUAUAUUAACAAGGAAUCAUAUAGUUCGAGUCUAUACGCAUAGUAACAACGCUUCGAUUUCUAGCCCAAAAAAUACGGGGUGUUACAUUAUCUCCCCCUUGGGAUCAUUCAUCCCCGAAUGAUGGGUAGGUACCUUUUGAAACUCUAAGAGUGUAGAAUAAAGAAUGCAGUCUCACAUUGAAUAUUUUUUUUUCCUCGACAAAAUAUGCAAAGGCAUCAAACAAGCCUCAUGAUAACCCCUAGCGAAACAUGAAAGCACGAAACAUGAGGCAAUGAGACUUUGCAUAGGGAUGAUCUUGCACAUGAGUUCUAUGAAUCAUUAUCAUCACCACAUAUGGUAGGGGUCUAUUUGAUGAUCAUAGACCAUGAUUAAGAUUGGUACAAUACAUGAGAUAAGAUUCUCAUGGGGCAUAAGAAUAUUAACAUUCUCAUCUUACAAGAUACAAUGAAAAGACUUAAACUUAGAGACACUAUUUGUUUACGCCCCAAACAAUAAAUUACAUACUUCACACUUUUCAACUUAAAAAUCUCCAACCACACUUAUAGCCACAAGAAUUUGAGUCCCACUACUUAGUACUGCUACAUUGAAGCCUAACUCGGAGUUAAAAGGUGCCAUCUUAAGCUAUAGGACCUUGUAAGUUACAUCCCAUUGAGAACAUUACCUUACCUUAUCACUAUCGUCAAAUACCCUUGGAUUUUAAUUCAAGAAAUACUAACCGCAUAGUACAUGGGUUGAGUUUUCAUCAAUCUCAACAUUCAAGCCUAUCACUACUACACUCACUUUAUGGAUUUCCCCCACUAAGAUCAGCAAAUUCACUCACAUUCACAAAAAUUUUUGCCAUAUAUCUCCUUCCUAACUUCUUCACAUAACAAAAGUUCAUCUCCUUCUUUCCCUUUUUCACCUAUGACCUUAUCUUGAGAAUUCACACCAUUUUUUUCAAGAACAUCUACUUCUCUACCUAACACAUCACCAUGCUUCCACAACCACCAUCAUACUACCACACGGAGGGUCAUUGAGGGACCCAAGUAUAAAUGUCAUGAAUGGAAGUAACACUUAUCAAACCAUAGGUUAUACUUAUUGCACUACUCAAGGAGGGACAUGAAGUGAAGAUACAAUAGAAUAGACGCGGAGUGAUUUAGAUAUCAAGUGUCUGGAUCAUAAGUAAAAAGUCAUUCGGCAUAACCACAACACAACCUAAUUUCUUAAGACAGCCUAUGGUGGGAAACAUGGGUGCACAUAUCUCAUGAGUUGUAUAACAUAAGGGUCAAAUUCAUAAAGUCAUUGAUUGAGAUAAAUGUUAAUACUUGAAGCUAUUGCUUCUCAUUUUCAGACCUGAAAUAGUAAUAAAUUUGCACAACUUUACCGCUUUGACUUAUUCCGACAUAAAACAAUUCAGUGACAUACAGGAACAUAUUUCCUUAUGACCAAGCAUUAAUAAGGUGCACACUUCGAGGUAUGUCGUUCACCUAGGCUCUACUAAGAUGUACCUGAAAACCUUGUAUUGGUAGAAUAACAUGAAACAUGAUGUAGCUAAUUUUGUGUCCAAGUGUUUGAACUAUCAACAAGUGAAAGUAGAACAAAUGAGGCCAGGUGGUACUUCCCAAGAGAUAGCCCUGACUUUAUGGAAGUGAGAGAUGAUAAACAUGGACUUCGUUACAGGACUUUCGAGAUCCUGAAACCAGUAUGAUUCUAUAUGGGUGAUUGUAGAUCGGUUGACAAAGUCAGCCCACUUUUUGCCUAUGAGGACUAAUUAUUCGGGAGAGGAUUAUGCAAAGAUUUACAUUGAGGAGAUAGUUUGAUUGUAUGGGGCACCAGUGUCCAUUAUAUUCGAUAUAGGUAUGCAAUUUUCAUCUCAGUUCUGGAGAUCUUUUCAGAAGGUUUUAGGUACAUAAGUGAAUUUGAGCAUAGCUUUCCACCCUCAGAUGGAUGGGCAAGCUGAGCGUACCAUUUAGACCCUCGAAGAUAUGUUGAGCACAUGCGUCAUUGAUUUCAAAGGUAGUUGGGUAGAUCACCUACCACUGGUUGAAUUUGCUUACAAUAAUAGUUACCAUGCCAGCAUUAAGAUGGCUCCUUUUGAGGCUUUGUAUAGGAGGAGAUGUAGGUCUCCGAUAGGAUAGUAUGAAAUGUGUGAGACUCAGUUGUAUAGGCCUAAUCUUGUUCAUCAGGAAAUGAAGAAAGUGAAGAUCAUUAGAGAAUGACUCAAGACUGCUCAAACUCAUCAGAAGUCCUAUGUCGAUGUUCGGAAAAGAGAACUAGAGUUUGAAGUUGGUGAUUGGGUGUUUCUCAAGGUUUCUCCUAUAAAAGGAGUCAUGCGGUUUGGAAAAAGGGGUAAAUUGAGCCCUCUCUAUAUAGGGCCGUAUCAGAUUCUGAAAAGGAUUGGUAUAGUUGCUUAUGAGCUAGAGUUGCCUACAAGUUUGGGUUCCGUUCAUCCGGUAUUCCAUGUAUCCAUGUUGAAGAAAUGCAUUGGAGAUCAUUCUAUGGUAUUGCCAGUAGAGGGUAUCAAAGUGAUAGACUCCUUGUCUUGCCAAGAAGAGCCCGUUGAAAUUUUAGAUCUCCAAGUUCAAAAGCUGAGGAGCAAAGAGAUCGCCUCAGUAAAGGUACUGUGGAGGAAUCAGAAAGUCGAAGAAGCAACUUAGGAGUUAGAAGAUGACAUGAGAAUUAGAUAUCCCAAAUUGUUUGCUUCGAUAGAGGAUGAGACAGAAGGUAUUAUUCCUAUCUUAUCUUUCAUAGUCCUUUAUUAUGCUCGAAACCGUGUCUUUCUGUGUCCCGCAUCAUCAUUCGGGGACGAAUGAUCCUAAGGGGGGGAUAAUGUAACGCCCCACACUUCGGGAUACAAUAUAGACCAUGAUUCCAAUAUGUUGAUAAAUCUCGAAGCCAUAAAAUCCUAUGCCAAUACGACAUGUUAAUUAUUUGUGUAGCAUGUGAAUCCACUCAAGCUUGAAUUUAGACCAUAGGGGUCCUUCAACUCAAGAACGAGUUGAAACUAUUUCGAUCGGCUAAGUUUUAGUGGACAUUAUUGUGUCAGAUUCCAUUGACCAUAACUCUCUGUAUAUGUUGAAUUAGGGAGCCUACUAUGUGUCAAAUGAUAGGUCUUCGAGUUAGCUUUUCAACGAUACCAAUUUUGCUAAAAUCCGACACCCGAACAAGAAGCUAUGGCCUUUCAAAGUGAUAUGCGUCGCCUAACCAAUCGCCCAUGGCCACUGGAAAGCAUAGGCAAUAGCCUAGGUGGCGCCUAUGUAAAUAUAGGCAAUAGACUAGGCGGCGCCUAUGUAAACAUAGGCAAUGGGCUAGGCGGCGCCUAUGUGAAGAAUUCAAGUGACUUAAACACUCCGUUUUUGGGGCAAAAUGGUCCUUUUCCACCCUUACUUUUCCCUAAAACACGAAAUUUAGUUCCAAGGACCCCAAAAUACACCUUCAUUCAUCAAAAGUGCUCAAAGAUUCUCCUUCGGGUUUAAAAUUAAAAAACCCAAGCAACUCGAGAUUCAAUCGGGGGUUUUAGGAAUAAAUUGCAUAUUUGGAAUCCUCUCAACGUAGGCUUUGAGAAACAUCUAAUAUUCAUAGUAAUCGAGGUACGUGGGGUUAUCCUAAAAUCUCAUGGGUGUAGUUUUUAUGAACAUGAAUGCUUUUAAAAUGGGGAUUUUCAAUCAAAUGCUAAUAACUUGCUUUUAAUAUGAUUUCUAAGUCAUUUACUUUAUGUCAUGGGAAUUGUUUGACUAUAUACUUCAAUGGUUGAAACCAUGCAUAUGUGAUUUGAGAUUUUCCAUGGAAUUUUGAUAAAUAUGAAUGAUAAAUUGCUUUCAAAUUCCCAUGAUAAUGUCUUGAUACCCCAUAUCAUAUUGUGAUCAACAAAAGAGAGCAUGAAUUUGAAAUAAAUAUUGUUCACCACUUGUAAAUGAUGAAGCACCUUGGUUUUUACAUGAUUAUGCAUAUGUGAAAGUGAUAUUGAGGACUUGCAAGUUGGGUAUGACGAUACCCUACAGAAUAUGAUAUGUGAUUGAAUCAGAUGAAAUUUGAAUGCAUUGAUUUUACAUGAGAUAUGUGGAUGCCCGAAGAAGGCGUUUGAGUGUAAGGGCUCAUCGCUGGAAAAACGUGUUUGCCGACACGAGAAUUUGGUACCAGGAUAAGUGAUCUUGAGUACUUGAAUUUAUGUCAUUUCCAAAUUGGGAUUAUAGGUAGGAGCCGGGCUAAGUGAUCUUGGGCACUACCAUUGGGUUGAGCACCAUGCUUCGUGGUCUUGUGUGUCUCUCCCUCACUUAUACUCUAAUCUCGGCGGUAACCGAGGUUGGACAGUUGGUGUAAAUUAUGUAGGGUAUUCCACCUAGAUCAGUUGCAUUUCAUUGUUGUUGAGAAACUAUUGCAUUACUCCUAUGUGUUUUCAAAUGAUUUGAUAUGAAAUUGCUUUAUAAUGGCUCUCAACUAUAUUUUGUAAAAAUAUUAUGUUUUGUUUUGAUAUCUGUGCGUGCCAGUACUUUUGUGUUGACCCCCUCCCCUCUCCAACCUCUCAGGUUCAAAGGCCCAGUCUAGGGGUCAAGAGAAUCAGUAGAUCAUUCAGACAGAGUUGCAGAAACAAGUGGUGAGCCUUCUAUGUUUCGGAAGGUCUUAUGUCCUACAAUCUUUUUAUCUUAUAUUCGGUUUUGGGGUCUACUGGGGGCCUUGUCCCAGUUUAUAUACAGUUACUUGACUCAGUCAUUUGUUAGAGAUUUCCGCAGAUAGUUGUUUAGAGGUUGAUUGAUGUUGGGGGAAACUUAUUUCUCCGUUAUUGUUUCUUUUCAUAUUUAUGACCAUGUUUCCGAAUUAUUGUGUUUCCUCCGCUUUACUUUGAUCAUAUGAAUUAGGUUCAUGAUUACUAGAUAGAUAGGGGUGUUUCGGGCCUCCAUGGUUCAAAAUGCUCAUCACGGCCAGACACUGGUUCAGGUCGUGACAAUAUUUCUUCUUAUUCGUGCUUCAGAGAUAGCCUCAUCCGGAAUUAAUAAAGAGAUCUCAGAACAUAAAUUUUUAAUCCUCAAGAAAUACUCGGCAAUAGAAAGAUUACCUUGAUUGGCGUUAGCCAAAUCAUUCUCCAAUAUCUGUAGCCGGGCUUCAUUCUUCUUAUAGAAUAACUGAUCAAGUGUCCUCCAAAUAUCAUGAACUGAUUUACACCUUAUAAUAUGGUCAAAUAAAAUUGAGAAGAUGGACCUCUUCAAAAUGAACUCCGCUUUUGCAUUAAUCUGCUUCCACUUCUUGUAUGCACUACUAUUCCCACAAAUCCUCCCCACAAGGUAUGAUUCCAUAAAAGUCCUCCAUACCUUGUAAUUGGACUGAUUCAACAACUCCAUUCCCAGUCCAUUAACGUAAUCACUUAAAUUCAUUAGGACAAACUAGUUGAAUCGACCACAAACCCGAUCUUGAAAUAAACUUCAGAAUCCAACGUGUGGCUAUGGCUCUUAUACCAUGUAGAGAAUAGAAGAAGAAAGGUGUAGUUGAAGAGAUCUUCUGCUAGCCUAUGAUCGUUAACUAAGAUUGGAAGAUUCAACUAAGAAGAGAAAGCUAGAAAGGUGAAGGAAGAUAUUGAAUUGAAACUUGGGUAUAGAAGAAGACUAGUUGAAUUGAUUUGAUUUUGGUUGGUUACAAAUGCCUAGUGCCAUCCCCUAUUUAUACUUGUGGAGGGAUGAUUCUAGAUACUACAAAUCUAGAUUAUUCUACCCUAUUCUACAAAUGUCAUCCUCAAAUAUCUCACAGUACUCUAGAAUAUCUAGACUUGUACUAAGUAAAUAUCAAAGAGACUAUACUAUAACUUUCUAGAUUCUUCUACCAAGAAAUACCUAGAAAUAUAGAUAUUUCUUCAAUUUGAUUAUCCUAAAUACUACACUAGACUAUUCUAGAAACUUAGCUAGAAAUAUAUGAUUCUAAAAAAUCUACUUUAAUAUUUUCACAGUAUGAGGUGGAGUUUUGCCAGUCAAGAAGUCACACAUCACGUAGAUAAAAUUAGAGAAAAUAGUAUGUUGAGAUAGAUAUGUAGGCAUACUAGGAGAUACAAAAUUAGGAAUGAAGAGAUCAAGGACAAGGUAAGAGUAGCCACCGUGGUGGGAAAGAUAGGAGAGAUGUUACUGAAAUGGUUCGAACAUGUGAAGAGAAGAUACAUAGAUAUCCGAAUGAAGAGGUGCGACAGGCCAUAUAUGGUGGGGUAAGAACAGGGAAGAGGUGACUAGAUAAGACAUAUAGUUGAUUCUAUAGCUUACCAAAGACAUGACACUAGAUAGAAAGAUAUGGUGACACAUUAAGAUAGAAGAUAGUAGGUGUCAUUUGUUGUCGUUACGACUCUAUUCUCCAUUAUUUUUGGUAUUGACUGCUUCACUAUUGUAUUUGUUUUGCAUACUUGACUUUUGAUACCUUUGUUAAGGUAAGAGUAGAAUUGUGAGCACACUAUCCUCCCGUAACCCUACUUAUGGAAGUACACUAUGUAUAUUGUUGUAUAACAGAACAACUACGUUGGUAUACCCAUAUAUGCAAACGACGUUAGAAUAAUGUAGUAUAUAAGACAUUUAUAAAUAAUAAAUUAAACGACAGAUAUGCAAAAACUAAAAACUCAGUAUUACAAGUAAACAUCUUACAUUAUAUCCUCAUGGACAAAUGUUCAAAAAUAUUAAAUAUGCAUAAAUAAUUUAACUAAAAUCCAAUAACAUAUCCUUUCUGUCUUGAAUCUAUAAACUCAAAAUUUUAGAUCAGCCUAUCAAGACCUGAUGUUGCUAGCCACCACAGGAUGUAAACCUGCAGAGCCAAAUCUUGAUUUGCGCCGGUCAGCUGAACUUCCAUCAUCCUUGCGACUCAGAGAAACUUCCAUUUUUCUCCUUUUCUCGCUCAGAGAACUGAACUUUCAUGGCUGCCUAAUCUGCAUAAUGCGGCCAUGAGUUGUUCACCUCUUGGACCCGGACUCUUUUCUUAAUCAUAGAACAAGCCAGCAUUAUUUCCGUCUCUUGCUCUGGAUCCAUCUGCCAUUGAUUUUCGCUAGCAACCUGAUCUGCUGAUGUUAUAAACAAAUCGAUCAGUUGGUAGGUGUAAUACUCUUCAAACAAGUACACAGUACUUAAAAUAUAUUUGCAAGUAAAAGCGAACGGAGGGAGUAGUAAGCUAAUGACAUGACUCACCAAUACAUAGAAAUUGAAAAUGAGUUUACCUAGUGACUUAGGCAACAACGGUGCCAUUCUUUCUGUUAGUUUCCAGAGAGUGAAGAACAUAAGAAACUGAUUUUACAUGUUGAUGAACAAGUGGAACAUGAGUUUGAUAAGUUUAACAGAGAGAUAUUGAUGAAAGCAAAAACUACAGCUUUAUUGCACAAUUAAAAUUAUUUAUAGGUUACAAUCCUAACUGAAAAAAUAAUCAACUCCUAAAGAUAAGGAUAAGGAUUAGAAACUAAUUUUACUGCUGACUAAUAUUAACUUCUAACAGAUAACAUAAAAAUUUAACUGCUGCAGCUCUUAUGCAUUUUUCUAACACUCCUCCUUGCUUUAAGAGCUGCAAACUCCAAGUUUUUUCCUGAGAAGUUGAAAUUUGUUUCCCGGUAAAGGCUUGGUGAAGAUAUCAGCCAGCUGCUCCUCGGUUUUGCAUUAGAGAAGAAUCACAUCACCAGUCUUUUGCACUUCUCUUAAGAAGAAAAGCUUGAUGUUGAAGUGUUUUGUUUUGGCAUGAAAUACAGGAUUGUUAGAAAUUGCAAUCGCAGAUUGGUUGUCCACAAAUACCUCAGUUCCUUUUGUUUGAUUCAUAUGCAAAUCAGCAAAUACUUUCUUCAACCACAGAGCUUGAUUCGUUGCUGCUGUUGCAACCACAAAUUCUGCCUCUGCAGUGGAUUGAGCCACAAUAUCCUGCUUCUUUGAGCACCAAGAAAAUAUUCCGGAGCCAAGACUAAAGCAAUAUCCAUAUGUGCUCUUCAUGUCAUCCACUGAUCCAGCCCAAUCACUAUCCGAAUGCCCAAGUAGUUUCAGAUUUGGAUUUUUCUGAAACUUGACACCAUAAUUAAUGGUUCCUUUGAUGUAUCUGAUUACUCUUUUUGUUGCUUUUAGAUGCAGCUCACUAGCACAAUGCAUGAACCUCGAUAAAAUGCUUACAACAUACAAAAUAUCGGGUCUUGUAGCUGUGAUAUACAUCAAACAACCGACUAAGCCUCUGAAGUACGUUUCCUCCACUUUCUCUCGAACAUUCUUGCUUAGUUUCUCUUUUUGGUUCAUAGGAGUACUCAUCUCCUUGCAAUCUUCCAUGUUGAACUUCUUCAGAAUUUCUUUAGCAUAUUUCUUCUAACAAAUGAAAACUUCAUUCUAUCCCUGUUUGAUUUCCAUUCCAUGAAAAUAGGACAUUAUACCAAGAUCAGUCAUCCCGAAGGCUUGCAUCAUUUCUUGCUUGAAAUCUUAAAUAUUCUUUGUAUUGCUCCCUAUAACUAGUACAUCAUCAACAUAUAUAGACACAACAAGAAUAUCACUGUCAUUAUGUUUAACUUAAAGUGUAGAUUUUGAUAGACUCUUUUCAAAGCCUAACCCAAGCAAAUGAUCAUCUAUUCGACCAUACCAGGCCCUUGGUGCCUGUUUAAGUCCAUAAAGAGCCUUCCUUAGCCUGUAAAAUUUGUUCUCUUUUCCUUUCAUGACAAAGCCUUUGGGUUGCUCAACAUAAAUUUCUUCCUGGAGAAAACCAUUAAGAAAUGCCGAUUUGACAUCCAUCUGAUACACUUUCCAACCCAAUUGUGCAGCAAGAGCAAGAAGUAACCUGAUCGUGUCAAGCCUAGCCACUGGUGCGAAUGUAUCAAAGUAAUCCACACCAAAAAUUUGAGCAUAUCCCUUAACGACAAGCCUUGAUUUAUGCUUGUUGACUGAACCAUCAGCAUUUAACUUUGUUUUGAAUAUCCAUUUCAACCCAAUUACUUUUCUAUCUUUAGGUUGAUCAACAAGCUCCCAAGUCAUGUUCUUCUCAAUCAUAAACAACUCCUCUUUCAUUGCAGCCACCCAAUUUUCAUCAUUCUUGGCUUCAAUUUACCCAACAGGUUCACAUACUGACACAUUACAUCUCUGAUAUAUAUCAGUGAGUAGUCGAGUACCUUUAACCGGUGAAUGAUCCACCACUUUAUCUUGCGAUGAGAGUGAUAUUUGCUUUUCAGGAACUUUGGCAGGAAACUUUUCUGCUGAGUUCAAAGAGUUUAGGACAGGUUUCUUUGAGAUGUCCCAACACCAUUCUUCAUUAUCCAUAAAAUACUCAUCUCUACUUAAGAUUAUAUUUUCAGUUUGCGGUUGGAAGACUUUAUAUGCCUUUGAAACUGCACUGUAUCCAAUAAAAAUGCUUGGAACAAAUUUCUUAUCUAGCUUGUCUCAUUUAACUUGAGGAACAUAGUAAAAACAAAGACAACCAAACACUUUAAUGAAGUUUAGUGAUGGUUUGAACCCAUACCAAUCUUUGAAAGGAGUUCGACCUCUCACCGCUUUUGUGGGAAACCUGUUUUGGAGAAAAACUAAUAUAUUUGCUGCUUCUACCCAAAAUUUCUUUGGCAAGUUCUUCUCGUGCAACAUGCAUCUGGUCAUCUCCAUUAUGUACCUAUUUCUUCUUUCACUUACUCCAUUUUGUUAAGGAGUAUACGUAGUAGUAAGCUGAUGAUGAAUCCCUACUUCCUUACAUAAGAUGUUGAAUUGUUGAGAAGUGUAUUCCUUUCCAUUAUCUGUUCGUAUCGACUGAAUUUUACAAGUAGCUUCAUUUUCUACUUUUGCUUUGAACUUCCGAAAGACAUUAGCAGCCUCUGACUUACGCUUGAGAAAGUAAAUCCAACGCAUGCGAGUUAGAUCAUCAACAAAAAUGAUGUAGUAAACACUACCUUUUAGUGAGGGAGUCCUUUGAGGUCCUGCUAUAUCGAUAUGAAUUAGUUGCAAUUUCUUUAACGCUCUCCAAGUUGUUUUUGGAAAUGGAAGUCUGCUUUGUUUCCCAUAUUGACAAUCAAGGCAAUUUGAAGAAUUCACUUCUAAGACAGGUAGGUCCUCGACUAUUUCUGCCUUAUGCAUUUUAAGCAACCCUUCAUAGUGAUAAUGUCAUAGUCUCUUGUGCCAUAUUUCUGCAACAUUUUCUUUGGCUGAAAAAUUCACAUGCUCCUCCUCAAAUGGAUCUAAUGAGAAACUUUUACCUCUCAUUCUUACUUUAAACAUUUCUUUGAUGCAUCCUUGAUUAAGCAAUGUUUAUCUUCAAAAUUUAAUUUGAAGUCGUUUUCCAUCAAUUGACCAACACUAAGCAAGUUCUGAUCUAUUUCAGGUACAUAAAGCACUUCAAAAAUUGUUUUUGUACCUGAGUGACUUGGAAUAACAACCGUUCCUUUUCCUUGUACAAGAAUAUAUUCACCGUUACCUAUUCUGACUUUAGUAAUGGUCAUAGGCUUCAAUUCCUUGAAGAGAUCCUUGUCGUUUGUCUUGUGAUUAGUACAUCCACUAUUAAUCAACCAACACUCACUUGAUGAUUUACUUGAAAAACAUGUAGCAACAAAGAGUUGAUCUUCCUCCUCUCCAUCCACGAUUUGAGCAUCUGCUUCUUGCUGCUGAUUUUUGUUCUUGCAAAUGACCGCUUCAUGCCCAAGUUGAUUGCAUUUACUACACUUAGAGUUAGGUCUUCUCCAACACUUGUAUGAUGGAUGGCCUUUCUUGUUACAAUGCUUACAUGGAGGAAAUUUUUUCUUUUUGUUUCCAAUUUUUCCUGUUGCAGUACCUGCUGGAGCGCUUUCAUCAUUCUUCUUGUUCUUCUUCUUUUUAUUUUUACCUCCAUAUUGAGGCUUGGCAAACAAUGCUCCCUCGGUAUUUCUUCAUCUCUCAUGACCUUUCGUUGUUCUUGAGCCUGCAAAGCAUUCAACAACUCCACCAAGGUGAUCUUGGACAGAUCCUUGGUGUUUUCCAAAGUAGUUAUGGUUGCUUCAAAUCUUUCCAGGGCAGUUACCAGAAUUUUUUCAACAAUACGAGAAUCAUUAAACACGGAACCAAGCAAUCUUACUCUAUUUGCUAUGUUCAGGAACCUUUCAGAGUAAUCUUUUAUGGUUUCAGUUUCUUUCAUCUUCUACAUCUCAAAAUCUCUUAUAAGACUCAAAACUUGCAUACCUCUGAUCCUCUCAUCCCCUUCAUAUUCUGACUUGAGUUAAUCCCAUGUCUUUGGCUGACUUUAGAGACAUAAUUCGAGUGAAAAUUGAAGAAGAUACUGCUGAAAAUAGACAGGCUUUUGCCUUUGAUUUUCUGGUUUUCUUGUCUUUAUGGUUCUUGAUCUGGGCUAUAGUUGGAUUGUCAGGCAAUGGAGGAAUUUCAUAAUCCUCUUCAACUGCCUCCCACAUAUCCAUGGCAUCUAGAUAAGUUUCCAUCCUUACAGCCCAAAUAUGAUAGUUUUCACCAUUAAAAACAGGUGGUGCCAUACUUGAAAAACUUGAUUCUGCUUCCAUGCUCCAUAAACUUGCCUUGUUUCAGUUAUUACUUAGAUGGAAACACCCACAGAUCCCUCAAGAAAUAAGUGCUCUGAUACCAAUUGUUAGUUUCCAGAGAGUGAAGAACAUAAGAAACUGAUUUUACAUGUUGAUGAACAAGUGGAACAUGAGUUUGAUAAGUUUAACAGAGAGAUAUUGAUGAAAGCAAAAACUACAGCUUUAUUGCAGAAUUAAAAUUAUUUAUAGGUUACAAUCCUAAAUGAAAAAAUAACCAACUCCUAAAGAUAAGGAUAAGGAUUAGAAACUAAUUUUACUGCUGACUAAUAUUAACUUCUAACAGAUAACAUAAAAAUUUAACUGCUGCAGCUCUUAUGCAUUUUUCUAACACUUUCGGUCACACCAAUGUCCUGAGAAGUAUUGUUUUCUUUUGAAGAGUUAAUAGCACUAGGCGAUCCUAGAGUAGACAUUUGCACAGUCUUCUUCAAUUCAUUAUCCGCAAUCUUCGUGAGUUCAUGAAAAUCUGAAGAGUUGAUUGCACCAGUUGGUCUUGGAGCAGACGAAGAUGUGUCGAUUGCAGAAGCAUUGGAUUCACUGACAGGAAGCAUGAUUAUUUGGAAGUGAAAGAUAAAGUAGGCGGAUAGUGUCCACAUUAUGCAAUUGCAGUGCAACACAAUCUGAAAACCACAGGGUGUCUCUCUUUAUAUAAAACAUAAUAUAUGCUUCUUCUGCCAAAACAAGAUCUUCGUGAACCCGAGAAAUCUAUGACAAACGAACAUAAUAUCAAGUUAGUUGUCGUUCAAGAAGCUUGGAAAAAUAGACUAUCAGUGACAUAUAACAGAGAAUAUGAUUGCACUAUUCUACGUACCGUUGAGUCAUCAAAUUUGUACCAUUCAUUGGGUUCAGCACAAAUGAAGCUGUAAUAGUGUCCCGAACUGGAUGUAGACCCGGCGUGCACUAUAACUGCAUAAAGAUCGUACUUCAUUUCUUCCUGUCAGAGACAAGUAAAAAUUGAAAAUAACAUCAUGUUACUACUAACAAAAUAUAAAGUAAAUGUACUAACAGAUACUCACAUUAUAGGAUUGGAUAUUUUCGAUGUAAGGAAGCAAGUCCAAUUCCAACGGAAAUGAAACAUGCUUGUCCACCUUUUGCACAAUGGAACUGUCAUUCUGGAAUCUCUUCAAAUGAAAGACAGCAACCAAAGGGGCAUUGUAUAGCAUCAGCUGCUUCUCAAUUGAGACUUGCACCUUACAUCUUUCACAAGUAUACUUGAGAUCAUCAAGUUUCUCAACUCUUGUGAACGACUCCAACACUGAAUGUAAGCUGUCGGCAUCUUUGAUCUCCAAGAUCACAUCUAUAAGAGGCUCGUAAGUAUUGGAGCAGUGGCCGCAGUUGUAACAGCGAAGCUGCAAUUUGAGAAAGAGAUAUUUAACAUUACAAACGUCAUAUUUUCAAGAUACAUAUGAAUAAUAAGAUAGUAUUCUAGUAUGCUUACCUUGCUGACAAGCCGGCCGCCAAAAACUUGUUGGACAAUGUCAUUACAUCGGCUUUCAAGCCUAUUGAGAAAGCAUUGCAAGAAUUCGUGAGCAUCUUCUUGCUGAUACUUACGGAAACCAGACGAAAAAUCUGUUAUUUUUUCACAAUGUUAAGGACCACAAACUACACAAACAUUAAUCAUCAUCCAUCCUAUUUUGCAAAUUAUUUUCUAUUCCACUCAUGUGUGUGUGCCAAAUGGGGAAUAUCUCGUUAAACCAUAAACAACACAUGACUGAGGGUACAACUCAAAUUGUCGACAAGUUUCCAAGGCGAAAGAGAACCACCAUCAUAAGCCAAGGAACUGCCAAUAAGCUCUUUGAAAACGCAAAUUAAACAGAAAUCAGCGUAACCUGCAACGACUAUACAAAAAAAGAAAUGAACAGAACAUCAAUAAUAACUCAAAAUGGAACAAAACAACAGAUAUCUUUGAGAAACAAUUGUCCUUACGAUCACAUGGCACAUGAGUGUUACGCAGAAGGAGGUCAAACAAAGGCACCGUGUGCAUGAAACAUUGCAAUACCGCAUUAAGAAAGCAUGUGUUGCCUAAGUUAACAAGUCCAGCACCCUGACAGAACAACAAAAAUGACAAAAAUAUGAGAAUCUUAACUGAUACAUUCAUACAAAUAUACACAGAUGAUAAAAAUAUAACAAGUUUGAUAUUUUGGAUUAAUUGAGAUGUUAUACAUAUAUACAUACAUUUAGUCGAGCUGUAUGAAGCUAGCUCGGACACCACAGUCAAUUAAAAUGCCAUAACAAAGACCAGAACAAUUAACUAAAAGUAGUUGGCAGAUGUAUAGCAUAUUAUAAUUCAUGUAUAACUAGUCUAUAAUUUAUGUAUAUAUUGAUUAUAAGAGUUCUAAAAGUCCAUACCUUGUAAGUUUUUAACACAUUAGGUGUCCACACGGGCUUAUUUUCUUAAUUUUCUCUUGCAAAAUCACACUUGGCCUCAAGUGACGAGAUGGGCUUGGCUUCAAAAUCACAUUUGGGCCCAAUUGAUGUAAUGGGCUUCACCCCAAAAUCACAUUUGGACUCAACUGCCUGGAUGGGCUUAACCUCAAAAUCAUAUUUGGGCCCAACUGAGGUAAUGGGCUUUACCUCAAAAUCAUAUUUGGGCCCAACUGAGGUAAUGGGCUUCACCUCAAAAUCACAUUUGGGCCCAACUGAGGUAAUGGGCUUAACCUCAAAAUCAUAUUUGGACUCAACUUAUGCAAUGGGCUUAGCAUCAAUUGGCCCAUCAUUAGCAGCAAACCAUUCUAAGUCCACUGUAUCUGAAUCAUCAUCAGAAGUAGAACUAUCAAUCCAAGGAUCAGAAUCAGAAGAUUCCACAUGAUGAGUUGAUUCUGGAGACGAACCAAUCAAAUCCUUGAAAGAAUCAACUGACUUAACACAUGUGUGUUGAUUUUUUUUGUUCUCCAUAAGAAAAGCAACAAAAAAAUGAUGAAAAUCAAGAUUCUUUUUUUGAAAAAAAAAAAAAUAUCAAGAUUUUUGUGUAAAGAAUGGGAUUCUAAGGCUUUUUAAGACAAGGGUAUUUUUUGUAAUGAUGAGGAAAACAACAUAUAGAAUGGGGGUUUAUAUAGAAAAUGAAAUCAAGAAAUAGGUUUUUUGUUUUGGAAAGUAAACUAAUAUUUGUCUUUUGUUACUGAAGUUUUGAAGGAUUUGGAAUUUUGAGAGUUGGUUGGAAGUUACUAUAUAGUGAGGAGUGGAUUUUCAUAAUUGAAUGGAUUUGAAAAGGGAGGGAAGGAAGCUAAAUCCUCAUGUAUAUACAUGUACAUAUCAUAUCAUAAAAAUAUAUAUCAUAUUACCUAAAUCUUCUCUUAUAUACAUAUCAUAUACUCUUGAGUUUCAUUUUACUUGGAUCCUAUAUUAAUAGUAAGUAAAUUUGCUAAGUAGGAAAGUUAGUUAAUUCUCAUGCAUACACAUAUACAUACCAUAUCAUAUAUAUAUAUAUAUAUAUUAUCUAAAUCCUUUCUUAUAAAAAUAUCAUAUACUCUCUCCGUUUCAUUUUACUUGGAUUAUCCUUUACUAAUAGCAAGUAGAUUUGCUAAGUAGGAAAGUUAGUUAAUUGUAGAUUAGGCUAAGUCUGCAUGCAUAAACAUGUACAUAACAGGGACUAUCAAAUAGAUAGAAAUAGAAGAUGAGUUUACCAGGGAAAUCAACUCAGUAUCUUUCAGGAAUUGGAAAUUGAGAUGGUGUCUUCGUCAACAAAGCUGCCAUUCUUUCGAUGUAGAUGGUUUUCAUUAUGCAUCCAGUUUAAAGAUGCUUCAUCCAACCUCUCCAUAUGCAUGCAUGGAAAUUUGAGGAGUUCAUAGCAUUAGGCGUUCCUGGAUUGGAUGCCUCAACAGUCUGUCUGCAACCAAAAAGAAAAUCUCAUGUUAGAUUUUUGAAAAUAGGACUUUCAUUCUCAUUAUAUUUAUUACAAAAAAGAAAAAGACUAGAUGGAGAAAUGGCAAAGAUGAAAUAUGGACUAUGGACACUUUGAAGGACCAAAUGAAAUUAAGUUGUGGACAGGGAACUUUAGAGAGGCAAAUCAACUAUUGUAUGAACAAAAACUAUAAGUUUGAAUGACUAAGUUAUUUAGAAACCAAUAUGAAUUGUGAUAGGAUAGUUAAUAUUCAAUUUAUGUGCGGAAAGGCAAUUUUUUUAGCCAAAAUUUCCGAGGGGACAUUUCCUUUGAAAAUAUACUAAAGGAGACAAAAAGCUCGAUCGGGUUUGAGCGACUUAUCCCUGUCCUUAACAACUCUGCCAGAAAAGACAGCUGGCUGUCAAGAAGUUGCACAUCAAAAAUAUGAAAAUAGCCAAAAGAGGAUGUUGAGAUAAAUGUGUGAACAUACUUGAAAAUACAGAAUUAGGAACAAAGAUAUCAGGGACAAGGUAAGAGUGGUCUCUGAUAUGGACAAGAUGAGAGAAUAAAACUGAAAUUGUUCAGACAUGUGAAGAAGAGAUGCACACAUGUCUCAGUAAAGAGGUGUGAGAGGUCAAUUAUAAUGGGUAUAAGGAGAGGUAGAAGUAGGCCGAAGAAGGAUUUGGAAGAGGUAAAUUAAACAAGACAUGGCUGAUCUACAGCUUACCAAGAACAUGACUCUGGGUAAAAGAUAUGGAGGCCGGAGAUUAGAAUAAAAGGUUAAUAGGUACUAUUUGUUAUUGCUACGAUUCUAUUCUUCAUUGUUUUUAGUAUGGCUUCUUCAUUACUGUAUUUGUUUCACAUACUUGACUGAACCAACGGUAUAUUAGAAACAACCUCUCUACUUUAUCCACAAUCUUGUUGACUUCAUGGGAGUCUGACAAAUUUAUAGCACCAGUUGGUGCAUGAAUUCGUGAGAAUCUUCUUGUCGAUACCUACAGAAGAUAGACUAAGAAAUCUUAUAUUGUCACAAAGUUAAGGACCACAAACAACACAACCAUUCAUCAUCAUCCAUACUAUUAUGCAUAGUAUUCUCUAUGUACUUUGUUAUGAAUUGGACAGAAUAAAGAAAACCACAAGCAAAAAGAAAAGACAAGAACACACAAAUUUACGUGGAAACCCUUGUGGGAAAAACCACGGACAGAGGCAAAGGAAUUUCACUAUGAAAGGAAAGGAGUACAAUGUAGAGCACGACGUAAUUUCUGAAUGUUCAAAACCGACCCACUAAUUGCACUUAUAUAGUAUGUGCGUACAAAUAGGUCCUAGGGCCAAUCCUACGCUACCACCACAGACCCCAUUAAAAAUCACAAACAUGGAUGCAUCGCGAAACUUUCAAGGCUGGAUCACCAAAAUUUGGGUCACAACUCUAGCAAUUUCCCACUUGACAUGAAUUCUGAUUUAAAAUUCAAAUUCAUUUCACGAAAACUCUCCACCUCUUCUACAAAAGCCCUAAGGGCACAUCUUAACAACUAACACCAACCAAGUCCAAGCAAUGCUCAAACUUGGCACUUGGUAGUGUCUUGGUCAUCAUAUUAGUAGGGUUAUCAUGGGUACUAAUCUUGCUUACCACAAUAUCACCAUGAGUUAUAAUUUCACGCACAAAAUGAUAUUGUACAUCAAUGUGCUUUGUCCUCUCAUGAAGCAUCUGAUCUUUUUUAAGGAAGAUCGCACUCCAACUAUCACAAAAGACCGUAGUAAUCCAAAAGUCUUUGCUAAGUUCACUAAACAUACCAUUCAAUAAAAUAGCUUCCCUGAAAGCCUCUGUAAUAGCCAUGUACUCUGCCUCAGUAGUUGACAAAGCAACCGUAGUCGGUAAAGUAGCUUUCCAACUGAUAGCACAACCACCAAUGGUGAAAAUAUAUCCUGUAAGGGACCUCCUUUUAUCAUGGUCUCCUGCAAAACCAGAAUCAACAUACCCAAUCACUCCAUCUCUAUUUUGCCCAAAUUGUAAAAAAAACAUCAGAAGAUCUAUGCAAAUAUCUGAAAAUCCACUAAACUGCUUUCCAAUGUUCUUUGCCAGGAUUUGCCAUGUAUAUUCUAACUGCACAGACAACAUAUGUUAAAUCUAGUCGGGAACACACCAUCGGAUACAUAAGAGACCCAACGGCACUAGAGUAUGGAACUCGAGACAUAUAGUCACGCUUAUCAUCUGUAUUUGGAGAUAAAGUGGAUGAGAGUUUGAAGUGAGCUGCCAAUGGAGUACUGACAGGUUUGGCAUUUCGCAUAUUGAACCUGUGAAGCACUUUCUCAAUAUACCUUUUCUGACUCAAGUAUAACUUACACUUUUCUCUAUCCCUCAGACUUUCCAUGUCAAGAAUUUUCUUUUCUGCUCUUAGAUCCUUCAUCUCAAACUCCUUUCUAAGUUGGGUUUUGACUUUUAUUAUCUCUCUCAUAUCCUUUGCUCCAAUCAACAUAUCAUCAAUACACCACUUUCCUCCUUGAAGUAGACACAGUUAUCAUAACUACUCCUCCAAAACAUAUGAGAGGUCAUAAAAGAGUCAAACCUCUUAUACCAUUGUCUGGGCAACUGUUUUAAGCCACAAAAAGACUUUUUCAGCAAGCAUAUUUUUCAGGAAGCAUACAUAGUCCUGAUUUUCUGAAACUACAAAGCCCUAUGGUUGCUGCAUAUAGAUGUCCUCCUCAAGUUCUCUAUGUAAGAAUGCAGUUUUGACAUCCAAUUGCUCAAACUAAAGAUUAUGCAUGGCCACAAUACCAAGAAAGGCUCGAAUCGAACUAUGCUUUACAACUGGAGAAAACACAUCUGUGAAGUCAAUACCUUGAACCUAACUGUAACAUUAAGAAACUAGUCUUGCUUUGUACCUAGCAUAUUCAACUCCCAAUGUUCCUUAUUUCCCUUUAAAUACCCACUUGUAAAGGACAACUUUGUUAUCCUUAGGUAAUUUCACCAGAUCUAAUGUGCCAUUCUUAUGAAGUGAUUCUAUCUCCUCCUGCAUAGCAAUCAUCCAUCGGCCGAAAUUAUCACACCUAACUACCUCUGAGUAAGAAGAAGGUUCUUCAUCAGAAUCAAUACCUUCUGCUACAUUCAAUGCAUAAGCAAUCAAAUCAGCUUCAACAUACUUCUUAGGAGGUCUGACCCGUGUUUAGCAGUAAAAUAUUGUAGGAUCACUGGUGGUGAAGAAGAAAUAGUAUCACUUUGUAGCUCUGGGCUAGAUUGAGAAGUAGGCACUGGUGUACGCUCUACUCCAAUUUGUAAUUCAACGUGGGUGCUUGACUUUUGCUGAUUUAUGUCACUAAGCUCAUCUAGAGGAAAAACACUAGAUUCGGAGGGAGCUCGAAGCAUGGGAGUUUCAUCAAACAUAAUAUCCCAGCUAAUUAGAACCUUUCUUCUUUCUGGACACUAAAGCUUAUAACCUUUAACACCAGGCUUAUAACCCAUAAAUAAGCACUUGACAAUUUUAAGUUCCAACUUUCCAUUAUCAACAUGAGCAUAAUCCAGACAUCCAAAUAUCCUUAAAUUAUAAUAACUAGCAAGAGUACCAGACCAUACCUCUUGUGGAGUCUUUUUAUCAAUUGUGAUUGAGGGAGAGCGGUUAAUAAGAAGACAAGCUGUGGAAGCAGCUUCAACCCAAAAAUAUUUGGGUAAACCAGCAUUAGAGAGCACACAAUUCACCUUCUCCAUUAUAGUCCUAUUCAUUCGUUCGGUCAUACCACUUUUCUACAGAGUAUGACGAAUUGUUAAGUGCCUCACAAUUCCUUCUGAUUUGCACAACACAAAACAUUAGAUUCAUUAGAACAGAACUCUAAACCAUUAUCAGUCCGAAGGUGUUUUACUUGUUUCCCUAUUUGUUUCUCAAUCAUAGUCUUCUACUCCUUGUAAGUAGGCAACACUUCAUUCUUUUGCUUCAGGAAGAACACCCAAACUUUUCUGGAAUAAUCAUCAAUAAUAGUCAAAAAAUAAUUAGAACCUCCUCUAGAAGGUACUCUAGAAGGACCCUAGAGAUUAGAAUUAAUGUAAUCAAGUGUGUCUUUAGUUGAGUGGAUGCCUUUAGUGAAUCUGACUCUCUUCUGCUUCCCAAAAAUGCAGUACUCACAGAACUCCAAUUUGGUAAUACUCUGGUCAUCAAGAAGUCCUCUCCUGCUAAGUGUUAGGUUCAAGGUGUAUAUGUGAAUGGAAAAUUAAGAGAAAAUAGUGGAGACAAGGGAGACACCAAUUCGAAAAGUGUACUCCCAAAUUAGAAAGUUCACUAUUUCUCCCACAUUGGUGGGAGAAGAGAACUUGUAAGUGUUUAUAAUGAAAAACACUAACUCCACAUGGAUAGAGAAGAAAGAACUAGGUGAUGCCUCACUCCAUCAUCGUCUCUCACUUGGCUCAAAUUUGGAUUUGAAAAAUGAUCGUAGAUCUAAUUUUUUAGACAAAAUUUAUUUGGAACUUGUUUACAAGUGAACAUUUAAUCCAAAAUCUGGUAGUACUAAUUUUCUCCAAAUGGAUGCCAUUCCAACGCAUACGCAACACACAUGACAAAGGGAUAUGACCCUUCGAGAAAAAAGGCACACUAUUUUGCAUUGUAGGGUGACAUGUGACCGCAUAUGCAGUGCAGGUAUACGAACUAUGGCACAGACGUAGUGCAGUUGCUCACUGGAAUCUGCAAAAUGUCACAUGCGGCCAUAGUUCAAGCGCAUCUCCAGUGAAGUUCGCAGGGAUGUGAGUGCUGCUGAAAAGGUGCCUUUCUGCUGUACCAAUACAUCCUUUCUAAAAAGAUACAAUUUAGGCUAUAAAUACUUGAUAUUUUCCUCAGGUGUUGGUAUCAAUUUUAACAGCAAAAACUCUUUUUUUAUUAACAAAAACUCUAUGUGAUCAUUAAGCUAUUGAGUGAGCAUUGAAUCCAACAAUUUGAGGUACCGCUAUUGUUCAGAUUGAAGGCCAUUUUAUCCUGGGAGGAAGAUUCCAUAACCUCGGGUACAGUGAGGGAAAUUAUUCCUUAAGGACACUCCAUGAUGUCGGGGUACUUGACCUUAAAAUUCUUUUUCAUCUUUUUUUCGGAAAUUUAACACUUUUUUUGGAUAGAUUAUUCAUAAUCUUUUAUUGAAGGUGUUAAGGAACUUCAUAAGUGUUCUUGUUUUGUACAUAAACUUGUGGUGAAGUUAUUGUUGCAUUUAUAUAGAUUCUUUUACCCAAAAUACAUACAAGAUAACUAUAACACCCUGCAAAAUUCUCUCCUAGUCUGAGCCUUAGAGCGUGUUGUGUGAAGCGAAAAUUUGAUUCUAGAGAUUUCAGAAGUGUCUUCCCAAGUGUGAAAUACUUUGAACCGUGUAGAAUUUCCUUACUAUCAAAUUUUUAUCAUGUAGAUCAUUGAAUAAGAUUUCCAUCGAUACCAAUUUCAUCAAAAUCUGACAUCGAACGAGCGCGUUAUGGCCAUUUUACUGAAAAUAGUUGGAUUCAGAUUUUUCCAGGUGCGAUGGGGUGGUCCGAUGGACCAUCGAGCAUGUGAUGGACCUUUUACCUCCAUUGUUGCAAUGUUACAGUGAGCCCUCCCUCUUGUUAUGUGUGACAGAGUGGUUCGACAGACCGUCGACCAUGCGAUGGACCGUUGACCUCCACUGUUGCAAUGUUACAGUGAGCCCUCCCUCUUGUUAUGUGUGACCAAGUGGUUCGACAGACCAUCGACCAUGCGAUGGACCAUCACACUCCACCGUUGCACCAAGGCAGUGCGAGUCAGUUCUGGUCCUGUGCGACGAAGUGGUCCGACGGACCAUCGCAUGUCCGGAUCAGUAAUUUUUAGAUUUUUUUAAAAGGGCCUUGUGGUCUUUUCUCACUCUUUUUCAGCCCCUAUAUAUACCCGAUAAAGGCUCACAACCUUAUUUCUCCUCUUCAACACCAAAAACUAGGGUUUCUACAAAAUCAAAACCCUUAUUUCUUCUUUAAGCAAAAUCAAUAGAGAUCAAGAGAAAUCAAGAAUCUCUCCAAGAGAUUUCAAGAAUAAAGUUUCCCCAAGGUAUGUAGAUGUUGAUUCUUGGGUCCCUUUCAUCCAAGAAGCUCAAGAACCCUUUUUAUAAAAUUUAAAGAUCUUGUGUUUAUGGGUUUUUAUGAUUCAUGUGAGUUGAAAUUGAUGUUCCUGCUAUGAUUGAGUUGAGAUUCAUGGUUGUUUACAAGUUUUUCAAGCUUUGACCCUAGUAUGUCGAAUUCAUGUGAUGUUUAUCAUAAACCCUCUUCAAGUUGCUUUCUAUGUGAUGUGUUCAUAUCAAUUAAGUGUAGAAAUGGUUGAAUAAGCAAAGCAUGCUCCCUAUAUGUUUGAUAAAAUGCUCAAGUGAAGGGAUUAGGGUCAUUAUAUCAUGUUGAUUAGGAAACCCACAAUUGUGUGCAAGCCCAUGCAUGCCAAGUAUUUGUUGAAAUGCCUUAGUGAAUGAAUUGUGACAUCAUAGCAUGAAAUACCCAAUAAGGUGUAAACCUAUUCAUGCCUAGUGUUUGUUGAAAAGCCUUAGUGAACGAGUUGUGACAUGAUAGUAUGAAGUUUCCCAAAACAUGUGUUAUCCGAUACAUGCCAAGACUAACAUACGUGCGAAGUACUAUAUGCAAGACCUUGUUGAAUAGAGUAUGAUCCAAUAGCAUGUUCCCCCUACACUAUUACAUGUUUAUGAUUCCUAAAUGCUUGAGGAGGCACCUUAGUGAUUGUGAUGGUGAAUGUAGACACCUAAUUUUGUCCCUCCAAAAAAUUAGUUUUCUCAUUUUUUACUUUAUCCUACCAUGUACCCUCACCCAUGUAAUUAUACCUGCAAAAAUACAAAAUAACAAAAAUUCAAUAAAUCCCUAGCCUUAUCCUAACAAACUUUAUCCUAUACCCUACCACCUAACCCACGUCACCCCCCUUAACCUCAUGCACGUGUUUUUCUAAUCUUUUCUAUAACAAAAAGGAAGAAAACAAAAAAAAAAAAAGAGGGUCCCCACAGAAGAUGUCAUAUCCCUGACCAUUUUAUCAUAUAAAAUAUAUAAACACCUUCUUCUCACAGAAACGUGGGGACCUCCAUAGACCUUCAUGGAAUGAAAUAAGGGGAACCCAUGUGCAUACAAGACCUUCCCAGAAUACCCACCCAUAAACAAAAUUUUCCACCCAGCAACAUGAUUGAACAGACAUACCCUUUUCUUCAUAUAUCAAUACAUACACAUCAGGGAUAAAAUGAAAAAGGAGAUACUCAAUCACUUGAUUCUCUUUCAUUCACCACCGUACACCCAUAUACUACACUCAAAAAUCUCGCACACACACACACAUAUCAAACAGAGAGACAGGUGGAGAGUAGCGAAGGGAGAGAGAGACUAGAUCGAGAGGCACUGUGGGUUAGCACUUUCAGGCGAACUCAUCGCCAAAGGGACUGAUUUGGUCAUUUUCUGUUUCUAUGGGCUAAAAAUCCACUACGUUCCGAAUACAUUCUAAAAUCCCUAUAUUCCUCUUUGAUUUCUGAGUUGGAUCCGUCAGAAAACAACAAGGUUCAUUGGAAACCAUCUCGGGUUGUCGUUCUCUGCAUUCAUCUCAGCUCAUCGGAGCUUAAGCCACAUUAUUUUAGUCUUUAUUCUACAUUUCUGAGGCUUUGGGUUCGUCUUCCUCUCGGUUCAUUUUCGAUACCGUGCAUUGGGGUUUUUUUAGGUUUGUCUGAUUUUGUAUUCUAUCAUCGGGAUCGAGCUUUGGGGAUUCAUCGAUUUUUUCCUGUUUUGGGUUUUUAUUCUUGGUUGAAAUCAGAUCAGUUGGUACUCUUGGAUUAUUGGUUUGGUGAGUUCGUUGUUGGGGUUCCGUGUUGGAGGCUUUCGGUCUCGGACUUCUUUAUUAUCUAUGAGAACGUUCUAUUGAGGUCCAUUUUUUUAACCCGUUCUUUUCUUCAUUUUGAUUGAUUGCAUUGUCUAUGGUUACGUGUUGGUUGAUUAUGAUGACUUGAUUUCAUUGAUAUGAUUUGGUUGUUUAAAUUCGUUACUAAAAUGAGCAUGGAUUGUUGAAAUGGUGAUUGCUAUUUGUGGCGUUUAGAAUGGAUUUGGGUCAGAAAUCAAAAAUUGAUAAAAGUGAAUAUUAUGGUAUUUUGAUUCAUUGUUGAUGUUGAACGUUAUAUGUCAUCGAGCGGGUAGGCAAACGAUAGGCUCGGGUAGGCAAAAUUUAAAAUUGGUGGAUUGUUGGAAUGUUUGGAAUAUUUGUUGGAUGUUUCCUAGUUUAUCGCAUGAAAUUGACAUUGUAUUCAUUUGCCGGGGAAUGCCCCAAAGGAAUUGUAUUUGUUCACCGGGGAAUACCCCAAUGUACUAUGUUGGUGGAAGGCGUUCGAGAGGAAGGCCCGAGGCGUCGGGUAAAGCGCGGGAGCAUAUUUAGUAUUAGUAUAGAUUAGAUAGGAUUUAUCUUAGCAUUUUUCUAUUUUGGACUGUAUAAAUUGGACUGGACACUAUAUUUUGAUUCGUUUUGUUUUGUCUAUUUGUUUGCUUGUUUUACGUGUUUUGUAUGGUUUGUACAUUCAUAGUGUCUAAUUAGCCGUUACGCUCCACCAAACGACCAUGGUCGAACCAUGGGAUCGAGGGGUGCCUAACACGUUCCCCUCAGUCAAUAGAAUUUCUUAGACGGAAUCUCUGUUUGCAAAUCAGUUUUAUAAGAGUCAAAACAAUUUUGAAAAGGAUUUUCCAAAGGUGACUUGGCACACCAAAUUAUGUCAAUUGGCGACUCUGAGUUUAAAUGUAAAUAAUCCUUUUCGAAACAAAAUCUUCAUUUUUUUCACUUUGAUAAUAAAAACCCUUUCAAACUUUAAAAUAAAAUUAAUUUUUUUGGAGUUAAAAAAGGGGUGUGACAGAUCUAGUGACUCUGUUGGGGACUUUACAGAAUUUGAGCUUAUUUUGGAGUUGUAUCGUCUUAGUUUGGCACUAUAGGUGUAUAGACAUUUUUUUGUGUUGUUUUGUGUUAUUGUUUAUCAUUGUUGAGUUCCUGCAUGCUCUUUGUUCACAGUUUUUACUUUAUAUGUUACCGCUUUAUAUCUGGCAUCAUGUGCAUAACACAAGUCUUUCUUUCUGCAACAAGUCCAUAGUACACAUGUGUACACGACCUAUAGUUGAGUCACCCUUAUUUUAGGAGGGGGAGCUGUUGGGUUGUAUGGAGUAGGUGGACAGCUAAAGCAAUCCACUAUCGACCAUAUGCUCCCCCGAACACCUUAUUAGUGGACCCCAGCGUAGGUCGGCCUUUAGGUCAUGCUUAUCUGCAUCAUAUUGAGAUCUAGCGGGACCCACGUGGACCUUUGUAGGAGACUCACCUCUAAAGCAUCCAUACGUGCUAAACGUUGCAUCUUUGAGGGUAACGUGGUCAUUUGACGGACUGAUUUGGGGAAAGCAGGUGUUAGAAGUAAAGGACGUACGCAAGAAUUGUUGAAAAAAAUAGAUGAACAAGUGAGUCGAAAAGAAAAAAAAGAGUUUCGUAGUUCUUAGAGUUUUUUUAUGGCUUUUGUUUUUCACAAUUCAAAAAUUCAAAAAGAUUUUUUUUAAACUUUCGCACUCAUUUUCUCAAAAACAUCAAAAAGAUUCUCCUUUGUCUCGUUUAACAUGCAUUCACAAUUCGAAAACUUCAAAAAAAAAAAAAUUUAUUCAUAGGAGUUUUUAUUAAAUAAAAAUGCAAAAAAAGAUGUUAGAAAUUUUUUACAUUUCGUAUAACGAAAAUACCAAAAAGAUUUUUCUUUCAUAGUUAAUGAUAUCAUUUUUCUGUGAAGUGACAAAAUGAAAACUCAAAAGAUUUUAUUAACGUGGUUCAUCGUCCGUCUUUGGUUGUAUCUCUUAAAUCAGGGUCUAUCUUGUUAUUUAAUCCUUAAUUGUUCAAUCUGGACGAACUACGGACCCCUGAUUCUCCUCUUUCGGGAGUGAGAUACGUAGCCUAUUGUUGGUUCGGGGAUCUUAUAUGAAAAAAAUCCAAAAAGAUUUUCUUAACUCUUUAUUUAGAGUAAGUGUUUCAUGUACAUCUUUAAAAGAAAACUGCAAAAAGAUUUUCCUUUAAUAGGUUCAGUGUAACACCCUGUAUUUUCAGGCUAGAGUUUAGACCGUCGUUCCUACGUAUAUAGACCCGAACUGAAUUAUUCUUUAUUAACAUAUGUGUGGUAAUCACUCCUAUCGUAAUGCCCCGUAAAAUUCUCGAGUCGAUUUUAUUUUUAGUGUUAAGUUUGAGGGGCUAACAACUAGAAUAUUUUUCUAAGUGUAGAAUUAAGACUUAGAUUUAUUUUUAACUCUUAAUCUUCGGGAUACAACUUUUCAACCUUCCUGACAUCCAUUUUUAGAUUUUAAAGUUGCAUUAUGAUUGGUAAAGCUCAUAGUACGUCUCGGAUAAGUUUCAGAAUUUUUUGGAAUGCAUAAGGCUGCGCUUGGAUUUCAAAACAGUAGCAAAACGCAUAGCCUAUUGCCCAGUUUUCAGCAUUUUAGGGUCAACUUCAAACGAUCAUAACUCUCUGAAUAUAAUGGACUAGGAGAGCUGCUACUUAUCAAAUGAAAUAUAUUUGAGUCUUAUUUCCAAUGCAACUAGUUUCAUCCAAAUCCAAUAGCUGAGUAAUGAGUUAUACCUAUUUUACUUCAGCCUGUCAGCUCGUCAACUGAGGGAUAGUUUCGACUUUGUUUGUUUUCUUAGGGGUAUUUUAGUCAUUUCACCUCACCCAAAUUUAGUAUAUAACAUCAGAUUUAGCCCCCAAUUCAUCAAAAUAUAAUCCUUUUCUCAAAUUUUCUCUCAAGAACACUCCUUAGGGUUUCAAAAUAAAAACCCAAGCAACUCAAAAUUCAACCGUGGGUUUUCAAAACAAAUUGAAGAUUUGGAAUCCCCUUAACGUAGGCUUCAAGAAGCACCUAAUAUUUUCACAUAUAGAGGUACGUGGGGUUAUCCUAAAAUUCUCAUGGGCUUUAAAAAUUCAUGUUUUCAAAUGGGGGUUUUGAAAUUACGAAUAUGAUUAUGUUUUAAAUGUUUUAUGAUAUCGAUUUGGUCUUUAGGCCUAUUCCCAAAGUGUUUUGAUAUAUGAUAUAUGUAUAUGCAUGUAUUCCAAAAAGAUGUUAACUUGAGAGCAUGAAUUAUAUGAAAUCCCUCUCUUGAUAUGAUUUUGUUUAAUAUUUCCAUAUGAUGUGAACUAUUUGAAAUCAUAUUGAAAGGCAUGACAUGAAAUGUUUUGAACAUUGUUAUGAUUUGGGCAUGAUUUUUGACUUACCAUGCGAGGGUUAUCAUGUUGAAAUAUGUUGAAUAAAAUGGUUGCAUGAUAGAAUGAUAUGGCAUUGAUGGCUUGAAAGUCGGGUAUGACGAUACCCUACAGAGUAUGUUAUGUGAUUGAAUUAAUGAAGUUUGAAUGCAUUGAUUUUCAUGAGAAAGGUGGAUACCCGAAGAAGGCGUUUGAGUGCAAGGGCUCAUCGCUGGAAACCGUAGUUGCCGAUGUGGGUUAUAUGAUAUUGUAUCCUACAUGGGAGGAUUAAUAAAAUUAUUUGGGGGAUCUCACAUGGGGGAUUCCCGCGGUGUGCUCACAUGGGGGUAUCACUGGCUCCAAAUCCUAGCGGAUACUUGGAUUGGAGGCUCGGCCGUCGAGCUAAAAGGUGGAUUCCACAUAAACGUGGAAUUACAAAUUGUAAGGUAUUCCACCUAGCUCAAAUACAUUGCAUUGGUGUUGAAAAAUCAUUACAAUAUGCCCAUGUGUUUUCAAAUUAUUUGAUAUGAAACUGCUUUAUAAUAGCUCUCACCUAUAUUUGGUAAAAAUAUUAUAUUUUGUUUUGAUAUCUCUGCGUACCAGUACUUUUGUAUUGACCCCCUUCCUCCCAGGUUCGGAGGCACAGUCUAGGGGUCCAGAAAAUCAGUAGAUUCCUCAGACAGUGUUGCAGAGUCACUUGGUGAGCCUUCUAUAUUUCAGAAGGCCGAAUAUCUGACAGUUUCAUUUAUCAUUUAUUAGUUUUGGGUCUACUGGGGGCCUUGUCCCAGUUUUUCAGAUAGUUAUUUAUUUCAGUCAUGUAGUAGAGAUUUCGUAGACGUUAUCGAGAUGUUGUUUGAGAUUGUGGGACAUUAUUUCCUAUUAUUGCUUUCAUUUGAUUCUUGACCAUGUUUCUGUAUUAUUGUUUAUCUUAUGCAUUUCUAUCAUCAUAUGAAUUAUGUGCAUGAUUACCAAACAAAUAGGGGUGUUUUGGGCAUUCAUGGUUCGAAAUGCUCGUCACGGCUAGGGCCUCAGUUCGGGUCGUGAUAUUCAGGUUUCAUUUUCAUAUGAAAUUUAAAACUGAAACCUCCCCCCUAAAAAAAGAAAAAAAAAAGAAAGAAAACAAAGAGUUCAAUUGGCCAUUUUGGCAAGACUUCACGAACUACGCACACCUGAUUCUCCCCUAUCGGGGGUGAGAUACGUAGGCCCCCUUCUUGGGUUCGGUGAUCUUUUCAAAAAAAAAAAGAGGUUUUGAAAAAGGUUGAAUUCUAACAUAUUUGUUGCCUUUUGUUCAGUUAGUUUAAGGUGGUUGGUUUGUGGCUUCCUGGAUGGUCCUCUAUAUCACACCAAAUCCAAGGAAGGUUUAGUUGUGUCCAACAAGGAUAUAGAGAGUGACACCAUGGAUGAAACAAAGAGUCAGGAAAUUAAGAGUUUAAAAGAAGAUAGAAUUUGAGAUUGAGACAACAAAUGAUGGAAAUGUACCGAGCUUGGGCCAGUGGGCUUCCUCCACCUCCAUUCCCCACUUUUGACCCUGCAAAUACCUUUAGUCUUCCAUCGAAAUCUCAAAGUCAGUUUCCUACUGUUGUUGGUGCCACAGCAUGCCUCAGAAUUCAUUCCACAUCAAAUGCACCUCAAUACUUCCACCAUCUUUCUUUAGCACCUCAGUAUAAGUCGACUACAUUCACAACACCACAUACCGUCUGUGCUUUUGUUGCUCAACCUUCUACUAAGACUUCCACUUUGGCUAUCAAUCCAAUGAUUUUGCUUCCCUAAUCAACUAGUGAAUCCCCGUUCAAUACUCUUGAUGAUCAUUGUUAUACUCUUGAGCCUACCGUUAAAUUAAGUGGACUGCCAGAAUUUCUUACUAAGAAGCCUAGUAUGCUAGAAGAGCUAGAGAAAGUGGUUGGGAAAGUUAAGAGUGUAGAAAAUAAUAUGAAAAAUUCCCCUGGACUUAUGGGCUAUGAAGAUGUUUCAUAUAAAAACUAGGGCAAGUCUUCAAGUGUUAACCUUCCUCCCAGCUUUAAGACAUCAAAAUUUGGGGAGCCUGAUGGACAGAAGGAUUCGAUGAAACAUUUGGGACGACAUUCCAAUCAACCAAGGGAAACUGAAGGAAAGAAGAAGGAAAACGCACCUAUUGUCAUGCCAGGGCCAAAGCAGAGUUUGAGAGGUCCAACCCACCAAUACUAUCAGCCUCAAUCCUAAGCUUACAUAUUAGAUCCACAUAACUAGUUGCAACAAAGUUUCUUUCCCCAAAAUCCAAGAAAUUCCAUUCCACUUCCUUAAUAUCCUUUGAACAAUGCACAAUUGUAUGAUUAUCCAUCUUCUUAUCCACAACGGCAUGCACCUAUACCUCAACAUCAUCCUCGACCCCCACAAAUUUACCAAGGAGCCUCCAAAUCCAAGUUUCAUCCAAGGCCAGAGUUCGCAAAAAGGAGGAAGGAAAAAGAUAAUUUCACUCCUAUUGGGGAAUCCUAUGCCAGUUUAUCCCACAGAUUGGUACAGUAGGGCAUGAUCACUCUUCUCCUUGGGUAUACUUUUGACCCAUAUUCAAGAAGUUUUGAUCCUAAUGUAAGAUGUGCAUAUCAUUCUGAUAUUCAGGGUCAUAGUAUUGAAGAUUUUCGUGCUUUGAAAAGAGAAACUGAAAAGAUGAUUCAAGAUAAAUCAAUUAUGGUGCAGAACAUUGACAAUGAGGAAAGCUCUAGUCAUGAUGAUAUGCAAACCAGUGGUUAAGAUGUCAGAGAAAUUGAGAAGUCACUCCUCCCUACUAGGAAGAGGUCUGGUGGUUUGUUUUGUUUUAUUUUUUGUUAUCCGAAUUAUUUUAGGGUUGUAGUUCGAGAUCUAUCUUGUUUUGUCCCUUUGUUGUUAUGUUCAAACCCUUCUAUCUUUCAUUUUUUUAAAUAAAGUAUCCCAUUUUUCUUUGUGUUUUAAAUAUAUGUUGUUUGUUUGUUUUCUUUACUUAGUACAUUUUAUGUUGACUCUAGUGACAUGGCAUGCUAGUAAAAUUUACAGCCAGAUCUUAAAAUCCAGUUUAAGCAUGAACAUUGAUCAAAGGGUUAAAGUUAGAAAAGAGAGUAUCUGAGAAAAUAGAUAGAGUGUUAGGGCAUUUGGUGAUCAAGUUGAAGCCUUCUUUGAAAAUUAAGGCUAUUAUUUUGAGAAUCGUGAGAAUAACUUGGUCACCAAUUGAAAGACAUAUCUUAAUUAGGUCAAGUAGUGAAUGUGUGAUCCUAUGUCAAAACAAAAAGGAAGAAAAUUAGCUCCACGAAGUCAUGAGUCCUUCAGCAUGAGGAAUGUACAACAAAGUGAAGUUGUAUGUUGGGCAAGUGUAGAAAAAGAGGUGGAACACAUGCUCGGGGAAAGUUAGUGUUGUAAAAUAUUUCAUAAGUGAUCUUGAUCGUGCACUUUCGUAUUGCAUGCUAUGUACUAGCAGUCCAUACCUCUACUUCCUUAGAGGUAGAGGUAUGGACUGCAUACAUCUUACCCCCCCCCCAGACCCCACUAGGUGGGAAUACACUGGGUUUGUUGUUGUUGUUGUUGUUGUUGUUGUUGUUGUUGUUGAUAUUACGAAGGCAUUUCAUUCUGCUAUCCAAACAUUGUGUCAUCUUUUGUUUACCCCAUUUGGGACUUAGUGUUAUUAUAUUUCAUACCCCUCUUUUGGAAUCAAGAUAGAGUCAAUAAAAUUCAAAAAAAAAUGUGUCGAAAAAGGAAGAAAAAAUGAGUGUCAAGAAAAAUAAAGUCAGAAAAGUCCCAAAGAGAAAAAGAGUCAACAAAAGAAAAAAAAUAGAAUCAAGUGAAAGAACAAGAUUCCAGAACUACACAUGGCCUGAUUCUCCUCUUUCGGGAGUGAGAAACAUAGGCUACCCUACUCGGGGCUCGGUCCAACCAAAUAAACAAUUUAGAAUUGCCCAGUCAAAAGAAACUGGGGCAUAAGUUAAUCCUCAUUGUUUAAGUCGAUUCCAAAAGUUGCAAGUCCUACCCCACUUUGAGUGUUGUUUGGGCCUCAUGUCAUCCUUUUUUUCUAACCUUAUCCAAAAAUAAGUUACAAUCAAAGAAAGUCCUUCAGAUCAAUCUUUGAUAAUAUUAAGGCUAAGCAUGCAAUGGAUAUGAUAUGCAUUUUGGGGUACUACUUGUCUUCCUUAGAAUAAGAAAUCAGGAAAGAAAUAAAAAUAAGAGAGUCUUAUUGGUGAAAUCCCCACGGGCCCCAUAAGAUGAUGGUAAGUUGAGAGAGAUAAAAUGAGAGGGUCUUAUCAGUGAAAACCCUCACGAACACUGUAAGACGACUGUGAGUUGAGAGAAAUGAAAAUAAGAUUAAUCUUAUUGGUGAAAAACCCUCUCGGAUACCAUAAGGCAAUGGUGAGGUGAUAAAAAGAAAUGAGAGAGGCUUGUUGGCGAAAAUCCUUCAAGGCACCACUAGCUGAAUGAGGUCUCUAAAUACAAUUAACUCAACAACAAUUUGUGAGAGUUUUGGAUGGAAAGAUCAGGCAGCUUUAUCCAAAAUGCAUGGCAUAAUCAUUAGAGUUCACUGUUAUUUUUAAAUAAAUUUUUGUUUCUUUGUUUCAAAAGGGGACAUUCAUUGUCUUUUCUUUCUUCUGUUUAUUUUUGUUUUAUUUUUCUUGAGUCAGUCAUCCAAAUAAAAAUUAUCAUUCUUUUUCUUUUCUUGUCUUUGAGUCAAGUCUGUGUCAAAACAAGUUAGAAAAGAUUACAAAACUAUCUACAAGCUUAUUUAAUUGCACAAAGCAAGACAAAAGUUAACACAUGAAAAAGACAUGAUUGUGAGCCGAAAAAAGGGGCAUGCAUAAAAUUUUGUCAAUAGACAAGUUGGGGAACUCAUGGAAAUACCAAGUUUCAAAGGGUCUAUCUGAGAAGCAUGGCAAAGUAGAGAUACUGUGUUUGUUUUAGAGUCACUAUUAAUAAUUUGAGUUCGGGUUAAUGAAGCAGCAAGUCAAUGGCAUAUGCUAAUGGUUGGAAGUAAGGUUAAAUGUGACGAGGGAAAGAAAAAUCACCACGAAAGCCAAAGCCACAAACCAGCCAUCUUGCUUUUAAACUCUCAACUUUUCUUUGCAUGAAACAGGAACACAUGUUACCUUCAAAUCAAGGAUUUCAAAGCCUAAACAUCAAGGCCCGUAAUUUCUCGCUUUUACAAAUGCAGGAAGCAAUAUUGCUGCACAGGUUUGAUAAUUAAAUCAUGGUAAAAAUUCAUCAUCUUAUAUCCCUUGGAGACACACUUUCUUGUCCAGGGAUUUCAGUUUUCAUUUGCUGAGUGAUACACUUCUUAAAUUGAACCUUGACCCCUAUAAGACGUACCUUUUAGUCGAGUCAUCCCCUUUGACUCCUAUAAGACGUACCUUUUAGUCAAGUCGUUCCUUUGAUUCCUAUAAGACGUACGUUUUAGUCGAGUCAUUCCCUUUGAUUCCUAUAAGACAAACCUUUUAGUUGAGUCAUCUCCCUUGAUUCCUAGAAGACGUACCUUUUAGUCAAGUCGUUCCUUUGAUUCCUAUAAGACGUACCUUUUAGUCGAAUUAUCCCCCUUGGUUCCUAUAAGACGUACCUUUUAGUCGAGUCAUUCCCUUUGAUUCCUAUAAGACGUACCUUUUAGUCGAGUCAUCUCCCUUUGAUUACUAUAAGUCAUACCUUUUAGUCGAGUCAUUCCCUUUGAUUCUUAUAAGGCAUACCUUUUAGUCGAGUCAUCUCCCUUUGAUUCCUAUAAAACGUACCUUUUAGUUGAGUCAUAUCCCUUAGAUUCCUAUAAGACGUACCUUUUAGUCGAUUCAUCCCUUGGAUUACUAUAAGACGUAAAUUUUAGUCGAGUCAUUCCACUUGACCCAUAGAAGACGUACCUUUUAGUUGAGUCAUUCCCUUUGACCCCUAGAAGACGUACCUUUUAGUCAAGUCAUUCCUUGUGAUUCCUAUAAGACGUACCUUUUAGUCAAUUCAUUUCCUUUGAUUCCUAUAAGACGUACCUUUUAGUGGAGUCAUUCCCUUUGAUUUCUAUAAUGAUGUGACUUUCACAAAAUUCCUUUGAUGAUAAGCUAGGGCAAAAUUUAAUUCUUGUGUUUGGAACUUCACUUUUAUGGCAAAUGAAACCUCUUUAUAAUAAUCUUUGUUGGGAGAAUUUUCUUUUUAGUUUUGAUGUGAUUUCAGGAGCCCUCCUGGAGAACAGGAUGAAGAAAUGAAAAGUCAAGCAACAAAGUGAAGAAGUUGAAAGUCAAGCAACAACAUGAAAAGUUGAAAGUUAACAGAUUGAAAAAUAGCAAGUCAGGAGCCCGCCUGAAGAAUAGGGUAAAGAAAUUGAAAUUUAAGCAAUGAGGUGAAACAAUUGAAAGACAAACGACAAGUUGAUGAACUUGCAAAUCAGGAGCCCGCCUGAAGAAUAGGGUAAGGAAAUUACAAGUCGAGAUCCCGCCUGAAGAACAGGGUGAUGACAUGGCAAGUCAGAAGCCCGCCUGAAGCACAGGGUGAAUAAAUGGAAAGUUAAGCAACAAGGUGAAGCAAUUGAAGACCAAGCAACAAGUGAUGGAAUUGCAAGUCAGGAGCCCGGCUAAAGAAUAGGGUGAUGAAACUUAAGUCAGGAGUCCAACAGAAGCUGUAUAGAUAGGAUUUUGUAAUUUCAUUUUUGUUUUUACUUGUAAUUUUCAUUUUGAUGUAAUGACAGACUCGCGGAACGGAACCUCAAUGGCACCUCACUCGACUCUCCAACUCGGUAUAGUCCAUUUCCUUCCAAUCCUUUGAGAUGCGUGUCAACUGAUUCCUUCAUAACUUGGGUAGGUAGGAUGUCCUAAGUCAAGAUCCGGUUGCUCUUCUUCCUUCUGUUUCUUUCCUUAAAUAAUGGUCGGGUCAAAAUUUAGUCUCGUUAUCUACUUCUUUGUCUGAAAAUACUUCGUGUUUACAUUCAAAGGGGGCAUGAUGUAGACACCUAAUUUUGUUCCUCCGAAAAAUUAGUGUUCUUAUUUUUUACUUUAUCUUAUCGUGUACCCUCACCCAUGUAAUUAUACCCCACAAAAGUACAAAAUAACAAAAAUUCAAUAAAUCCCUAACCUUAUCCUAACAAACUUUAUCCUAUACCCUACCACCUAACCCACGUCAACCCCCCUUAAACUCAUUCACAUAUUUUUCUCAUCUUUUCUAUAACAAAAAGGAAGGAAACAAAAAAAAGGGCCCCCACAGAAGAUGUCGUAUCCCUGACUAUUUUAUCAUAUACAAUCUAUAAACACCUUCUUCUCACAGAAAUGAGGGGACCUUCAUAUACCUUCAUGGAAUGAAAUAAGGGGAACCCAUAUGCAUACAAGACCUUCCCAGAAUACCCACCCAUACACAAAAUUUUCCACCCAGCAACAUGAUUGAACAGACAUACCCUUUUCUUCAUACAUCAAUACACACACAUAAGGUAUAAAAUGAAAAAGGAGAUACUCAAUCACUUGAUUCUCUUUGAUUCACCACCGUACACCUAUAUACUACACUCAGAAAUCUCGCACACACACACAUCAAAUAGAGAGAUGGGUGGAGAGUAGCAAAAGGAGAGAGACUAGAUCAAGAGGCACUGCUGGUUAGCACUUUCAGGCGACUGAUUUGGUCAUUUUCUGUUUCUACGGGCUAAAAAUCCACUAUGGUCCAAAUACAUCCUAAAAUCCCUCUAUUCCUCUUUGAUUUCUGAGUUGGAUCCGGUUGGAAAACAACAAGGUUCGUUGAAAACCGUCUCGGGUUGUCGUUCUCUACUUUCGUCUGAGCUCAUCAAAGCUGAAGCCACAUUUUUUAGUCUUUCUGAGUCUUCGGGUUCGUCUUCUUUGUGGUUCAUUUUUGAUACUGCGCAUUGGGGUUUUUUGGGUUUGUCUGAUUUUGUAUUCUGUCCCCGGGAUCGAGCUUUGGGGAUUCAUCGAUUUUGUUCCUGUUUUGGGGUUUUAUUCUUGGUUGAAAUCAUAUCAGUUGGUACUCUUGGAUUAUUGGUUUGGUGAGUUCAUCGUUGGGGUUCCGUGUUGGAGGCUUUCGGUCUCGGACUUCUUUAUUAUCUACGAGAACGUUUUAUUGAGGUCCAUUUCUUUAACCCGUUCUCUUCUUCAUUUUGAUUGGUUGCAUUGGCUAUGGUUACGUGUUGGUUGAUUAUGAUGACUUGAUUUCAUUGAUAUGAUUUUGUUGUUUAAAUUCAUUACUAAAAUGAGCAUGGAUUGUUGAAAUGGUGAUUGCUAUUUGUGGCGUUUAGAAUGGAUUUGGGUUGAAAAUCAAAAAUUGAUAAAAGUGAAUAUUAUGGUAUUUUGAUUCAUUGUUGAUGUUGAAUGUUAUAUGCCAUCGAGCGGGUAGGCAAACAGUAGGCUCAGGUAGGCAAUUUAGAAUUGGUGGAUUGUUGGAAUGUUUGGAAUAUUUGUUGGAUGUUUUCUAGUUUAUUGCAUGAAAUUGACAUUGUAUUCAUUUGCCGGGGAAUGCCCCGACGUACUGUGUUGGUGAAAGGCAUUUGAGAGGAAGACCAGAGGCGUCAGGUAAAGCGCGGGAGCGUAGUUAGUAUUAGUAUAGGUUAGAUAGGAUUUAUCUUAGCAUUUUUCUAUUUUGGACUGUAUAAAUUGAACUGGACACUAUAUUUUGAUUUAUUUUGUUUUGUCUAUUUGUUUACUUGUUUUACGUGUUUUGUGUGGUUUCUACAUUCAUAGUGUUGAAUUAGCAAAUACGCUACACCAAGCGACCAUGGUUGAACCACGGGAUCGAGGGGUACCUAACACCUUCCCCUCGGUCAAUAGAAUUCCUUAGAUGGAGACUCCCCGAUAUUGAGAGGCAGAGUUGUUAGGAGCAAUCCCUGAACUCCAAAACUGCAUAGCCAAUCCAGGAUACAGGAGUCACCCGCCAGUAGAGGUUGUACCCAUAGAGAGAGGUUUGACUAUUAUAUUUCCUUAGGCUAACUUUUGCGAGGGUCACCCACUAGAGAGGCUUGACCAGAGAGUCUUUACCUGUGGUAUGGUAUUGACACCCUUCCAGCUGGGGUUACAGGUUGGACCCCACCAGUGGAGGUCGGGGCAUGUCGGUUAAGUAACUACUUCCCACAGUUACAAUUUCAGUAUCAAUCUUCAUAAAUCAGGACUGUCAAAUACAGUCAUCUAUAUCAGUGAGGAACUCAAAUAGUUCCAUUGAUUCAUGGACCACUCGUCAGAUAGGCUGGGUCUCAUAUACAGUUAUUCAGUAUCAUAUCCAUAGAUCACCCGAUAGAUAGGAUUGAUCUCAGUUUCAAAAUCAGUUGAGUAAUCUCAUUAUCAUAUCCAGAGAUCACCCGAUAGAUAGGCUUUAUCUCAGUUUCAGAAUCAGUUGAGUAAUCUCAUUAUCAGAUCCUGAGAUCACUUGAUAGAUAGGCAUGAUCUCAGUCUCAGAUUCAGUUGAGUAUUCUUGUUGCCAGAUUCAGACAUGAUCAUUUUCUUAUCAUUGAUAAUAGAUUCCGGAAUCAUCCGUUAGAGAGGUUGAUCUCUGAUUCAGUCAGUCGAGAGCAGUGAUCUUAGAAUUCAAUCAUUGAUGUGAGUAUAUUCAGUUAAUCAAUUUCAGUAACCUUAAAUUUUGAGAUCAUUCGCUAGAUAAUACUGAUCUCAACUUCAGUACUCAAUUGUCAGUAUCAGAUGAUUCAGUGAUUUAGUAUCUCAGUUUUAGUAGUGGGUUCAGAUAAUAGUAAAGUGGUACCUGAGUUUCAGUAUUAAGAGUUGUGAUGAUUGUCAUUAUGGUUUGUGCAUUCAUGUAUGUGUUCUCGUUUGGUACUCUUAUGAUUAUUCAGUUAAGUAAUUGUUCAUGCAUGAGCCCUUGCAUUUAGCCUUACCUCAUCUGCAUACUCGGUACAUUCCCGUACUGACGCAUUUAUGCUAUGGUGUUUUAUUUGACACCAUAGGUUCAGAGGCACGAGCUCCAGAGUACCCUAAGAAGUUCAGUCCUAAUCAGCAGCAGUGGACGUAGAAGUGAGUCCUCUUCAUUCGAGGAUGAUCCUUGUUUUAUUAUUUCAUCAGACUUUGUUUAUUUUCAGUAGACAGAGUUAGUUGGGAUAUGUCCCAUCAACUCCGCAGUUUAAACAGUUUAGAGGCUUUUCAGACAGAUGUAUCGGUAUUCAGUUUUCAGUUUUGAGUAUUUUUAGACGUGUUGAGCCUUAUGGCUUGUUUCUGCCUAUUUCUCCGCAUUUUAUUUUCAGAUAUUAUGUAGCGUUCAGGUACAGAUAUCAGGAAAGGAUUAUCUUGUGGUCCUUCGGGGUCAUGAGCACCGUGUAACGACUAGGGGGUAGUCUUGGGUCGUUACAAUAACACUAAGUUCAGCCAUCUCAUUUUCACUCAUAUGCCCCAGGCACAUAUGCCAAAAUUUAGUAACAUCACUUUCUAAUAGAGAGGAGGUAGAAAUAGUUGAAUCACCUUUAAUCAUAGAGCCUUGCAAGACAUACAAAUUUGCAGUUUUACUCUGUCCCUUCAUCACAAUAAUAGCACCUUUAGUAACCUUCGAGACUCCACCUUCACCAGUGUACCUAUACCUGUUCGAAUCAAGGGUACUUAAGGAAAAAAGAUUUCUCUUUAGGUCUGGGACAUAUCAUACAUCACCAAGAGUCAUCACAACCCCAUCAAACAUCUUAAUUCUGAUUGUUCCAAUACCAACUAUCUUACAAGGUGUGUUAUUUCCCAUCAGCACAACACCUUUAGAGACUGUUUCAUAUGUUAUAAAUCAAUCUCAAUUGUGACACAUAUGAAAUGUGCAAGUUGAAUCAAGAAUCCAUUCCUCACAGGGUUUAGAGUUACCAUUAGAAACUACCAAGAGUUCUCCAUCACUAUUGCCGUCUUCAACAAAACUGGCUUCACCGAACUUCUCUGGUUGGUUUUCCUUCAGUUUUAGAGUUUCUCUUUUCUCUAUAUUCUGUACCUUAUAACACUCGAAUUUGAUAUGGCCCUUCUUCUUACAGUAAUUAUAGGUUUUGUUUCUAUUUCUAGAUUUCAACCUAAACCUAUCAUCACCUCCAGAAUUUCUCUCAUGAGUCAUUCCUCGAUCAAUGAGACUAUCUCCUUGAGUCUUUGACCCAUUCACAAGAUGUUUUAUCUUCUCCUUAGAUAACAACGUAUCAUAGAAUUCAUCUAUAAUAAGGGUGUCAUGACUAUAUAAAAUCAUAUCCCUAAAGGUUGUGUAUGAUGCAGGCAGCGAACAUAACAAAAUCACCCUAGAUCUUCCUCAUAAUACUUAACCUCCAUAGACUCUAAAUCAGAGAAGAUUUCCUUAAGGACAGAUAGGUGAUCCUCCAAGGACGCACACUCAGACAUACGAUGGGAAUAAAGUCGUCAUUUGAGAUGCAACUUACUCAUUUGGAUCUUCGUCAUACAUAACGAUUACAGUUUCAACCACAACGCAGCGGCAGUGGUCUCCUUCAAAACAUCCUGUAGAAUCUGAUUGGAUAAAUGAAGGUGGAUCUGAGAUAGAGUCUUCCGCUCCUUACACUGUUUGUCCUCCUCCAAAUCUUAUCAAACCCUAAUAGAGCAUUGUCCAAAUCCAUUUGCGCAAGCACAACCCGUCUCUUAACCAGCCAUAACAAAAAUCUGGUGUUGCAAUCCAAUAACGGAAUAUCAUACUUCAUGAUUGUCAUCUCCGAAAAAAUAAUAAAAUUGGAUCUGAUACCAGUUUGUUAUGAAUAGGACAGAAUAAAUCAAACCAUAAGCAAAAAUAAAAGAGAAGAACACAUAAAUUUACGUGGAAAUCCUUGCGGAAAAAACCACGCGGAGGCAGAGGAAUUUCACUAUGAAAGGAGACGAUUACAAUGUGGUGCACAACGUGAUUUCUGAAUGUUCAAAACUGACCCACUAAUUGCACUUAUAUAGUAUGUGCGUACAAAUAGGUCCUAGGCCUGAUCCCUAUGUUACCACCAAAGAUCCCAUUGAAAUUCACAAACAUGGGUCGCACUGCAAAACAUUCAAGGCCGGAUCAACAAAAUUCGGAUCACAAAUCUAACAUACUUCAUUGAUGAGAAUGUUGUUUCGACAUUUCCAAUAGCAACAUGUAAAAUUAAACUUCAGAAGGAAAUAAAUAAAUGUCUAGGUUUGAUCCAAUGCUAUCUCUAUCAUUAUUUUAGCGAGAUCCUUAAUUCUAGUCAACUAGAUGUCUAGGUCCGAUCCUUACGCUACCACUACAGACCCCAUUGAAAAUCACAAACAUGGGUCGUACCGCGAAACUUUCAGGUCCGGAUCAACAAAAUUCGGGUCACAACUCUAACAAAAACGUUUCUAACAAAGAAGUUUUUUUCAAGAAGCUUGGCCAAAUAUGCUAUCAGCGACAUGUAACAGAAGACACCAUUCACUAUUCUACAUACCUCUAAGUCGUCAAAUUUGUACCAAUCAUUUGGUGCAGGACGAAUGAAGCUGUAAUAGUGUCCCGAAGAGGAUGUAAAGCCGGCAUGCACUAUAACUAUAACUGCAUAAAGGUCAUACUUCAUUUCUUCCUGUUGAGAAAAGGAAAAAAAUUUAAAUAACAUCACAUUACUGCCAACACAAGAUCUCGAAGGGAACUUAAGAAGUUAAUGUACUUAAAAGUCCAAAUGCAGACAUAUUGACUGUGUACGUUAUCGACCAGAAUACAGGGAAAGUCCAAAUCUCAUUACACCAAAUACUUUAUAGACGUAAUAGAUACUCACAUUAUUGGUUUGGUUGUUAUGAUCGGAAUGAGGAAGGAAGUCCGAUUCCAGCAAAAAUGAAGCACACUUGUCAACCUUCUGGACAACAGAACCAUCAUUUUGGAAUCUCUUCAAAUGGAAGACAACAACGGAAGGGGCAUUAUCUAGCAUCAGCUGCUUCUCAAUUGAAACUUGUGCCGUACAUUUUUCACAAGAAAACUUGAUCUCUGGAUCAUCAAGUUUCUAAACUCGACUAAAUGACUCAAAGGCUGAAUGUAAGCGGUCAACAUCCUUGAUCUCUAGACAUACAUCAAUAAGAGGCUCGUAAGCAUUGGAGUAGUGACUGCAGGUGCAACAACUCAGCUGCAAAAUUGCCAUUUUUUUUUGGAAUUUCAUCAUUUUUCUUAGCAUGAUUAGGUGAUUUUGGGGAAAAAACAACAAAGGAUUUACUUGAAUCAACUGAAUUAGCAACUGGAGAUUGUUUUUUUUGGUUCACGAUUGAAAGAAACAAGAUUUUUUGUUGAAAAGAUGAAAUUCAAGAUUUUAUGUAAAGAAUGAGCUCUUUUAAGGAUUUUAAGACUACACAGGAUAUCUUGUAUUCAAGCCAGUGAACAAUACAUACAGAAAUUGAGCGACGCCUUGAAAACAAAACGCCUUUAUUGUUGAAAAAAACUAUGUUUCACCUCAAAUAAUUAACUGAUGUUUUCUUUCGGUAGCUUGAAAUGGAAAGUGAAUCAUUAAGAGCAUUUCAGUUCUGCUAUAAUAUUGUGAAGUUUCAGUAUAGCUUCUGCCAUACUGUGCCUUGUAGCCUAUAUUCCUAACUUGGAACUGAUGUUAUUAUAUUCCAGGCCUAUAUUCCUAACUUGGGAACCUUAAUGAUAUUAUUAUAUUCCAGGUCAAGAAGCCAAUUUCCCUGAGUUCUCCAGCUACCAAAUUAAAAAAAUUCCUCUAAAAGCACGGAAUCUCAAACAUUUUUUUCCAAGGUUACUUGAAACUGGCUUUACUAUAAUUUUUCAUCCUCUUGGUAGUCUUAACAUUAAUAGUAACAUUAAAUGAUACUGGUUUUUGAGCUACAGAAAACCAGCAGGGAUGGGAAUGUUAUACAUUUUCAUCGUUCUCCAAGAUAUAAAUGGCCAGAACAACAACUGUCAGAAUUUCAGACCAAAUCAACUCAAAAUAACUUGAGGUGUAGAAAUUCACCAUCACAUUUUUACAUACAAAUUUCUUAACUACGUACUAGAAUGGGUUACUGCAGCUGGACAAACUAAGCAACUUAAACAAAAACAAUGACAAAAUAGAUGUAAGGUUAUAUUCUUCAAACUUUUCCCCUUCCUGUAUCUCUCCAUAAUAUUGUCCGCCUCUAUUUUCAUAUAGUGAAUUUCAAGUUGGGAAUAGUCAACAAGGAUUGCAACCAUGUUUUAGAGAGAAUAUUCAUCUUUGCUGCUUCUUCAUAACUAAGAAAAGAGAGUAUUGAAUGAGACAUUCUGGUAAUACGUCAGGUGUAGCUCUCCUCAUGGUCAGGUAAUGGAGGCUGCAAAACUCAGUAAUCAGAUUAUUGAUUACUUUGAAAUUAGGAAAAGGGUAUGACGAAUAAAGCAGAAAACAUCUUCAUACACUAUACCUUUUACACCAUCCAAAGAGCAAUGUGAAGCCACUUAUUAAUCAGAAGGAAAAGUUUAUGAGAACCCGUAAGAGUUGCAAAAAUCAAACUGGUCAAUAGGUUCUUUUCCGUCCUUAUAUCUCUCCACGAUUUUUCUGUCCCUGUGUCUUUGCCAAUGAAUCGAUUCUGAAUUCCAAGUUGGGAAGAGUAUUUUGUGAAUCACACAUUCCGGUAAUAUGUCUGAUGUGACUGCGGCACCGACUCCCCUCCUCUUCUUCAUGGCCUGAAAUUUUCCAUGAUACAAAACCCUAUAUGUGCAUUGGGAAUUCAAAGAUUGUGGUAUUUGCAAGAAUUCACAUUCUUGACCUAUAAAUGAAUAGUAAAAAUAAAUAAAACCUAUUCUACCCAUGAAAUUGUUCUGGUAUAUGAAUUUGACAUGGUUUCAUCUAUUUAUAGAUGCGUAAAUGUUAGACCGCAAAUUUAUAUUGUACGAAUUAUUAAUGUUUGCCUUGUUUCUAGAAAAGACUUUCAUAGAUUGAGUCCAAAUAAGAGGACUUACAAAUAUCAAAAGAGUAAGUUACAUUGAUGUCGUAAUAGAUGAGUUCUGUUAUUAGCAGCUUUUUCAGUGUAGUUUUUUAGCUGUAAAACAGGUAGACUGAUUAUAUGUUAUAUUCCGGGGAUCGAUUGAAACAGAACAGUAAGCUGAAAUGAACAAAGAAGGAUUUAAUAGGUUGUCAAUUUCAUACUCAUCCAACUCUUACAAUUGUUUGGACUAUUUCCGUCAACUGUCCAAAGUCAGGCAGUAGAGAUAGGCAUAGCUAAAUAUCCAACACAGAUAUCUGUAAAAUUUGGCAGAGAGAAAUACCAAUCAGGAUAGAUGAGUUACCAAUUCAUCAUUUGAACGACAUGUAUAAGCCAAAAAGACGUACAACAAAUUCACAUGAACUACAAAGAAAACAGAAAACCAAACAUACUGUUGCUGUAGCUUAAUAUUUCCCAACAUAAUCGAGUUUGAUAAAAGACUAUUUUAAAUAAAUAACUGACAGGAAAAACUUAAGUUUGAAGCUCAUAAGUAUCUAGGAUCUAACCUGAAUGAAAAAUAUAAAUGAAUAAGUGCAUUUUCACUUUGUAAUCGAAUAAACUGGAUCACCAAUUAAAUAAAAUAUAAUAUCUAUCCAUCUCAUGAGGGUUCCUUGUUGCCAGCUUCCCGCUUUUGUGUUCCAUAGGAUCCCAACUCUUGUUCUUUCUGUCAAAUUUGUAGGUUUUUACUUCUUUUAGUUGACUAUACCGAGGUUUACUUCCAUGAGAAGUCGACUGACUCGAAUUCUUCAAAUACAUCAAAUGAUCUAUGAAACAUAUAACCAUUUCUCUUGUUGAUUGCAGGUUAAGUCUCCGAGGAUGACAAGUCCAUAGCAAAGCAUCCAGAAAUGUUAGGAACUCCUCAUUCUGCCAUGUAGAAAUGACAUUUAAAACACCUACUUGGGGGGUACCAACUCCGUUAUCCAGUUGCCAAUCAUUCACGUUGAUCCUACUGCAGCCAGGGAAAUAAAGGGAAACUUGAGACCAACAGGUCGAAUUUGAUAGAAACUUCCCAACUUACCAAACCAUGCAGCAUUUACAUUGCUGUUGCAGAAAAGAUCGAUUUUUGAGUGCUUCAAUUGGCUUGACUCUCUUCCCAAUUUAAGUUCAGGAAUUUGAAUUCCCCUAUAUUCAAUUGAUAUCAAAUUUGUUGCAUCAAUCUCCGUUAUUCCAUCACAAUUCCAACGCUUCAAGAUCUUCAAGGAUUGACUCUUGCAAAUGUUAAACCUUCCCAACUCCCUGUCAGAAACAUUAGCUAUCAUCAAACUCUCGAGGAACUGAGAUCUAGAAAUAAGAUUCUGGAGAAAUCCAUCAGGAAUAUGAUAUCCUUUACACUCGACUGAUACCAAAUUUGGAGCAUCAAUCUCCUUUAUGCCAAAACAUGUCCGAAGCUUCAAGAUCGUCAGCGAUUGACUCUUGAAAGUUUUGAACCUUUCUGACCCACACGAAACAUCAUAUAACAUCAAACUCUCGAGGAAUUGCGAUGUAGAAAUAAGGCGCUACGAAAAUCCAUCAGAUAUAUACACAUCUGAUAGUUCUAAAGAUUUCAGAUUGAGAAAUUUAUUUCCAACCUUCCCGACCUCCGUUUGUUGAUUUUUUUUGUUGAUUCACGAUGGGGCGAGUCAAAAGUAUAUCCCGGGGGAGUUACAGAAUUUUAGACGAGCUUAAGGGCAGGUUUGGGGUUGCAAAGCAAUGAGCUGGGACGAUUAGCCCGCGGCGCCCUGCUUAUCGCCUUACCGGGGGGUAGCACCGCGAUAGGCAAGGCGGCGCCCUAGAUAUCCCGUCCGACUUAGCGGGGCGACACCCUGCCCAGUCCGUCUGGGCCAUUGUUUUCUUUUUCUGAAUUACAACCCCGACUCUUUAGGGGCAAAAUGGGUAAAAUUGUAGUAUGGAGAGGUUUGGUGAGUUGUUGUAUGGUGUUCAUUAGAGUUGAAAAAAAAAAAAAAGAGAAUUUUUGGUAGGCAAUAUGAGCCUUGGGUAUGGUUUUACAAAGUUUGUUAAGUUGUAAGUUAUGUGAUUAGGGGUGUAAUGCGAGCAUUCUAAGGAGUUGAAGAGGAAGUGUUGAGUGACUUGAAGCAUAGAUGCCCAUGCCCAUAAUAAAGAAAGAAUUUAGUGUCUUUAUGUUAGAUUAUUGAGGGGAGUUGUGCUCAUGUGUAUAUUGAUACCCCACCCAUUGUAUUGAGAAUUGUGAUUUUAGAUUGAUAAGAAGUUAUGUUCUCUAGUCUAGGAUUGUGACUUUGAUCUAAGGGGUAGAUGGUGAGCUAAAGUAGUUCAUGAGUUUUUCUUUUGGUGUCAAGUUUCAAGUAAGAAUCAUGACAAAUCAAUUCCUAUUCAAGCAAACUCCUCCUACUUCAAUAUGAAUGGACACCCACCAAUAUCUUAUGUAUCCAUGUCUUGCCUAUGCCUAAUGUUUUAACUCUCUGUGUGACUCAUGACAUGUUUCGACUUCAAAACUAGAAGCAAUGAUGUUACUCAGUGACCCAAUACUCCAAAUAUCCAAGUCAUAUGUUAUGUUGCUCAUGAUCCAAACCUAUAUCUUAUAGCAUGGAUUCUUUCCCGUAGCCCAUCAACAUUCGGAACGCGCAACCUACCCUGAAAUCUUAAAAAAUACCAUCACCACCAAUUUCAAACUACAUAACCUUUUGUUGACCCACAUCUUUCUUGAUUUGCAUCAAGGUGGGAUCUUCAUCCUGCUUCUCCUUAACUUCAGCACAAAGGUAUGACUUAGCUAAUUCAUGAACAAUCACCUCUCCAUCUUUGGAAUCUAAGAAUCGCACUCCCAGAUUUGCAAGGCGGUGAAUAUCCUUCACCAUCUCUUCUACAUGAAAAAGGAUGCCGUAGUCAACCUGCUAAGGGCGUCGGCUACAACAUUUACCUUACCCGGAUGGUAAUGCAGACUCAUAUCAUAGUCUUUCAAAAGCUCCAUCCAACGCCUCUGCCUGAGGUUCAAUUCUUUCUAUGAGAAAGCAUACUGCAAACUCUUAUGGUCAGUAUAAAUAUCAACAUGCACUCCAUAGAGAUAAUGCCUCCAUAUUCUAAGUGCAAACACCACGGAUGCUAACUCCAAGUCAUGAGUGGGGUUAUUGAGCUCAUGCACCUUUAACUGCCUAGAUGCAUAAGCUAUCACCUUACCACGCUGCAUCAAUACACAACCAAGUCCCACACGGGAUGCAUCACAAUAAACCACAAAAUCAUCUAUACCCUCGGGAAGGGUCAAAACAGGAGCAGUAGUCAGCUUGUCCUUCAACUUCUCAAAACUAUUUUCACACAAGUCAGACCACACAAAAUUCAUAUUUUUCUAAGUCAGUUUAGUAAGCGGAGCAGCUCUGGAAGAAAAACUGGUAAUGGGCCAAACCUAAGAAGGUCUGAAUAUCGGUUGGAGUCGUGGGUCUGGGCCAUUUUCUCACUGCUUUAACUUUUUGGGGAUCCACUCUUAUCCCAUCACUGGACACAAUAUGCCCCAGGAAGGAAAUAGCAUCUAACCAGAAUUCACACUUAGAAAAUUUGGCAUACAGUUGAUGAUCCUUAAGGGUCUGAAGAAUAAUUCGAAGGUGAUUGGCGUGAUCCUCUUUACUCUUAGAAUAGAUCAAAAUAUCAUCAAUAAAUACAAUGACGAACAAGUCAAGAAACUGACGAAACACUCUAUUCAUAAGAUCCAUGAAUGUUGCAGGGGCGUUAAUCAACCCAAAGGACAUAACUAAAAAUUUGUAAUGACCAUAUCGGGUUCAGAAGGCUGUCUUGGGUAUGUCUGACACUCUAACUUUCAACUGAUGAUAACCAGAACGAAGGUCUAUUUUUGAAAAACACUUGGCACCCUGAAGCUGGUCAAAAAGGUCGUCAAUCCUAGGAAGAGGAUAUUUAUUUUUAAUCGCGACCUUAUUUAACUGGCAGUAGUCUAUGCACAUACGAAGGGACCCAUCCUUCUUUCGCACGAAAAGCACAGGCGCACCCUAUGGGGAAACACUAGGAAAAAUAAAACCUUUGUCUAUAAGGUCUGCAAGUUGUUCCUUUAACUCCUUUAGUUCUGCGGGAGCCAUUCUAUAUGGCGGAAUAGAAAUAGGACGAGUGUCUGGCAAUACAUCAAUGCCAAAAUCUAUCUCUCUAUCAAGGGGUAUCCCUGGGAGAUCUUCGGGAAAGACUUCUGGGAAUUCAUUCACUACAGGACUGACUGUAGAGGAAGAUUUUCAACUUUUGAAUCUUUUACUCGAAUUAGAUGGUACAUACAACCUUUGGAGAUAAGCUUUUGGGCUCUAAGAUAAGCGAUAAAGUGACCUCUAGGUUCCACAGAACUCCCUGCCCAUACAAUUGGUGUCUCAUUCGGGAAAGAAAAAGUGACCUUUUGGGUCCUACAAUCGAGUGUGGCAUAGCACGAAUGGAGCCAGUCCAUCCCAAGGAUGGCAUCAAAAUCUAUCAUAUCAAGUUUUAUAAGGUCUGCCAUAAUUUUCCUACUAUGAAUAGACACGACAAAAUCUCUAUACACCCUUCUGGCAACAACAGAAUCACCUACAGGAGUAGAAACGGAGAAGGGUUCUACAAUAACUUCAGGCUCAAACCCGAAACCAACAGCCACAUAAGGGGUCAUAUAAGAUAAAGUAGACCCGGGAUCAAGCAAUACAUAAACAUCAUGAGAGAAGAUUUGUAACAUACCGGUGAAAACAUCUGGUGAAACUUCUACCUCCUGGCAGUUAGUCAAAGAAUAUAACUGGUUGCGACCGCUCCCGACAGCUGAAGGGGAACCCUUAGGAAGAGGAGCUGUGGAGGAGGGAACCCUUAGGAAGAGGAGCUGUAGAGGAGGGAACCCUUAGGAAGAGGAGCUGUGGAGAAGGCUUAGGACUUCUUAGCCCCCCCCCCCCCCCCCCGCAUUUCCUCUAAUAGAAGGACAAUCUCUCUGAAGGUAACCCACUUUUCCAAAAGUAUAGCAGUUUCUCCCCUUAAACCAGCACUUCCCUAGAUGAUUCCUUUCGCAAACCUCACACCGCGGAUAAGUAUGACACUGCUGGCCCACACUUUCCUGAGACUGUGUACCUAGAGAUUUGGAUCCAUGAUGAGUGAAAAUUCUGAGUUUGUCUGUCUGUCGGUGGUCUGGGUGCUGGGGCGCUGGCUGCUGACUGUGCAUUAUUCCAAAACUUCUUCUUCUUCGACCACUUAUUACCCCAGUUACCACUCUACAGUGGACUCUGGUGAUGUUCUGCAAAUCUAGUUCUCUUAGCCUGUCUGUCUUUCUCUCUAGAUUCAGUAAUCUUUUUCUUCUUCUCUUCCACCUGCUGCUUAUGAAUGGUCAGUCGAGCAAAGUAUAACUCCUUAUUCAACAUAGCCCCCUGGCACUCAAGUACCAGGUUAUCAACAAGGCCAGAUGCAAAUUUCCUCAUCCGGGCUCUCAUAUUACUAGUCAACUCUGGUGCAUAGCGGGCUGGUUUAUUAAACUUCAAAGUGUACUCCUGGACACUCAUACUGCCCUGCUUCAGAUUCAUAAACUCUUCCGCUUUGGUCUCCCUCAACUCCAGAGGAAAGAAUCAAUCAAGGAAAGCUUUCACAAAUUUGACCCAAACUGUGGGCUCAACACUCUCACCUUUUGCAUCUUCCCAGUCGGCAUACCACUGAUUCGCAACGUCCUUGAGCAGAUAGGUUACUAGUUCUACCCCUUCAACCUCAUCCACAUGCAUCACCUUAAAGAUUUUUUCCAUCUCAUCCACGAAUACCUGUGGAUCUUCCUCCACCUUGGUGCCAGUGAACUUAGGUGGGUUCAUCUUUAUGAAAUGCCCGACCCUAGUAGCCCUCCUUACCAGAUGCAGACCCAAUAUCUUCUGAUCAUUGAGCCUGGUUAUCUACCAACUAUGUCAACAUAUGAAUAGAACGUCUGAAUUUUGCAUUUGAAAUAUCUCCCUGAGUAGUUGGGGGACGGUUGACAUUAGUCCGUGGAGCCCGAGGUGGACUGGUCGAAACUGGAGAGACUCCCGGAGUAGGGACAAAUUCUGGAGUGUGAGCUCUAUUAUGGGUCCGCAUCCCAUGGGUGGGACGGACCUCAUCUGCCUGAGCAUUCUGAUCGAUGAUAUGACGUGGAGGCAUAAUUGUGUUUCUAAAACACAAGUGAUCAUUGAUUAGGGGACAGUUCAGAAUCUAAAGCACGAACUAAAUCACAAAGAAGGGAAACAUUUCCUAAAUGCCUAGAAGCCUCCUUCUUAUAAGUGUGGCGCACUACACACCCAUAAAUAGGACUCUACCAGAUGCGAUUUCACAGACACCUUGGGACCAUGAACUGUGCUUUGAUACCAAGUUUGUCACGACCCAAACCAGGGCCUAGCCAUGACGAGCAUUUUGAACCAUGAAGGCAAACACCCCUAUCUGUCUAGUAAUCAUGCACCUAAUUCAUAUGAUCAAAGUAAGCGGAGGAAACACAAUAAUUCGGAAACAUGGUCAUAAAUAUGAAAAGAAACAAUAACGGGGAAACAAGUUUCCCCCAACAUCAAUCAACCUCUAAACAACUGUCUGCGAAAAUCUCAACAAAUGACUGAGUUAAGUAACUACAUAUAAACUGGGACAAGGCCCCCAGUAGACCCCAAAACCGAAUAUAAGAUAAAAAGACUGCAAAACAUAAGACCUUCUAAAACAUAGAAGGCUCACCACUUGUCUCUGCAACUCUGCCUGAAUGAUCUACUGAUUAUCUUGACCCCAGACUGGGCUUUUGAACCUAAAAGGUUGGAGAGGGGAGGGGGUCAGCACAAAAGCACUGGCACGCAGAGAUAUCAAAACAAAACAUAAUAUUUUUACAAAAUAUAGUUGAGAGCCAUUAUAAAUCAAUUUCAUAUCAAAUCAUUUGAAAAUACAUGGGAGUAAUGCAAUAGUUUCUCAACAACAAUGAAAUGCAACUGAGCUAGGUGGAAUACCCUACAUAAUUUACACCAACUGUCCAACCUCAGUUGCCAUCGAGAUUAGAGUAUAAGUGAGGGAGAGACACAUAAGACCACGAAGCAUGGUGUCUCGACCCAAUGGUAGUGCCCAAGAUCACUUAGCCCGGGCUCCUACCUAUAAUCCCAAUUUGGGAAUGACAUAAAGUCAAGUACUCAAGAUCACUUAGCCUGGUACCAAUAUUCCGUGUCGGCAAACACGUUUUCCAACAAUGAGCCCUUACUCUCAAACGCCUUCUUCGGGUAUCCACCUAUCUCAUGUAAAAUCGAUGCAUUCAAAUUUUAUCUGAUUCAAUCACAUAUCAUAUUCGGUAGGGUAUCGACAUACCCGACUUGCAAGUCCUCAAUAUCACUUCCACAUAUGCAUAAUCAUGUAAAAACCAAGGUGCUUCAUCAUUUACAAGUGGUGAACAAUAUUUAUUUCAAAUUCAUGCUCUCUUUUGUUGAUCACAAUAUAAUAUGGGGUAUCGAAAAAAUGACUUAGAAAUCAUAUUGAAAGCAAGUUAUUAGCAUUUGAUUGAAAAUACCCAUUUUAAAAGCAUGCAUGUUCAUAAAAACUACACCCAUGAGAUUUUAGGAUAACCCCACAUACCUCGAUUACUAUGAAUAUUAGAUGCUUCUCGAAGCCUACGUUGAGAGGAUUCCAAAUAUGUAAUUUGUUCCUAAAAGCCCCGGUUGAAUCUCGAGUUUCUUGGGUUUUUUUAUUUUGAAACCCUAAGGAGAAUAUUUGAGCACUUUUGAUGAAUGAAGGUGUAUUUUGGGUCCUUGGAACUGAAUUUCAUGUUUUAGGGCUAAGUAAGGGUGGAAAAGGAUCAUUUUGCCCAAACAACGGAGUGUUUAAGUCACUUGAAUUCUUCACAUAGGCGCCGCCUAGGCUAUCGCCUAUAUUUACAUAGGCUCUAACUAGGCUAUCGCCUAUGUUUACAUAGGCGCCGCCUAGGCUACUGCCUAUGCUUUCCAGUGGCCAUGGACGAUUGGAUAGGCGACACAUAUCACUUUGAAAGGCCAGAGUUUCUUGUUCGAGUGUCGUAUUUUAGCAAAAUUGGUAUCGUUGGAAAGCUAACUCGAAGUCCUAUCAUUUCACACAUAGUAGGCUCCCUAAUUCAACAUAUACAGGGAGUUAUGGUCGAUGGAAGCUGACACAAUUUACAACGUCCACUAAAACUUAGCCGAUCGAAAUAGUUUCAACUCGUCCUUGAGUUGAAGGACCCCUAUGGUCUAAAUUCAAGCUUGAAUGAAUUCACAUGCUACACAAAUAAUUAACAUGCCGUAUUGGCAUAGGAUUUUAUGGCUUCAAGAUCUAUCAACACAUCGGAAUCGUGGUCUAUAUUGUAGCCCAAAGUAUGGGGCGUUACAAUAUUAUUUGUGGUUUGAAGCCAGAAUAUAUUCCUUUUGUGACAUUGAUUCAAGGAUGGGCUCAACAACCAUCUUUGGAGGAAUUUGAGAAUUUGUUAUCAUCACAGUAGUUACUAGCCAAACAAUUGGCUGGUGAAUUUAUCAAAGAAAGAGAAGAAAAUGCUCUUGUAGCUAACAAGAGGAAUGUUAGAGGAAAGACAAGAGAUAUGCCUCACUCUCUAUUCUCUAGUGGUUCAAGCUCGCCUGGAAAGAAGGAAGAGUUUUAUGAAAAUUAUGGUAAAAGGCCUCUUAGGUGUUAUCGGUGUGGUAAAGUAGGACACAUUAGGAGAUAUUAUUGAUCCAAAGAGAGGAACAUGGCUCUAAUGGAAAAAGUUGUUGAAGAAGAGGAAGGCUGGGAACGAUGCUUAGAAGCUAAGAGUCGAGCAAUAAAUACAUUGGCUUCAGUAAAUUUGGAAAGAGAUUGGAUCAGAUAUAAUACAAUCCAUAAUGUGGAGCAAAAAGGCCCUGAUAAGAAUCAAGAGGAUACUAGAGACGUGGUAGCUGCUAUUGAGGAAAUCAAAGAAGCAGAUCUUGAAAUUGGACGUAAAAGUCUAAACGUGAAAGAUGUUGAAGUAGAUUCUGAGGAGACAAUUUCUGAAAAUCAAUAUGCCAGUGAUGACAUUAUCGGAGAAAGAAUUAAGGGAGAUAUAGUGAAAGUUGAAGUCUUAGAUCAGUCAUCCAUCAUAUCAAGGUCAAUCAUUGGCUCAGAGCAAAUAUUGGAAGUUGAUGAAGAAGUUAAAGAUCUAAUGAACGAUGAAGCCCCAAUUUCCGAUGGAGAGAUAUACAAUAUGAUUGAAGAGCUAGAAAUGAAAUCUAGAGGUGGAUUCUAUUACGAUACUAAGGAUUCACAGAAAAUUAAUGAUCAGAUCGUCAUUGAAUCAAAUAAGGAGGCUGCUACAGAUGAAAUAUUCUUAUAUUAUCGAGUUUAUUUAGAAAGAGUAAGUUCUAAAAUCUUGAAUCCUAGAGCUUCAAAUUUUCCUUCCCAUGUGUGUCUACAGGUAAUGAAGUUGUGGAGCUCAGAUAAAGAGGGAGUUCGAUAAUUCAACAUCAUAAAACACAACAAGGACAAAUUGAUGACGAAAAAUCUUCAUUAUUGAAACGAGAAAAAGGAGUUGGGAAAAAACUGCUAAGAGUUUCACUAAGGCAUGGUUCAAAGCUUUGUUUGAGUUCUUCCGUGACAAGCUUGGGGUAGCUUCCAAAAAAUCACUUUAAGGGGGAGUGUGAAAAUAUUUAAGUAGAUUUUUUGGAAUCAUAUAUGUAACACCCCCUACAAAAAUCCUUCAUGUGUUAUAUCAUUGUAGCAUUCUUGUUGAGUUAAAAGCUGAAAAAUAUUUAAAGUGUCAAAGAGACUUAGACUCAUUUUGAAUUCCUAAUCUUUGAGGAUUUUAUUUUCAACCUUCUCGACCUCCUUUUCUUGAUUUUUUUGUUGAUAUACGAUGGGGCAAGUCUAUAUUACGUCUCGGAUGCAUUCUAGGGGAAUAAUACACUGGUUUGAAAUGCCUUGGAAAUGCUCCAGCAUUCCGGGAGCAUUUUGGGCGCAUUUCUGGAGCAUAAUACACUGGUUUGAAAUGCUUUGGAAAUGCUCCAGCAUUUUGGGCGCAGUUCGGGCGCAUUUCAAACCACAGUUUCAGGGUCAAUUUCAAACAAUCAUAUCUCUGUAUAUAAUGAACUGGGAGGGAUGCUAUAUAUCAAACGAAAUCUAUUUGAGUCUUCUUUCAAAUCCAAUUAGUGUCAUCCAAAUUGAACAUCGGAGUAAGAAGUUAUGCCCAAUUUACUUCAGCCUAUCAGACUGUCAACUGAGGGACAGCUGGGACUUUGUUUGUUUCUUUAGGGGCAUUUUAGUCUUUUCUCCUACCCCUAUCCAGCUUUAACAUUGUGAAAAAAUAACAGAUUUUUCGUCUGGUUUCCAUAAGUAUCAGCAAGAAGAUGCUCACGAAUUCUUGCAAUGCUUUCUCAAUAGGCUUGAAAGCCGAUGUAAUGACAUUGUCCAACAACUUUUUGGCAGCCGGCUUGUCAGCAAGGUAAGCAUAAUAGAAUACUAUCUUAUUAUUCAUAUGUAUCUUGUAAAUAUGACGUUUGCAAUGUUAAAUAUCUCUUUCUCAAAUUGCAGCUUCGCUUUUGCAACUGCGGCCACUGCUCCAACACUUAUGAGCCUCUUAUAGACGUGAGCUUGGAUAUCAAAGAUGCCGACAGCUUACAUGCAGCGUUGGAGUCGUUCACAAGAGUUGAGAAACUCGAUGAUCCAGAGAUCAAGUAUACUUGUGAAAUAUGUAAGGUGCAAGUCUCAAUCGAGAAGCACCUGAUGCUAUACAAUGCCCCUUCCGUUGCUGUCUUUCAUUUGAAGCCAUUCCAGAAUGACGGUUCCAUUGUGCGAAAGGAGGACAAGCAUGUUUCAUUUCCGUUGGAAUUGGACUUGCUUCCUUACACCGAAAAUAUCCAAUCCUAUAAUGUGAGUAUCUGUUAGUACAUUUACUUUCAAAAACCUUUCUUCCCUUUGUUUCAUAUUUUGUUAGUAGUAACAUGAUGUUAUUUUCAAUUUUUACUUGUCUCUGACAGGAAGAAAUGGCGUACGAUCUUUAUGCAGUUAUAGUGCACGCUGGGUCUACAAUCCAGUUCAGGACACUAUUACAGCUUCAUUUGUGCUGAACCCAAUGAAUGGUACAAAUUUGAUGACUCGACGGUACGUAGAAUAGUGCAAUCAUAUUUAUGUUAUAUGUCACUGAUAGUCUAUUUUGCCAAGCUUCUUGAACGACAACUAACUUGAUAUUAUGUUCGUUUGUCAUAGAUUUCUGGGGUUCACGAAGAUCUUGUUUUGGCAGAGGAAGCAUAUAUUAUGUUUUAUGCAAAGAGAGACACACUGCGGUUUUCAGAUUUUGUUGCACCGCAAUUGCAUAAUGUGGACACUAUCUGCCUACUUUAUCUUUCAUUUCCAAAUAAUCAUGCUUCUUAUGUCAGUGAAUCCAAUGCUUCUGCAAUCGGCACAUCUUCGUCUGCUCCAAGACCAACUGGUGCUAUCAACUCUUCAAAUUUUCAUUAACUCACGAAGAUUGCGGAUAAUGAAUUGAAGAAGACUAUGAAAAUGUCUACUCUAGGACCGCCUAGUGCUAUUAACUCUUCAAAAGAAAACAACGCUUAUCAGGACAUUGGUGUGACCGAAAGAAUGGCAACUUUGUUGCCCAAGUCACUAGGUAAACUCAUCUUCCAUUUCUAUGUAUUGGUGAGUCAUGUCAUUAGCUUACUACUCCCUCCGUUCGCUUUUACUUGAAAAUAUAUUUUAAGUACUGUGUACUUGUUUGAAGAGUAUUACACCUACCAACUGAUCGAUUUGUUUAUAACAUCGGCAGAUCAGGUUGCUAGCAAAAAUCAAUGGCAAAUGGACCCAGAGCAAGAGACAGAAAUAAUGCUGGCUUGUUCUAUGAUUAAGAAAAGAGUUCCGGGUCCAAGAGGUGAACAACUCAUGGCUGCAUUACGCAGAUUAGGCAUCCUUGAAAGUUCAGUUCUCUGAGCGAGAAAAGGAGAAAAAUGGAAGUUUCUCUGAGUCGAAAGGAUGAUGGAAGUUCAGCUGACCGGCGUAAAUCCAGCUUUGGCUCUGCAGGUUUACAUCCUGUGGUGGCUAGCAACAUCAGGUCUUGAUAGGCGGAUCUAAAAUUUUGAGUUUAUAGAUUCAAGAUAGAAAGGAUAUUUUAUUGGAUUUUAGUUAAAUUAUUUAUGCAUAUUUAAUAUUUUUGAACAUUUGUCCAUGAGGAUAUAAUGUAAGUUGUUUACUUGCAAUACUGAGUUUUUAGUUUUUGCACAUCUAUAGUUUAAUUUAUUAUGUAUAAAUGUCUUAUAUACUACACUAUUAUAACGUCGUUUGCAUAUAUGGGUAUACCAACGUAGUUGUUCCGUUAUACAUCAAUAUACAUAGUGUACUUCCAUAAGUAGGGUUACGGGAGGAUAGUGUGUGCACAAUUCUACUCUUACCUUAACAAUAGGUAGAGAGACUGUUUCCAAUGGAUUUCCGACUCAAGUAGGACAUACCAAAAGUCAAUUAUGCAAAACAAAUACAAUAGUGAAGCAGUCAAUACCAAAAAUAAUGGAGAAUCGAGUAAACAAAUGACACCUACUAUCUACUAUCUUAAUGUGUCACCAUAUCUUUCUAUCUAGUGUCAUGUCUUUGGUAACCUUCAGAAUCAACUAUAUGUCUUAUCUAGUCACCUCUUCCCUGUUAUUACCCCACCAUAGAUAGCCUGUUGCACCUCUUCAUUCGGAUAUCUAUGUAUCUUCUCUUCACAUAAUCGAACCAUUUCAGCAACACCUCUCUUAUGUUUCCCACCACGGUGGCUACUCCUACCUUGUCCUUGAUCUCUUCGUUCCUAAUUUUGUCUCUCCUGGUAUGCCUACAUAUCUAUCUCAACAUCCUAUUUUCUCUAAUUUGAUCUACUUGACGUGUGACUUCUUGACUGUCCAAAACUCCACCUCUUACUGUAAAAAUAUUAAAGUAGAUUUUUUGGAAUCAUAUAUUUCUAGCUAAGUUUCUAGAAUAGUCUAGUGUAGUAUUUAGGAUAAUCAAAUUUAAGAAAUAUCUAUAUUUCUAGGUAUUUCUUGGUAGAAGAAUCUAGAAAGUUAUAGUAUUGUCUCUUUGAUAUUUACUUGGUACAAGUCUAGAUAUUCUAGAGUGUUAGAUAUUUGAGGAUGACAUUUGUAGAAUAGGGUAGAAUACUCUAGAUUUGUAGUAUCUAGAAUCAUCCCUACAUAAGUAUAAAUAGGGGAUGACACUAGGCAUUUGUAACCAACCAAAAUCAAAUCAAAUCAACUAGUCUUCUUCUAUACCCGAGUUUCCUUUCAAUAUCUUCCUUCACCUUUCUAGCUUCCUCUUCUUAGUUGAAUCUUUCGAUCUUAGUUAACGAUCUUUGGCUAGCAAAAGAUCUCUCUAACUACACUUUUCUUCUGCUAUUCUCUACAUGGUAUCAGAGCCGUAUCCACACGUUGGCUUCUGAAGUUUAUUUCAAGAUCGGGUUUGUAAUCGAUUCAACUAGUUUGUCCUAAUGGAUUUAAGUGGUCGCGUUAAUGGACUGGGAAUGGAGUUGUUGACUCAGUCUAAUUACAAAGUAUGGAAAACUUGUAUGGAAUCAUACCUUGUGGUAAAAGGCCUCUUAGGUGUUAUCGGAGUGGUAAAGUCGGACACAUUAGGAGAUAUUGUCAAGCCACAGAAAGCAACGUGGCUCUAAUGAAAAAAGUUGUUGAAGAAGAGGAAGGCUGGGAACGAUGCUUAGAAGCUGAGAGUCAAGCAAUCAAUACAUUGGCUUCAAUAAAUUUGGAAAGAGAUUGGAUCAGAUCUAAUAUAAUCCAUAAUGUGGAGAAAGAAGGUCCUGAUAAGAAUCAAGAGGAUAUUGAAGACGUUCAGACUGGAGACGUGGUAGCUGCUAUCAAGGAAAUCAAAGAAGCAAAUCUUGAAAUUGGACAUAAAAGUAUGAACGUGAAAGAUGUUGAAGUAGAUUCUGAGGAGACAGUUUCUGAAAAUCAAUAUGCCAGUGAUGGCAUUAUCGGAGAAAGCAUUAAGGGAGAUAUAGUGAAAGUUGAAGUCUCAGAUCAGUCAUCCAUCAUAUCAAGGUCAAUCAUUGGCUCAGAGCAAAUAUUGGAAGUUGAUGAAAAAGUUAAAGAUCUAAUGAACGAUGAAGCCCCAAUUUCAGAUGGAGAGAUAUACAAUAUGAUUGAAGAGUUAGAAAUGAAAUCUAGUGGUGGAUUUUUUAUGAUGCUAAGGAUUUACAGAAAAUUAAUGAUCAGAUCAUCAUCGAAUCAAAUGAGGAGACUGCUACAGAUAAAAUAUUCUUAUAUUAUGGAGUUGCUUUAGAAAGAGUAAGUUCUAAAAUCUUGAAUCCUAGAGCUUUAAAUUUUUCCAUCCCAUGUGUAUCUCCAGGUAAUGAAGUUGUGGAGGAGGUCAUAGAAAGGGAGAGUUCAAGAACUCAACAUCAUAAAACACAAUAACGACAAAUCGAUGACGUAAAAUCUUCAUUAUUGAAACAUGAAAAAGGAGUUGGGAAAAAACUGCUAAGAGUUUCACCAAGGCAUGGUUCAAAGCUUUGUUUGAGUUCUUCCACGACAAGCUUGGGGUAGCUUCCAAAAAAUCACUUUAAGGGGGAGUGUGAAAGUAUUAAAGUAGAUUUUUUGGAAUCAUAUAUUUCUAGCUAAGUUUCUAGAAUAGUCUAGUGUAGUAUUUAGGAUAAUCAAAUUGAAGAAAUAUCUAUAUUUCUAAAUAUUUCUCGGUAGAAGAAUCUAGAAAGUUAUAGUAUAGUCUCUUUGAUAUUUACUUAGUACAAGUCUAGAUAUUCUAGAGUGUUAGAUAUUUGAGGAUGACAUUUAUAGAAUAGGGUAGAAUACUCUAGAUUUGUAGUAUCUAGAAUCAUCCCUACACAAGUAUAAAUAGAGGAUGACACUAGGCAUUUGUAGCCAACCAAAAUCAAAUCAAUUCAACUAGUCUUCUUCUAUACCCAAGUUUCCUUUCAAUAUCUUCCUUCACCUUUCUAGCUUCCUCUUCUUAGUUGAAUCUUCAGAUCUUAGUUAACGAUCUUGGGCUAGCAGAAGAUCUCUCCAACUACACUUUUCUUCUGCUAUUCUCUACACAUACGACAUAUAGUAGUUAUAUAUUACAAACAUUAUUCCUCAGUAUCAAGCAAGUUGUAAUCGUAUUUAGUUGAUAAAUGUGCUUUUGUGUAAAACGAAGUUACAUAAUGAAAUUUCCUUUUUCUUUUUCACAGAAAAAAACGUAUGAUGAUCUGAAGUAAUUUUUCUAACUUAUAAAGUGAGACUUUUCAAUGUAAAUUUUAAUUAGUUGGGGGUUAAACUAGUAUUGCAUAAGCUUAGUAAGGGGUAAAAUCCUUACUAUCAAAAGAUUUGAUAUUAUAGGGGUUCAAGACUCCUUCAUAGUUUAUUGUUAAUUAAAUGUCUCUAUUUUAAGUCCUGUGAAUGAAAUUGUUUUCAGUAGAGGGUACUUUAUCAAGAGACUCUUUAAUGCAAAUCUGAAUUAAAUGAUUUGCUUAAUCCGCUCCCAUUGACUGUGGAUAUAUUUCAAAUUGCUUUAUCAAUAUGUAUCUAUUUAAAAUUAGUUGGAGUUAGUUAUAUGAUUUUUUGUUGAUUUUAAUAGUCUCUACUUUAAGGUAAAUUAGGGGUUGCUAAACGAAUGUAUAUAUGUAUAACAUUUUGUUGAGUCUCAUCCCCUCCAACGCUCAGCAAGUUGAGUCUCGCAGCCCCCCGAUUGUGCCAAAUUAUCCGAAUGGUUAUUCCAUCUUUAGCCGCGGGACAACUUGUUGCUCAAACAAGUGCACCUUUAAAUGCUAUAGAUAAUCCUACUAAAAGGAAGCCUAUUGGAAUAGUAUUCAAGAGCAUGAGCUAAGAGCUUUAGUAGAAGAUCCAUUGGAAGCUUUUGAUGGUGAUUUGUGCUUUGACAUAUUUGAUGAAGAUGAUGAAAAUAAAGUCUUGGACUAAUGCUUUGCUAGGCAACAAAGGAAAGGAUUUAUGAAAGAAAGCAUAGUUGGGAUGGUAAAAUAUUUGAGGAGGUUGUUCUAAGACAACUGGGGGUAGCAAAACAGAAGGCGAUAAGGUUCAACUACAUCGACAAGAUUCAAUAGAGCCAAGAGGAAUUGAUGAAACAUCACAUUUUCAAAGAACCAUGGAUCUUGUUGUACAUUCUUGCUUAGUUUAAGUUGUUACUACUUAAGUAUUAGCAUUUGUAAUAUAAUCAUAGACUUUAUUAUAAACUGUGAUAUUCAUAGAAUAUUUAGUUCUUUCUUCUUCUUAUUUUUUACAUGCAUGUUAAUUAGACGAGAGGAUUAGCAAGCUAAGAGAUAGCCCGCCUUGCUUGUACUUUUUAUUUUGAGUUUCGCUUUUAUUACUAUAUGAAGAAACUAACCCUAGGCACCUCGCCUAGUGGAUUUUCUUUAAAAAAUUAAUCACGUGAUUAAGUUUGAACAAAUUAACUAAUUUAUAUAUCUAUAUAUGAUUAUACAUGAAUUAAUUAUACAUGUAUUAUAUAUCCACCGGCUAUUUUUGGUUUAGGUGGCUGGGGAGGCGGUUAUUUAGGUUAAUUCUUCUUUUAGGUAUGCAUUGGCUCCUAAUUCCAGUAUGUCUAAGCCUGUUUUAUUUCGAUAUUAAAUACUUUGUCUUUUAAUGUAUGUGAAGGGUUUCUUAUUUUGUAUGACAUCUCAAUCAAUGUGUAUCCACUUCAAAUUAGUUGGAGUCAGUUAUAUUUUUUUUUUUUAAUAAGUCAUCACCUCAGGUUGUGGUGCCUUUGGUGAGGGGGGUUAGGCUUGACCCCUACCAUGUCUAUUAAUCAACAAGAAGCUUGUUAAGGGGGACAUGGACCUUACCCCUAACCAACAGAUUCCAUCUUUAAAAGAUCCACAAAAAAGAGUGAGGAAGGAGUAGCCUAUACAAUCUCCUUCUCUACCAAAGCAUAUAAACAUCAACUUACAAAGAAAUUACAUUUUUCAUAUUUUCUCCUCAUAUAAGGUAAUUGUCGCUUGUCUAGUUGAAUUAACCUUUGAUCUCUUGGUGAAGGGAUUGCCAAGAGUAAAAAAAGGUUUCAUUUCCAAUAGUAGAGGCCAUUUUAGCAAAGUAAUCUGCUACCACAUUAGCUUCUCGGUAGCAAUGGUUGAAAUCGACAUUGGCAUUUCUAACACUAUUGUUAGUGUCAUAAAUGAUCUUCUUCAGAUUGAGAUUAGCGGUACCUUUGUUUUUCAGCAUGUUGAUGAUCACCAUCGAAUCCAUUUCUAUAACGAAACUAUUAAGACCCUUCUGCACACACCAUUGAGCCCCAAAUCUAGCAGCUGUAGCUUCCGUUUGGUUAUUACUGGUACAAUGCACUACCCUUGAAAAGGCCAUCACAAAGCCUCCAUUGCUGUCUCUAGCUAUGCCUCCGAUACCUGCUUGUCCUGUGUCCUUGUUGUAGCUGCCAUCAACAUUAAUUUUGUAGUCCCCUGCUUCUGGUUUUUGCCAAAUAACUUGUUUGACAUUGACCUUAGGUUGCAAUCUUUCAAAAGUGGCACACAUGUUGGGCCAGUUUCCUGUUACGGUUACUAGCGGAAAAGUGAUGUCGAGGGCAGCAGUAAUAUUCCAUAUUAUUUGAUACUCCAUCUUCUCGUGGUACAUCUUGUUUUGACCCCCAAACUUACAAUUUGUCCAUUGUUUCCAGAUUUCCCAACAUAUAAAUAUAGGGGCAAUAUGAAUGAUCAUGUUGUGUACACUACUUUUGUUCGUAACACUCCACCAAUUAUUGAAAAUUCUUCUUGUAGGUCCUAGCAUAUGGAUUAUGCCCAAAGGUGCACCAAUAUAUUUCCAAAUAUGCAUAGCAGCAUUCCCCUGAGUAAAGGUGUGUUGGAUGAAAUCAGUUACAGGAUUUGUGCAGCAGUAGCAUUCAACAUUAGAAUGUUGUCCAAAUCUAGAUACAACCUCACCAAAAGGAAGUUUCCCUUGGCAUAAUCUCCAAGCAAGAAAGAUAUCUUAAAUGGUAUAGACUUAUGCCACAGAUUUUGCAUAAAAUAAUUUUUUGGCUUCACAUUUCUCACCAAAUUCCAAGCGGUUUUAUUAGAGUAAUGACCAUCUUCAGUACACAUCUAAAUAGGAUCAUCUUCCUGGUCAUUUGGCCCAAUGUGGAUGUGCAUAAUACUUUGAACAAUGUAGGAACAACAUGAAAUCUUUAACACAAUAUUUGGCAAAAAGCCCAUCACAGUAGACAGAAGGAAUAAGAGCCAAAGGGCCUAAAUCUGUCCAUCUAUCCCACCAAAAAUUGCAAUUUCCACUAUUGAUGUUCCAUUUGAUAUGGUUUUCCGCAAUAUUCCUGGCCCAUACAAGACUUUUCCAUCCUUGAGAGUUACCAGAGAUCCAUUUCUUUUGAACCAAAUGUUUAUUAGCGCAAUACUUGUUUUUCAAAAAAUCAGCCCAAAUAGUGUUUUUCGUUCUCAAUCUCCACCACCUUUUGAUUGCCAGGGUGUUGGAGAUAUCAACCAGGCUUCUAAUACCUAUACCUCCUUCAUCUUUUGGAUGACAUAAAUUAGUCCAAGAGCUCCAGUGAAACUUUCUCCUCUCAGUAGUAGUAGAACCCCAGUAAAACCUGGCCAUGUGUUUCUCAAUCAUAUUCAGAGUGGCUUUAGGAGGGUUAAGUGCAGAGAGAGUAUAAGUCAGCAGAGAUUGAAGGACACUCUUAAUAAGUACGGAUCUUCCCCCGUACGUGAGCAUCUUACCUUUCCAACCGUUAAUCCUCUUAACUACCUUAGAAAUCAUACCAUCAAAAUAUUCCACUUUUUUUCUACCAUAAUACAGAGGGCAACCCAAAUAAGUAAAAGGAAAUGACUUGUCCAUAUAGCUAGUGCAUUGUCUUAAUCUAUUGAUUCUAUAUGGACUAGUCUUGGGGCAUGUUAAAAAGAAACUCUUGUCGUUGUUGACCUUUUGACCAGAAGCCUUUUCGUAUCUCUUAAUUUGCUUCAUAAUCAUCUUAACUGAAUUUGUAUUACCACUGGAGAAUAUGACAAUGUCAUCUACGUAAGCUAAAUGAUUAAUUUGAGGCCCUCUUUUGUUCAUGGAGAAAGGGAUAAACUUGUUAUCAUUGUUCAAGUUGUUCAGAGAUCUUGAAAGAACCUCGGCUGCUAAGAUAAAAAAGGAAGGGGAUAUGGGAUCCCCUUGUUUGAGCCCUUGAGUGGAAUGGAAAAAUCCUUGUCUGGUACCAUUAUUAGGACUGAGUACCAGACAUUAGAAAUGAGCCUUUUGAUAAGGUCUAUCCAGUCACUACUAAAACCAAAUUUAUGCAGGACAUUUAAAAGAAAGGACCAGGAUAACCUAUCGUAUGCCCUUGCCAUGUCAAGUUUGAUCACCAUAUUUCCUCCCUGAUUAGGUUUAGCAAUAUCAUGAAUGAUCUCUUGGGCAGUCAGUUAUAUGAUUUUUGUUGAUUUUAAUAGUCUCUAUUUUGAGGCAAAUUAGUGGUUGCUAAAUAUAUGUAUAUAUGGAUAACAUCUCAAUAAAAAUGGCAUCCCAGUGCACUAAAGCUCCCGUUAUACGUAGGGUCCGAGGAAGGGCCCAAUUGUGCGCAGCGUUACCUUGCAUUUCUGUUAGAGGAUAUUUUCAAUCAAAAAAAUAUCAAUCUAGUUUGGUUCUGCUAUAUGAAUUUUUUUCGUAUCGUUCCAUUUUGUUGAGUCUUAUAAUGCCAAUGCUAAACAUGUUUGUCUAUUAAGGUAAAUUAGUAAGAUUCUCAUGUAAUGUGUAGUCUAUUAGCUCGAAUAAAAUCUCAGUUUCUUUUUCUGCAACUCUGCUGUUGUUUCUGCGGGUUUUGUUAUCGGUUGUUAUUACUUAUUAGGGUGUUGUACUUCUUAACUUGCGCAACACUUGCUUUCUGAAUGAGGUUUUGCAAUGUUUCAUGCACACGGUGUCUUUGUUUCACCUCAUUGUGUGGAACCAUCAUGCAUUUCCAUGUGAUAGUAAGGACAUUUGUUUCUCAGAAAAAUUUAGGUUUUGUGCACUGACAGUAUACAAAAUAUUCUACAUUAUCAGUAAACUUGACCUGCUAUUGCAGGUUACUCAAAAGUUUGUUUUUUCAAUUUUUAUGGAAAAAAUUGGAUAACCUGCAUUAGCAAGUCAAGUUUACCUAGAGUGUAAAAGUUUUUGUAUACUGACGAUGCACAAGACUUAAACUCUUCCCAGAAUAUCCAUUGUUUUGAGUUACUGAUAUUGAGUGUAUUGGAGUGGCUUUUUUCCUUAGCUGAUCGUCAUUUCUUGCUUUUGUAUACUAGUUGCAGGUUUCACGAGCGCAUUCUGUGUACUUUGCUUUUUUAGAGAGCUUAUUGACUUUUCGUUGGCUUUUGAGAAUAGUUCUAUCGCGCCGUUGAGACUUGUUGAAAAUUUCAGCUGUAUCCUUACUCAUGUCUUGGCACACACACGCACGGGUGGAUUCACAUGGAGACGGGUGGGUUCACUGGUAGCCAUGCUCCCGUCCCGUCUCUAUACCACACAUAUGAGUACCAUUUUUGUGAUUAGCUUUUAUAACUUGGAUGUUUGAUCCCUUCUUUUAUUUAGUUACACAUUUUUUUCAUCUUGUUUCUUGGUUACCUUUUAUAUAUAAUUAACGUCACUCACACUCCUUCUCCAAUUAUGAUAGAGACAACGUUGGAUCAGACCUAAACAUUUAUUUAUUUCCUUCUGAAGUUUACUUUAAUUUUACAUGUUGCAACUGGAAUUGUCGAAACAACAUUCUCAUCAAUGAAAUACAUAGAGAAUACUAGGCGUACUAACAUGGAUGAUGGUGAAAUAUGGUUGUGUUGUCUGUGGUCCUUAACUUUGUGAAAACAACAUGUGUUUGCAUAAGGAUUUAGCCUAAUCUACAAUUAACUAACUUUCCUACUUAGCAAAUUUACUUUAUUAAUAUAGGAUCUAAGUAAAAUGAAACGGAGAGGGUAUAUGAUAUUUUUAUAAGAGAGAAUUUAGGUAAUAUGAUAUAUAUAUACAUAUAUGUGUGUGAGAUAUAGUAUGUAGAUGUGUAUGCAUAAGGAUUUAUAGCCUAAUCUAUACUUGGUUUUGCUUUGUUAAGUACAAAACCAAUAUUUAGUCAUCACUAAAUUAAUAUUAAUAAGUAGCUUCCGGCAAAGAAAACAACUAAUUCUGAGGAUUCUAAAGGAGUAUAGACGUUAAAAUCACCUCGUCUUGUAAUAUAAUUCUCAUUUAGCUCUUUAUAACUGUGAUGUAACAAUAUUAUAACUAGAUCUGUUCCCUCUAAUGUUGUAACUAAUUUCGAAACAGCACAAGACAAGAUGGAUAGCUAAUUCAAAUGAAAUACACACUACUGAAUCAAAAUCAAUAUAUCUCCGUCCUUGUUAAAAUCGACAGGCAUGAUCAGAUUAAUCAACAUUCUGAAAAAUACUUUUCGAAAACCUAGAAAAAAAAAAAGCAAUCCUACUACAGUAAACAGACUUGGAUUGUCUACAGACUAAUUGUGGCUGGUUCUCACCAGCAAUAACAAACAAUAGUUUAAUUAUAUGCAACGCUAAUGUGAGUUUUGCAGCAAAAUAGACCAUGAGGAGAGCAACAGCUGACAUAUUGCCGGAAUGUCUCCAAAAAAUGGCUGCAAGCCUUUUCGACUCUUCCCAACUUGAAAUUAAUUAUUCUUUUUCAACGCCAUAUGAAAUAGUGGAUAAUAUCAAGGAGAGAUAUAGGGACAGCAAAAUUCAUAAAGAAAACUUUGAAUUAUCAUGGAUAGAUGAUUCUCCUCUAGUUGAUAAGUGGCUUGACAUUGCAAUUAAGAAAAGGUUUAUUUUCCAUUACUGAGUUUUGCAGCCUCCAACACCUGACCAUGAGGAGAGCUACACCUAACGUAUUGCUGGAAUGUCUAAUUCAAAAAAUACUCUGUUUUCUUAGUUAUGAAGAAGCAGCAAAGAUGAGUAUUCUCUCUAAAACAUGGUUGCAAGCCUCGUUAACUCUUCCCAACUUGAAAUUCACUGUUGAUCAUAGCAACGGCAAUAUGAAAAUAGUGGCGUACAAUAUUAUGGAGAGAUAUAGGAAGGGGAAAAUCCCUAUAGAAACAUUUGAAUUAUCAAUGUUUGAAGAAUAUCAGCUGCAGUAACCCAUUCCAGUACGUAGUUAUGAUCAUUGAACUGAAAUUUUAUGUAAAAAUGUGAUGGUGAAUUUCUACUCAUUUAGUUAUUUUUAGUUGAUUUGGUUUGUUGCUGUUCUGACCAUUUAUCAUCUUGGAAAACAAUGAAAAUAUAUAACAUUCCCGUCCCUGCUGGUUUUCUGUAGAUCAAAAAUCAAAACCAGUAUCAUUUAAUGUUACUAUUAAUGUUAAGACUACUUAGGAUGAAAAAUUAUAGUAAAGCUAGUUUCAAGUAACCUUGGAAAAAAAUGUUUGAGAUUGUGUGCUUUUACCGGAAAUUUUUGAUUUGGUAGCUGGAGAACGCAGGGAAAGUGGCUUAUUGACAUCAUGAAGGUUCCCAUGUUAGGAUUAUAGGAGCUUAAGUUAGGAUUAUAUGCUACAAGCCACAGUAUGCCAGAAGCUAUUAUAGCUUGGCAAUAUUAUAUUCCAGGAUUCACAAUAUUAUAUUAUAGCAGGAUUAUAGCUUCGCAAUAUUAGGUUAACUUCGCAAUAUUAGGUUAACUUCGCAAUAUUAUCAGGAUUCCAGGCUUGAUCAGACGUCUGUCACACCAGUGAUCCUCCUACAGUAAACAGACUUGAUUCAACAUUCUGAAGAAUACUUGUCGAAAACCUAGUCAAAAAAUAGAUCCUAACAGACUUGAUUGGACUUAAUAGAAAACCAUCCCCGUUUAUCUGAUAGUGGCGGACAAUAUUAUGGAGAGAUAUAGGAAGGGGAAAAUCCCUAUAGAAACUUUGAAUUAUCAAAGUUUGAAGAAUAUCAGCUGCUGUUACCCAUUCUAGUACGUAGUUAUGAUCAUUGGACUUAAUAGAAAACCAUCCCCGUUUAUCUGAUAUUAUUAUUAUUUUCCAAUGUUGUUUAGCUAUUAAAUACUUGCUUAAUUUCUAUUAUAUUUGGGAUAGUUGACUGAUGAUUUCUUCCAAAAACAGUCCACAACUUUAAUUAACUAAUAACGUAGAGUAUGUCUCUUGUCCCUAGCAGAACAUUAUUUAAUAGAAAAAAAAAAAAUUACCCAUGGGAAGCUGAAUUUUCCAGCGUAUGUGGUCUAUUAAUUAAGCAUCAGUUAACGAAGUCUUAUUUGGAUCGGAAUAUUUUUGUCGAGAAACUACAUAGCUAGAAAAAAAAAACCGUUGACACGAGAAUUCACAAAAUUUAUGCAGAAUUGUUGAGUGAUUUGUGUCUGUCUUUUUGAAGACCUUUAAAAUUUGGUUCAGGUAAUAAUGGUGCUUGGUGAAUUGAGGAUUUUCAAGUAAAGAAAGUCAUGAUUUGCAAACGGGUUUGAACAUUAGAAGGGAUUUUGUGGGAAGUUUCAAAAACCAGGAGACUUAUAGGACUAGGGUUUAAUAUAACUGGCAAAAAACCGACUUUUUAUUUUGGGAUAGUUUAUUUGUUUAUUUUUUUUAUUUGGUUAAAGUGACACUUAUUUUGAGAUGAAGGGAGGGAGUAUGUGAUAUUUUCAAAACUUUUGUAAUGGAUAUGUGUUAAAAGUGUAAUUAUCAAUAGUAAUAUAUAAUUAUGCAAACGCUAAACAGUUAGAAUUAAAAUUCGCAGAAUAGGGUUUUUUUUUUCUUUUGACAGCCGUAUUUGCAAAUAAAAUCUAAUUCAGGAAUCAGCAACUUCCAAGUCACGACCAUGGCUGACAUAUUGCCGGAAUGUCUUUAGUGGUAGCUUUAGUGCACCGGGCUGCCCUUUUCUUUUAUUAAACAUGAUUAAGUUGGAAAUAUCAAGCUACAACGACGUACAGUAUGAUUUUCAGUUUUCUUUGUAGUUCAUGUGAAUGUGUUGUACGUCUCUUUGGCUUAUAAAUGUCACUCCUGAGAUGUCAUGAUUGGUAUUUCUCUCCGUCAAAGUUUACAGAGAUAUCUGUAUUAGAUACUUAGCUAUGUAUAUCUCUAAUGCCCGACUUUGGACAAUCAAUGCGAUGAGGAGUGCCCAUCGUCUGUGAAUGCUUUGCUAUGGAAUUGUCGUCCUAGGAAACUGAACCUAGAAUCUGCAAGUGGGCCUUGGCAUAGUCAAUUAAAAGAACCAAAAGUUUUCAAAUUUGAUUUUAAAAAAAGUCAGUAUUGGUAUCUUGUAAGAGGAGAAAUAAGGGACGUUAGCGAGUUGGAGAAAUAUUUCUUUUUAUUAGACUGGUAAUGUAGUUUAUUCAACGAUCCAAUUUUCAUGAUCCAGACCUGUUUUGCUUUUGCAGUCUUGCAAUUUGACUAUAUUUGACUUUCAAUUUCUAAUUUUUUUUUAAAAGAAAAAAAAAAUUGAACUCUAUUUACAGUAAGGGUGAACUUCUUCUAAAUCCACUGUAAUUGGUAGUUCUCUCGAAGACUCGACUUGUAUAUUCUAAUGUCAAAAUCACUGAACCGAACAAGAUACAGAAACCUCUUAAAUAUGUCUACAUGUGCAUUUUCAAAAUUAAGAUGUUGGCAAGACACACAUAUGUCAAGUUGAAGUGUUUGGAUGAUCACAAUGAAAAUUAAGGUGCUCAACGGUAAAAGUCAAGUUACAGUGCUUAUCUAUAUAUCAUCCAUACUUUUUUUUUGUCUAGAAAAAACAUGAAAAUUACCAUCGUUAGAGAGUUUCCAAAAUAGAAAAUUGUGCUUGUGAUGUAAGAGGAAUAGAGCGAAAAAUUUACUUUUAGAUAGUGACCUAACCUUAUUCUUAGCCGUAUUCCAUCUGUCAUCCCAUAUGUAGUCAUCAACGGGGGGCGGCCAGAGGGUCAAGCCACUGAAGGAAGGGUUUUAGGCCACAACAUUUCGGGCCCCAAUCAUUUUCAAUCCGGUGUUUAGAUAUUGAAUUUUUUGAUUAAUUCAAUUUUGGGACAUGUCCGAUCCAUUAAGAGAAAAUUGUUCCGUAACAAGAAUUUUUUUCAAUUUAAGUUUUUUAUCCAAGACCUCUAGUCAAGGGAGGAUAAGGAACAAAGAGAACUUCCCGUUAACAUUGGCUUUAGGCCACCGUUCUAAUUGAGCCACCAAUGAUCACCAAGUGUUAUUGUCAUGGUUAAAACUCAUAUUGAGAUAAUUGUUCAGGGUCUCAAAACCAAACCAAUUAUCCCAUCAAAAAGAGAUAUUUCUAGAGUUAAUUUUCACAAAAGAAUAAAAAUUAAAAAAAAUAAAAAAACAUGAGAUGAAUCAUGACCAAACAGGCUUAUAAUAACUAAGAAGCAGUUUGUGAAUAAAUUUCUGGUUCUCACAAUUCAACAUGGUGCCAAAAGGGAUAAAGAUUCUAAGCUCAAAUUUUACUAUCACCAAGCAACAUAAUAUUCUCACAUGCUUGAUUCAAGAAAAAAAAAAGAUUAAAUAAGAAGACAUACUUCUAAUUAUUUUCAAAAGGGUUGAUAUUUAUAUUAUUUAUACUUAUUCAAUCAUGUUCAAAAUAACUUGGGCUAAUAUGCGUUGGGUCAAGAUGGACUAAAUAAUGAAUUGUAGCCCAAUUCGCCCAACUUGACCGACCUUUUCUUCUGUACUUUUAAGAAUUACUAACAAAUAUCAGCAACCAAAUAUUUCUAAAGAAAUACAGCAACAAGCACAAAUUCAAGGUACAAGUUCUGUAUUUUAGAAAUUUAAAAAUUUUAUAUGAAGAAAAUAUUUUAUUAUAUACUUUUAUGCAUCCCUUCCUAUAAAGUACAAGCAUAAGGAUUUGUUUAAAACAGUUUUACCUUUCCAACAAAAUAAAGAAUCAUACUACAUAUGAUGAUAUCUUUAAAGUUCUCUUAUAGUGUGCUUAUGCUAUUAGCUAGAAGAAAUAAUAGUUGUUCUUCAGUUAACAUAAACAGAUCUUACAUUUUUUUCUUUUAUAAUAAAAUUAUUACUUUACUUUUAAUUGAAAAAAUAUAAAAUGAAUUAUUCAAACAUACGUAGUAUAUAUUUCCCUCUCGAUUUGCUUAAAUUUUCAUUGCAUAUUAAGUCUAGAUUAAUAUAACAAGAUUUCGAUAAAAGCUUUAAGCAAUUGAUUGAUCAACUUUGAGCAUCAUCAUGAAUUUAUUUGAACUGAUGAUUUGUAAUGGAUUAACUUAGACUAAUUCAAAUUAGUCCAUUAUCAAAAUCACUUUUACCCAAACUCAUCAAACCUCAGGCGAGUUGGACGGGUCAUUGAGUUUGAACUAAUUUUGUCACUCCUAAGCAAUUGUGUUUAUUCCCUCUUAUUAAUUUUCAAAUAAAGAAAAGGGGUAGUUGAGUAGGGGUUGUUGUCAUGUACUUUUAUAAUUGCACAAGGUUAGAUUUUUUAUGUUUUAUAGUCAAAAGGAAACUUUUUACUUUUCCAUGUGCUAGUCCAGCACUUAAUUCAAAUUUAUUUGGUAACUAAUCAUUUCAACAUAUAAAAAUUAUAUUUAGACAUCUUAACUUUAUUAAAUUGAUCUUAUACAAAUUCUAAUUUUAAAAAGACAUAUCUCGAAUGCACCACCUUUAAAGGUAUUUAGAUGAUAUUUUUAAAAUUAAAAUAUUUUAUAAUAUACAAUUAUAUCGAAUUGAAAUGUCUAGAUAAUCACAAUAAAUAAACUUCUGAUAUACACAAAACUCAACAUGAACCAAAGUUCCAAUUUUAUUAUCACGAGGCAACACUAUUUUCACAUGCUUGAUACAAGAAAAAUGAUUGUCUUAUUGACAACAAGACGUACUUUUAAUAUUUUUAAAUGGCUUGUAGAGACCGUUUAGUUCACUAUAAUAAAUCAACAUUUAAGUAUUUAUUUAAAUUAAGAAAAUGAUUGGUUGGGUGGCUGCUGUCACGUUUACUUUUUAAAAUGGCAUAAAGUAGAAGUUUCACAUUUUAUUUCAUUUGUUAGUGAUGAAAACUCCAAUAAAUGACAAAUUUGUCCGGAUAUUUUUUAUUGCUAUAGCAAAAUAUUAUUAUAAAAAAAUAUAAUUAAAAGUAUGUUUUUUUAAUUUUAUACCUAAACUGAACUAUUAAAUGUGUAAAUUUUACAUGAUUAUCACCAACUAUUUAUCAAACACAUUAAUCGAGGUAUGUUUUCAUAAAUGGUUGCUGAUAAUCUAAUAAGGAAAUUCACGCACAUGUGAUAGUCCAUGUAUGAAACUCAAAAAUUCAGAAUACUUUAAAUGUGUUUUAGAUCAUUAACUCUAAGCUAACAUGAAAAUUGAUUCCAAAGAAAACUUCGUUACUACAAUAAAAUCUUAUAAAUAGAAAAUGGUUGUUAUAGAAAGAUCUAAAUAUACUGAUUGUGAGAUAAUUAUUAAAUAAUUAAAAAGAAAGAGAUACUUAUUACUCUCUACCGCAUUUAAUAAUGAAAGAAUAUUUUAAAAUUUUGAGUUGUAAAAUAUAUUUUAAAUAUUUUUAUAGCUAUAGAUUAUUUUAUACAGCGUAAAAUAAGAAUUUUAAAAUUUAAUUAUUAUAAAAUAUCUAAAAUAUUGUAUUAGAACCUAGAGUGCUGAGUAAAUUAAAAUGGGGGGACAAAAUUAAUUUUGUAGCUGAAAUUAAUUCACCCUUCAAUAUAAGCAGUGACGGAUUCAAAGUUUUUCCGAGAGAUUUUAAACUAUUAAGAAGCAAACAUGUAAAAUUUACAAGAUGAAAAACCGGAAAGAAAAAGAUCAAUCUUAAUCCUUCUAUAUUUUAGUGUGUUUUCUUUUUUACAGUAUUUUACUUUAUUUUACACUUUUUAAAGUUCAGAGUUAAAAUUCAUUUAAUUAUAUGUUACUUUAAAAAUAGUCAAGAUUUUUCAAAAGUAUGUAAGAAUUGAGCUACUAAUGUUAUAAUGUACAUUCAAAAGAUAAACAAAUAGCAUUGCUGAUAUUUUUAGUUCAAAUUUAUAGGUUAGUAAAUGAAAAAGAAAAGGACAAAUGAUGAAUAAACCAAGUAAGUUUAGUUAGUUUACUUUAAUUUCCAUGUAAAAAAAAAGUUUAGUUUCCAUCUCUCUAAAAUAGAAUUAGAAAAAAUGGGAGAGAAAUAUCAUGAAAUUGAAUAAAAAAAACUUUAUUUAAAUCGAUAUUGCUAAAACAACAUUCACGACUAUAAAUUAAAAUUUCUUUAUUUGAUUAAAUUUAAUUUACUUUAUUUUAAGAGAUUUUUUUCUAUUUCAAUUUCAAGUUUAAUACUAAUUCACCAUGUUUUGAAAGAGUUUCUUUAAGUUAGUACAUGAAGAGAGAGUUAAAUAAAAAAAAAUAUAGAAAUAAAAAAAUAAAAGACAAAAAAAAAAAGAAUAUGACUAAUAAAUUUGAACAAAAACAAAUUAAAAAAAAUGACAUAAAAGAGAAAAAUAAUGAAAAAGAAGAAGAACAAAGAUUUUAGAGCCUUACCACCAAAGGAAGUGGUGAGUGGAUGGAGCUACUCCAUUCUUAACUAAAAAUCUCGGGUUCGAGAUCUGAGUACAUGGUGGAGUUUAGUUAAGGGUGUUCAUAUUUUUUCUUGGGCAAAGAACUAUUUAAUAAACAAAGAAAAUAAAGCAUUGUUGCAUCUAUCAAGGUUCGAACCCGGAUUGUUGAUGCAAAAAUGCAAAUUCUUGAUCACUGGACUAUACUUUUCCAACUUGUCAAGGGUGUGCAACAACAUGUAUAUAACCAUAAAUAUCUAUAUUUAACCUAUAUACUCAAAAAAAAAUUUCGAUGAAGAGUAUUCAUCUGAUCACCUUCAUUGGCUGUGGCUUCGCCACUGUCUAAGUAUGGAAAAAUUCUUUGUAGGGAGCGCUACCCCUCGAAUGGAGCGCUACCCCUCGAAUGGAGCCUUACCCGACACAAAUUUAAAUUAAUCGGAUUCCAAUGCAAGUGUCGGACACUGGAUGAAAAAAAAAAAAGAUUUUAGAGAUUUUGCUAUGGGAUUCUUUCCAAAGCAGCGUGGGAUUUGAACCCGCGACGACGGCUAGAAAUGAUCCCACUUAGCCAAUAAGCUAAGCUUUUUCCGUAUUUUUGGGGAGAUUCAUUUUAAUAUACUCUUAAAAUCAAAAUUUAAUUAUAUAUAUAAGGUCUUUCAUUCCAACUUGUCUUGUAGAUAUGCACCAAAACUUUUGAAGUGAACUCCAAAAUCCACAAUCCAAAAGACUUGCACCAUGUCUCUUUUCUCUCACUACCUUCACAUCCCAAUGGAAAUUCAAAAUCAAAUACUUACUUCCUUUUAAAAAGAAUGACUCAAUCUGAUUUGACAUAAAGUUUAAGAAAAUAAAAAAAAAUUUUGAAUUUUGUGACCUUAAAUUAAAGCUAUGUCAAAUAUACCAAAACACUCUUUAAUCUUGUGGUCCUAAAUAUGUCAUGUGGAAAAUUGAAAUUGAAAUUAAAAUAUUAUAAAAAAAAAAAGGGGUCAUUCUGACUAAAAAAAAAAAAAUAGAUCAUUCAUUUUUAAACGGAGGAAGGAGUUGAAUAAAAAACCCUCACAAAUUAGUAUAUUGAACAAGUCAAAAUAAAUGAAUGAAGCAUAUUCUUUUUCACAAUUUAUAUUAUGAUAUUUUAACUCAAUACAAAAUUUAAUAAUGAAAACUAAUUUAAAAUUUUGUGUUAGAAAAUAAAUUUUAAGUAUUUGUAUAGCUUCAAAUUACUUUAUUAAGUACAAUAAUAACAACAUCAAUAACAUACUCGAUAUAAUCUCAUACAGUGAGGUUCAGAGAGGAUAAAAUAUAUACAAUUUACACCAUUACCUUAGAGAUAAAAAGGUUGUUUUCGAUAGAACCUUAGCAAAUUAUUUUCAUUAAGUUUAAAAUAAUAAAUUUGAAGUUAGUAUAUUACUUCUCCUCAUUUCUUUUUAAUUGUUUCAUUUUCUUUUUUAGUGUCAGACGAUAUAAAUUUUAAUUAAUAUUUUAAGGUAUAUUUUUUAAUUAAAUUUAAAAAAAAAAUUAUAAUUUAUAUUACUUUCACGUAGUUUUUGAAUAUCUAAAUUUUAAUUUUAAAAAUUAAAUUAAUAUAAUCUAAUUUAAUUUUAAAACUUAAUUAAAUUGAUUGACAAAAAUUGAGGAAACCAAUAAAAAAAAUAUAAAAUGUAAAAUACUACUUCCUUCACUCCAAAAUAAUUAAAUUAUUGACAUAUGACACAACUAAAUCCUUUAGGACAUAAAUCACUAUUAUCUUUUUAAUUAUUUUUAAAUUAUUCGAACUCAUUAAAUGAAAGGAUCAAAUUGAAAAAAAUUUACAUAUCUCUUAAAAAAUAAAUAAUUUAUUUAUCUAAAUAUUAAAAAAUAGCUCAAGAGUUGAUUCAUUUUGGAAUUAAUGUUCACUUUCAUUAUAAGUACUUCCAUUCCCAACUAGUCCUGUAGAUAUCUGCCAAACCGUGAACUCCAAAAGGCUUCCACAUCUCCAAUCUUAGCUUACAGUGGAAAAUCAAAUAGUUGCAAAAAUUCCCACAAAUAUUUCCCUAGAAUUGCAACAAUUUUCAUGUCUUCCAGAUGAAAUCAUCAUUGAAAUACUCUCAAGGCUUCCAGUUAAAUCUCUCUUGAAACUAAGGUGUGUUUCAAAAUCUUGGUUUUUUUUACUAUCAAGUUCACAAUUUAUGAAAAGUCAAAUCAAUUUUUGUGUUAAAGAAUGCAAGGAUGUGAAUUUUAGACUUGUUGUUGCAGUGGGUAAAAUGUGUAAUAUUUACUCUCUAGGAUUAAAAUUUGGUGAAGUUGAUUUCCCUUUGAAACACCCUUUUGGAUCUUGUAAAUUCUUGGGAUCUUGUAAUGGAUUGAUAUGUUUAACACCAAUGUCAUUUAAGCUGAUGUUGUGGAAUCCAUGUACUGGAAAGUACAAAGAGUUUCAAGAUUCAUAUGUUCAGAGUGUUGGAAGUUGUUAUAUUAGGUAUGGUUUUGGUUAUGAUGUUGUUAAUGAUGAUUUUAAGGUUGUUAAGAUUUUUAGUUUUGCUAUAGAUGAGGUGAAGUAUGAGAAUGUGGUGAAGAUUUAUAGCUUGAGAGGUGAUUCUUGGAAGAUAGGUGAGGGGUUUGUGAGUGGUUAUAUGAAUGCACAAUCGGGGGUGUUUGUGAAUGGAUUUUUGCAUUGGGAGGUAAGCGAUUGUCGCGGUUCGGGUGAUUGUUCUGAGAUUAUGACGUUGGAUUUGGCUACGGAGACGUAUGGGGUAAUGGGGUUGCCUAAUUGUGAAAAGGGGAAUGUUAGUUGGGGGUUGAGUGUUGUAGGUGGGAAUUUAGUUGCUUGUUGUAACUAUUAUCCGAAUAGAACGGAUAUGUGGGUGAUGAAAGAGUAUGGUGUGGAGAAGUCGUGGACUAAGUUGGUGUCGUUGUUGUCUCCUUUUGGUCGUAUGGGUUAUAUCUCGCCCUUGUUUGUGUCGGAGAAUGGUGAUGAAGUUUUAGUGAAACUUGGUACGGAUAUAAGUUUGUAUGAAACGAGGAACGCUUCAUACAAAUCCAAGGAGAUUUAUCCUUGAAAAGAUAAAAUUAAAAUAUUAUCGAAAAGGAAAAAAAUUUAUAUAUAUAUAUUUUUUAUAAAAUAGACUUAAAAGAAAAGUGAAUUAUUCUUUUUGAAACGAUAAAUUAUCAUAUCACACAUAGCUGUCAGCUACAUAGAGGUCAAUUCUCCAUUUCUAAAAAUAUAAAAAAAUAUAUUAGAUAAUAAAUAGUAUUUAAUAACAAAGAUAAAUGAGUAAAAAUAAAUCAAAUAUACAGUAAUUUUUAAACCUAAACAAGUAUUAUUAAAUAUUUAUUUUAUUAACAUAAACAAGUAAAAAUAAACAAAAAAAAUAUCUAUUAAGUUAAACGUCAAUUGUUAAAGGUGGUGUGGAAUUCAUGGACAUUGAAACACAUUGGCAGAUAAAUUCAGAUAUGAGUAAGUCAUAAUUACAAGGAUUAAAGAUAUGAGAAAACAUUUCUCUCCAAGAUUAAUUCAAUUAGGAAUGCAUUCAAUUUUGAUUUAGUGAUAAAAGCAGAAUGCGCCAUAUUAAUUAAAAAAAUUGAUAUUCAAGUGGAAAAAGUUAGAUUGAGGUAGGGGUCCAUUAUCUAUCGAAUUUCAAACAUAGGACGUAAAAAAAAAAAAAAAAAAAAAAAAUUAAAUAUAAUAAAAGAGUGAUGUGACUCACAUCUUUUUGUCUUUAAUCCAGAAAUAAUGUAUGGAGGUACAUUAAAGAUGUGGGCAAAAUAUUUUUUUUUUUUUUCUUCAAUUCAAAAAUAAUUUGUGGAGGUACAUUAAAGAUUUGUGCAAGAUAUUUUUCAGCUUCUUGUCUUCAAUUCAAAAAUAAUUUAUGGCGGUACAUUGAAGAUUUGUGCAAAAUAUUUUCAUCCUUUUGUCUUCAAUUCAAAAAUAAUUUAUGGAGGUACAUUAAAGAUUUGUGCAAGAUAUUUGCAUCUUUUUGUCUUCAAUCCAAAAAUAAUUUAUGGAGGUACAAUAAACAUUUGUCCAAGAUAUUUUCGUUUCUAUGCUGUUUGAUAUGUCAAUUGUCUGCUCCACCUUUAAUCAGAGAUAGAGGGUUCGACUCUGGACAUGAAGAAAACUCUGUUGAGAGCUAUCUCCUGAAUGGAUCCCUACCCGGUACGAAUUCGAAUUAAUCGGGCUUCAAUGUGGGUAUCGGACAUCGGAUGGGAAACCAAAAAAAGAAGAUAUGUCAAUUGUAUAUUUCCAUCUUAUCUUAUUUAUUUUUGUAUUAUUCAAAUUUGAAAAAUAUUUGAGCUAAAAAUUUAUCAAAAAUAUUUUUUUUAUCUAAAAAUAAAAUUAACACAAUUUUUUCUGGACUCCACUUAUUAUUAUUGUUUGUUAUUAAGUUGAGAUUAUUAGGAUCAAGAGAGGGAAAAAAGAGGGGAAAUUUUCACUUAUCUUGUGGAUGGAAAUAUUGGAAUUUACUAAUAAUAGAAGGGCAUACACAUCGUCAACCUCCUUAAUUUGGCAUCAAUUUUAAUUUUGGCAUCUUAACUGUCCAUUGUUCAUUUUAAAUAUUUAAACUAAUGUUUCGUUGUAUCUUUUUUAUCACUUUUUGCUGACAUAAUAAAAUGAGUGUGACAUACCCCUUAAAGUGCAUGAGAAGCUUAUUUAGAUGAUUUUUAUUUUUAUUUUCUUCAUCUUCUUUCCCAUUGUGAUCCACGCACAUGAUAUAUUUUUACUGAUUGUGUAAAAAGUAUCAAAAUUACAUAGUAAGACACCGGUUAGGAUGUUUAAAAUGAACGGUAUGUAGUUAAAGUGCCCAAAUAAAAAUCGAUGUCAACUUUAAGAAACUGACGAUGUAUUCGACCACAAUAGGAACUUUAUAUCUCUCUAAGUUAUAGAUUUUUUGUUUAUGAUAAAACGACUUUUUAUUUAUAUUACAAAGAUUACAGAGGUAGAAGUUGUGGAUGUACCACUAUAGACGUUGAAGAUCUAUGUUGUACAAGCUGAACAUCUCUACUAGAACUAAUAUAAUAUGGGUGAGAGAGGGUCUGCGUCACCUUUCUAAUACUUGGAGCUCCAUUUUGGUCCGCACACAAAAUCACUAAAAAUGAUAGUGGAGAUUUCCAAAACAGUACAACAAUAAAGACAAUAUUAUUUAACUAUCACCAUUCCUAGAUAUUACAUCUGCUAACUUAUUCUGCUUUCUGUACACGUGGUAUCUCUCUGAAUUAUAUAUUUCCAUUAUCACUUCAACUGAAUCCAAUAUUUCUAGUUUGGGUAUGAAAUAUUGAUUUUAUUUUGUUGACAAUGAUAUGAAAACAUUCAGAAAAAGGUAUUUAGGAUUUGAAAGAUCAAAAUAAUUCUGUGGUAUUCCUAAGUCCUUGAUUGAUAAAAAUUUACAUGCAAUCAAUGUUUAUAUCAAAAUAAAUAAUUUAACUUCAGAAAUUAAAAAAUGAAAUGACAAUACAUAUUUUCGAAAUUAUUUGAUUGCAAUCACAAGAAAACGAAUGAAAAAAACAAAAAGCUUAGUUUAUGAGCAACAAGGAAUGUCACUAAAUUUGUCUUUAUUAAUUUUUUUAAACCUAUUUCUCAUCACAACUUAUCUAGGCGAGGCGAAUUUAAGAUUAAAAAUUUAUGAUUUUUAUAUUAAUUUUAAAUUAACUCUUCAAAUACCUUGCGAUAAAGUUUUAAGUAUUAUACACCAUUAGUAUUAAAAAGAAUAUUUACAAGUCAACCUUAAAAUAUGAAAUUUGAAAACUGAAAAAUAAAAUAUUUUACUUGAUACAACAUGUAAAAUAAAAUGACUUCAUGGUGAAAUAUUUUUAUUUUAUAUAAACAGUGAAUAUUACUUAAACUCAGACAAAUACUUAAUAGAUUUUUGUAUAUAGUACCUUAUCAAAAUAGAAAAAAUAUCUACUAAUUUAAAAGUGAAUCGUUAAAGGUAGUAUGAAAAGCUUAUUAGAGAAUUCAUGGACAUUGAACCACACAAGAGGAUAAAUUCAGUCAUGAAUUACUCACAUUUACAAAGAUUAAAGAUAUCAGAAAAUAUUUCUCUCCAAGAUUAAGUCAAUCAGGAAUGCUUCCAAUUUUAAUUUAGUAAUAAAAGCAAGACGCGUGAUAUAUAUGAUUAAAAAAUUUUAUGUUCAAGUAAAGAAAGCUAGAUUGGGGUAGGGUCCGUUAUCUAUGGAAUAUCAAACCAUACAAUAAGGAUUGUGGUAUCCCGUCUUUUUGUCUUCAAUUCAAAAAUAAUUUAUGGAGGUACAAUAAAGAUUUGUCCAAGAUAUUUUCAUUUCUAUGGUUUUGAUAUCUCAAUGGUAUAUUUCAUCUUAACUUAUUUAUUUUUUGUAUUUUUCAAAUUUUAAAAAUAUAUAUUUAAACUGAAAUCUAUCAAAAGCAAUUUUUUUAUCCAAAAAUAAAAUUAACACAUCAUCUUUUUUGGACUUCACUUACUAUUAUUGUUUGUUAAUACGUUGUAAUUAUUAGGACCAAGAGAGGAAAAAAAGAGGGGAGAUUUUCACUUAUCUUUCGUUUGGAUGGAAGUAUUGGAAUUUACUAACAAUAGAAGGUCAUAAACAUCGCCAACCUCCUUAAUUUGACAUCAACUUUAAUUUUGACUUCUUAACUGGCCGUUGUUUAUUUUAAACAUCUAAAUUAGUAUUUUGCUUGUGUGUGUUUUUUCAUUUUUUGCUGACAUGACAAAAUAAGUAUUAUUUUUAAAACUUUAAUCAUACCAUGUAAUUAAUAAAUUAUUUCAUCUAUUAUGUGUAAUUUUUUCAAAUUUAUUUUACAAAGCUUAAAGAUAUCAUAAAACAUUUAUCUCCAAGAUUAAUUCUAUCAAGAAUGCUUCCAAUUUUGAUUUAGUGGUAAAAACAGAACACAUGAUAUAUAUGAUUAAAAAACUUGAUAUUCAAGUUGAGAAAGCUAGGUUAAAGUAAGGUCCUACGAUAUAACGGAAAAAGAUCAAAUUCAUAGAAUAAAAAGGAGUGAUGUGACAUCUUUUUAUCUUCAAUCCAAAAAUAAUUUAUGGAGGUACAUUAAAGAUUUGUCCAAGAUAUUUUCAUUUCUAUUGGUUUUAGAUAUCUCAAUUAUAUAUUUUCAUUUUAUCUUAUUUAUUUUUGUAUUUUUCAAAAUUUUAAAAAUAUAUAUUUAAACUGAAAAUCUAUCAAAAAUAAAUUCUUUAUCCGAAAGUAAAAUUAACACACCAUCUAUUGGUGUUAGAUAUCUCAAUUAUAUAUUUUCAUCUUAACUUAUUUGUUUUUGUAUUUUACAAAUUUUAAAAAAUAUAUAUUUGAACUGAAAAUCUAUCAAAAAUAAAUUCUUUAUCCAAAAGUAAAAUUUACACCACCAUCUUUUCUGGGCUCCGUUUACUAUUUGUUUGUUUUGAUAAUAUGUUGUAACUUGUAAUUAUUAGGACCAAGAGAGGAAAAAAAUAAAGGGGAGAUUUUCACUUAUCUUCCGUUUCGAUGGAAAUGUUGGAAUUUACUAAUAAUAGGUCAUACACAUCGCCAACUCCUUUAAUUUGACAUUAAUUUUAAUUUUGAUAUCUCAAUUGAUCGUUGUUCAUAUUAAGCAUUUAAAUUAGUGCCUUGUUGUGUCUUUUUUGACACCUUUCACUGACAUGACCAAAUGAGUGUGAUACAUUCACUUGAAGCAGGUGAGAAGCCAAUUUAGAUGAUUUUUAUUUUUAUUUUCUUUAUUUUCAGCCACCAUUUUAGAUUUUCCAAAGCUUAAAUUUCUUUCGUGGUGAAUGAAGACGUAAAACAAUCUAAUGCUUCAUUUUCGACCCUAAUUUCGUGAUUAUUAGACACAUCUUUAAUACUUGAAGCACAAUAACUAUUCACUUUAAAAAAUUUAAUUGACGGAAAACUAAAUUUUUAUACUAAACAAUUAUUUGAAAAUGAAGAUCAUUUUUAACCGACCAAGAAAUGAUUCUUCUUCCGAAAGCAUUACCUAAAACGCAAUACAUUUAUCUUCCAAUUGCAUCCUAAUUAAGUUGUAAAUUCAGAGAUUGGAUUUAUUUUAUUGCUCUAUUAGGAUUUUGGAAAAAUUUGAUUAUCUCAAUUCUCAAAGCUUUGGACUAUGUUCUAUGUGAAUUGUUCAUCACAAAGGCGGAAUGACCGUGAAAUUUUGGUCUGUAGAUGGGUAUGGAUUGAUUUUUGGUAUAGUCUAGAGCUACUUAUUAAGAAGAAAAAUCUCAAUAAAAACUUUUUUUCUAAGGUCAUGCAGUGGCGGAGCCGCAGCCAAUGAAGAGUGGUCAGAUGAAUACCCUUCGUCGGAAUUUUUUUUUGAGUAUAUAAGUUAAAUAUACAUAUUUAUGGGUUAUAUACAUGUUGUUGCACACCCUUGACAAGCUAGAGAAACAUAGUCCAGUGGUCAAGAGUGCAUUUUUGCAUCAACAACCUGAGUUCAGACCUUUGCAGGUGUAGCAGUGUUUUAUUUUCUUUGUUCUGGCUCCCCCACUGAGGUCAUGAUGGUGAAGUUAUUGGGGUAUGCUGAGAAAUAGGAAAUUAGGGUGGGGUGAGUGGGGAGUACACUUCUCCAUAUAUUUUUUAAGUGGCUAAAUUCUCUUUUUAUAAUUAUUUGGAUCAUGUGUUAUCGAUUCAUUGACCACUUUUUAUUUUUACUAAAAAUUCAUCAUUUAAAAUUAUUUUGGCCAUAAACGACAAAUGUCAUCAUUUAUUUCGAUGUUUUACAUGUUAUCCGCGAGUGUGACUCACACACAUAAUAUAUAUCUACUGAUUGCGCAAAAAGUGCCAAAAUUACAUAGUAAGAGACCAAUUAAGAUGUUUAAAAUGUUAGAAUUAUUUAUUUUAUGUGGACUUAACAUUAACUUUUCAUUACAUUAAAAUAAAAUGGGUUGAUGUUAUUAAUUGGUGGACAAGACACAGGCCAGGUAUUCAUGCGGAUUUCAUAUGGGCCUGUAUCUAUUUCAUGUUAUUGGUAUGGGCUUACAAUAGUGUAGGCUUGUAGUAGACCUGUGAGCCCAUAAUGGGGGGUGCACUAGGUUAAGGCUUUUAAGCCUAUAAAUAUAAGGUUAGGUCCCUUUCCUGACUUUAACGUAUGACGUAUUCCCAUAAGCUGCUAGCCGUCAUAAGCAAAGGAGAGGAAGACUCAGCCUAGUUUGUCUUCGAUUAAGUGUAAGCAAUGACAGACAAAGGUACACAUCUUUCCUCUCUCAUAUUCCGUUACUUAUAGGUGUUCUUGGUUUAUGUGAAUCUGUGGUGUGUUUCUCUAUUAAAUUUCAACACUUGGUAUCAAGAGCUUUUCAAAUAGAUCUUGAACCUUAUGACUGAAUACUACGAUUUAUUUUUCGAGAACCUCAACAUGAUUGAGUUUUGAAAUUUGUUUAAUAUUAUCACUAAUUUAAUUUUUUUUUCUGCUGCGUUUCUCGGUGAUAAAGUGUUAAUUUUAUUUAUAAUAUUUUUAAUUGUGUGGUUACGUGUUGUGUCACAUGAUCAAAUUAAGCAAUGACAUGUUGAAUCCCUGAGAGUGAAUUUAUUUUAUAAAUUAGGAUAAAUAGUGUACACCAAACUGACCUAUUUGUUUUACUUUAUGAGACUUGUUUAAUCCAUUUUGAGGGAUAUCACUAAGUGAGAACAUACAAUAAUCUGCCCAAAGGAGAUUUAUCGUGUGUUUUAAAUUAUUAUUGUAAUGAGCCCCAUUAUGUGAAAAUAUUUUGAUUUUAGAAAAUUUAUCUGCCCAAACGGGAUAGGUUUCUAAUAUUGAAAAUAUUUUCUUGUCUUAUCCAAAGGGGGCAACUUGUUGAUGCUGCGGGACUCAUUGUUGUGAUAAGAUUAUAAUUCUUAUGCCUUGCUAUUUUGAUAAAUUCAUUCAUGUUGUGUUGUGAACAAUUACUAUUUAUUUGAACAACAACAAUGCUGAAAUUGUGAUUCUGUCUAUUGGCGCAUACAUCCUAUCUUGGAAGAUAUCUCAUGAUUGAUCUUCCUUAUCUCAGUAGAUCUUCUAUAUCUCAGUAUCUUAUAGUGAUUCAAUUUCUAUUUAGGAGAAGAUCACAAUUCUUUAUUAGUUGAUUCUUUCCUUAUUUAGUUUGUAUUCUCUUGUAUAUAUACACAUACAUGUCAAUGAAAUCAAUAAAAGCUUUCAUACUUUACUCAUCUUUAUAUGAUAUCAGAAGCCUCAGUAUACUCUAACGAGUAAGAUUUUAUUUUCUCUCCCUCCCACCCUCCACAAAUGACAGACACUCCUUGAGUUGUUAAUGCUGACAACAACGUCAGCCUGAUGGUUAUUCAAUUUAACCCUACGUCCUAAUUGCCCAUUAAAUUACUUGGCAACCAUAAUUUUGCAACGUGGAAGGCAAAAUUUUCCAUGCUUAUUCAUGGUCAUGAUCUCUAUGGUUAUUUUGAUGGGUUAACAUCUUCCCCAUCUCACACUAUCACAAUUGGCACAGACCCUGGUGCCAAUCCUGUGUUUACUCUUUGAUUUUGACAAGACCAACUCAUUCAAAACGCACUUAUGACAUCUGUUGAUCCAACAAUUGCCACAGCUGUUGCAGCGGCUACCUCAGCAAAGACAGACUGGGAUGCAUUGCACAUCACCUAUGCGAACAAGUCUCAAACCAGAAUUUUCAGUCUGCAUGAUCGACUUAUGCGUCUGACCAAAGAAUCCCAGCCAGUCACCAAAUAUUUUCAAACUAUUCGAUCUAUUUCUGACGAACUCUCUACUGUUGGUGCUCCAAUCUCCAACUCUGAACUUAUUGUCAAGAUCCUCAGUGGUUUGGGUCCAGAGUUUCGUGAGAUUUCUGCUGCAAUUCGUGCUUAUGACUCCACUAGUACUUAUGAAGAACUCCACGAAAAGCUUCUGGAUCAUGAGCUUUUCCUUCGACAUGAAGAGUCAAAAAAAGUUCCCAAUCAGAUUACUACUGCUGCUGCUACCUCCAACAAGCCUGGUACUUUGAACAAUCACUUCAAUCGUCUCCCCAGAAAUAACAAUGACAACAACCAACAGUGGCGGUUCAACAAUCACUUUACUUCACCCAAUCCACGGCGAUCUUUGACUACUAUCAACUCUUCUGAUGGUGUUUGCUGUCAGUUGUGCAACAAGCCAGGUUAUUUUACAAGUGUUUGACGAUCAAAAUCUCAUAAUCACUUUGAGGCGAGAGCCAAUUAUGUUUUAGGAUUACAGGCAUCAGAAAAUCCUUGGAUUCUCGACUCUAACGUGUCUCAUCAUAUCACUGUCGAACCUCAAAAUUUGCAGCCAUACAAUGGGAUAGAGCAGGUCUCCAUGGGUGAUGGUAAAAAAAUACCAAUAACUCACACUGGUUCAACUCAAUUAAAUACAUCAAAUAAAUCUUUCAAACGCUCUAACACUCUCUGUGCUCCUAGUAUUAAACGUAAUUUACUCUGUCUCUAAAUUCUAUCAAAAUAACUUAACCUCUAUUGAAUUCUUUCCCUUUUUUUUUUUGUUAAGGACUAGAAAAUGCGGACUCCGUUGGUGCACGGUCAGAAAAAGGAUGGUCUCUAUAAGUGGCCAAAUUUACCCUCCAUGACUUCUUGUCAAGUGCAUUUGACCUCCACCAACAUAUCCACUUCUUCUUGGCAUAGUCGGUUAGGUCAUCCGAAUGCAAGAGUGUUAAAUUUUCAUUUGAAUAAAUUCUCGCUACCUUGCUCAUGAGAAAAAAAAUCAGUUUUUAAUUCUUGUUCCUCGAAUGAGGCUCAUCGCCAUCCUUUUAAACAUUUUAGUUUGUCAAGUACCAAACCAUUUCAAACAAUAUUUAGUGAUUUAUAGGGUCCUUCUCCGGUUCAAUUGAUUGAUAAAAAUUAUACUAUUAUAUUUUUGUAGAUCAACAUACCCAAUACACCCGGCUUUACACAUUAAGGAAUAAAAGUGAGGUUACAGACCUUUUCAAAAACUUUCAAACAUUAAUUAAACAUCGUUUUAAUACGAAAGUUCUUUCUAUCUAUACAGAUGGUGGUGACAAAUAUAAAAGUCUUGAUCCAUACCUAAGAUCUUAGGGUAUUGAACAUCUUUUAUCCCUUCCAUACCCCCCUAAAAGAGUCGCUCUUGCUGAAAGAUGUCAUAGACAUAUUAUUGAGAUGACUCGCACUUUACUUCAUAAAGCUUCACUCCCAUCGACUCUUUGGUAUUUUGCUUGUCAACAUGCAAUUUAUCUGAUAAAUCAUUUACCAACCUCACUUUUACAAAAUAAAUCACCUUUUCAAAUGUUGUUUGGUCAUAAUCCGGAUUACAAUUUCUUUAAAAAUUUUGGGUGUCUCUGUUAUCCCUGACUCAAACCUUAUUCAAAAAAUAAAUUAGAGCCACGAUCAACACCAUGUGUAUAUUUAGGAUUUUCUUUAGUUCAUCAUUGUCACCAAUGUUUUGAUCCGAAAUCUUCUAAAAUAUAUUUAUCUCGUGAUGUGAAUUUUUUUGAAAAUAAUUUUCAUUUUCAAAAUAUAUUUUUAAAUAUUUCUUCAACUUGCAAAGAACUUGCAUGGGAAAGCCCAACUGACAUUACCCCAACAACAUCCCCUAGUUUUUCUUCUCUUAUAAGCAGCGAAUUACUCAGCCCUAUACUUAUCCCAAGUUAGCAGCAACGCUCUCAAAGACACCGUCUUCUCUGCUUGCGCUCCAACAGAAUCUGCAAGUUCAAGUAACUCUUCUCCUCCUCCUACUACAAAUUUUGUAAUUCCUACUGAUCUACGGGACACCCACUCUUAUCCCUCAUUGCCUCAAUCAUCAACUUUUCCAAUUGUAUAUAGUCACAGAAACAAAACAAUGUCAUCCGCUAGCCAAAACGCCGUUGCCCGUCCCUCCACCUUACUUUUGCUACAACUUCCCCCCGACCCUACUCAAGCCACAAAACCUCAACAACCUUCUCUUUCUACUCCAAAUCAUGUUGUGACCUAUUCACAGCACGACAUUUACAAACUAAAAACUAUUUUUGACUUCAUGGCCCACUUAUCCCUCUCCAUCACCUCGACCAACUUCAAACAAGCAAACAAAUACCCAGAGUGGCAAAGAGCAAUGAAAAAUGAAUUCGAUGCAUUAUUGAAUAAUCAAACAUGGGAUUUGGUACCAUAUGACCCCACAAAAAAAUAUUAUUUCUUGCAAAUGGUUAUAUAGGUUAAAAAGAAAAGCUGAUGGGAUAAUCGAUCGCUACAAGGCUCGACUUGUUACAAAAGGGUUUACACAUCAUCUUGGAGUUGACUAUCAUGCCACAUUCAGUCCGGUCAUCAAACCAAAUACUGUAUGUUUGGUUCUCUCUAUUGCUGUCCAGCGAAAUUGGCCCCUACGCUAGCUUGAUGUUAACAAUGCGUUCUUGCAAGUUCAUCCAGAAGAAAAAGUGUACAUGGUCCAACCUCCAGGUUUUGUAGAUGAGCAGUUUCCCUCCCACAUAUGUCGUCUAAAGAAAGCAAUAUAUGGCCUCAAGAAAGCCCUUCGAGCAUGGUACAAUGAAUUUAAGACAUUUAUUCUUUAUCUGGGAUUUUUCACGUCAGAAUCUAAUGCCUCACUCUUUAUUCACAAAGUGUCAAACAACCUUUUGUACGCACUGAUUUAUGUAGACGGUAUUAUUAUUACAGGGAAUCAUAAUUCAGAGGUAAAUCGGGUUAUUUCUCGUCUUUCUGGGCAUUUUUCCAUUAAGGAUCUUGGGAAUCUAAACUUCUUUCUUCGAGUGGAGAUGCUCCAAAUUGCCAAAGGAAUCACUUUAUCAUAGUCCAACUACAUCAAUGAAAUCCUCCCUGACAAAAACAUGAAGGACUGUAAUUCAGCAAAAACCCCAAUGAGUGCCACUGAAGUGCCUCAACUACAUGAUGGAGUGGAGCCAACUGAUGCCACUCUCUACAGGAGAGUUCUUGGAAAACUAUAGUAUUUGUAUUUUACUCGUCCAGAUAUUAGCUUCUCUGUGAAUAAAUUGUCUCAAUUUAUGCACUCUCUAUCUGAAGUGCACUGGAAAACACUCAAACGAGUACUCAGGUAGGUAUCUAUAAGGAACACCUCAGUUCUCUCUUCACAUUCAAAGAGGUAAUGAUUUCAACCACAUAUGCACUCUGAUGCGGAUUGGGCUGGAGAUGUGAGUGAUUGAGCUUCCACUACAGGUUACAUAUUAUUUUUUGGACAAAAUUCUGUGAGCUGGUCUUUCAGGAAACAAAGAAUAAUUGCUCGCUUAUCAACUGAAGCAGAGUAUCAUACUGUUGCAAGUGCGCUGGCUGAAACCAACUGGGUGACAAAUCUGCUAAAAGAAUUACAUGUUUCACUUCCUCAAAGACCAACCAUUUACUGUGACAAUGUUGGUGCAACUUAUUUGUAUGCAAAUCCAGUUUUUCAUAUUCGCAUAAAGCAUAUUGAUGUAGACUUUCACUUUGUUCACAAACAAGUUCAGCAGAAUCAAGUUCACAUUGUUCAUAUUCAUGCUGCAGAAUAAAUCAUGGAUACUCUAACUAAAGCUCUACCAAAGCCAGCCUUUGAUAAACAUAUAUUCAAGCUAGGCUUUGCUACACAUUGACUAUCUUGAGGAGGGAGUAUUGGUGCAUACAUCCUAUCUUGAAAGAUAUCUCAUGAUUGAUCUUCCCUAUCUCAGUAGAUCUUCCAUAUCGUAGUAUCUCAUAGUGAUUCAGCUUCUAUUUUAGAGAAGAUCAAAAUUCUUUAUUAGUUGAUUCUUUUCUUAUUUAGUUUGUAUUCUCUUGUAUAUAUACACAUACAUGUCAAUGAAAUCAAUAGAGGUUUCAUACUUUACUCAUCUUUAUACCGCGGGGCUCUAACUUAAGUGAGGAAAAGAAGAUCUCGAAUUUGCUUUAGGCUUGGCUGACAUAGAUUAAGCCUUACGUGAGGAUGAGCCUCCAGCUCUCACUGAUUUUAGUACAGCUACUGAAAAAGAACUUUAUGCUAAGUAGGAGAGAUCUAAUAGGCUAUGCAUCCUUGGCUUUAGAAGGUCAAUUGCUAAGCACCUCAAAAGUGGUUUGCCUGAAACUACCAAUGCCAAAACAUUUAUUAUCCAAGUGGAAGAAAGGUAUCUUAUAUCCAAUAAGGCUGAGACUGGAGAUCUAAUGAAUAAACUUGUUGGGAUGAGGUAUGACUUUACUGGGGCUGUUAGAGAUUACAUACUUAAGAUGGUCCACAUUCGGUUCAAAUUGAAAACUCUUGAAAUAACUCUUCAUGAUACUUACAUUGCUCACUCUGCUCUUAACUUUUUGCCUGCUGAGUUUAGCCAAAUGAAAACAACCUAUAAUACUCAAGAUGGAUCUUGGUCAAUCAAUGAUCUCAUCUCUAAAUGUGUUUUUGAAAAGGGAAAAACUAAAAAGGAGAAGGGUGAGGUUGCCAUGUUAGCUUCGCAUGAUUCCAAAGAAGCUCUAGCAAGGGACUUAGGAAGUUUGAAAGAUCUUAUAAUCAUACUUUUAAGAAGGGUUAGGACAACAGAAGGCGUGGUAAAGAUCAGACUGAUUAUCCUGGGACAAAUAACAUGAUUUUUAAGAAAAAUAAUAAAUGUUUCUUUUGUAAAAAAUCUGAUCACAAGCACAGAGAUUGCACCAAAUUUCAUUCUUGGAUAAAAAAGGAGUCAAAAGAAGGUAGUCACCUAGCUCUUGUUUAUUUUGAGUCAUACUUAGUAGAUGUCCUUAUUAAUUCUUGGUGGUUUAAUAGUGGAGCUACUGCUCAUGUUGCCAUUUCCUUGCAGGGGUUCAAAACCAAUAGGAAGCCAAAGGAAAUGGAGUCAAGAAUUAGAGUCACCACAGAUGUCCAAGUUGAAGAAGAAUUCAUAUGAAAUGUAGUUUUAGACUUAGAAACUAGCCAUAAGCUUAUUCUUGAAACACUCUUUAUGUACCAUCUUUUAGACGAAAUUUGAUUUCUAUUCCAGUUUUAGACAGAUUUGGUUAUGGUUUUAAUUUCUUAACGAAAAAAUUAAUUUGCUUUUGAACUCCUAAGUUGUUGGUCAUGAAAUCCUAUCUGAUGAUUUGUUUAAAAUUUCCUUGACUUCUAAUUUUGAAUAUAACUCUUUUAAUUUUGAAAUUGUGGGGUCUAAAUGAUCAAUUUUAAAUAAAAAAUUGGGCAUGUUGUGGCAUAGGCAUUUAGGUCAUAUAUCUAAAGAUAGAGUUGAUAGAUUGGUUAAGUUUAAUAUUUUACCUUCUCUUGAUUUUGGGGACAUAGGAAUAUGUAUUGAUUGCAUUAGAGGAAAGUUGACUAAAACAAGUAAAAAGAAUGCUACUUGUAGUUCUAGUUGUUGAAAAUCAUUCACACAGACAUAAGUGGUUUAUAUUCUACUACAAUAUGUGGUUCAAGUUAUUUUUAUCACCUUUAUUGAUGAAUUUUUUCGGUAUGGUUAUGUUUUUCUUAUUAAAAAAAUCAUAUUCUCUUGAAAUGUUCAAAGUGUUUAAAACUGAAGUAGAGAAACAACUGGGAAAGGUCAUUAAGAUAGUGAGGUCUGAUCAUGGGGGUGAGUACUAUGGUAGAUACACUGAGACUGGGCAAUAGAUGGAGCCUUUUGCCAAAUAUCUACAAGAUUGUGGCAUAGUUGCCCAGUACACCAUGCCUGGUAGUUCUGACCAAAAUGGUGUAGCCGAAAGGCGAAAUCAUACUUUAAAAGAUAUGAUGAGUAGAUCUAACUUACCUGAGUUCCUCUGGGUAAAGCUAUUAUAACCUCCAUGUAUAUUCUUAAUCGUGUCCUUUUCAAGUCAGUCCCUAAAACCCCUUUCGAGUUGUGGACCAAUAGAAAAUUCAGUUUAAAUCAUUUUUGAGUUUGAUGAUGUUCUGUGGAGGUAAAGAUAUAUAACCCUUCAGAAAAUAAAAUUGAACCUAGAACCUCCCGUUGUUUUUUUUAUUGGUUAUCUAGUUCAUUCUAAAGGAUACAGGUUCUACUUGUCACACCCCUUUUUCGCUCGCAGGGUCGAGGUCGAAAGGGGUUUUCCAAUUAAAGUGACGAUAUUGAAUAGGAAUUAUUUUAUUUAUAGAGUCGCCACUUGAAAUUGUGUUAUGGUGUUCCAAGUCACCUUUUUGAAUCCCUAAUCAAAAGGAAAUGACUCUUUGUUGGUCUGCGAAAACAGAGGACUGGGUAGGGAAUUCUAUUGAUCGAGGGGAAGGUGUGAGGCACCCCUCGAGUCCCAUGGUUCUAGCACAGUCGCUUUUAUUGACUUAUCUUAACUUAAACUAUUUUGAUAAUUAUGUUGAAGCCUAGAUUUACUCUUUUUUUUUUUUUUAAUAUCUAAAAUUAUUUGUUUAUGCCUCUUAUAUUAAAUAAAUCAAUAAAAAUUAAUUUUAGAAAAGUAUUUGUCAAGGUGCAUUAUUGCAUCCUUGAAUUUUAAAUGUCCCAAAAAGAUGCGUACACCACAUUCUUAAUUGAGACGAACAUUUUAAAACCUAAGAAUUUACCUAACGUUAAAGGUAUUAAAUUGUCUUUUGUAAACUCAAAAUAAUUUUAUUUAUUCGAAACACUAUUUAUUCUUAAAAAAAAUAAAAAAAUUAAUUAAUUUAAUAAAUAGUUGUCAAAUUUUAUUAAAAAAAAUAAAAUAAUAAAAUAAUAAAAUAAAUAAAAUAAACAAAUCUAUCUACAUUAUACUAAAUUGAAUAUCACCUCAAAAGUUUUAAUCUCUUUAAAUUUAUUCUUACCCAAAUUAUAUUUUAUAAAAUAAAAUUAGACAUAAAAAGUCCCAGUAAUUUAAUUUGGACACAAAUUAACGUAAAAAGAAAGUAAUGAUACAUAAAUCUUAAUAAAAUAUCAUUAUUUAAAAUAGUAAGAAUUCAAACUAAUAUCAUAUUUAAUUACAAGUUGAUAGUGAUAGAGAUUAAAAUAAUUUUUAAUGAAAGCAAAAGAUAAAUUUCUUAAAGCUAUCUAAAAAUAAUAUUUAAAUAGUCAAAUUGUAUGACAUCAUAUGAAAUUUAAUAUUAUUAAGGCCACUUUAAAGUCACUGUAAAGAAAGAAUAUAUGUAAAUAUUUAAAUCUCUUCCAUAUGUUUAAGAAUAAAAGAAAACAAGCAGCGUCUUUUUCCAAUGGCUAUGGUUUAUUCACCAGUGAUGGCCACUGACUGGAGUUGGCACCGGCGCGGGGACGGUUGGUUCGCUAGAGAAGAUGCGUAAGCCGGCUGGAGUUUCUGUCGCCGCUGUGGCGUUGAACUCCGACCAGAUCUGGGCGUGGAAAAGGGAGGAGAUGACAGCGCCGAUCAGAUCCGGUCCGUUGAUGGGUUGUUCGCGACGGAGAAGGGAAGGGGGAAGGGAGUGACGCCGGAAAAAGGAAAAGGGGAGGUGGCGCUGGUCUUGGAAUUCCGGCGAUGGGAGGCGCAAAGGAGUGACGUUAAUGACUCCGGCGAGAACCAACCGGAGUCGACUCGAAAAUGGAUCAGUUUUUGGUGAUUUUUUUAAUUUCUGAUCUGAUUUUUUUAGUUUCUGAUCUGAUUUUGUCUACUGUGUAUAUGAAUUUGAAUCUGCGUACGUGUAAAUUAACAUAUGAAUAUAUAUGCAUAUAACAGUGUAUAGAAUGAUAACAGUGUCUAUUUUUUGUUCUCUGCUAUUCUCUUUUCGUUUUAAUUUAAAUCAUAUAGUAUUAACAUACAGUGUUUUCAAUCACAUAACACAUAGUAAUAAAGAUUCACUAAAUCAAUUAACCAUCCAUAAUGCAUGAAAUCACUUAAUAUUUUCAUUCAUACUUUUACUUUAUAGCAUAAGAUGAUUCAAGUUCGAAUAAGAACUUGUGAUAGAUUCAAACGGAAUAAGAAGCAAGAAGUAAUUAUUACCGAAAAUUCUAAAACUUCAAACUUUCUUUCUUUUGUUUUACUCUCUUCUUGAUCUCUUUUUUACUCUCUAGUUUUCUCUGUUUUUUUUUUUACUGUCUGAUAUAGUGUAGAAUUUAUGUUAAGGGUAAAGAAGAGUUUUUAAAUACAGAACUUUGGGGGGAAAAUUAGGGUGGGAACAGUUAUAGAUAAGGGAAGGAUUUUAAAAUUUGAAUGAUUAUUUUAUUUUUUAUUUAUAUUAUUUUUUUUUUAUUUAAUAGAAGACAAUAAUAAUAAUAAUAAUAAUAAAUAUAAUAAUAAUUAAUUAAUUUUUUUUAGCAUAAUAGCAAUUUAUAAAUAGUCAAAAUAAAUAUAAUAAAAUAGUAUUAAAAUUACUAAUUUAUUUAUUAAAUUUUAGAUAAAUAAUAUACAUAUAUUUGGAUUUUUGUAUUAUUAGUAUAAAAAUAAAAAUAAAUAAAAAUAAAAUAUCUCAAAAUUAACUUUAUUUAUUUAUUUAUUUCUUUUUUAACUAAAACUUAAUUAAAAGUAAAAUAAGAAAUUACAUAAUAUUAUACCAAAUAUAAAUAUCUAAUAUUGAAAAUAAGCUAAAACUCGAGGAUGAUAAAAAAUCACAUGUCUACACUACUGUCCUACAAGAGGAACAAGAAUAGUUGAAUCUCUGAUGUUCCGACUUUUGACGAAAUAUUUUGCAUUCUUUUCUUGGGAAAAUUGUAUGUUUUCAAGCAACCAAGGUUGCAUUAAAUGCUGGAUUUUAGUGUUUCAGGGUAAGAAGCUAGUUGAAGGAAAAGACUCAGAAAAGUUGCAGAAAAACACUACUGACGGUCAAAAUGGUGGACCACCAGUCUUGUGACGGACCACCAGCUUAGCCGUCAGGCCCAAACAGAAUUCUGGGUUUCAGAAGACUCAGUGACAGCCCAUAUGGUGGACCACCAGUCUUGCGACGGACCACUACUUUGACCGUCAGUGCUAAAUAGAACCUGACAUCCUGAAACACUCAGCGAUGAUCCAUAUGGUGGACCACCAGUCUUGCGACGGACCACCACUUUGGUUGUCAGUGCUAUACAGAACUUGACUUUUCAGGAUCGGCAACGACGACUCAUAUGGCGGAUCGUCAGCAUUGCGACGGACCACCACUUUGGCCGUCAAUUUGGAUGUGUUCUUUUUAAAUUCAAAUUUUAAAUCCUUUUUACGAGGGAACAUAUAAAUACCCAGUCUUAGGUUUUAUUAGGUAUCUUUUAUCUUUUAUAAGAGUUUUCCAUACUUAAAACAUAUUAUAUGUAGUUUUUCUCUGAGAUUUAUUCUAGAAUUGUGGAUCUAGAUUCCACUAUCAUUUUCUCUAUUGAAGAUUGAAGAACAAUAAUUGUGACUUUUGUAAGUAAAUUUUGAAUUAAUUUAUGAAUAACACAAUGAUUUCUUCUCUUUGUGUGAUGGAGAUGUAUGGCUAAGCUCCCAUAACUAGGGUUAUGGGAGCCUUGAUGUGAAUGCUUAUUGGGGGUUAUGAAUCUAGUAGAUUUCAAUGAUUAAUUGAUAUUGCAUAAACCCUUCUUCACUUUAAUGACUUUUCUUAGUUGGAAACUUAAAAAGUGAGCCCAAGAACAUCACUUGUUCGAAUAGAAAAGUGUUUAUUGGGAAAAGAAAGGGUUUACAUAAAUCUAAAGGCUUUAACCUUUGGAUAGAGGGUAGAUGCCUUAACCGGAUCAACCCAUGUGAGAAUAUAGUUGAAUAAAUAAUAUGUUCCUUAAGUUUGAAAGAAUUAAGGUAUAAGUUACUCAUUUAGGUUGAGAAACUUAUGGGUAAACCAUAGAAUUCAAUUACUCUUGCAAUUAGGAUUGUUCAUUGGGAAACCAAAAUAGUUAACAACCCUAGAUGCUUAAGCAUCUUGGUAGCCAUAACUUUAGUUUGACUUCUCUUAGUGAAUUACUAUUUGCGGUACAACCUACAGUUGGAUUACUUUCUGUGACAAGCAUCUGAAUACAAUUGAUAAAUCAAACCCCCCCUUUUAUUCUGGAACCUUCGAUCAAUAGUCUAAUAACAAUCACAAUACUUAGUGAACACAGUAGUAUUCCUUGUGGGAUUUGACACCCAACCCAGUUGUUUUGUAUUUGACAACGACCGCUUACACUUUCUAACGAGAGUUGUAAUUUGGGCGUAUCAAUCUUAAUAUGCAAAAUUUCUUGAAUUUGAUGUUGCAAAUAAGGAUUGUUCUCAGCAUAUUGCUCCUGAGCCAACUGAAAGUAUUGAAGCUGUUAGAAUUUCUCUCAUUAUUACCUCAGAAUCAUUUGUGUCUGCACCUAUACAUGAUGAACCUCAUAUACAUAUGCAAACUGAUGACUUUGUACCUGCAAAAAUUCAGCUGCCUAUCAUUGAAGAAGUAGUUCAGGCACCUUCUGUUGUUGAUCAAGAGGUUCAGAAUUUAAGGAGAUCAAGUAGAUCAAGACGAUCGCUGCUAUUGGAUGAUUAUUUAGUAUACCUAGCUGAAGGUGACAUUGUUAAUCCUGUAACCUUUUCUGAAGCUUCAUCAUGUGCUCAAUCAAAGAUGUGGCUUGAUGCCAUGUCUGAAGAGAUGAAAUACAAGAGUAAAAAUAAAGUAUGGGAGAUUUCAGACCUUCCUAAAUGCCAGAAGGUUGUUGGAUAUAAAUGGGUUUUUAUGACCAAGAAGGAUUCAAAUGGAAAUGUUGAACGAUUCAAGGUGAGAUUAGUUGCUAAAGGAUUCACACAGCGAGAAGGGGUUGAUUACAAUGAAACUUUUUCACCAGUGUCAUCUAAGGGUUCUUUUAGGAUCAUAAUGGCAUUGGUAUCCCAUUUUGAUCUUGAGCUACAUCAGAUGGAUAUAAAGACAACCUUUUUGAAUGAUGAUCUUAAUGAAGAGGUUUAUAUGCAACAACCCCAAGGUUUUGUUGGUAAAGGCAGUGAGCAUCUUGUGUGUAAAUUGAAGAAAUUUAUUUAUGGCUUGAAGCAAGCUUCUCGACAGUGGUACUAGAAGUUUGAGGAAAUUAUCACUUUUAUGGGGUUUGUGGAGACAAGAUUGAUCAUUGCAUCUAUAUUAAGAUCGGUGGAAGUAAGUUCAUCAUUCUCACUCUUUAUGUUGAUGAUAUUAUACUUGCUAGUAAUAAUUCGGGACUGUUGCACGAAACUAAACAUUCAUUAAAUAAAAUGUUUGAUAUGAAAGAUCUAGGAGAGGAAUCAUUUGUUCUGGGCAUUGAGAUUCGACGAGAUACAUCUCGUAAGUUAUUGGGCUUUCACAAAAGACCUAUAUUGAUCGUAUUUUGAAAAGAUUUUAAAUGAAAAAUUGUAAGCCUGGUGAUGUCCCUGUGGUGAAAGGUGAUAAGUUAAGCCUAGACUUGUGUCCCGAAAAUGAUAUCCAAGUGUUUUUGGAAGUCUUAUGUAUGCACAAGUUUGCAUUCGUCCUGACAUUGCUUUCAUUGUCAAUGCUCUUGGACAUUAUCAAACUAAUUCAAGAAGAAGUCAUUGGGUUGCUGCUAAGAAAGUAAUGACGUACUUGAAGAAGACAAGAGAUUAUAUAUUAGUGUACAAAAAGGUUGACGACCUUAAUAGAUUAUAUAUUAGUGUACAAAAAGGUUGACUACCUUGUUGGUUACACAGACUCAGACUUUGCUGGGUGUCUUGAUGAUUUGAGGUUCACUUCUGGCUUUAUCUUUAUGUUUACGGGGGGUGCGAUAUCUUGAAAGAGUGCAAAGCAAACUCUUACAACAUCUUCCACUAUGCAAGUAGAAUUCGUAGCUUGUUAUGGUGCAGCUACACAAGCCAUUUGGCUUAAGAAUUUUAUUUCAGGGCUUGUAGUAGUUAAUUCCAUCUCUAGGCCCUUGAAAAUUUAUUGUGACAACAAGGCAGUUGUGUUUUACUCAAAAAAUAAUAAAUUUUCUUCAGCUUCUAAGCAUAUGGAAAUAAAAUAUCUGGCUGUGUAAGAUAUGGUUAAAGGGGAGGACAUUGUGAUUGAACAUAUACCUACCGAUUUGAUGCUUGCUGAUCCACUAACAAAGGUGCUAAGACCCAUAGUUUUUAUGCAACAUGUUCAUAAUAUGGGUGUUUUUGAGUCAUUUGAUUUGUUGGGUUAGUGGGAGUAUUUAAUAUUGUUAUUCAUUUGUCAUUAGACUAUUCACCUUAUUGUUUCAUAUUUAUGGCGAUAUUAUCUCUUAAAUUUACAUUUAUGCUAUGGUAGAUUUUGCUAUCAUUUAUGUUGUUGAUUAUUAUUGUGUACACUUUAAUAUUGUUUUAUUAUAUUAAGGCUUUUUGCCUUACGUAUUAGCUAUGCCUCAUAUUGAUAAGAUUAUAUUGUUGUUUUAUUGAAUUUUUUUUUUGGAGACAUAUACUAUAUGUCAUUCUACCUUGUGGAUUUUCUGGUUGUUGCACCAUGUAAUAUGUUGCACAUGUUGAACCUUGAAAAUCAAGAUUUUAUGGUGGAGCACAUGUUGGUUUAGUGCUCACACAUGUUGUAGCAAAAUCGCGGCGGCGAUUUUUUAUGGUACGCAUGUUGAUUUUAAAUGUACAUGUUGAUAUGAAAAAUCAUUUGAAGGACUAACAAUGAAAUAACAUCGAUUUGGAGUCCAUGUUGGCUAUUUCUUGCUACACUACCACAUUAUUUGGUUUAUGUCUACAAAACUUCAGUAUUAGUAAUUGUGGAUUGAUUUUGUAUCGUUGGUUGAUGCAAGUAUUGUUGCAGUUCAACAGUGAUGUUUUCCUUGACUGAACUAUGUUGGAGAUGACAUUCCAUCACUAAAUAUUUAUGGUCAUUGUCUACUCAGCCUGAGAGUCAUUUUCAUUAAAAUAAAUUUUCCAAAACUUUUCUUUAAAAGUUAACGUUGUCCAAGUGAGAGAAUGUUAGAAUUAUUUAUUUUAUAUGGACUUAACAUUAAAUUUUUAUUACAUUAAAGUAAAACAGGCUGAUGUUAUUAGUUGGUGGACAAGACACAGGCCGUGUAUUCAUGUGGAUUCCAUAUGGGCCAUAUCCAUUUCAUGUUAUUGGUGUGGGCUGACAAUAAUGUAGGCCUGUAGUAGACCUGUGAGCCCAUAAUAGGGGGUGCACUAGGAUAAGACUUUUAAGCCUAUAAAUAUAAGGCUAGGUCCCCUCUCCUGGUUUUAACAUAAGACGUAUUCCCAUAAGCAAAGGAGAGGAACACUCAACCUAGUUCGUCUUAGGUACACACCGGCGGACAAAGGUACACGCCUUUCCACUCUCAUAUUCCGUUACUUAUAGGUGUUCUUGAUUCGUCUUCCAUUACGUGUAAGCAAUGGCGGACAAAGGUACACAUCGGCGGACAAAGGUACACACCUUUCCUCUCUCAUAUUCCGUUACUUAUAGGUGUUCUUGAUUUAUGUAAAUCUAUGGUGUGUUUCUCUAUUAAUUUCAACAUAAAAUGCUUCUCCAUAUAUUUUUUUUAAGUGGCUAAAUUCCCUUUUUGUAAUUACUUGGAUCAUGUGUCAUCGAUUCAUUGAUUAUUUUUACUAAAAGAUCAUUUUAUUCAAUGUUUUACACAUCACUCGCGAGUGUGACUCACACAUGUGAUAUAUUUUUACUGAUUAUGCGAAAAGUGUCAAAAUUAAGUCGUAAGACACCAGUAAGAUGUUUAAAAUGAACGGUAUGUAGUUAAGUACACAAAUAAAAAUUGAUGCCGAAUUUAAGGAGGUGGUGAUGUGUUUGGCCACAAUAGGAACUUUCUAUCUCUCUAAGUUAUAUAUUUCCAUUGUCAUUUCAAUUGAAUCCAAUAUCUCUAGACUCAAAUGAAAUAUUGAUUCUAUUUUGUUGACAAUGUUCUGAAAACAUUCAGAAUAUUAUAUGCACUCGGUGUUUAUAUCAAAAUAAAUAAUUUAACUUCAGAAAUUAAAAAAUGAAAUGACAAUACAUAUUUUUCAGUAAGAAAUUGUUUGAUUGCAAUCACAAGAAAACAAAUGAAAACAACAAAAGCUUGCAACAAUGAAUGUCAAUUUGUCUUUAUUUUUUUUAGAACCUAUUUCUCAUCACAACUUGUCUCUGCCUCCUUGUGAGGGGCAAGGCCUGCUGUUUAAAUUGUCUUGUUCUUAGCUAUUUCUAUAAGGCAUCUGAUACUGAUUUUUUUUCUUGGUUUGAGACAACAUAAAAAAUAUCUAUGCACUUUGUCAUUUUCUUUAUUUUGAUGUUUCACCUACCUCAUAGAUCUAGAGGAGAUGUUCAAAAACAAGAACAAUGAGCUUAGUGGUCUCAGGGGCAGACCUAUGUGUAAUUUUGUUGUGUCCCAGCAUCCGUUAAACACGACGUAAACAACAUAUAAUUAUAUAAGAAAUGUAAUAAAGAUUGAUAUAAGAUUUAAAAAAUGAAGGUUGAGUGCUUGGUUUCCAGGCGGAACCUUAAAACCUUGGGCAUCAAUAUGUGUAAGUUAUGUAACUGCCAUUACUCCUGGAGAGGUCAUUGACACUUAUGGUGUAGGAAGAGUUGGUUUCUCACUGGCCCGACUUCCAGAAAGAUUUGGUUGUAGGGCUUCUUACCUGGGGAGAGUACACUAUAGUUAAGGAAGGUUCCCUGUUGAGUAAGUUGGAUCCUAACCUGGCAUUUCCUUUGUCUUACCAUGUCGGAGUUCUUGGAUUCAGUGGACUUGCUGCCUACGGUGGAUUCUUCGAAGUGUGUAAGCCAAAGCCAGGGGAGAAAGUUUUCGUGUCUGCUGCUUCUGGUUCAAUAGGACAUUUAGUAGGACAGUAUGCAAAAUUACUAGGAUGUUAUGUUGUUGGCUCUGCUGGUAGCCAAGAAAAGGUAAAUUUUCUUACGGAGAAACUUGGAUUCGACGAUGCAUUCAAUUAUAAACAAGAAACUAACCUCAAAUCGGCUCUCAAAAGGUGUUUCCCUAAAGGGAUUGAUGUCUACUUUCACAACGUCGGAGGCAAGAUGCUAGAAGCAGCAUUGGCAAACAUGGACUCACUGGGCACAGUAGCCAUCUGUGGGGUUAUUUCUGAGUACACGAAUGCUAGCACACGAGCUUCCCCGGAAAUGUUGGAUAUAGUCUACAAGAGGAUUAGCAUCCAAAGAUUCCUAACAGCUGAUCUCAUGACAGUGUAUGCAGAUUUCCUGUCGAAAACAGUUGAGUACCUCCACGAUGGAAAACUCAAGGCCAUCGAAGAUACCUCACAAGGCGUUGAAAGCAUUCCCUCUGCUUUUAUUGGACUGUUCAAUGGUGAUAGUAUAGGCAAAAAGAUUGUCAAAGUUGCAGAUGAGCGAAAAAAAGAAAAAGAAGAUUCACGACUGUUGGCCUAUUUAUUCAUGAAUUCGCAAACAAUAUCUUAUCUGUACUUCUUUCAAGUUGUAAUCCAUUUAAACGUUCAUCUUCUGCAUCAAGUUAAAGAACAAGUUUAUGUAUUAUGCCUGUCAGAUCCUUGUUUAGUUUUCCUUUUCAUGUGUCCGGGAUUGAAACAAACUCUGUGAUCCUAGUCUACCAACUAUGCCUCAAUCCCAAAUUUAGUUGACUACAUGAAUCUUUUACAUCAACUCAACAAAGUGGAAAAAUACAUCUUUAGCAACUAAUUCAAGACCACCAUAAGAUAAAGCAAUAUCAAGGUCCUCAUCAACAUAGAGGCCAACUAUUAUGCCAAAACGAAUCUCAGUACUGAAAUAGCAACAAAGUAAAGUGACAAUGGAUGUACAUAAGUUAGUUUCAAUGGAAUAACACGAUAGAAAACACUAAUGUACUAAUAUCACAGUAGAAUCAAAAUUUGAGAGGAAUGGAUCACGAACGGGAUGAACGUAAUACCAAGUGUUACAUUAACGGCAUUAAUCAUGAACAUUCGAACAGACUGUCAGCAGUCCCUGCCGAUGCAGAAUGAACAACUAGCUUCUUGUGUUUUCAAGAAAUUAUGGUCCUAGGAUUGCAGCCAAGGAAGACACACAUAUUUGUGACUGCUUCAUUGUAAGGCUAUGUAUCCUUAAGGGGGAGUGGUUAAAGGGCACCACAAAGAUGAAUAACUGCAGUUCCCUUGGAGAGCAAAGAACAUGCCAAAACUUGCACUCAUCAACUAGCAGCAAUUAUUCUUUCUGAAGAACUAGUUACAAUAUCAAGGAAAAAUAAUUCCACGAUGUGGAAAAAUUAUCAUCAUACGACAAGUAAAAGCAGUGUUGAUCUUGAAAGCAUCACAUGAACAGCUAGCUCCGGCACAGUUAACAUUUAACAUGUACUAAACANNNNNNNNNNNNNNNNNNNNNNNNNNNNNNNNNNNNNNNNNNNNNNNNNNNNNNNNNNNNNNNNNNNNNNNNNNNNNNNNNNNAGUGAACACGAACAAAUAAAAGGUAGUUAAGUAAUCUGAAGUCCAAACUUCAUGAAAGUUAACAUUUGUCCCCCGUAUUGUUUCCACUAAAUGUACAAUCAGAGAUAUCUUGCCUACGUUUCAUUUCAAUUUUCACCCCUAUUUCCUCAAUUUAGUGCCACACAGGAUGAAAAUCAACAAAUUGAAACACAACAAAAAGUAAAUCCAAAUGUGUCAAAUUCUUGAAAUAAAAUCUCUACAGGGAUUCUUGCUUCAAUUGCUGCAAAUUCCAAGCCUUUCUCUGAGAAAUUCAAAUCUGCUCUUUGGUAAGGCUUUGGUAAACAUAUCUGCCAGUUGAAGAUCCGUCUGGCAGUACUUUAACCCAAUUGAUCCUUCUUUUUGCACGUCUCUAAGAAAGAAUAAUUUGAUAUUGAAAUGCUUGGUUUUUGCAUGAAAAACAGGAUUAUUGGAGAUAGCAAUAGCUGCUUGAUUAUCCACAAACACCUUUGUGCACUUCUCUUGCUUUAAAUUCAGAUCAAGUAGCACUUUUCUAAGCCAUAAGGUUUGAUUUGCAGCAGCUGUAGCUGCAAUGAACUCAGCUUCAGUCGUCGACUAUGCAACAAUUUCUUGCUUUGUAGACCACCAAGAAAAUAUGCCUGAACCAAGACUAAAAAAAUAACCAGAAGUGCUCUUCAUGUCUUCAGAAGAACCACCCCAAUCACUAUCAGAAUACCCCUGCAACACGUGCUUCUGAUUUGCAUUGAACUUGAUUCCAAAAUUCAGUGUUCCCUUAACAUAUCUUAUCACCCUUUUUGUUGCUCUAAAAUGAGUGUUAGUUGCAUAAUUAGUGAAUCUAGAUAAAAGACUUACAACAUAUAAAAUGUUGGGACUAGUUGUAAGAUACAUGAGACAUCCAACCAUACUUCUGUAAAGAGUCUCAUCCACUUUUUCAGCUUCAUCAUUUUUGCUCAACUUCUCCUUUUGACACAUCAGAAUAGUUGUGUCUUUGCAAUUUUCCAUUCUGAACUUCUUCAAAAUGUCUCUUGCAUACUUCUUUUGAUAGAUGAAAACUUCAUUUUGCUCUUGCUUGAUUUCUAUUCCUAGAAAAUAAACCAUUUCUCCUAAGUCCGUUAUUUCGAAUGUAUGCUGCAUAUCUUCUUUAAUUUUUGAACAAGCUCACGAUUGCUUCCUGUAACCAACAGGUCAUCUACAUAUAGUGAAAUAACAAUAAGAUUUGUUCCAUCACCUUUGAUGUAGAGAGUAGCUUCAUUGAGACUUUUUCUAAAACCCAACUGCACCAAAUGUUCAUUAAUCCUGAUGUACCAAGCUCUGGGCGCCUGCUUUAGUCCAUACAAAACUUUUUUGAGUUGAUUCACUUCAUCUUCAUUCCCUUUGACUGCAAAUCCUUCAGGCUGCUCAACAUAAAUUUCCUCAUCAAGAUAGCCAUUCAAGAAUGCUGAUUUAACGUCUACCUGAAACACUUUCCAACCAUUUUAUGCAGCUAUAGCCAACAACAAUCUGAUGGUUUCUAAUCUAGCAACAGGAGAAAUGUAUCAGAAAAAUCAAUACCAAAAAAUUGAGCAUACCCCUUUACAACAAGUCUGGCUUUCAGCUUGUUGAUAGAGCCAUUUGCGUUCAGCUUGGUUCUGAAAAUCCACUUCACUCCUAUGAAUUUCCUGUCUUCAGGUCUUUUCACAAGUUUUCAAGUCUGGUUCUUCUCAAUCAUGGUGAGUUCUUCCGUCAUUGCAGCUCUCCAUUUUGGUUCUUUUUCUGCUUCACAAAAAUCUGUUGGCUCAAGAACAACCAUGUUGCAUCUCUGAUAAAUAUCAGAGAGUGAUCUUGUGCCUCUCAUCAGAACAUCAUCCACCUAUUCAUCUUCUUUUAGCUGGGGUAUUUUACUUUGGUCUGGAAAUAGUACUGGUUCUGCUUCUUCCCAGUUCCAUUUUUCAUCUUCCAUGAAAUAAACAUCUCUACUCACCAGAAUUUUCCUUGUAUGAGGUUGGAAAAAUCUGUUAUCCUUAGAAAUAGUGCUAUAACCCACAAAUAUUCCAGCUUCUACCUUUUUAUCAAGCUUAUCUAUUUUACUCUGUGGCACAUAAGUAAAGCACAAACAUCCAAAUACUUUGAGAUUUUUUAAAGAAGGUGUAUAACCAUACCAUAUUUCAAAUGGUGUCUUUCCUUCUAAUGCUUUUGAUGGAAGCCUGGUGAGUAGAAAGACUAAGACUGAUGUAUGAGCAUCUUCUUCCCAAUACUCUUUUGGCAAAUAUUUCUCAUGCAACAAGCAUCGAUCCUAUUCUUUCUCUCCCUUUAAUGUUAACUUUUAACGUUAACUUCAGACGGUCUCUGACUGGUCCGGCGGAUGCCGGCAACGGCAUAGUAGCGCCAGCAACAGGUGCAGCUCCCCUCUCUCUCAUCCUCUCUCUAUUUUCCCAACCCCUUCUCCUUCUCCUCCCCCCUUGUUAUUUUGUCAUCUAGCCAUUGCUAUCGCCGAAGGAUUAGUUUCUCUGCCGGCGACGGAGAAUUUGUGAUGCACCGGUCAUAUCCGAUUUAACUGAGGUGGUAAGACGUCAAUCGAAGACCAGCUUCCGGUAACACCAGAAAGAAACCCAGGUGACAUUUCGGCGACAUGCAACUAGCCGAUUUCCAGCGACUUUACUCUAGCAACCAAUUUCGACAUCAAAAUUACCGUGUCCAACAUAUGCAGUAGUAUCCGGGUGACAUCCAAACUUUACUAAUUAGUUGUUUUACAUUCUAGUUUCGUGUAAUUUUAUUCUCAGUUUCUUGUGAUUAUUGCGUGUCUGGUCUGCUUAUUAGCAGAUAUUAUUGUAUAUUUUUUUGCGUGCCUGCUACUAUUCUCCUACUAUUUUCUCACUGUCCCUUUGUUUUGGUGGCAGUUUGUUUUGUUUGUUUUUAUUUUUACCACGUAUUGUUGGUAUCUUCACUACCGGAAAUUUGUGAUUGAUUAAUCUGUCUGUUAAUUUGGUGCCUAUUAUCUGCUGCUCGUAUAUUUUGGAGGUAUUUUUGGUGCUUUGCGGGUGCCUUUUACUGCUGUGCUAUUGUGUACCAUUUUCUUGUUGUCUGAUUUUGAGUAGUGGCUUUGGGGGUAAAUGGUGGAAUAUGGUCAUGACCUGUAGGGUUGAGGGUGGGGGUGGGGUCCGAUGUUAGGGUCAGGUGUAAAAGAGGAGGUAUUAGGGGAGGGGUUUCCAGAGAGGAUAGGUUGAGGGUAGGGUCGUGGAACAUAGGGACCUUCAGGGUAAGUCGAUAGGGCUGGCUAAGAUCCUUAGGAAAAGAAGGAUCAAUAUUGCGUGUGUACAGAAGACUAAGUGGGAAGGUUCUAAGAAUAGGGAUGUGGAUGGGUAUAAGUUGUGGUAUUCGGGUAACAAGAGGCGUAGGAAUGGGGUAGGCAUAUUAGUGGAUGGAGAGCUUAGGGAGCAGGUAGUGGAGGUUAAUAGGGUUAGUGAUAGGGUGAUGACUGUUAAGUUAGUUAUUGGGGGUUCACGGUGAACAUCUAUAGUGAUUAUGCACCACAGCUAGGCCUUCACGAGGAGGAAAAGAGGAGAUUUUAGGAAGUUUUGGAUGAGGUGGUUAAUAGCGUGCCUAGCUCAGAGAAGUUUUUCUUAGGAGGGGACUUUAAUGGGCACAUCGGGGCUUUACGGGUAGGUUAUAGGGAGGUUCAAGGUGGCUUUGGCUUUGGGGAUAGGAACGAUACAGGAGCCACUCUUUUGGAUUUUACGAGAGCCUUUGAGUUGGUGGUAGUGGAUUCCUGCUUCCUGAAGAAGGAGGAGUAUCUAGUUACUUUUCGCAAUAGGUUAGCCAAGACUCAGAUUGACUUUUUGCUGCGUAGGAAGGGGGAUAGAUCUUUGUGUAAGGAUUGUAAGGUCCUUCUAAGUGAGAACCUUUCUACCCAACAUAGACUUCUGGUGAUGGAUUUGGUUAUAAAGAAGGUAAAUAAGAGAAGGGGUAGAGAAGGUCGAUCUAGAGUAAAGUGGGGCGACCUGACCCCAGCUACUGCUUUGGAUAUAGGGGCAAAGUUGGAGAGGAUGGAGGAUUGGGAGUGUAGGAGGGAUGUGGAUAGUAUGUGGGAUACGGUUGCGAUUUGCAUCAAGGAGACAACUAGAGAGUUUCUGGGUACCUCGGGGGGCUGGUCUGGCCAGUAUCGGAGGGAUUGGUGGUGGAAUGAAGAAGUUAAGAAGAAAGUGGAGUCGAAGAAGGUGGAUUACGUGAAGUUGGUGCUGAGUAAGGAUGAUGAGGUGAGGCAAAUAAGCAGAGAGGAGUACAAGUUAGCUAGGAAGGAGCCUAAUUUAGAGGUCACCACUGCUAAGACAACAAUGUUUGAGAGAUUGUAUGAGGGACUUGAGGAGAAAAGUGGGAAGAAGAGGCUGUCGGGAUCUGGACCAGGUUAAGUGCAUUAAGGGAAAGGAUAGCAGAGUUCUGGUAGAUGACGUUCUUAUUAAGAAAAGAUGGCAGUCGUAUUUUCAUAAGCUCCUGAAUGAUGAGGGGGACAAAGGUAUUGUAUUAGGGGAGUUGGAGCACACCGAAGAAUUUCGUGAUUUUGGUUUUUGUAGGCAUUUUAAUGUGGAGGAGGUUAGUGAGGCUAUUUGCAAGAUGCGAAGAGGCAGGGCGAUGGGGCCCGAUAAGAUUCCAGUAGAUUUUUGAAAGUUUGCUAGUGGGACGGGGUUGAGGUGGUUGACCGACUUAUUCAAUAACAUUUUUAAGUCUGCUAAGAUUCUCGAGGCAUGGCGAUGGAGCACGAUGAUUUCUCUUUAUAAGAACAAGGGUGAUAUUCAGAGUUGUAACAACUACCGAGGUAUUAAGUUUUUGAGUCACACGAUGAAGAUUUGGGAGCGGGUGAUGGAGCGGAGGUUGAGGAGUAUAGUGUCUAUUUCAGAGAAUCAGUUUGGUUUUAUGCCUAGUCACUCGACGAUUGAAGCAAUUCACCUAGUGCGGAGACUGGUUGAGAAAUAGAAAGAGAGGAAGAGGGAUCUUCACAUAGUGUUUAUUGACUUAGAAAAGGCGUACGACAAAGUCCCUAUAGAGGUUCUUUGGAGAUUCUUGGAAGUGAGGGGGGUAACUAUGGCAUACAUUCGUUCGAUUAGGGACAUGUACGAGGGGGCGAAGACUCGGGUAAGGACUGUGGAAGGGGAUUCUGACCAUUUUUUUCCUGACUGGAUUGCACCAGGGAUCGACUCUUAGUCUAUAUUUAUUCGCCAUAGUUAUGGAUGUGUUGACAAGGAGUAUUCAAGGUAAGGUGCCAUGGUGUAUGAUUUUUGCAAAUGAUGUAGUCUUGAUUGAUGAGUCGCGUCGAGGUAUUAAUGAUAAGUUAGAUGUUUGGAGACAAACCCUGGAAACUAAAGGUUUUAGGUUGAGUAGGACAAAGAUGGAGUACUUGGAGUGUAAGUUUAGUGACACGAGGCAAGAAGACGAGGUGGUAGUGAAGUUGGAGUCUUAGGUGGUGUGUAAGAAAGAUAGUUUUAAGUACCUUGGGUCUAUAAUUCAAGGAAAUGGAGAAAUUGACGAGGAUGUCUCUCACCGUAUUGGGGCAGAUUGGUUGAAAUAGCGGCUCGCCUCGGGAAUCCUUUGCGAUAAGAAGGUACCUCUCAUGUUUAAAGGCAAAUUCUACAGAGUUGCAGUCCGGCCGGCUAUGUUGUAUGGCGCGGAGUGCUGGCCGGUUAAAAACUCUUAUAUCCAAAAGUUGAAGGUGGCAGAAAUAAGGAUGUUGCGUUGGAUGUGCGGUAUCAUGAGAGCUAACAGGGUUAAGAAUGAGGCUAUUUGGGACAAGGUGGGAGUGGCAUCGGUGGAGGAUAAAAUUUGGGAAGGGAGAUUGAGAUGGUUUGGGCAUGUGAUGAGAAAGGGCACGAAUACUCCAGUUCGUAGGUGUGAGAGGUUGGCCUUGGAUAGUUUCAAGCGGGGUAGGGGUAGAUCGAAGAAAUACUGGACAGAAGUAAUUAGACGUGACAUGGAGCAAUUAUGGCUCAUUGAGGACAUAACCCUUGACAGAAAGGUUUAGAGGAAGAGUAUUAGGAUAGAGGGCUAAGGGAUGUGGUUAAGUCAUAGGCUGGAGUUAGGAGAGUUUCGUGUAGCUUGGUUGGUAGGGCUAGGGUUGGGGGGAGGGGGUGCCUUUUGUUGGUUCAUGUACUUAUUUGAGGUUGUUGUAUCAUUGUUAUUUUAUCAUGUUAUAUGCUUGCGAUAUUUGAACACGGUCUUAGUCCUUUUAUUGAGCUGGGGGGUCUAUCGGAAACAAUCUCUCUACUUCUUCGGAUGUAGAUGUAUGGACUGCGUACAUUCUACCCUCCCCAGACCCCACUAUGUGGGAAUAUACUGGGUUUGUUGUUGUUGUUGUUCUCAUUCAAUAAGCAUAGAGCCAUCUCCAUUAUGGUACGAUUCUUUCUCUUACUAACUCUAUUUUGCUGUGGAGUAUAUAGAGCAGUGAGUUGGUGUUCAAUUCUGGCUUCUUCACAAAAUGCAUUGAAUUGAUCAGAUGUAUACUCCUUGCUGUUGUUGGACCUUAGUGAUUGAAUUUUACAGCCACUUUGAGUUUCAAUCCACUGCUUGAAUUUCUAAAAAAUAGUGGCAACCUCUGAGUUGAACCUGAGAAAAUAAAUCCAACACAUUCUCGUAUUGUUAUCGAUGAAAACAAUGCAAUAGUUACUCCCUUUGAAUGACGGAGUUCGGUGAGGACCAACCGAAUCUGUGUGGAUUAAUUUUAGUUUUUCAGUGGCUCUCCAGGUUGCUUUCUUGAAAGGUAGCCUUGCUUGUUUGCCAAAUUGAAAAGUUUUGAAAUCUGCUAUUUCAGCUUCAAGAUUAGGUCGCCCUCAAACCAGAUCUUUCUUUUGUGAGUUAAUUACAGCAGCAUGGUUGAAGGUCCGAGUCUUUUGUGCCAAACUUGUGCAUUGAUCUUAGUUGCAGAGUAAGCUUUUUGCUCAUGAUCUAAAAGAUCCAAUGUAAAGCUCCUUCCCUUCAUCAUUACCUUGAAUAAGUUUCUGCCAUCUUCAUCCUUGAUUUGACACUAAUUUGAUUCAAAGAGAAGUUUGAAACCAUUCUCAAGCAUCUGUCUAACACUUACCAGACUAUGACUAAUAUUAGGUACAGAAAACACAUCUUUGAUUAGUUUUGUACCUGAGGAGCAUUUCAUUUCCACAAUACCUUUGCCUUCAGCAGAAAUAGUCUCCAUUACCAACUUGUACUUUGGAAAUUACCGAAGUAUCUAAUUUCUUGAAGAUAUCACAAUCAAAAUGUCAUGUGGUUUGUGCAACCACUGUCAAUAAGCCACUUGUCACUCGAGCAACUAGUUGCCAAACAUAUCGCUACAAAGAGUUGCUCUUCAUUUUCCUGAUCAGCUGUCUGUGCAACAUUAGUUUGCUGAGUGGGUUGUUCUUGCAAAUCUUCUGAUGAUGUCCCAUCUGCUGACAUUUCUCACACUGUUGUCUGGCCUUCUCCAGCAUUUGAACGGUGGAUGACCCUCCUUUCCACAAUGCUUUCAAGAAGGAAAAUCAUGUUUCGCUCCCCUAUUGAUCCCAGGAGAAUGAAAACUUGAGUUUUUCUUCUUGUUCAACUUCUUCUUUCCUUUGUCUCCCUGAUUUGAUUGAACUUUUGCAGGUAGUACACCCUCAAUCGAUCUUUUGGACCUCAUAAGUCUUCUCUGUUCUUGUGCCUGCAAAGCAUUCAAUAGUUCUGCCAAACUAAUCUGUGACAGAUGGUUAGAAUUUUCCAGUGCGAAAAUAGUUGUUUCAAACCUUUCAGGGACAGUUACUAGAACUUUUUGAACCAAUCUAGAAUCAGGAAAUUCAGAUCCAAGUAAUCUUACAAUGUUGGCCAUGUUGAGUAAUCUAUCAGAAUGCUCUUUGAUUAUCUCUAAAUCCUUCAUCUUCUGAAGUUCAAAUUAUCGGAUCAGGUUAAGAGUACGCAUACCUUUGAUCCGUUCAUCUCCUUCAUAUUCUUUCUUUAGGAAAUUCCAGACCUCAAAAACUGAUUUCAAUGUCAUAAUCCUAAUAAAGAUUUUAGAUGAGACUGCAGGGAAUAACGUUGCUCUAGCCUUUGAUUUUCUUAUUUUCUUUUCCUUGUGAUUCCUUAUCUGUGUCAUGGUUGGAUUUUCAGGCAAGGGAGGAACUUCGUAGUCCUCCUCAACAACUUCCCACAAAUUGUUUGCCUCCAUAUAUGCCUCCAUUCUUGCUGCCCAGACAUGAUAGCCUUCACCUUUAAAGACAGGUGGUGCUAGUGCAGUGAAAGGAGUCUCUGAAUCCAUAAAAGAGAAACCAAGAAGAGAAAAAUAUGUUUCUCUCAAAUGCAAGUCCCUCAAGAAGAGAGCUCUUGAUACCAAUUUGUUGGAAUUGUAAGGUUAACUUCAACUCUUUGAAGUGAAAACAAAGAAAGAAAGAAGAGAACAAAUAAUUUACUGCACAAAGGUUGAUUUAUUAAUCUAAAGUGGUGCUUAAAUAGUAAAAAAAAAAUGCAAUAACUAAAGCCUAUAAUUAAGCCACUACUUUGUACAUGAUUCCAUGAUCAGCAAUAUCCAAAACAACUACACCACUAACAUCUAAAAAUCAGCCACUAAACUAAGUUGAGAACAUGGCUAAAAAAAGUUGGAUAAUGUCCAACAAUUUCUCCUUUUACAGCAAUAACUUAACUGAGGCAAUAAUCCAACACAUGCACAUCGUAAUAACAUUAGUACAUCACAAAAGAACUUUCAAAACAGGGAAAGCUCACCUUUCUUCAUUGCACUCCAUGUAGUUGGCAGAGGGUGGAAUAACUGUUUGGUUGUUCCUAACACAGCGUUUUCACUUCCUGAAAGUUCAGUAAUACGGAACAGUUAACAGAAAACUUCAUUGACAUCUCCUAUGACAAGUAAAAGCAGUGUAGAUCUAGAAAGCAUAACAUGAACAGCUAGCUCUGGCACAGUUAACAUUUAACAUGUACUAAACACAAGUUGCUGACCUUGCUUGAGCAAAAUAAAAAGGAGCUCAUUUCCCUANNNNNNNNNNNNNNNNNNNNNNNNNNNNNNNNNNNNNNUGAACACGAACAAAUAAAAGGUAGUUAAGUAAUCUGAAGUCCAGAUUGCAUGAAAGUUAACAUUUGUCCCCCGUAUUGUUUCCACUAAAUGUCCAAUUAGAGAUAUCUUGGCUACGUUUCAUUUCAAUUUUCACCCCUAUUUCCUCAAUUUAGUGCCACACAGGAUGAAAAUCAUCAAAUUGAAUCUCAACAAAAAGUAAAUCCAGAUGUGUUAAAUUCUUGACAUAAAAUUAUUAUUAGUUGCUUUAGGACUGCAGUAAUUUUUUUUUUCCUGUAUUUCUUUUUUAAGUUAUUAGGAGGUAGUUAGCAUGGUUAGCACCAUGACUUUAAAGUAGGGCCAUUAUCUAUUUCAGUUUUUAAAAUAACACUUUAUGUAACUACUCUUUGUUAGAAAAAAAAUCUCUCUGCACAAGUUUCUCUCUCAGUGAUUUUCUUCAUUCUCCUGCUUCUUUUCUGUAGCAAUCUAGAUAUCGUUUGCAUAGUGUUAUGUGCGAUUUUUCUAUUUAAAAAUAACAUUUGGUAUCAAAGUUUUUAUCUUAACGGAUUUGUGAUUGAGUUGGAGAAGUCAUGGAUGCAGAAACUAGUUUCUCACCAAUCGCUCCGCCAGUCUUUGAUGGAGAUAACUAUCAGGUUUGGCCAGUACGAAUGGAGACAUACUUGGAUGCUUUAGAUCUAUGGGAAGUUGUGGAAUAGGAUUACGAUGUUCCAGCCCUACCGAAUAAUCCCACCAUGGCUCAGAUUAAAGCACACAAGAAAAAGAAGACAAGGAAAUCGAAGGCCAAGGCAUGUCUAUUUGCUUCUGUAUCGUCAACAUUUUUCACACUAAUAAUGUCUCUGAAAACUGCUAAAGAAGUAUGGGAUUAUAUUAAGGAAGAGUAUGCUGGAGAUGAGAGAAUAAAAGGUCUGCAAGUUUUAAACUUAAUUAGGGAAUUUGAAUUGAAAAAAAUGAAGGAUUCUAAAACAGUAAAGGAGUAUUCAAAUAGACUUCUUAAUAUUGCAAAUAAAGUGAGGCUACUUGGCUCUACACUUUCUAACUCAAGAAUUGUUGAGAAGAUUUUGGUAACAGUUCCUGAAAGGUAUGAAGCAACAAUUACGACCUUGGAAAAUACUAAGGAUUUGUCAAAAAUUAGUUUGACGAAGUUUCUCAAUUUCCUGAAAGCUCAAAAGCAAAGAAGACUAAUGAGACAGUAUGUUACAACAGAAGGGGAUCUUGUCAGUAAGUACCAGGUUGACGAAUUUUUGAAGAAGAAAAAGAAUCAAGAGUUGAGUGAAUGAGAAACAUCAACCAACAACAAAGGUAAGGGAGGAAGUGCGAAAAACCUUCCCCCUUGCCAUCACUGUGGAAGAAAAAGUCAUCCACCAUUCAAGUGUUGGAGGAGACCAGAUGCUAAAUUUAAGAAAUGCAAUCAACUUGGACAUGAAGUGGUGAUUUGCAAAAGUAAAGCCCCGCAGCAAGAAGAAAAUGCUCAAGUUGUUGAUCCAGAAGAGGAGGAUCUUCUUUUUGUUGCAACAUGUUUCUCAAGUAAGAUCUCAACAGAUUCUUGGUUAAUUGAUAGUGGGUGCACUAAUCACAUGACUCAUGACAAGAUCCUAUUCAAGGAGUUGAAGCCCACUUAAAUUUCCAAGGUUAGGAUAGGAAAUGGGGACCAUCUUCAUGUCAAAGGAAUUGGAACCAUAGCUAUCAAGACUGACACAGGCAUAAAGAAAAUUGCUGAAAACUUGCUAAGUGUAGGACAUCUGAUGGAAAAAGGAUUUAGACUUUUCUUUGAAAAUGAUCACUGCCAAAUCAGUGACACUGUUGGAAAUGAAUUUUUUAGGGUGAAGAUGAGAGGAAGGAGUUUUUCCUUUAGUCCAACAGAGAAGGAGCAACUUGUUUAUACCAUGAAGGCAGAUGUAAUGGAAAUCUGGCACAAGAGACUUGGUCACUGUCAUCUACAAGCAUUAUUGUUACUGGAGAAGGAGGAUAUGACAAGAGGACUACCAAAUCUCGUUGAUCACUUACCAAGUUGUCAAGCUUGUCAAUUUGGUAAGCAGAAUAGGAAACCAUUUCCUAAAGCAUCAUGGCACGCUUCUCAAAGGUUGCAAUUGAUUCACACAGAUAUUGUAGGACCUCAAAGAACACCGUCCUUUAAUGGUAGUCUUUACUAUGUUAUAUUCAUUGAUGAUUAUACAAGAUUCUGCUGGAUUUUUUUCAUGAAAUACAAAUCAGAGGUGGCUGGAAUAUUUUGGAAGUUCAAGAAGAUGGUGGAAAAUCAAAGUGGUUGCAGAAUUCAAUCUCUGCGUUCUGAUAAUGGAAAAGAGUACACUUCUAAAGAGUUUAACAAAUUCUGUGAGGAAGAGGGUAUUUCUCAUCAGCUUACAACUCUGUACACUCCGCAACAAAUUGGAGUUAGUGAAAGGAGGAACAGGUAUAUAAUGGAGAUGACGCGGUGCAUGUUCCAUGAAAAAGAGUUGCCAAAAAGUUUUUGGGCUGAGGCAGCUAAUACAACAGUAUUUCUCCAAAAUCGGCUUCCCACUAAAGCGUUGGAGAGUAAAACUCUAUUUGAGCCUCGGAAUGGAUUCAAACCAUCUCUAACCUUCAUUAAAGUAUUUGGUUGUGUUUGUCUCUUUCAUGUGCCACAGGUUAAAAGAGACAAACUUGAUAAAAAGGUUGUCCCGAAAAUCUUUGUGGGUUAUAGCUCAUCCUCCAAAUCCUACAAAAUUUAUGAUCCACAAACAGGGAAGAUGAUUAUUAGUCGAGAUGUGCACUUCAAUGAGGAAGAGAAAUGGGAUUGGAAAAACAAUCAACUUUCAGUCAAAGCUUCGGAGGAGCAGACAUCCGAUCAAUGGCAAAAUGAGUUAGUAGAUGAAAGUAAUGUGGCAGUUUGUGAGCCUGCAGGGCACAAGAAAGCGCUUCAAGAUGAAAAAUGAAGAAAUGCGAUGGAGUAGGAGAUGCUAAUAAUCAAGAAAAACAACACUUGGGGGUUAGUUGACAGACCGAAAGAUAGAAAGGUCAUUGGAGUAAAAUGGGUAUUUAGAACCAAGCUUAAUUCUGACGGUUCUAUCAACAUCUACAAGGCUAGGCUUGUUGUCAAGGGAUAUGCCCAAAUAUUCGGUGUUGAUUACUCGGAUACCUUUGCUCUAGUAUCCCGACUAGAUACCAUCAGAAUGUUGCUAGCAAUAGCAGCACAAAAGGGUUGGAAAGUGUUCCAACCAGAUGUCUAAUCUGCUUUUCUAAAUGGUGUAUUGCAGGAAGAAAUCUAUGUAGAGCAGCUCGAGGGUUUCAUUGAGCAAGGAAAAUAAGAAAAAGUUUGUCUUCUUAGAAAGACUCUUUAUGGCUUAAAACAAGCCCCAAGAGCUUGGUAUAGCAGGAUUGAUGAUCACUUGUUGAGUUUGGGGUUUGUUCAAAGUUUGUCUGAAGUUACUCUUUAUGUCAAACACAAAGGAACUAAUCUGCUUAUUAUUUCCCUUUAUGUUGAUGAUCUCUUGGUGACAGGAAACAAUGUGCGGCUGGUUGAAGAGUUUAAGAAGAAAAUGAUGCAAGUCUUUGAGAUGACAGACCUAGGACUAAUGACAUACUUUCUAGGGAUGGAAAUCAAGCGAGGUUUCAACGAAAUCUUUAUCUACCAAAAGAAGUAUGCUAGGGAGAUACUGAAGAAAUUCCAUAUGGAAAAUUGCAAGGCAACAAGCACACCGAUGAAUCCAAAGGAGAAGUUGAGCAAAUAGGAUAGAACUGGUAGAGUUGAUGAAGGAAACUUCAGAAGCUUGAUUGGAUGCUUGAUGUAUCUCACUACUACACGACCCGAUAUUCUACUUGCUGUAAGUCUUUUGUCUAGGUUUAUGCAUUGUGCUACUAAAAUGCAUUUGCAAGCAACAAAAAGAAUUAUUAGAUACAUCAAAGGUACUGUCGAGUAUGGGGUCAAAUUCAAAAAGUGUGAGAAUUUCAAGUUGUAUGGAUUCUUAGAUAGUGAUUUGGCCGGAUCCACUGAUAACAUGAAAAGUACAUCAGGAUAUUGCUUCAGUCUGGGAUCAGGCAUUUUCUCUUGGUGUUCCAAGAAGCAACAAACCAUGGCACAGUUCAUGGCAGAGGCUGAAUUCAUUGCAGCAACAGCAGCAGUAAAUCAAACCUUAUGGCUGAGAGAAAUAUUUUCUGAUUUGCAUAUGGAACAAAAGGUUAAUACUGAGAUUCAUGUUGAUAAUCAAGUUGCAAUAACUAUUUCACAUAAUUCAGUGUUUCACGGGAAGACUAAGCACUUCAAUAUUAAGCUUUUUUUCUUGAGGGAUGUGCAGAAAAAAGGAGAAGUGAUUCUUGUUUAUUGCAAAUCCGAUGAUCAGCUUGCAGAUGCAUUUACGGAAUCCCUUCCUGUCAGCAAGUUUAAGUUCCUAAGACAGCAACUUGGAAUUUGCAGCUCCUAAUGCAAGGAGGAGUAUUAUUAGUUGCUUUAGGACUGGAGUAUUUAUUUAUUUUAUUUCUUGUAUUUCUUUUUUAAGUUAUUAGGAGGUAGUUAGCAUGGUUAGCACCAUGACUUUAAAGUAGGGCCAUUAUCUAUUUCAGUUUUUAAAAGAACACUUUAUGUAACUACUCUUUGAUAGAAAAAAAAAUCUCUCUGCACAAGUUUCUCUCUCAGUGAUUUUCUUCAUUCUCCUGCUUCUUUUCUGUAGCAAUCUAGAUAUCGUUUGCAUAGUGUUAUGUGCGAUUUGUCUAUUUAAAACUAACAAAAAUCCCUGCAGGUAUUAGCAAAUUUUCCUUGCUAAUACACACGCGGCUACAUUGACUUCGGCCAUUGCACAAAAUCGUGCUAAUACAUUGAUAUCAAACAAAAUAGACAUUCCAUCAAGGCUAUCAGUUUCUUGCAAGGUGAUAAUUUAUAUGGACGGUGAAUAUUACUUAAACUCACACAAGUACUUAAUAGAUUUCUUAAAACACACGCACACACAACAAAGGUUACUGAAUUACGUAAACACAUAAGUGGGUUACAAGAUAAUCUGUUUAAAUUGUCUUGUUCUUAGCCAUUUCUAUACGCAUUGAUACUUACGAUACGGACAAUCUUGCUGCUAAUGACAAUUUUUGUCUUGGUUGAGACAGCAUAAAACAUCUCUAUGCACUGUCAUUGUCAUUAUUUUGAUGUUUCACCUACCUCAUAAAUCUAGAGGAAAUGUUCAAAAACAAGAACAGUGAGCUAAGUGGUCUAAGGGGCUGCAAUUUUGUAGUGCCCCAGCAUCCAUUAAUACGAUGCAAACUAGGUAUAAUAAUAUAAGAAAUGUAUAAAUAUUGGUAUGGGAUAUAAAAAUGAAUGCUGGAAACCAAGAUGAUAGUUGAGUGAUUUGGUUUACAGGCGGAACCUUAAGGCCUUGGGCGUUAAUAUGUGUGGUCGAAGCUCCCCGACACCCACGAUCCCUAAAUCCUGAAUCCGCCACUGAUGUGGCCUCAUGAUACCUAACUCAUCAAUAUAUGAAACAUCUUCUGAUCCAAUAAUGCCUAACUGAUCAGUAUAUAAGGACCUAAAAAUAGUUGAGCCAUAUAAGCAUUUCACAUUACAUUCUUCUGCACUUUUUUCUUCCCCUUUAAUAAUAGUACCAAGCCAAAAGGUGCCUACAAAGAUGGAAGUUAAGAACAAGUAUGCAGCAAUAAAAGCCAACAUAAAUGGUGCACCAGAAGAGUCAGACUUCGAGAUAAAAGUCGAAAACCUCUCACUUAUAGUUGAGCCAGGGUCUAAGGUGGUGGCUGUCAAGAACCUGUUUGUAUCGAUUGAUCCGUAUCAGAUAAACCGGAUGAAGAGCCAAAGUUCAUCACAAUCAUCGAUAAGUUAUGCAACUGCCAUUACUCCUGAAGAGGUCAUAAACACUAAUGGUGUAGGAAGAGUGUUGGCUUCUCAUCGGCCUGACUUUAAGAAAGAUGAUUUGGUAGCAGGCUUUCUUACCUGGGGAGAGUACACUAUGGUAAAGGAAGGUUCCCUGUUGAAUAAGUUGGAUCCUAGUCUGGCGUUUCAUUUGUCUUACCAUGUCGGAGUAUUUGGAUUCAGUGGACUUGUUGCCUAUGGUGGAUUCUUCGAAGUGUGUAAGCCGAAGCCAGGGGAGAAAGUUUUUGUAUCUCCUGCUUCUGGUUCAAUAGGACAUUUAGUAGGACAGUAUGCUAAAUUACUAGGAUGUUAUGUUGUUGGCUCUGCUGGUAGCCAAGAAAAGGUAAAUUUUCUUAAGGAGACACUUGGAUUCGACGAUGCAUUCAAUUAUAAACAAGAAACUGACCUCAAAUCGGCUCUCAAAAGGUGUUUCCCUCAAGGGAUUGAUGUCUACUUUGACAACGUGGGAGGCAAGAUGCUAGAAGCAGCAUUGGCAAACAUGAACUCAUUGGGUAGAGUAGCCAUCUGUGGGGUUAUUUCUGAGUACACGAAUGCUAGCACAUGAGCUUCCCCGGAAAUGUUGGAUAUAGUCUACAAGGGGAUUAGCAUCCAAGGAUUCCUACAGCUGAUCUCAUGACAGUGUAUGCAGAUUUCCUGUCUAAAACAGUUGAGUACCUCCAUGAUGGAAAACUUAAGGCCAUCGAAGAUAUCUCACAAGGCGUUGAAAGCAUUCCCUCUGCUUUUAUUGGACUGUUCAAUGGUGAUAAUAUAGGCAAAAAGAUUGUCAAACUUGCAGAUGAGUGAAAAAAAGAACAAGAAAUUUAAGACUGUCGACCUAAUUGUUCAUGAAUUCGCGACCAAUAUCUGUACUUCUUUCAAGUUGUAAUCCAUUUAAACGUUCGUCUUCUGCAUCAAGUUAAAGAACAAGUUUAUGUAUUAUGCCUAUCAGAUUCUUGUUUAGUUUUCCUUUCCAUGUAUCCUAGAUUGAAACAAACUUUGUGACCCUAUUGUCUACCAACUAUGCCUCAAUCCCAAAUUUAGUUGACUAUAUAUAUCUUUUAUAUCAACGCAACAAAGUGGAAAAAUACAUCUUUAGCAACUACUUCAAGACCACCACAAGAUAAAAUAGCAGCUGAGUCUACUGAAAUAGCAGCAAAGUAAAGUGACAAUGGAUGUACAUAAGUUUGUUUCAAUAGAAUGACACGAUAGAAAACACUAAUGUACUAGUAUCACAGUAGAAACAAAAUUUGAGAGGAAUGGAUCAGGAAGGGGAUGAACGUAAUACCAAGUGUUACAUUAACGGCGUUAAUAUUGAACCUGCAGUCUUCCUUCCAUUCAAACAGAUUGUCAACAGCCUCUGCCAAUGCAGAAUAAACCACUAGUUUGUUGUGUUUUCAAGAAAUUAUGGUCCUACAAUUGCAGCCACAGGAAGACGCACACAUAUUAGUGAAUGCUUCAGCAUAAGGCUAUUCAUCCUUGAGGGGGAGUGGUUAAAAGGCACCACAAAGACGCUUAACCGCAGUUCCCCUGGAGAGCAAAGAACAAGCCAAAACUAGCACUCAUCAACUUGCAACACCUUUUUUUGAAGGAGAACUAAUUGCAAUAUAAGGGAAAAGAAUUCAUAAUAUGGACUAUUAUCAUCACAAGUAUCAUGUGACAGAUCAACAUCUAGUUCAGAUCGAUCUACAAAAAACACACAUUCAAGGGAAGGAGAAGCUUGUUCAACAUUUUGUUAUGAUGAACUUGACUUUAAGCUACCAACAAUGUGAGACGCAAUUUAGCAGACAUAGGUAACUCUCGCUCUAUACAUGCACAUGGUAUGGUAAUAACAUCGGUACAUCACAAAGGAACUGUAAAAACAGGGAAAGCCCGCAUUUCUUCAUUGCGCUCCAAGCAGUUAGCAGAGAGUGGACUAGCUGUUUGGUUGUUCCUAACAUAGCUUUUUCACUUCCUGAAAAUUCAAUUAUACAGAUUAGUUAGCUGAAAACUGCAUUGACAUCUCAUAUUACAAGUAAAAGCAGUAAAGAUCAAGAAAGCAACAUGUGAAGAGCUAGUCCAGACACAGUCUACAUUUAAAGUGUACUAAACACAAGCUGCUGGCCUGGCCUUGUUUGAGCAUUGAAGAUGAGCUGCAUUUCCCUANNNNNNNNNNNNNNNNNNNNNNNUCUUUAGUUGAUGUUGUAAGCAGUGAAGAUGAACAAAUACAAGGUAGUUGGAUAACCUCAAGCUAGACUGCAUGAAAGUGGUGUAUAAAUGGUAUACUUAGUAUGACAAAUCCCAUAAGAAAAUAAAAAUGAACAAAGAGAUCCUAAGAGAUGCUCAUCCUGAUUCCAGUGCAACAUACUGACCCACCCAAAAAUGGGUAAUUUGAUUCAGAUCUGGAACACUUCACAGAAAGCAUGACCCUCCCACUACUAAAAAUAGACCAAAAAAUGACAGCCAAAAGCGAUGGACAACGUCGUUUUUUUUUUUGGACAACAUUGCUUUUUUGCAAAUGAUGGCCUGCGUCGCUUUUUUUUACGACAGACGGCGUCGUUUUUUGAAUUUUUUUUUUUUUUUAAAAAGCAACGUUUUGUCUCGUUUUUUUAUUCUUCAUGUAUAGAAUAAAUGAUGAACAAAAAACGACGGACAUCGUCAUUUUAUUGAAGAAAAAAAUAUUUUUUUUUAGAAAAAGCGACAAAGUCCGUCGCUUUUCUGUAUAUUUUUGAAUGCAGAAAUCUGCAUUUUCUGCAUCCCACUUGCCAAAUAAAAAUGCAAUUCAAUAUGUUCAGCCCCUUGCAACACAUUACUAAAAUAAUCAUACAACACACUACAUCAUCAAAACAUUUAAGCAAUUCAAAUCAACAACACUUCAAACAAUCAAUUCAACAACAUCCAAAACACUUAACAAUUAAUCCACCAACAUCUAAAACACUUAAGCGAUCCUGAAGGUUUUCCAAUAGUUAAAAGUUAAGUUCAAGAAUGUCUUAAAAGUGUCUAGAAGCCAAAUCCAACAACACUAAGGAGUAGACCCAACAAACUCCUCAUCACUUUCUGUUUCUUCUUCGCUACUUGAAUCGGGCGAUGGAGAACGGCGACGGCAACGGCGAGGCAUGCUAAGCAUUUGUUUCUUAAGUUCCUCGACGGUCUUGCGCGUGACUUCAUUUUGAGCAAUGGACUGUGCCACGGCACGUGUAAGCUGUGCAAUCUGCUGCGACAUAGCAGCAAUUGAACACUGUCAAUCGCCUCAGCCUGGCGUGAGGAACCAAUACCAGCCUAUCCAUCCUCGAGGUGUCACAAUUCAUUUCGAGAACCCAAGCCAUAGGUUCUCCCCUUUCAUCUUCCUCCUGUCACUUUUUCGGUCCGAAUUUGAAUAGCUUCCUCCUGCGCAGGCUCGGUUGAACCAAACUCAGACACGUAGUGUAUAUAUUCAUUCUGCAUAUUAAAAAAGACACGUUAGUAAAUUUUACUAUUACUAAGUAAGGUGGAGCAUAACGUAAAUUUUAAUAUGUUUUGCUUACAUAUUGAAUACAAAAAUAAGAAAGAAAUCAACUUUUUUUCCUAAACAUUAUUUUAAAGCUAACUUUUGCUUUCCAUCAAAUCUAACUCGGUAAGAAUUUCCACACACAACCCUUUGACUUUUUAAAAUUUGUUCCUCGUAUUGUUUCCACUAAUUGUACAAUUAAAGUUAGCAUGGCUACGUCUCAUUUCAUCCUAUUUCCUCAAUGUAGUGCCACAAAAAGGAUCCAAAUCAACAAACAAUAAGUAAAUCCAUGUUAGUCAAAUUCUUGAAACAAUUUUCCUACAAGGAUUAGCAAAAAUCGUUCGAUAACACUUCUUCCUAUUUCUUUCUCAAUGAUAUCCGACGAUCAAUUUUCCUUGCUAGUACAUACUCGGUAAAUUGACCUCGGUCAGAUUUCAGAAAAUUAUGCUAAUACGUUGAUAUCAAACAAAAUAGACCUUCCAAGAAAUGCAUUAAACAAGGCUACUAGUAAUUUGUACUUGGUGAUACAUCACCAUAGCAUUGAAGAGUUCUUAGAAAGGUCAAGUUACAGAUACGAUUUGCUACGGUAUUUAGCAACAAGAUAGAGAAUUACUUAUAGUAGGGAGACAACUUGUUUAAAAUAACAAAGAAGAGGAGAAUUGAGCUUUAGUAAUUAGAAGAAAGCAUCAUAUUAAACAACACUUUAAAUCCCAAUAUAUUUAUCUAGAUUCCCUUGUUCAUUGGCAUUUCCAAUCUACACUCGGGAUCGUAACCCCAUUGCGAUUACAGAUUGGAUGUCUAAUUGUUAGUAUCUUGUACCUGAACUGAUGGCUCACUUUUUCUAAGUAAUGGGGAAGAGGACCGAAACGUGCCACUGAAAGAAUCUAGUUAGACAAAGAUGGGCUGUCAAGAAUGUAGAGGAGGUAGGAUGGGCAGUUGGUCAGAUCUAGUAUGGAUAUACAUGGACGGUAGUUGGAGUCGGCAGCUCUCCCAGUCUUCCCUCACUGAGAUCUCUGGGGAAGCCUUCCAACCCACUUUUCUUCAUGACAACUUUAUUACCAAACUGAAAGAAGAUUUAAAUUGACCAAAUAUGCAACAGAACGAGAAGAUAGUCCUGGAGAAAAUUAUCAGUAAGCUAUAAGCAGCAGCAAAAAGGACCAAACUAGAUAGUAUCUCCAACUUUAACUCUUAUUCAGUAAUUCCACUAUUUCGUACUUUUCCCUAUUAAACACUAACAAGGGUUAGGCACAUUAUGCAACCAUGACUUCUGUGUCCCUGGUCCUCUUUAUGAUUACUCUAUCUAGAGGCAAAAUCGACUCCCUUAUAAAGCUUCAAGAAGAACAAUAAAGCUAGUCCAGAAGAAAGACAAAGAUUACGUAGAUCGUAAUACCUGAAGAAAAAAAAGCUAGUAACUAGGAGCAACGAGAAAACCAAAACAAGUCCAGAAGAAAAUAAACAGUUAGCUACCUAUUAGCUGCAAUGAGAAAAGCGAAAAUCAGAUACUAGGAAGACCGUAAUAUUGAUUCCAAAAGUAUCAAGUUUCCUCUUUAUGCCUCAUUAGUUUUCACCAGUAAAAGAUUUAUUAAAGAAGCCCCUAGAUCAAACAAUAACCCUGGGAAGGACCUCGGCUUUAUCGGCGCAUUCACAUGCCACACGUUCUAAGUUCCUGAUGCUCUUUAUUUUUUACUCUGACUAGAGGCAUAACAUUCUCUAAAACACUGCUGAACAAGAGAAAAGAUGUCCAACAUCAUUUAGUGCAAAGUCGAAGACAAAUUUAUUGUUCCUUGAAGAUAGUGUAUAAAGGAAAAAAUGACUAACAAGAUCUCGAAGCAAUACGGUUUAAAGAUGUCUUUUACAUAUGCAUUGUCUUGUUCUGUAUGCGAAAUAACAAUAAGAACUUAACAGCAAUUGAGGAAAAAAAAAAGUAUACUUACAAGUUCUUUGUCACUUGGUUUUCUUGAUUGGAGCUUUUUCAGCCUUCUGUGUUUUGUUGCAUCUGCAGCCUCUUCUUUAGAAAAAGGACAAACUAAACUUUCAACGUAGAUUGCUAUCUUAGGAAACUCAUCAAAAUCAAUAACCUCUGAAUAUCUCAAUGAAGAAUCCUUCAGCUUGUAUAUCAUGGAAUAUUUAACAAACCUGAAAUUUUUUUUACCUUUGUUUGACAUGAAACAAGGCAGAUAAAAAUCACAACGCGGUGUAUCAAAAGGACAAUUGACGGUAAACAUCUUUGUCCAAGAUUGUUUAAUCCCAUAAUCCUUCAUAACCCAAAAAUCUACAUGAGAGGCCGCAUUAUAACAAAAAAUGGAAAGAUCACUUCCCAACACUCCCAAAUACAAUUGAAUAUAUCCCUCUUUGUAGAAAGGAUGCUCCACUUCUCUCCAUUUCUCGUUAGCCAAAUCAAACGAAAUGAUGUUCCAUUCCUUAUAGUCACUUCAGGAACCAUUCACCUUAGCAUUAGGCCAAUUAAGUUUCCCCUUCACUAAGAUACCUGAAAUAUAUACUUCCUCUCGACUUUUACACUUCCUCCAUUGACAAUCGUCAACAUUUCCCCAAGAAUCACUCUUUAGACUAUAUAUUUUGAGCUCACCUCGACCGAACUCACCUUUUAUACAAAAGGUACCCAAUAACUAAUAAUCAUCAUGAAACUCAUUGUAUCCAAAACCAUACAUUCGCGCUGUUUCAAACCACAAUGUAGCACUAGGACAAGGCAAUUUCUUGUACUUUCUAUUCGAUGGGUUCCAUAGAAACAAAUUAUCUUUAGAAUCCGCAAGACAAAUCAAUCCAUUGACAGAACUUAGAAUUGUUAUAGAACUAGGCAAUUCGUUGUACAAUCCAUCAGAUAUCAUACGAUGACCCAAGUGUGAUACCUCCGUAACAGAAUCAUUACAUAAAGAAUCAAGAUUACAAUCUUUAAUAUUCACCCCCUGUAUAGAAAUCCGUACCACCCAACGUUCGGUAGAAUUACUAAGAUGGGUCUUGAUAAAUUCAGGGCUCCAGAUUAAAGCAAGCCAGGAUUUUGAAACACACCUGAAUUGCAAGAGGGAAACAACGCAACAUACGCUUAUAAUGUAAAUACUCAUUAGUAUUAGCAGAUACAAUAAAAUGGGUAUUAUUAUAUUCGUGGCUAGAGAUUAAAGCAAGCCAAGAUUUUGAAACACAAACUCAACAUAAGCUUAAUGAUGUAGAUAUUGAAUCAUUACUAUUCCAUCCGUCCGGCAAUAUUUGUCCACUAUAUACUAAAAAUAAGUGUCAAACAAUACUUUUCCGGUUUAAAAAUCAAUGAAGAAUUUACCCUUUUCUACCCACUUUACCCUCGCUAUUAAAUACUAUUCAUCACUCAAUACAUUUUUCAAAAUAUUAAGUUUAUUACUCCUUCCGUCUAUUUUUACUUGUCCAGUUUUCUUAUUAUUUUGGGAUGUGCAACAAUACUUGUCCAAUUUAUAAAACCAAUGGUAUUAAAUACAAUACAUCUCUCAUUUCAUUUUUGAAAGCAAAAAAAUUAUUAUAUUCAAAAGGUGACAUAGUAAAAUCACCCCUCCAUUUAUCGUUUUAAGGUAUGUGCCAAGUAAAAAGUGGAUAAGUAUUUACGGACGGAGGGAGUGUAUUCAAAUUUUAUCCUUGCUAUUAGAUACUACUCAUCACUCAAUACAUAUUCCAAAAUAUUAAAUUUAUUAUAUUCAAACAGUAAUAUAGUAAAAUUACCCUUAUUAUUUAUUAUUUCUUAACGUGUGUGCCAAUACAAGUAUUGUUGGAAAGAGGGAGUAAUAUAUUCGGGGCUAGAUAUUAAAGCAAGCCAAGAUUUCUAAGCAUACCUGAAUUUCAAGAGGGAUGAGUUCAGCCGGCAGAAGAGGGAUUGUAAAGUUCAAAUCUUGCAUUGAAUUUGAUGGAAAUCCAGCAGAUUUUGUGCGCUUCUUCCAUUUUUUGGUGUUGAUGGUAGGCUUUAUCUUCCUCUUUUUCCAUUUGGGCGCCACAAAUUUGAGUGAAAUUCCCAAGUUUAUAGUAGUCAGCUGUGGACCGAAUUCGACAUGGGUCGGAUCAGGUCUGGUCGGGUUAUAUUAGGAAUAGUGGGUUCUCUCUUCAAAAUUGGAUAUUUUUAGGCAAUUUGGGGGUUUUCGUUUAUCUAGGGUAUGGGUAACACAUUUAUUAACCGUGAGUCAGAUAGACGAUUUUUCAAAAUUAAUCGUAUUUUUUAAAACAACUUCUUCUAUUUUAUUUUAUUUAAUACUUGGCGCAUCACUCUUUAUGUAUCGUCUUUUAGAUGGAAUUUGAUUUCUAUUCCAGUUUUAGAUAGAUUUGGUUAAGGUUUUUAAUUUUCUUAAUGAAAAAAUUAAUUUGUUUUUGAACUCCCGAGUUGUUGGUCAUGGAAUCCUAUCUGAUGGUUUGUUAAAAUUUUCUUGACUUCUAAUUUUGAAUACAACUCUUUUAAUUUUGAAAUUGUGGGGUCUAAACGAUCAAUUUUAAAUGAAAAAUUGGGCAUGUUGUGGCAUAGGUGUUUAGGUCACAUCUCUAAAUACAGAGUUGAUAGAUUGGUUAAGUCUAAUAUUUUACCUUCUCUUGAUUUUGGGGACAUAGGAACAUGUAUUGAUUGCAUUAGAAGAAAGUUGACUAAACAAGAAAAAAGAAUGCUAUUUGUAGUUUUAGUUGUUGAAAAUCAUUCACACAAACAUAAGUGGUCCGUAUUCUACUUCAAUAUGUGGUUCAAGUUAUUUUAUCACCUUUAUUGAUGACUUUUCUCGGUAUGAUUAUGUUUUUCUUAUUAAAAAAAAUUAUAUUCUCUUGAAAUGUUCAAAGUGUUUAAAACUGAAGUAGAGAAAUAACUGGGAAAGGUCAUUAAAAGAAUAUGAUUUUUAUGAAGUAGAGAAACAACUGGGAAAGGAUCUCACUAUCUUAAUGAUCUUUCCCAACACUAAAACUUAAACCCUAAACUCUGAUAGUGAGGUCCUUUCCCAGUAGUUUGAUAUCAUUGAGAUCCAAACCAUUAGAUCUUUAUAGAUGUACAAAACUUUUCCUCCUAGUGGUAUUAGAGCCUAGGGUUCAAAGAUCCAAUGGUUUGGUAAAGCGAGGUUGAAGACAAGUCCAAGACAGUUCUAAUCAAUUUGCAAUCAAUUGGAUGAUAACGAAGAUUUUAUUACACUAUAUGUGGAGAAGAUAUUUCAAUCAUAUUUUCAACAAUCCUGCUGUCACAUCUUUGAAAACAAAGCUAACCCUAUUUAGAGCUCCAAUAUUUUUAACCCAAAAGGGAUAAUAUAUUUUUAACCGAAAAAGGCUCAAUUUUUAAGCAUGACAAAAGCAGAGAUAAAUGAAGAUUAUGUGAAGAACCAAAAUUAUGCAUAUGACAUGAAGAAGGCAGAUCAAGUCAAGAAAAUCAAGCCCAAAAAGGAGAGAUUUAUUAGGAUUUUUGCCCCGAUUUUCUUACCAAAUUUAAGUUUUAUUUUUUCUUAUAAGGAAAAUAAAAGUAACCAUAAAUACUUUUACUUUUCCUUAAAGGAAAAUAUAAUUUUUUUUCCAUAUUUGACAAACCUCUUUCUUGAAGGAAAGGUUUUGUAUAUCUAUAAAUAGAAGACUCCUCUUGUCAUACAAUAACACAAUAGCAUCCACAAUAUAGUCCUUUAAAGAGUCAUUGUUUAGGGGGAGAUUUCUCCGAAUAGGUUUAAUGUUUUUUAUAUUCGGUUUUAUAAUAUGUAGGCCGAUUGGCCAAAAUAUAUAAUAAUUUAAUGCUUUUUAGUAUUGUUUUCUUUGUCGUCUACUUUAUCGUCUCAAGGUUUGCAGCUAAUAGCUUCCGCAUGACACCCUCUUGAUUUCGAACCCAACAGUAUGAUGAGUAAGCUAUUAAAAUCGUACUUUAAAAAAACUAUAAUUUAAAAGAUAUGAUGAGAAGUAUGAUGAGUAAGCUAUUAAAACCGUACUAUAAAAGAUAUGAUGAGAAGUAUGAUGAGUAUGAUGAGAAGUAUGAAGAGUAAGCUAUUAAAAUCGUAAUUUAAAAGAUAUGAUGAGAAGUUGUAAUUUAAAAGAUAUGAUGAGAAGUAUGAUGAGUAGAUCUAACUUACCUGAAAUCCUCUAGGGUGAAGCUGUUAAAACCUCCAUGUAUAUUCUUAAUCGUGUCCCUUCCAAAUCAUUCCCUAAAAUCCCUUUUGAGUUGUAGAACCAAUAAAAAAUUCAGUUUAAAUCAUUUUCAAGUUUGGAGACCUUCUGCGAAGGUAAAGAUAUAUAACCCUUCAGAAAAGAAAACCGAACCUAGAACCUCGCGUUGUUUUUUCAUUGGUUAUCCAACUGAGAAGGUAAAGAUAUAUAACCCUUCAGAAAAGAAAACUAAACCUAGAACCUCGCGUUGUUUUUUCAUUGGUUACCCAACUCAUUCUAAAAGAUACAGGUUCUACUGUCUUACAAAGGGAACAGGAAUAGUUGAAUCUCAAAAUACAAAAUUUCUUGAAUUUGAUAUUGCAGAUAAGGAUUGUUCUUAGCAUAUCGCUCCUGACUUAAUUGUUUCCCUUUCAAGUCAGUCCUUAAAACCCCUUUUGAGUUGUGGACCAAUAGAAAAUUCAGUUUAAAUCAUUUUCUAGUUUGGAGAUGUUCUGCGAAGGUAAAGAUAUAUAACCCUUCAGAAAAGAAAACUAAACCUAGAACCUCGCAUUAUUUAUUCAUUGGUUAUCCAGGUCAUUCUAAAGGAUACAGGUUCUAUUGUCCUACAAGGGGAACAGGAAUAAUUGAAUCUCAAAAUGCAAAAUUUCUUGAAUUUGAUGUUGUAGCUAAGGAUUGUUCUCAGCAUAUUGCUCCUGAGCCAACUGAAAGUAUUGAAGCUGUCAGAAUUCCUCUCAGUAUUACCUCAGAAUCAUUUGUGUCUGCACCUAUACAUGAUGAACCUCAUAUACAUGUGCAAACUGAUGACUUUGUACCUGCAGAAAUUAGGUGCCUAUUAUUGAAGAAGUGGUCAAGGCACCUGCUAUUGUUGAUCAAGAGGUUCAGAAUUUAAGGAGAUCAAGUAGACCGAGACGAUCGCUGCUAUCGGAUGAUUAUUUAGUAUACCUAAAUGAAGGCGACAUUGUUGAUCCUGUAAGCUUUUUGGAAGCUUCAUCAUGUGCUCAAUCAAAGAUGUGGCUUGAUGCCAUGUCUGAAGAGAUAAAAUCCAUGAGUAAAAAUGAUGUAAGCUUUCAGAGCUUCCUAAAGGUCAGAAGUUUGUUGGAUGUAAAUGGAUUUUUAUGACCAAAAAGGAUUCAAAUGGAAAUGUUGAACGAUUCAAGGCGAGAUUAGUUGCUAAAGGAUUUACACAGCGAGAAGGGGUUGAUUACAAUGAAACUUUUUCACCAGUAUCAUCUAAGGAUUCUUUUAGGAUCAUUAUGGCAUUAGUAACUCAUUUUUAUCUUGAUCUACAUCAAAUGGAUGUAAAGACAGCCUUUUUCAAUGGUGAUCUUAAUGAAGAGGUUUACAUGUAACAACACCAAGGUUUUGUUAGAAAAGGCAGCGAGCAUCUUGUGUGUAAAUUGAAGAAAUAUAUUUAUGGCUUGAAGUAAGCUUCUCGAUAGUAGUACUUGAAGUUUGAGGAGAUUAUGACUUCUAUGGGGUUUGUGGAGAACAACAUUGAUCAUUGCAUCUAUCUCAAGAUCAGUGAGAGUAAGUUCAUCAUUCUCACUCUUUAUGUUGAUGAUAUUUUACUUGCUAGUAAUAAUUCGGGACUGUUGCACGAAAUUAAACAUUCAUUAAAUAAAAUGUUUGAUAUGAAAGAUCUAGGAGAGGCAUCAUUUGUUCUGGGCAUUGAGAUUCGACGAGAUAGAUCUCGUAAGUUAUUGGAGUUUUCACAAAAGGCCUAUAUUGAUUGUAUUUUAAAAAGAUCUCAAAUGAAAAAUUGUAAGCCUGGUAAUGUCCCUAUGGUGAAAGGUGAUAAUUUAAGCCUAGACUUGUGUCCCAAAAAUGAUCUUGAGAAAGAUUUUAUAAAAGAUGUGCCUUAUCCAAGUGUUGUUAGAAGUCUUAUGUAUGCAUAAGUUUGCACUCGUCCUGACAUUGCUUUCAUUGUCAAUGCUCUUGGACGUUAUCAAACUAAUCCAGGAAGAAGUCAUUGGGUAGCUACUAAGAAAGUAAUGAGGUACUUGAAGAAGACAAGAGAUUAUAUAUUAGUGUACAAAAACGUUAACGACCUUGAGGUAAUUGGUUACACAGACUUAGAGUUUGUUAGGUGUCCUGAUGAUUUGAGGUCCACAUCUGGCUUUAUCUUUAUGUUUGCAGGGGGUGCGAUAUCUUGGAAGAGUGUGAAGUGAACUCUUAUAGCAUCUUCCACUAUGGAAGCAGCAUUCGUAGCUUGUUAUGGUGCAGCUACACAAGCCAUUUGGCUUAAGAAUUUUAUUUUAGGGCUUGUGGUAGUUGAUUCCAUCUCUAGGCCCUUGGAGAUUUAUUGUGACAAUAAGGCAGCUGUGUUUUACUCAAAAAAUAAUAAAUCUUCUUCAGUUUCUAAGCAUAUGGAAAUAAAAUAUCUGGCUGUGAGAGAUAUGGUUAAAAGGGAGGACAUUGUGAUUGAACAUAUACCUACUGAUUUGAUGUUUGCUGAUCCACGAAUCAAGGUGCUAAUACCCAUAGCUUUUACACAACAUAUUCAUAAUAUGGGUGUUGUUGUGUCAUUUGAUUUGUUGGGUUAGUGGGAGUAUUUAAUAUUGUUAUUCAUUUGUCAUUAGACUAUUCACCUUAUUGUUUCAUAUUUAUGGUGAUAUUAUCUCUUAAAUUUACAUUUAUGCUAUGGUAGAUUUUGCUAUCAUUUAUGCUGUUGAUUAUUAUUGUGUACACUUUAAUAUUGUUUUAUUAUAUUAAGGAUUUUUGCCUUACGUGUUAGCUAUGUUUCAUAUUGAUAAGAUCAUAUUGUUAUUUUAUUGGAUUUUUCUUUUGUAGACAUAUACGAUAUAUCAUUUUACCUUGUGAAUUUUUUGGUUGUUGCACCAUGUAAUAUGUUGCACAUGUUGAACCUUGAAAAUCAAGAUUUUAUGCUAGAGCACAUGUUGUUUUAGUGCUCACACAUGUUGUAACAAAAUCGCGGUGACGAUUUUUCUAUGGUACGCAUGUUGAUUUUAAACAUACAUGUUGAUAUGAAAAAUUGUUGAAGGACUAACAAUGAAAUAGCCUCGAUUUGGAGUCCAUGUUGGCUAUUUCUUGCUACACUACCACAUUAUUUGAUUUAUGUCUACAAAACUUUAGUGUUAGUAAUUGUGGACUGGUCUUGUAUCGCUGGUUGAUGCAAGUACUGUUGCAGUUCAACAGUGAUGUUUUCCUUGAUUGAACUAUGUUGGAGAUGGCGUUUCACCUCUAAAUACUUAUGGCCACUGUCUACUCAGUCCAAGAGUCAUUUUCAUAAAAAUAUUUUUUUCAAAAUUUUUCUAAAAGUUAACAUUGUCCAAGUGAGAGAAUGUUAGAAUUAUUUAUUUUAUGUGGACUUAACAUUAACUUUUUAUUACAUUAAAGUAAAACGAGCUGAUGUUAUUAAUUGGUGGACAAGACACAGGUCGUGUAUUCAUGUAGAUUCCAUAUUUGCAUGUAUCCAUUUCAUGUUAUUGGUAUGGGCUGACAAUAAUGUAGGCAUGUAGUAGACCUGUGAGCCCAUAAUGAGGGUGCACUCAGUUAAGGAUUUUAAGCCUAUAAAUAAAAGGCUAGGUCCCCUCUCUUGGUUUUAACAUAAGACGUAUUCCCAUAACCUAAGGUGCUACCCGUCAUAAACAAAGGAGAGGAAGACUCCGCCUAGUUCGUCUUCCAUUACGUGUAAGCAAUGACGAACAAAGGUACACACCUUUCCUCUCUCAUAUUCCCUUACUUUGUGUUCUUGAUUUAUGUGAAUCUGUGGUGUGUUUCUCUAUUAAUUUCAACAUAAAAUGCUUCUACAUAUUUUUUUUUUAAGUGGCUAAAUUCCCUCUUUGUUAUUACUUGGAUCAUGUGUUAUCGAUUCAUUGAUUAUUUUUACUAAAGUUCAUUAUUUAAAUAUUAUUUUGGCACAAAUGACAAAUGCCAUCAUUUUAUUCGAUGUUUUACACAUCAUUCGCGAGUGUGACUCACACAUGUGAUAUAUUUUUAUUGAUUAUGCAAAAAGUGCCAAAAUUACGUAGUAAAACAACAGUUAAGAUGUUUAAAAUGUACAUGUAUAGUUGAAGUGCACAAAUAAAAAUUGAUGAUCACUUUUAAGGAGGUGGUGAUGUGUUUGGCCAAAAUAGGAACUUUCUAUCUCUCUUAAGUUAUAUAUUUCCAUUGUCACUUCAAUGGAGUCCAAUAUUUCUAGACUCAAAUGAAAUAUUGAUUCUAUUUUGUUGACAAUGUUCCGAAAACAUUCAGAAUAUUAUAUGCACUCGGUGUUUAUAUCAAAAUAAAUAAUUUAACUUCAGAAAUUAAAAAAUGAAAUGACAAUACAUAUUUUUCAGUAAGAAAUUUUUUGAUUGCAAUCACAAGAAAACAAAUGAAAACAACAAAAGCUUAGUUUAUGAGCAACAAUGCAUGUCAAUUUGUCUUUAUUUUUUUUAGAACUUAUUUCUCAUCACAACUUAUCUCUGCCUCCUUGUGAGGGGCAAGGCCUGUUGUUUAAAUUGUCUUGUUCUUAGCUAUUUCUCUAAGGCAUCUGAUACUGACAAUUUUUGUCUUGGUUUGAGACAACAUAAAAAAUAUCUAUGCACUUUGUCAUUUUCUUUAUUUUGAUGUUUCACUUACCUCAUAGAUCUAGAGGAGAUGUUCAAAAACAAGAACAAUGAGCUAAGUGGUCUCAGGGGCUGACCUAUGUGUAAUUUUGUAGUGUCCCAGCAUCCGUUGAACAUGACGUAAACAACAUAUAAUUAUAUAAGAAUUGUAAUAAAGAUUGAUAUAAGAUUUUAAAAAUGAUGGUUGAGUACUUGGUUCCAAGGUGGAAACUUAAAACCUUGGGCGUCAAUAUGUGUGUUUGAACCACCCGGACACCCACGACCCCUAGAUCCUGAAUCCACCAUUGAUGUGGUCUCAUGGUACCUAACUCAUCAAUGUAUGAAAAUCUAUGGGCUUUACAUUUUCUUUAACUAAUCAGUAUAUAAGGACCUAAAAAUCGUUGAGCCAUAUAAGCAUCUCACAUUACAUUCUUCUGCACUUUUUCUACCCCUUUCAUAACAGUACCAAGCCAAAAGGUACCUACAAAGAUGGAAGUUAAGAACAAGUAUGUAGCAAUAAAAGCCAACAUAAAUGGUGCACCAGAAGUGUCAAACUUCGAGAUAAAAGUCGAAAACCUCUCACGUAUAGUUGAGCCAGAGUCGAAGGAGGUUGUCAUCAAGAACCUGUUAGUAUCGAUUGAUCCUUAUCAGAUAAACCGGAUGAAGAGCCAAAGUUCAUCACAAACAUCGAUAAGUUAUGCAACUGCCAUUACUCCUGGCGAGGUCAUUGACACUUAUGGUGUAGGAAGAGUGUUGGUUUCUCAUCGGCCCGACUUCAAGAAAGGUGACUUGGUAGUUGGGCUACUUACCUGGGGAGAGUACACUGUUGUAAAGGAAGGUUCCCUGUUGAAUAAGCUGGAUCCUAGUCUGGCAUUUCCUUUGUCUUACCAUGUCGGAGUUUUUGGAUUCAGUGGACUUGCUGCCUAUGGUGGAUUCUUCGAAGUGUGUAAGCCGAAGCCAGGGGAGAAAGUUUUCGUGUCUGCUGCUUCUGGUUCAAUAGGACGUUUAGUAGGACAGUAUGCUAAAUUACUUGGAUGUUAUGUUGUUGGCUCUGCUGGUAGCCAAGAAAAGGUAAAUUUUCUUAAGGAGAAACUUGGAUUCAACCAUGCAUUCAAUUAAACAAGAAACUGACCUCAAAUCGGCUCUCAAAAGGUGUUUCACUCAAGGGAUCGAUGUCUACUUUGACAAUGUGGGAGGCAAGAUGUUAGAAGCAGCAGUGGCAAACAUGAAUUCACUCGGCAGAGUAGCCCUCUGUGGGGUUAUUUCUGAGCACGCGAAUGCUAGCACACAAGCUGGCCAGAUGUGAAGGAUAUAGUCUACAAGAGGAUUAGAAUCCAAGGAUUCCUAGCAGCUGAUUUCAUGCCAGUGUAUGCAGAUUUCCUGUCGAAAACAGUUGAGUACCUCCAAGAUGGAAAACUUAAGACCAUCGAAGAUAUCUCACAAGGCGUUGAAAGCAUCCCCUCUGCUUUUAUUGGACUGUUCAAUGGUGAUAAUAUAGGCAAAAAGAUUGUCAAAGUUGCAGAUGAGUGAAAAAAAGAGCAAGAAGAUUCAAGACUGUUGACCUAUUUGUUCAUGAAUUCACAAAAAAUAUCUUAUCUGUACUUCUUUCAAGUUGUAAUCCAUUUAAAUGUUCAUCUUCUGCAUCAAGUUAAAGUAAUGUUUAUGCAUUAUGCCUAUCAGAUUCUUGUGUAGUUUUCCUUUUCAUGUAUCCUAGAUUGAAACAAACUCUGUGACCCUAAGCUGUCUCAAUUCCAAAUUUAGUUGACUACAUGAAUCUUUUAUAUCAACUCAACACAGUGGAAAAAUACAUCUUUAGCAACUACUUCAAGACCACCACAAGAUAAAGCAAUAUCAAGGUCCCCAUCAACAUAGAGACCAGCUAUCAUGCCAAAUGAAUCCCGGCACUGAAAUAGCAGCAAAGUAAAGUGACAAUGGGUGUACAUAAGUUAGUUUCAAUAGAAUAACACGAUAGAAAACACUAAUGUACAAAUAUCACAGUAGAAACAAAGUUUGAGAGCAAUGGAUCACGAAGGGGAUAAACGUAUUUCCAAGUGUUACAGUAACAGCAUUAAUAUUGAACCUGCAGUCUUCCUUCCAUUCAAACAGACUGUCAACAGCCUCUGCCAAUGCAGAAUGAACAACUAGAUUCUUGUGUUUUCAAGAAAUUAUGGUCCUACAAUUGCAGCCACAGGAAGACACACAUACUAGUGAAUGCUUCAGCGUAAAGCUAUUCAUCAUUGAGGGGAAACGGUUAAAAGACACCAGAAAGAUGCAUAACCGCAGUUCCCCUGGAGAGCAAAGAACGUGCAAAAACUUGCACUCAUGACUUAUCAACUAGCAGCACUUUUCUUUCUGAAGAACUAGUUGCAAUAUCAAGGAAAAAGAAUUCCAUGAUGUGGAACCAUUAUCAUCAUAAGUAUCAUAUAACAGAUCAAUCUACAUAUAACCAUUUAUUUAAGGGAAGGAGAAGCUUGUUCAACAUUUUGUUAUGAUGAAUUUGACUUUAAGCUACCAACAAUGUGAGAUGAAAUUUAGAAGUAGGCGAGUCUCGCUCUAUACAUGCUGUUGGAGUUGUAAGGUUAACUUCAACUCUUUGAAGUAAAAAUAAAGAAAGAAAGAAGAGAACAAAUAAUUUACUGCACAAAGGUUUAUUUUUCAUUAAUCUAUAGUGGUGCUUAUAUACUAAAAAAAAUGCAAUAACUAAAGCCUAUAAUUAAUCCACUACUUUGUACCUGAUUCCAUGAUCAGCAAUAUUCAAAAAAACUACACCACUAACAUCUAAAAAUCAGCCACUAAACUAAGUUGUUGAGAACAUGGCUAAAAAAAGUUGGAUGAUGUCCAACAAUUGCUCCUACUUUUACUGCAAUAACUAAGGCAAUAAUCAACACUCCUCCAUGCUUCAAUUUCUGCAAAUUCCAAGCCUUUCUCCGAGAAAUUCAAAUCUGCUCUUUGGCAAGGCUUUGGUAAACAUAUCUGCUAGUUGAAGAUCCGUCUUGCAGUACUUUAACCCAAUCGAUCCUUCUUUUUGCAUGUUUCUAAGAAAGAAUAAUUUGAUAUUGAAAUUCUUAGUUUUUGCAUGAAAAAUAGGAUUAUUUGAGAUAGCAAUAGCUGCUUGAUUAUCCACAAACACCUUUGUGCACUUCUCUUGCAUUAAAUUAGAUCAAGUAGCACUUUUCUAAACCAUAAGGCUUGAUUUGCAGCAGCUGACCAAUUUCUUGCUUUUUAGACCACUAAGAAAAUACACCUGAACCAAGACUAAAACAAUAACCAGAAGUGCUCUUCAUGUCUUUAGAAGUUGCUCGGACUCUUCAAUUAUGUCUAUGGGUGCGUGUCGGAUCCUCCAAAAAUAGUAUAUUUUUGAAGGAUUCGACACGGGUGCAGCAACAUUUUUGGAGAGUCCGAGCAACUUAGAUCAGAAUACCCCUGCAACACGUGCUUCUGAUUUGCAUUGAACUUGAUUCCAAAAUUCAGUGUUCCCUUAACAUAUCUUAUCACCCUUUUUUCUGCUCUAAAAUGAGUGUUAGUUGCACAAUUAGUGAAUCUAGAUAAAAGACUUACAGCAUAUAAAAUGUUGGGACUAGUUGCUGUAAGAUACAUGAGACAUCCAACCAUACUUCUGUAAAGAGUCUCAUCCACUUUUUCAGCUUCAUCAUUUUUGCUCAACUUCUCCUUUUGACACAUCGGAGUAGUUGUGUCUUUGCAAUUUUCCAUUCUGAACUUCUUCAAACUGUCUCUUGCAUACUUCUUUUGACAAAUGAAAACUUCAUUUUGCUCUUAAGCCUUAGAAACAGUGCUAUAACCCACAAAUAUUCCAGCUUCCGCCUUUUUAUCAAGCUUAUCUCUUUUACUCUGUGGCACAUAUGUAAAGCACACACAUCCAAACACUGAGAGAUUUUUUUAAAAAGGUGUAAAACCAUACCAGAUUUCAAAUGGUGUCUUUCAUUCUAAUGCUUUUGUUGGAAGCCUGUUGAGUAGAAAGACUAAGACUGGUGUAUGAGUAGUUUCUGCCCAAUACUCUUUUGGUAAACAUUUCUCAUGCAACAAGCAUCGAGCUAUCUCCAUUAUGGUACGAUUCUUCCUCUCACUAACUCUAUUUUUCUGUGGAGUAUAUGCAGCAGUGAGUUGGUGUUCAAUUCCAGCUUCUUCACAAAACGCAUUGAAUUGAUCAAAUGUAUACUCCUUGUCGUUGUCGGACCUUAUAAUUUUACAGCCACUUUGAGUUACAAUCCACUGCUUGAAUUUCCAAAAAAUAGUGGCAACCUCUGACUUGAACCUAAGAAAAUAAAUCCAACACAUUCUCGUAUAGUCAUCGAUGAAAACAAUGCAAUACUUACUACCUUUGAGUGACGGAGUUCGUUGAGGACCAGCCAAAUCUGUGUGGAUUAAUUUUAGCUUUUCAAUGGCUCUCUAGGUUGCUUUCUUGAAAGGCAGCCUUGCAUGUUUGCCAAAUUGACAAGUUUUGCAAUCUGCUAUUUCGACUUCAAGAUUAGGUAGCCCUCGAACCAGAUCUUUCUUUUGUGAGUUAAUUACAGCAGCAUGAUUGAAAUGUUCGAAUCUUUUGUGCCAAACUUGUGCAUUAAUCUUAGUUGCAGAGUAAGCUUUUUUGCUCAUGAUCUAAAAGAUCCUAUGUAAAGCUCCUUCCCUUCAUCAUUACCUUGAAUAAGUUCCUGCCAUCUUCAUCAUUGAUUUGACACUAAUUUGAUUCAAAGAGAAGUUUGAAACCAUUCUCAAGCAUCUGCCCAACACUUACCAGACUAUGGCUAAUAUUAGGUACAAAAAACACAUCUUUGAUUGGUUUUGUACCUAAGGAGUAUUUCAUUUCCACAGUACCUUUACCUUCAGCAAAAAUAUAGUCUCCAUUACCAACUUGUACUUUGGAAAUUACCGAAGUAUCCAAUUUCUUGAAGAGAUCAUGAUCAAAUGUCAUGUGGUUUAUGCAACCACUGUCAAUAAGCCACUUAUCACUCGAGCAGCUAGUUGCCGAAUAUGUCAUUACAAAGAGCUGCUCUUCAUCUUUCUAAUUAGCUACCUAUGCAGCAUUAGUCUGCUGAGUGUUGUUCUUGCAAACCUUCUGAUGAUGUCCCAUCUGCUGACAUUUCUCACACUGUUGGUCUGACCUUCUCCAGCAUUUGAACGGUGGAUGACCCUUCUUUCCACAAUGCUUUCAAGGAGGAAAAUCAUGUUUCACUUCCCUAUUGAUCCCAGGAGAAUGAGAACUUGAGUUUUCCUUCUUGUUCAACUUCUUCUUUCCUCGAUUUGAUUAAACUUUUGCAGGUAGUAAACCCUCAAUCGAUCUUUCGGACCUCAUAAGUCUUCUCCGUUCUUGUACCUACAAAGCAUUCAAUAGUUCUCCCAAACUAAUCUGUGACAGAUCCUUAGUAUUUUCCAGUGCAGAAAUAGUUGUUUCAAACCUUUCAAGGACUAUUACUGGAACUUCUUGAACCAAUCUAGAAUCAGAAAAUACAGAGCCAAGUAAUCUUACAUUGUUGGCAAUGUUGAGUAAUCUAUCAGAAUACUCUUUGAUUAUCUCCAAAUCCUUCCUCUUUAACAGCUUCCCACAAAUUGUUUUUGUAACGCCUCGAUUUUCUGAACCGAAACGCUACACGGUGCUCAUGACCCGAAGGACCACAAGCUAACCCAUGACUGAUAUCUGUACCUGUAAAUUGCAUAAUAUCUCAUAAAAUAUACGGAAACAUGAACUGUAAGGCCAUAAAGUUCAUUACUGAUACAUAUCUGAAAAAUAUGGUAUAACAAUACCAAAAAGAAACAUAAAUACUGAAGUCUGAACAUCUAAUCUGACAUCUAGUCCGAAAUCCUCUAAUUGAACUGAAUAAGGAGUUGAAGGAACAUGUCUCCAACUAACUCUAUGAACUGAAAAACUAAUCUGAAAUACUGCAAUAAAGUAAUAAUAAUAUUGUCCUCGAAUGAAGAGGAGCACUAACGGCUGAAAUCUGCAAUGCUACUGCUGCUCUGAAACUCGUGCCUCUGUACCUAUGGCAUCAAAUAAAACACCAUAGCGCGAAUGCAUCAGUACGACUGAAUGUACUGAGUAUACGAGCGAGGUAGGCUAAAUGCAAAGGGUUUUAUAUGCAUAAACAAUGCUGACUAAUAUGAACGUGAGAAUAUAUACAUACAUACAUACAUACGUAACUGCAACUAAACUCGUGGUGAUACUGACGACUGAGUCUGAAUACUGGAAAUAUGAGUUUACUGAUGCUGAGAUACUGAAUGACUAAGUUUACUGAUAUUGAGAUACUGAAUGACUGAGUUUACUGAUAUUGAGAUAUUGAAUGACUGAGUUUACUGAUAUUGAUAUGUAAUUCACUAAUAAGUGAGGAACUGAUACUGUAUUACUGAAUACUGGGAGACUGAUACUAUAUUACUAAUAAGGAAUGAUUGUUUCUGAUAAUUCUGAUUAUGAAGAACUAAUUUGAUUGAUCGUAUAUAACAGUCCUGGAACUGAGCUCAUGAUAACAUGACUAUUGAGUAUGAAUACUGAUGACAUGUAUUUACUGAUAACAUAUCAUGAAUGAUAACUGAAUUCUGAUAACUGAUAGUAUGAAUGACUGUAUCUGACAGUCCUAGAUCUAAUGGAACUAGCUGAGUUCCGUAUUGUAUCUGAGUUGACUGUAUCUGACAGUCCUGAUAUCCUGAAGAACUAUCUGAGUUCUUUUACUGAGACUAAUAUUGAAACUGUGGGAAGUAGUUAUCUAAUCGACAUGCCCCAAAUAUGCUAAAAUAUAUAAGCUGGGGUCCAAUCUCUACCCUGAUUGGAAGGGUGUCAAUACCGCGCCACUGGUAAGGACAAGCUGUGAGUGACCCUCAUCUAGCAGGUACUCUAAUGAGAACGGUGGAAACCCUCAUCUGCCAGGUUAAGCCACCUCAUCUACCCUCAACUGAUGGGUAUUGAUGUCUCAACCUAUGCUGGCUACAUAGUUCUAGAACGCAAGGACUGCUUCUAAGAAUCACACUCUCUACUGGUAGGUGAGUUCCUAUCCUUGGGUUCGCUCGGUGCUGAAUCCUACUCCCAACUGAAUGACACUGAACUAAUUAUACUAAAUUGAUUUCCUAGUUCGUACUAGAAUUAACUGAACUGUUACUGAUCUGUUUAACUGAACUGGACAUGGACUGAGUUUAUUAAGUUACGAUGCCUAGCGGAACACUACUGAAUUCUGUUAACUGACUAAAUGCUAUUGAGUUCUGUUAGCUGACUGAAGUCUACUGAACAUGGCUUGACUGAGAGUAUCGUGAAAACAUGACAUGGCUCUAGGCACACAGCUAUAUUUUUCGGGUACGAAUACCUCCAAGACUCGAUGGAAGGAAACUGACAUGACUUGACAUACAAGAGUACUUGACCAACAUUAACAGUCCAUAAUAUAGCAUCUAUGGGAGAUUCAUAAAUCAUGUGGUUUUCAUAACCUUUUCAUAUAGCUAACAUCAUGGUCAAUUCUAAUAUCAUGACAAGCCAACAACAUAUUCAUAGCACAUUAAUAGCAUAGAAAUCAUCUUGAUCAAGUAGACAUGACAUAACUGAAGAGACAUGGCAAAAUCUUNNNNNNNNNNNNNNNNNNNNNNNNNNNNNUCAUUAUUUAUUCGUUGAGGCACAUUAUCAAACACAUGGUAGGCAUAGCUUUAGCAUGGAAGUCAACUUAAGCACAUGGAUAUGGCAUGGAAUCAUCAUUUAUAUCACAAAUAGGUCAAAGUUCUCAAUUCUUCUUCACUUAGGCAUUUACAAACACCUUGCAUGCACUAUUUAGGGCAUAGGCCUAAUGAUCAAUUUUAUACACCAUAACACCAUAAUUCAACUCAAUUUCACCAAUUGAAUCAACAAAAUAUCAUGGUAUCUCGAACAACAUGUAAAGAUUCAAACUUUAUUCACACAACAUGGAAUUCACGUGAAAUCAUAAAAUAUGGAGUAAGGACUUGUUAAUUGAGCACUCUUAAAUCAUGAAAACAUGAUUAUGCCUAUUCUAGGCAUUUCGUCGAACACCUUGCAUGAACACUUUAUGGCAUAGGUGUUCUUAAUAAUUUAGUCAUCUUAAACCACCCAAUNNNNNNNNNNNNNNNNNNNNNNNNNNNNNNNNNNNNNNNNNNNNNNNNNNNNNNNNNNNNNNNNNNNNNNNNNNNNNNNNNNNNNNNNNNNNNNNNNNNNNNNNNNNNAAGAAAUUCUUAGACAUGUUCUUGAUUCCUUGACUAGGGUUCUUGUUCCUUUGAGAGAAAAUAAAUUGGCUCUUGAGUUUGAAAAACUUGAAUAUCAUAUAUUCUUGAAGACGGAUUUGAUUCUUGUUAUAGGUUAUGAUCUUGAGAGAAACCCUUCUUUUGAUGUUGAAGAUAAAUGAGGAGUUAUGUUCUUUAAUUGAUUGGAUUUGAGUCUUCAAAUUGAAACCCUAGCUUGAGUUCUUGAGAGUAUUUUGAGAAGAGGAGUAUAUUUUGUUACAAAUAAGCCUUAAUCCCUUGUUUGGGGUAUAUAUAGGGGUGGAAGAUGACCAAGAUACCCCUAAGGAACAAUUAAGGUUAAAUCUGUCCCUAAUUGACUGUCUGAAAGGCUGAAAAAAAUUGAUCAUAACCUUUUAUUUAGAUGUACAAAUGGGAUGAAACUAAUUUCAUUGGAAAGGAGACUCAAAGAUCUUUCCAUUGAUAUAUAGAAUCUCUCACAGUUCAUUAUAUAUUGGGAGUUAUCAUCGUUUGAAGUUGACUCUGAAAUGCUGAAAAAAUUGGGCAAGCACUGGAGUUAGUAGGCUGCGCGGGCUAAUCGUCCGGGGCUUCUGUUUUGUGCACCCAAACAUGCCUUUACGCUACUCCAAAAAUUAUGAAACUCACCCGGGAUAUAUUACGAUCUUUCCCGAUCGUAACUCAACUUGAAAAUUAAAAAACGGUCGUCGGGAAGGUCGCCAAAUAAAUCCCCAAAGUUUGGAGGUCUAAAAUAAAACUAAGUGUUGAAUCUUGAACACUUAGCAAAAUUUUCUAAGUCUUGGGAUCUUUCAUGGAGCUUUACGAGCUGAAUUUGACACGUGAUUUUGUGGGGUAUUACAAUAUCUCUCCCUUGGGAAUAUUCGUCCUCGAAUGAGACUGACUGAGAGGGGAAAAUGAUAAACUGGAGUACGUACAAGAAAUUCACUACUGAGACAUGGGUUCAUGACUGACAUGAUUGAAAAUUGAGCAUAUUAUAUUGAACAUGCACAUCUGAUGCAUGGGUAACUAGUUUAUGAAUGAAGGACUGAGUGUUCUGAUAAACUGAGUUUCUCAAAUGGGAAUGCAUAUCUGAUGCAUAACUGAUAAGCUGAAUCCAUGUAUAUCUGAUACAUGAAUACAUGACUGAAAGUGUGGAUAAGCUGAUCACACAUAACUGAUGCGUGAAUACAUGACUGAACUGGCUCGUGAACAUGCGACUGAACAUACAAUGGUAAAAGAUACUAAGUUUUGAACUAAAAGCUGGGCAUGGAACUAAAUACCAAGUUUGGUACUGAAAUCUGAACAUGAGAAUGAGUAAGUUCAAGGAAGACUGUUACGUUGAACUGGAAAUAACAGUGAGUCUGAGAUUAAUUACUCAAUAGGCAUGAGCGGGAACAUGAGGACGUAACUGAGCCUGAAACAUGAUACAUAAACGAACUGAGCUUGCAUCUGCUGAAAACUCAUGGUCGACAGGAGCCUUUCUUUAACACCCUUUCUUUAACUCUCUUUCUAUAGAGUUCUAGUGGCUCUAGAUUGCAAGGAAAUCUUGGUGUGGUCUGUCCCUAAUUGACUGUCUGAAAGGCUGAAGUAAAUUGAUCAUAACUUUUUAUUUAGAUGUCCAAAUGGGAUGAAACUAAUUUCAUUGGAAAGAAGACUCAAAGAUCUUUCAAUUGAUAUAUAGAAGCUCUCACAUUUCAUUAUAUAUUGGGAGUUAUGAUCAUUUGAAAUUGACCCUGAAAUGCUGAAAAAACUGGGCAAGCACUGGAGUUAGCAGGCUGCGCGGGCUAGUCGCCCGGGGCUUCUGUUUUGGGCACCCAAACAUGCCUUUACUCUACUCCAAAAAUUCUGAAACUCACCCAGGAUAUACUAAGAUCUUUCCCGAUCGUAACUCAACUUGAAAAUUGAAAAACGAACGUCGGAAAGGUCUCCAAAUAAAUCCCCAAAGUUUGGAGGUCUAAAAUAAGACUAAGUGUUGAAUCUUGAACACUUAGCAAAAUUUUUUAAGUCUUGGGAUCUUUCAUGGAGCUUUACGAGCUGAAUUUGACACGCGAUUUUGUGGGGUGUUACAGUUUGCAUCCAUAUAUGCCUCCAUUCUUGCUGCCUAGACAUGAUAGCCUUCACCUUUAAAGACAGGUGGUGCUAGUGCAGUGAAAGGAGUCUCUGAAUCCAUAGAAGAAAAAACAAGAAGAGAAAGAUAUGUUUCCCUCAAAUGCAGGUCCCUAAAGAAGACAUCUCUUGAUACCAAUUUGUUGGAGUUGUAAGGUUAACUUCAACUCUUUGAAGUGAAAACAAAGAAAGAAAGAAGAGAACAAAUAAUUUACUGCACAAAGGUUGAUUUCUCAUUAAUCUAAAGUGGUGCUUAAAUAGUAAAAAAAAUGCAAUAACUAAAGCCUAUAAUUAAGCCACUACUUUGUACAUGAUUCCAUGAUCAGCAAUAUCCAAAACAACUACAACACUAACAUCUAAAAAUCAGCCACUAAACUAAGUUGAGAACAGGGCUAAAAAAUGUUGGAUAAUAUCCAACAAUUGCUCCUACUUUUACUACAACAACUGAGGCAAUAAUCAACACAUGCACAUCGUCAUAACAUUAGUACAUCACAAAAGAACUGUCAAAACAGGGAAAGCUCACCUUUCUUCAUUGCACUCCAUGUAGUAGGCAGAGGGUGGAAUAGCAGUUUGGUUGUUCCAAACACAGCGUUUUCACUUCCUGAAAGUUCAAUAAUACGGAACAGUUAACAGAAAACCUCAUUGACAUCUCCUAUGACAAGUAAAAGCAGUGUUGAUCUAGAAAGCAUCACAUGAACAGCUAGCUCCGUCAUAGCUAACAUUAUAACAUGUUCUAAACACAAGUUGCUGUCCGUGUUUGAGCAAAAAAAGGAGCUCAUUUCCCUACAUUUGAAUAUGUCGAAGGUUCUUUAAUUCACGCUGUAAGCAGUGAACACGAACAAAUAAAAGGUAGUUAAGUAAUCUGAAGUCCAGACUGCAUGAAAGUUAACAUUUGUCCCCCGUAUUGUUUCCACUAAAUGUACAAUUAGAGAUAUGUUCGCUACGUUUCAUUUCAAUUUUCACCCCUAUUUCCUCAAUUUAGUGCCACACAGGAUGAAAAUCAACAAAUUGAAUCUCAACAAAAAGUAAAUCCAGAUGUGUUAAAUUCUUGAAAUAAAAUCCCUGCAGGUAUUAGCAAAUUUUCCUUGCUAAUCCACACGCGGCUACAUUGACUUCGGCCAGAUUGCACAAAAUCGUGCUGAUACAUUGAUAUCAAACAAAAUCGACAUUCCGUCAAGGCUAUCAGUUUCUUACAAGGUGAUAAUUUAUAUGGACGGGGAAUAUUACUUAAACUCACACAAGUACUUAAUAGAUUUCUUAAAACACACGCACACACAACAGGUUACUGAAUUACGUACACACAUAAGUGGGUUACAAGAUAAUCUGUUUAAAUUGUCUUGUUCUUAGCCAUUUCUAUACGCAUUGAUACUUAACGAUAGUGAUAAUCUUGCUGCUAAUGACAGUUUUUGUCUUGGUUGAGACAGCAUAAAACAUCUCCAUGCACUGUCAUUUUCAUUAUUUUGAUGUUUCACCUACCUCAUAAAUCUAGAGGAAAUAUUCAAAAACAAGAACAAUGAGCUAAGUGGUCUAAGGGGCUGCAAUUUUGUAGUACCCCCGCAUCCAUUAACACGAUGCAAACUAGGUAUAAUUAUACAAGAAAUGUAUAAAAAUUGGUAUAGGAUUUAAAAAGGAAUGCUGGAAACCAAGAUGAUAGUUAAGUGCAUUGUUUCCAGGCGGAACCUUAAAGCCUUGGGGGUCAAUAUGCGUGUUCGAACCUCCCCGACACCCACGAUCCCUAAAUCAUGAAUCCACCACUGAUGUGGUCUCAUGAUACCAAACUCAUCAAUAUAUGAAACAUCUAUGACCUUUACAAUUUCUUUAAUUUGAUGUUGCAGCCUGCCACAUUAAUCUAAUGGACCUUUUCUAAUAAAAAACAGUGAGCCAACUGGUCCAAUAAUGCCUAACUAAUCAGUAUAUAAGGACCUAAAAAUAGUUGAGCCAUAUAUGCAUGUCACAUUACAUUCUUCUGCACUUUUUUCUUCCCCUUUCAUAAUAGUACCAAGCCAAAAGGUACCUACAAAGAUGGAAGUUAAGAACAAGUAUGUAGCAAUAAAAGCCAGCAUAAAUGGUGCACCAAAAGAGUCAGACUUUGAGAUAAAAGUCGAAAACCUCUCACUUAUAGUUGAGCCAGAGUCUAAGGUGGUGGUUGUCAAGAACCUGUUUGUAUCAAUUGAUCCCUAUCAGAUAAACUGGAUGAAGAGCCAAAGUUCAUCACAAACAUCGAUAAGAUAUGCAAAUGCCAUUACUCCUGGAGAGGUCAUUGACACUUAUGGUGUAGGAAGAAUGUUGGUUUCUCAUCGGCCCGACUUCAAGAAAGAUGAUUUGGUAGCAGGCUUUCUUACCUGGGGAGAGUACACUAUAGUAAAGGAAGGUUCCCUGUUGAAUAAGUUGGAUCCUAGUCUGGCGUUUCCUUUGUCUUACCAUGUUGGAGUUUUGGGAUUCAGCGGACUUGCUGCCUAUGGUGGAUUCUUCAAAGUGUGCAAGCCGAAGCCAGGGGAGAAAGUUUUAGUGUCUGCUGCUUCUGGUACAAUCGGACAUUUAGUAGGACAGUAUGCUAAAUUACUUGGAUGUUAUGUUGGUGGCUCUGCUGGUAGCCAAGAAAAGGUAAAUUUUCUUAAGGAGAAACUUGGAUUCGACGAUGCAUUCAAUUAUAAACUAGAAGCUAACCUCAAAUCAGCUCUCAAAAGGUGUUUCCCUAAAGGGAUUGACGUCUACUUUGACAACGUCGGAGGCAAGAUGCUAGAAACUGCAUUGUCAAACAUGAACUCACUGGGCAGAGUAGCCAUCUGUGGGGUUAUUUCUGAGUACACGAAUGCUAGCACACGAGCUUCCCCGGAAAUGUUGGAUAUAGUCUACAAGAGGAUUAGCAUCCAAGGAUUCCUAAUAGCUGAUCUCAUGACAGUGUAUGCAGAUUUCCUGUCGAAAACAGUUGAGUACCUCCACGAUGGAAAACUUAAGGCCAUCGAAGAUAUCUCACAAGGCGUUGAAAGCAUUCCCUCUGCUUUUAUUGGAAUGUUCAAUGGAGAUAAUAUAGGCAAAAAGAUUGUCAAAGUUGCAGAUGAGUGAAAAAAAGAAAAAGAAGAUUCACGGCUGUUGGCCUAUACAUUCAUGAAUUCGCGAACAAUAUCUUAUCUGUACUUCUUUCAAGUUGUAAUCCAUUUAAGCAUUCAUCUUCUGCAUCAAGUUAAAGAACAAGUUUACGUAUUAUGCCUAUCUGAAUCUUGUUUAGUUUUCCUUUUCAUGUAUCCAGGAUUGAAACAAACUCUGUGAUCCUAGUCUACCAACUAUGCCUCAAUCCCAAAUUUUUUAUAUCAACUCAACAAAGUGGAAAAAUACAUCUUUAGCAACUACUUCAAGACCACUAUAAGAUAAAGCAAUAUCAAGGUCCCCAUCAACAUAGAGACCAACUAUUAUGCCAAAAUGAACCCGGGUACUGCAAUAGCAGAGAAGUAAAGUGACAAUGGUUGUACGUAAGUUAGUUUCAAUAGAAUAACAUGAUGGAAAACACUAAAUGUACUAGUAUCACAGUAGAAACAAAAUUUGAGAGGAAUGGAUCAGGAAGAGGAUAAACGUAAUACCAAGUGUUACAUUAACGGCAUUAAUCAUGAACCUGCAGUCAUCCUUCCAUUCAAACAGACUGUCAACAGCCUCUGCCAACGCAGAAUGAACAACUAACUUCUUGUGUUUUCAAGAAAUUAUGGUCCUACAAUUGCAGCCACAGGAAGACACACACAUAGUAGUGAAUGCUUCAUCGUAAGGCUAUUCAUCCUUGACGAGAGCGGUUAAAAGGCACCACAAAGAUGCAUAACCACAACUCCCCUGGAGAGCAAAGAACGUGCCAAAACUAGCACUCAUCAACUUGCGACACUUUUUUUUUUGGGAGAACUAAUUGCAAUAUAAGGAAAAAGAAUUCGAUAAUAUGGACUAUUAUCAUCACAAGUAUCAUGUGACAGAUCAACAUCUAGUUCAGAUUGAUCUACAAAAGCCACACAUUCAAGGGAAGGAGAAGCUUGUUCAACAUUUGUUAUGAUGAACUUGACUUUAAGCUACCAAUAAUGUGAGACGAGAUUUAGCAGACAGGUAACUCUCGCUACAUACAUGCACAUGGUAUGGUAAUAACAUCAGUACAUUACAAAGGAACUGUAGAAACAGGGAAAGCCCGCAUUUCUUCAUUGCGUUCCAAGCAGUUAGCACAGAGAGUGAACUAGCUGUUCGGUUGUUCCUAACAUAGCUUUUUCACUUCCUGAAAAUUCAAUUAGACAGAUUAGUUAGCUGAUAACUGCAUUGACAUCUCAUAUGACAAGUAAAAGCAGUAAUGAUCAAGAAAGCAACACAUGAAGAGCGAGUCCCGACACAGUCUACAUUUAAAGUGUAUUAAACACAAGCUGCUGGCCUUGUUUGAGCAUAAAAGACGAGCUGCAUUUCCCUACAUUUAAAUAUGUCGAAGGCUCUUUAGUUCAUGUUGUAAGCAGUGAAGAUGAACAAAUACAAGGUAGUUGGAUAACCUCAAGCUAGACUGCAUGAAAGUGGUGUAUAAAUGGUAUACUUAGUAUGACAAAUCCCAUAAGAAAAUAAAAAUGAACAAAGAGAUGCUCAUCCUGAUUCCAGUGCAACAUAUUGACCGGCCCAAAAAUGGGUAAUUUGAUUCAGAUCUGGAACACUUCACAGAAAGCAUGACCCUCCCACUACUAAAAAAGACCAAAAAAUGACGGCCAAAAGUGAAGGACAAUGUCGUUUUUUUGGACAACGUUGCUUUUUGCAAACGAUGGCCUGCGUCGCUUUUUUUACCGCGGACAAAGUCGUUUUUUGAAAAAAAAAAAAAGAUCUUUUUAGAAAAAGCGACGUUGUGCGUGGUUUUUUGUUCUUCAUGUGUAGAAUAAAUAAUGAAUAAAAAACGAUGGACAUUGUCAUUUUAUUGAAGAAAAAUAUUUUUUUUUUAGAAAAACCGACAACGUCCGUCGCUUUUCUAUAUUUUUUUGAAUGCAGAAAUCGGCAUUUUCUGCAUUCCACCUGCCAAAUAAAAAUGCAAUUCAAUAUGUACGGCCCCUGACAACACACAUUACUAAAAUAAUCAUACAACACACUACAUCAUCAAAACAUUUAAGCAAUUCAAUUAAACAACAUCCAAAACACUUAACAAUUAAUCCAACAACAUCAAAACACUUAAGUGAUCUUGAAGGUUUUCCAAUAGUUAAAAGUUAAAAGAAUGUUUAAAAAGUGUCUAGAAGCCAAAUCCAAAAACACUAAGGAGUAGCCCCAACAAACUCCUCAUCACUUUCUCCUCAUCACUUUCUGUUUCUUCUUCGCUACUUGAAUCGGGAGAUGGAGAACGGUGACGACAACGAUGAGUCAUGCUAACCAUUUGUUUCUUAAGUUCCUCGAUGGUCAUGCACAUGACUUCAGUUUGAGCAACAGAUUGUGCCACGACGCGUGUAAGCUGUGCAAUUUGUUGCGACAUAUCAGCGAGCUGAACACCAUUAAUCGCCUCAGCCUGGCGCGAGGAACCAAUACCAGCCCAUCCAACCUCGAAGCGUUGCAAUUCAUUUCGAGAACCCAACCCAUAGGUUCUCCCCUUGUCUUCCUCCCGCCACUUUUUCGGUCCGAAUUUGAAUAGCUUCCUCCUAUGUAGGCUCGAUUGGACCAAACUCAGACACGUAGCGUGUAUAUUCAUUCUGCAUAUUAAAAAGGACACGUUAGUAAAUUUUACUAUUACUAAGUAAGGUGGAGCAUAACGUAAAUUUUAAUAUGUUUUGCUUACAUAUUGAAUACAAAAAUAAAUAAGAAAUCAACUUUUUUUUCCUAAACAUUAUUUUAAAGCUAACUUUUGCUUUCCAUCAAAUCUAAUUCGACAAGAAUUUCCACACACAACCCUUUGACUUUUUAAAAUUUGUUCCUCGUAUUGUUUCCACAAAUUGUACAAUUAAAGUUAGCAUGGCUACGUCUCAUUUCAUCCUAUUUCCUCAAUGUAGUGCCACAAAAAGGAUCCAAAUCAACAAACAAUAAGUAAAUCCAUGUUAGUCAAAUUCUUGAAACAAUUUUCCUACAAGGAUUAGCAAAAAUCGUUCGAUAACACUUCUUCCUAUUUCUUUCUCAAUGAUAUCCGACGAUCAAUUUUCCUUGCAAGUACAUACUCGGUACAUUGACCUCGGUCAGAUUUCAGAAAAUUAUGCUAAUACGUUGAUAUCAAACAAAAUAGACCUUCCGAGAAAUGCAUUAAACAAGCCUAUUAGUAAUUUGUACUUGGUGAUACAUCACCAUAGCAUUGAAGAGUUCUUGGAAAGGUCAAGUUACAGAUAUGAUUUGCUACGGUAUUUAGCAACAAGAUAGAGAAUUACUUACAGUAGGGAGACAACUUGUUUAAAAUAACAAAGAAGAGGAGAAUUGAGCUUUAGUAAUUAGAAGAAAGCAUCGCAUUAAACAACGCUUUAAAUCCCAAUAGAUUUAUCUAGAUUCCCCUGUUCAUUGGCAUCUCCAAUCUACACUAGUGAUAAAAACAGUUUAAUGUGUUUCCUCAAUCCUUUUCUCCUUCCAACCCACUUUUCUUCAUGACAACUUUAUUACCAAACUGCGAGAAGAUUUAAAUUGACCAAAUAUGCAACAGAAUGAGAAGAUAGACCUGGAGAAAAUUAUCAGUAAGCUAUAAGCAGCAACGAAAAGGACCAAAUUAGAUAGUAUCUCCUACUUUAACUCUUAUUCAGUAAUGCCACUAUUUCGUAUUUUUCCCUGUUAAGUUUCACCUAAGAAGACAAGUAAAAGUAGGUGCGAGAUCAAACACUAGCACGGGUUAGGCACAUUAUGCUGCCAUGAUUUCUGUGUCCGUGGUCCCCUUUAUGAUUACUCUAUCUAGAGGCCGAAUCGACCCCCUUAUAAAGCUUCUCAAGAAGAACACUAAAAUUAGUCCAGAAGAAAAACACAGAUUAUGUAGAUUGUAAUACCUGAAGAAAAAUACAGCUAGUAACUAGAAGCAAUGAGAAAACCAAAACAAAUCCAGAAGAAACUAAGCAGUUAGCUACCUAUUAGCUGCAAUGAGAAAAGCGAAAAUCAGAUACUAGGAAGACCGUAAUAUCGAUUCCAAAAGUAUCGAGUUUCCGCUUUAUGCCUCAUUAGGUUUCACCAAUAAAAGAUUAAUUAAAGAAGCCACUAGAUCAAACAAUAACCCUGGGAAGGACCUCAGCUUUAUCGGUGCAUUCACAUGCCAAACGUUCUAUGUUCAUGGUGCUCUUACUCCGACUAGAGGCAUAACAUUCUUUAAAACACCGCUGAACAAGAGAAAAGAUGUCCAACAUCAUUUAGUUCAAAGUCAAAGACAAAUUUAUUGUUCCUUGAAGAUAGUGCAUAAAGGAAAAAAUGACUAACAAGAUCUCGAAGCAAUACGGUUUAAAGAUGUCUUUUACAUAUGCAUUGUCUUGUUCUGUAUGCGAAAUAACAAUACGAACUUAACAGCAAUUGAGGAAAACAAAGUAUACUUACAAGUUCUUUGUCACUUGGUUUUCUUUGAUUGGAGUUUUUUCAGCCUUUUGUGUUUUGUUGCAUCUGCAGCCUCUUCUUUAGAAAAAGGACAAACUAGACUUUCAACGUAGAUUGCUAUCUUAGGAAACUCAUCAAAAUCAAUAACCUCUGAAUAUCUAAAUGAAGAAUCCUUCAGCUUGUAUAUCAUGGAAUAUUUAACAAACCUGAAAAAAAUUUCACCUUUGUUUGACAUGAAACAAGGCAGAUAAAAAUCACACCGCGGUGUAUCAAAAGGAUAAUUGACGGUUAACAUCUUUGUCCAAGAUUGUUUAACCCCAUACUCCUUCAUAACCCAAAAAUCUACAUGAGAGGUCGCAUUAUCACAAAAAAUGGAAAGAUCACUUCCCAACACUCCCAAAUACAAAUGAAUAUAUCCCUCUUUGUAGCAAGGAUGCUCCACUUCUCCCCAUUUCUCGUUAGCCAAAUCAAACGAUAUGAUGUUCCAUUCCUUAUAGUCACUUAUCAAACAUUCACCUUAGCAUUAGGCCAGUGAAGUUUCCCCUUCACUAAGAUAUCUGAAAUGUAUACUUCCUCUCGACUUUUACACUUCCUCAAUUGACAAUCGUCAACACUUCCCCAAGAAUCACACUUUAGACUAUAUAGUUUGAGCUCACCUCGAUCGAACUUUACCUUUUCUACAAAAGGUACCCAAUAACUUAUAAUCAUCAUGAAACUUAUCAUAUCCAAAACCAUACACGAGCGCUUUAUCAAACCACAAUGUAGCUCUAGGACAAGGUAAUUUUUUGUACUUUCUAUUCGAUGGAUUCCAUAGAAACAAAUUAUAUUUAGAAUCCACAAGACAAAUCAAUCCAUUGAUAGAACUUAGAAUUGUUAUAUAACUAGGCAAUUCAUUGUACAACCCGUCGGAUAUCAUACGAUGACCCAAGUCAGAUACCUCCGUAACAGAAUCAUUAAAUAAAGAAUCAAGAUUACAAUCUUAAAUAUUCACCCCCUGUAUAGAAUUCCACAUCACCCUAUGUUGGGUAUAACUACUAAGAUGAGUUUGGAUAAAUUCGGGGCUCGAGAUUAAAGCAAGCCAAGAUUUCGAAACACACCUGAAUUGCAAGAGGGACAAAACUCAACAUACGCUUAUAAUGUAGAUGCUCAUUAUUAUUAUCAGAUACAAUAAAAUGUGUAUUAUUAAAUUCGGGGCUAGAGAUUUAGCAAGCCAAGAUUUCGAAACACACAAACUCAACAUAAGCUUAUGAAGUAGAUACUCUUCUUACUACUCCCUCCCCUGACAAUAUUUGUCCACUACACUAAAAUUAAAAAUAAAUGUCAAACAAUACUUGUCUGGUUUAAAAAUCAAUGAAUAAUUUACCCUUUUCUACCCACUUUACCCUCGCUAUUAAAUACUAUUCAUCACUCAAUACAUUUUUCAAAAUAUUAAAGUUAUUACUCCUUCCGUCUAUUUUUACUUGUCCACUUUUCUUAUUAUUUUGGGAUGUGCAACAAUACUUGUCCAAUUUACAAAACCAAUGGUAUUAAAUAUAAUACAUCUCUCAUUUCAUUUUUGAAAGCAAAAAAAUUAUUAUAUUCAAAAGGUGACAUAGUAAAAUCACCCCUCCAUUUAUCGUUUCAAGGUACGUGCCAAGUAAAAAGUGGAUAAGUAUUUACGGACAGAGGGAGUGUAUUCAAAUUUUAUCCUUACUAUUAGAUACUACUCAUCACUCAAUACAUAUUUCAAAAUAUUAAAUUUAUUAUAUUCAAACAGUAAUAUCGUAAAAUUACCCCUAUUAUAUAUUAUUUCUUAACAUGCAUGCCAAUACAGGUAUUGUUGGACAGAGGGAGUAAUAUAUUCGGGGCUAAAUAUUAAAGCAAGCCAAGAUUUCUAAACAUACCUGAAUUUCAAAAGGGAUGAGUUCAGCCGGCAGAAGAGGGAUUGUAAAGUUCAAAUCUUGCAUUGAAUUUGAUGGAAAUCCAGCAGAUUUUGUGCGCUUCUUCCAUUUUUGGUGUUGAGAGUAGGCUUUAUCUUCCUCAUUUUCCAUUUGGGCGCCACAAAUUUGAGUGAAAUUUUCGCAAAGUUUAUAGUAGUCAGCUGUGGAUCGAAUUCGACAUGGGUCGGGUCGGGUAUAUUGGGAAUAGUGGGUUCUCUCUUCAAAAUUGGAUAUCUUUAGGCAAUUUGGGGUUUUUCGUUUAUCUAGAGUAUGGGUAACACAUUUAUUAAUUGUGAGUCAGGUAGACGAUUUGUAAAAAUUGAUCGUAUUUUUGAAAAUAACUUCUUCUAUUUUAUUUUAUUGAAUACUUGGCGCAUAACUUUAUUUGAUUAUUUAAUACUAUGGUAGUAUGGAAAAUAAAUAAUAGAAUACUCUUGAUUUGUAAAAAUAAAUAAGUAAAUUAAAAUUUUCUUGACUUCUGAUUUUGAAUACAAUUCUUUUAAUUUUGAAAUUGUGGGGUCUAAACGACCAAUUUUAAAUGAAAAAUUGGGCGUGUUGUAGCAUAGGCGUUUAGGUCAUAUCUCUAAAUACAGAGUUGAUAGAUUGGUUAAGUCUAAUAUUUUACCUUCUCUUGAUUUUGGGGACAUAGGAACAUGUAUUGAUUGCAUUAGAGGAAUGAUACAAAAGUGAGUGUGUAUCAAUAGAGUCAAGCCAACACAAGAACACAAGAAUAACAAGAUGAACAACAACAAUGUUAGUGAAUCGAAAUAGGCCACACACGGCUUCACUAGACUUCAAGGUUUACAAAAACAAUAAGAUGAUAGAGAUUACAAUAACAACAAGAAGAGCGACAAAGUGACAUCAACUAUAGUGAAUCGAAAAUAGCCCCACACGGCUUCACUAUGUUACCAUACAAACAACAAGAUUACAAAAUUAAAGAUAGUAACUUGACAUACAAUAUUCAAGAAUCUAAGAACCCUAACAACAUGAAAGGACCCUAAGAUUAAAGAAUAUUAUCACCAAGCUCUUACUUGGACCAAGAGGAACUCAAUGACCUCAAGAUCCUAGUUUCUAGCCAAGAUUCAACCCAAGUGUCACUCCAAUUGGGAAUUUCGGUUUUGAGCUUUUCCAAUGGAAGAGAAAAGUUCAAAAUAUUACAAGUCUUGUGUUCUCAAAAUAUCAUGAAUGAACUACCACAAGACUAGCCCUAACAAAUGACUUAUAUAGUCAAUUACAAAGGAGGGACAAAAGACCAAAAUACCCUUGGCAUUAAGUGGGUGGGUUUGGGGUGUUUUGUUGGGCCUCUUCACAUUUUAAUAACUAUAGGCCCUUUGAUGGGCUCACAAGGGCCUCACACAAGGCCAAGGAUGUGAACAAGGUUUGGAGUCGUUGCAACUCACGCGCUUGGCUUCAUGUGAAAGGUCUCGAGCUAGGAAUUCUCGCACCAUCCUCUCCAUCUUGAAGGGAAUUUGUCCUCAAAUUCGGAUCAUUUCCAUCCUCCACCGUGUCCACCCGAGAGAGGUCACACACGUUGAAAGUGUUGUGCACUUGAUAUUCCGGGGGUAGAUCAAUCUUGUAGGCGUUGUCGUUGAUCCUUUCUAAUACUUGGAACGGGCCAUCACCCCGCGGCAUCAACUUAGCAUUCCUUUUAGAUGGGAAUCUAUCCUUCCUUAGGUGCACCCACACCCAAUCUCCCAGUUUAAGAAUGAGCUUUCUUCUUCCUUUAUUGGUUCGCCUUGCAACUUCUUGGUUUUUCUUCUCCAACCGCAACCUCACCUUCUCAUGUAGCUUCUUAUGGCCUCGGCCUAUUUGCUUCCAUCUAAGCUUAUCACAAAAUCACUUGGCAAAGGGUUUAAAUCCAAAGGGGUAAGGGGGUUGAUUUCGUAUACACACUCGAAGGGUGUCAUCCCCGUGCUUGAGUGUAUAACACGAUUAUAAGCAAACUCAAUCAACGGUAAGUGCUCCUCCCAAGAAGUCAUUUUUCCCUUAACCAUGGACCGUAGCAUAGACCCUAAGGUCCUAUUUACUACUUCCGUUUGGUCAUCGGUUUGUGGGUGGCAUGAAAUCGAAAACAACAACUUAGUACCGAGCUUACCCCACAUGGACUUCCAAAAGUGGCUUAGGAAUUUAGAAUUCUUAUCACUCACUAUAGUCCUCGGAACACCAUGAAGUUUUACAAUAUUAUCAACAAACAAAGAGGCUACACUAGGCGCAUCAUCACAUUUAGAACAAGGAAUAAAGUGAGCCAUCUUGGAAAACUGAUCCACCACGACAAAAAUACUAUCCCGCGCCCUUUUAGUUCUCGAUAAUCCCAACACGAAGUCCAUUGAUAUAUCAAGCCAAGGACGCAAAAGGGUGGACAACGGGGUGUACAAUCCAUGGUGUUGGAUCCGUGACUUAGCUCCUUUGCACUCAACACAUUGGCCGCAAAUUCGGGCCACAUCCUUGUGCAUUCUGGGCCAAUAAAAUUAUUCUUCCAAAAUUUCGAGGGUCUUCUCGACCCCAAAAUGACCCAUUAGAUAGUCAUUGUGUGCUUCCUUCACAAAUAAUUCUCUCCACGAACUUGAGGGAACACACAAUCAUCUACCCUUAAAUAAGUAUCCAUCAAAUUUGGUAUAAGGAUAGGAACCCCUAUCCGUAACCCACCUAUCCCUAUCCAACUCUUUAUUUUCCCUAUAGAUAGGAGCGAAGUGAGGGUCCUCGGGAUAUAAAGACUUGAGGCUUUCAAACCCCAUCAACUUAGAUGACAAAGUAGACACAAGCACAUGUUUUCGGGACAAAGCAUCGGCAACCACAUUGUCUUUACCCUUCUUGUAAUGAAUAACAUAAGGGAAAUUUUCAAGAAAUUCAAUCCAUUUGGCAUGCCGCCGGUUAAGCUUGUCUUGUGCCCGUAGAUGCUUCAAGGAUUAAUGAUCUGUUUGGAUCAUGAAUUCUUUAGGCCACAAAUAAUGUUGCCAAGUGGCCAAGGCUCUAAUCAAGGCAUACAACUCAAAAUCAUACGUAGAGUAGUUUAGAGUUGCUCCUUUGAGCUUUUCUCUAAAGUAGGCAAUAGGCUUCAAUUCUUGCAUUAAAACCGUACUUAUGCCGACUUUGCUAGCAUCACAUUUGACCUCAAAAAGUCUAGUCAAAAUUCGGCAAUUGUAGUAAAAGGGUCGAGAUGAGCAUAGCUUUCAAGUCCUCGAAGGCCUUAGCUUGUUCAUUUUUCCACUUGAAAGGUCGAUCCUUUUUAAUCACUUCGGUCAAGGGGGCGGCAAUGGUGCUAAAUCCUUUGACAAAACGUCUAUAAAAACUAGCCAACCCGUGGAAGCAUCUCACUUCACCUAUGGUUUUGGGGGUUGGCCAAUUUUUAAUAGCGUCAAUCUUAGAUUCAUCCACUUCGACCCCUCUUGAGCUCACCACAAACCCAAGAAAUACAACCUUAUGGAGACCAAAAGAACACUUUUCUAGAUUGGCAUAUAACUUCUCCUUUCGGAGGACAUCAAAUACACAUUAUAAAUGCUUUACAUGCUUAUCUAAGGACUUACUAUACACCAACACGUCAUCAAAGUAAACAACAAAAAAAAUUCUGAUAAAUGGCUUUAUCACAUGAUUCAUUAGCCUCAUGAAAGUACUUGGAGCAUUUGUUAGGACGAAUGGCAUAACCAUCCAUUCACAGAGACCGAAUUCGGUCUUGAAGGUGGUUUUCCAUUCAUCACCCGAUUGCAUACGAAUUUGGUGAUAGCCACUCCUUAAAUCAAUUUUAGAAAACAAACACGAACUAUUCAAUUCAUCAAGAAUAUCAUCUAGCCUAGGAAUAGGGUGAUGAUAUUUUACUGUUAUCUUGUUGAUGGCUCGGCAAUCAACACACAUACACCAAGUCCCGUCUUUCUUGGGCACUAGUAGCACCGGGACUGCACAAGGGCUCAUACUCUUCUUGAUAUACCCUUUGUUGAGGAGUUCCUCAACUUGGCAUUGCAAUUCUUUGGUAUCCGUUGGGUUGCUCCUAUAAGCCGGUUUGUUGGGCAAUUGUGAACCCAGUACAAAAUCUAUUUGAUGCUCAAUUCCCCAAAGUGGGGGCAAUUCUUGUGGUAAUUCUUUCGGGAAGACAUCUUCGUAAUCCUGUACAACAUGAGAAAUAGGAGGAGAAAUGGAAACGUUAGUGGGGUUAGUAUUAAAAUAAUGAGCCAAGAGGAGCAUCGGAGUGUCCUCAUCAUGAUCCACAAAUAGUUCUUUCCUCCUAUACAUCAUCACCACACUUCCUUGCCCCUUAGAAAUUAGGAUCUCCUUGGUUUCUCCUACUCUCUCACUCUCGGAUUCCCCUCUUUUUCCCUCACUCUCGACCUUCUUUCCCUUCUUCCUCAAUUCCCGCAUCUUUUGGUGUAAUUCAUUCACUUGGGAAGGCAAUAAUGGAUGAAGAGCGAACUUUCGGCCAUCCUUCUCAAGUGUAUAUCGAUUGGACCUUCCAUCAUGUUUAGUCGACCUAUCGUAUUGCCAAGGCCUUCCUAACAAUAAGUGACAAGCUUGCAUUGGUAUCACGUCACAAAGCACCUCGUCAUGGUAGUUGACUACCUUAAAACGUAUCACGCAUUGCCUUGUGACCUUUAACUCUCUGCAUUUAUUCAACCAUUGCAACUUGUAAGGACUAGUGUGAGGUGUAGUUGGAAAUUUCAAGAAGUUCACCAUUGCAACACUAACCACAUUCGCAUAACUUCCACUAUAUAUCACCAUAGUGCACACACUUCCCUUCAUAAGACAUUUAGUAUGGAAUAGAUUCUCCCGUUGGCUAGGAUCAUCUAUCACCUUACUAAUCAUGGCACGCCUCACUACAAAGUUUAGAACCACACACUCCCCUUCUUUCGGAUAUGGAUCCUCACAAUCAUCAUCAUCAUCAUGUGGCUCAUUUUUGGGUUCCUCUCCAUCUUGAGUCUUGGCCUCAUUCUCUUCAUUUUUAAGACCCACUUCCUCACCAAGGUAAUACAAUCUCUCUUCUCUUAGGAUCACAUUGUGUCGGUUUGGACAUUCAUUGGCUUUAUGUCCCCAACCUUGGAACUUAAAACAUUGGAACCCUUUAGGAUUAGGAUACUUAUGAGCCUCUUGCCUUGGUGGAUAUUUUUGUAUUGCCUUGGCCUCGGGUUGCCUUGUAGUGGUGUGUUGGUCUUUGUUUUUGUGCCAACCCGUGGUGGAGGAAGCAACCUCCUUACCCCUCGGCCAACCCGAGGGUGCUUGACCCUUGGAUUUGUAACUUGUUCUUUCCUUAAAUUCUCUUUCAAUUUUAAUGGCCUCUUGAAAGAUUCCUUCAACGGUAUCAAAUUUAUGGAGAGUCAAGUGAGUAGUAAUAUCCUUAUUCAACCCACACUUGAACCGAAUAAUGUCAUGGACGAUUUGUUCUCCCCGAUGGCCAAGCUUCAACAUGAGUUAUUGAAACUCAUCAUAGUAUGCCAUAACACUUCGAUUCCCUUGUCGCAAGUUGUACAACCUCGCAAUCAACUCAUGACGAUACCUUUUGGGAAGGUACCAUUGCCUCAUUAGAUACCUUAAUCGAAACCAUAGUGGUGGUUGCCUAUGUAUCAACUCAUUUCCAAAUCGCUUGAUGUAUUCCCACCAAGUGUUAGCAUAGACUUCAAAGUGGGCUAUGGCAUAAAAACUCUUCUUCUCCUCGAAAAUAUCAUUCACUUGGAAUACCUUGUCACACGCUGAUUCCCAAGCGAGAUACACCUCGGGGUCACUUUCACCCUUAAAGAUAGGUAGACUCAAUUUGAUGGUAUUGAUGCCCAUGUCUCUCUCUAGGUGUUGGUUUCCCCUUUCUCUAUACCCUCGGUAUCUCCUUGGAUCCACACGACCCUCUCUCAUCUCCUCCUCCCUUAUGUAGGCAUCGUCAUAGGCUCCAUACCCUUCAUAAUCCCCUCUACCAUAUUCCUUAAGAUGGACAGGACGAUUUUGGACAUUUGGAACUUGAUUCGGAGGAAUUGGAUUUUGUGGAGGUGGUGGUAUUUGGUUUAGUGGAGCUUGGAAAGAGGGGGUUUGGGUUUUGUGGAGGCAUUUGACGUCUAAGUACCUCUUGCGGAACUUGAGGAAUUUGGGAAUGGGUUGGUCUAUUAGAGUCUCGAUUUAGAAUGUUAUGAGUGGUUUGGCUUGCGGCAUUUAGGGGAGCUAGUGAAGAAAUUGGCAAUUGUGGCCAUGUUUUGGGAGUAACGGUGGCGGAGGAAUUUCUAUCAUGUCCACUUGAUGAAACAUUUCAAAGAGUAGAAGGACGAGAGUUCCUUUGACUCUCCACUUAUUCUAAUUCCUUUGACUCUCCACUUGUUCUAACCUCCCACUAAUAGUCGUCACUUCUCACCUUAUGGCUCCCACUUCCAUACUCAAUCUUUCAAGAGUGACCCUCAUAUUCUUCAUUUCAUUAGAAUCCACGGUUUGACAUGUGGUUCCCUCCAUUGUCAAGGUAUCACCUACGCAAACAUCAAACACGUUAGUUAAAAUCCCUCUUCUCACUCACACUCGAGCUCCACAAGUGUUGUAGAUUGGCUAGUUGAAUCCUUAAGGUAUGAGUAUGCUUUUGUCCGGAGUGGAUUUUUGUUGGAAACUCAAAGAAUUCUCGUCGGAAUAGAGCCAAGAGUUACAACGUAUUCAAAUGACAAAAGAACACAAACAAACGUUGACACGAACACAAAGCUUCAAAGGACUAAUUAACAAGCUAGUAGGAAUGUACUAGGUUGUCAAUUAGUGUUCAAACCAACAAAAAACACUAAGAAACAAUAAAAUUAAACUAAGAAAUCUAAAAUUUGAACUCAAAAUAUUGUGUGAACAGUAAUUUAGUGAUGUGGCAGUCCACUAUUGGCCUCGGUUUUGUCAGAAUUUUACUCUCCAAUUUCAAGUCUUGACCAAUCUAUAAUUUGGAAAUGGUGGAAUUGGUUAAUGGAGGAAAAUUCGAUCUUGAAGCUUACUUUUCAAAUUCAAAACAAGACUUGACCUUCUUGGUACUUUCUCCUUGAAACAAGGUCAUUAAAUCAAGGAAAGUAGGUGAAAAGUGGUUGUCAAGUCUUUUGAGUGAUGUGAUCAAGUCUUUCAUCAACAAAUACUACAACUUGGUGUUUCACCUUUUGUGGAUCUAAUGUUAACUUUUUGUUUUAAAAAAGAUGAAAAGGGUGAAGAACAAAAAGAACACAAUAACAACCCCAAGAACAACCAACAACAACCACGGCCAAAACAAUCCACCACAACAACAAUGUUCAACAAUGGACAGCCAAGUUCAAGUUCACAAUAACAAAAUCAAUUUUUAGAGCUCAAAUCUAGAUCGACUCAAAGUGUUAGUGAACAAGAGAAAUAAAACUAGAAACAACACUGAAGACAAUUAAAAAUCUUUCGAAGACACAACAAGAAUACAAUUUUUGUCCAAGAACACAACAACGGACAGAUUUGACUGUUUCUGAAAUUUUUCAGUUUUCAGUUUUUUUGUUUUUUGUAGUUUUCAAGUCCCAAGCCCAAGAUUGAUCUUGUUAAAACAAAAUCGAAGAUGACUUUGAUACAAAAGUGAGUGUGUAUCAAGAGAGUCAAGCCAACACAAGAACACAAGAAUAACAAGAUGAACAACAACAAUGCUAGUGGAUCGAAAUAGGCCACACACGACUUCACUAGACUUCAAGGUUUACAAAAACAAUAAGAUGAUAGAGAUUACAAUAACAACAAGAAGAGCGACAAAGUGGCAUCAACUAUAGUGAAUCGAAAAUAGCCCCACACGGCUUCACUAUGUUACCACACAAACAACAAGAUUACAAAAUUAAAGAUAGUAACUUGACAUACAAUAUUCAAGAAUCUAAGAACCCUAAAAACAUGAAAGGACCCUAAGAUUAAAGAAUAUUAUCACCAAGCUCUUACUUGGACCAAGAGGAACUCAAUGACCUCAAGAUCCUAGUUUCUAGCCAAGAUUUAACCCAAGUAUCACUCUAAUUGGGAAUUUCGGUUUUGAGCUUCUCCAAUGGAAGAGAAAAGUUCAAAAUAUUACAAGUCUUGUGUUCUCAAAAUAUCAUGAAUGAACUACCACAAGACUAGCCCUAACAAAUGAAUUAUAUAGUCAAUUACAAAGGAGUGACAAAAGACCAAAAUACCCUUGGCAUUAAGUAGGUGGGUUUGGGGUGUUUUGUUGGGCCUCUUCACAUUUUAAUAAGUAUAGGACCUUGGAUGGGCUCACAAGGGCCUCACACAAGGCCAAGGAUGUGAACAAGGCUUGAAGUCAUUGUAACUCACGCGCUUGGCUUCAUGUGAAAGGUCUCGGGCUAGAAAUUCUCAUAUCAAGGAAAGUUGACUAAAACAAGCAAAAAGAAUGAUAUUUGUAGUUCUAGUUGUUGAAAAUCAUUCACCCAGACAUAAGUGGUCCGUAUUAUACUUCAAUAUGUGGUUCAAAUUAUUUUAUCACCUUUAUUGAUAACUUUUCUCGGUAUGAUUAUGUUUUUCUUAUUAAAAAAAUCAUAUUCUCUUGAAAUGUGCAAAGUGUUUAAAACUGAAGUAGAGAAACAACUGGGAAAGGUUAUUAAGAUAGUGUGGUCUGAUCAUGAGGGUGAGUACUAUGGUAGAUACACUGAGACUGGGCAACAGAUGGGACCUGUAACACCCCAACUUAGGAAGGAGUUCCACAUCAGCAAAACACAGGAGGAAUGUUUGGUAUAUAAGUAAGAAAACCUUACUCCCUAGUGAUGCGUUAAAUCCAUGAGGGCCUGGACCCAGAGUGGACAAUAUCACUAGUGGGUUGAGGAGUUCAGGGGUAUCUCGGGCCUUGAUGGUUCAGGAUGUCCGUUAUGGCCAGGGCCCGAGCUCGGGUCAUGACAGAACUCUUUGCCAAAUAUCUACAAGAUUGUGGCAAAGUUUCCCAGUACACCAUGCCUGGUAGUCCUGACCAAAAUGGUGUAGUCGAAAGGCGAAAUAGUACUUUAAAAGAUAAUAAUGAGAAGUAUGAUGAGUAGAUCUAACUUACCUGAGUUUCAAGCUAUUAAAACUGUACUUUAAAAGAUAUGAUGAGAAGUAUGAUGAGUAAGCUAUUAAAAUCAUACUUUAAAAGAUAUGAUGAGAAGUAUGAUGAGUGUGAAGCUAUUAAAAUUGUACUUUAAAAGAUAUGAUGAGAAGUAUGAUGAGUAAGCUAUUAAAAUCAUACUUUAAAAGAUAUGAUGAGAAGUAUGAUGAGUAAGCUAUUAAAAUCGUACUUUAAAAGAUAUGGUGAGAAGUAUGAUGAGUAAGCUAUUAAAACCGUACUUUAAAAAACUUGUACUUUAAAAGAUAUGAUGAGAAGUGUGAUGAGUAAGCUAUUAAAACCGUACUUUAAAAGAUAUGAUGAGAAGUAUGAUGAGUAUGAUGAGAAGUAUGAUGAGUAAGCUAUUAAAAUCGUAAUUUAAAAGAUAUGAUGAGAAGCCGUAAUUUAAAAGAUAUGAUGAGAAGUAUGAUGAUUAGAUACGAUGAGUAGAUCUAACUUACCUGAAAUCCUCUGGGUUGAAGCUGUUAAAACCUCCAUAUAUAUUCUUAAUUGUGUCCCUUCCAAAUCAGUCCCUAAAACCCCUUUUGAGUUGUAGAACCAACAGAAAAUUUAGUUUAAAUUAUUUUCGAGUUUAGAGACCUUCUGCAAAGGUAAAGAUAUAUAACCCUUCAGAAAAAAAAACUGAACCUAGAACCAUGCGUUGUUUUUUCAUUUGGUUAUCCAACUGCGAAUGUAAAGAUAUAUAACCCUUCAGAAAAGAAAACUGAACCUAGAAGUUGUUUUUUCAUUAGUUAUCCAACUCAUUCUAAAGGAUAAAGGUUCUACAGUCCUACAAGGGGAACAAGAAUAGUUGAAUCUCAAAAUGCAAAACUUCUUGAAUUUGAUGUUGCAGAUAAGGAUUGUUCUCAGCAUAUCUCAGCAUAUCACUCCUGACUUAAUUGUUUCCCAUUCAAGUCAGUCCUUAAAACCCCUUUUGAGUUAUGGACCAAUAUAAACUUCAGUUUAAAUCAUUUUUCGAGUUUGGAGAUGUUUUGCGAAGGUAAAGAUAUAUAACCCUUCAGAAAAGAAAACUGAACCUAAAACCUCGCAUUGUUUUUUCAUUGGUUAUCCAGCUCAUUCUAAAGGAUACAAAUUCUAUUAUCCUACAAGGGGAACAAGAAUAGUUGAAUCUCAAAAUGCAAAAUUUCUUGAAUUUGAUGUUGCAGAUAAGGAUUGCUCUCAGCAUAUUGCUCCUGAGCCAACUGAAAGUAUUGAAGCUGUCAGAAUUCCUCUUAGUAUUACCUCAAAAUCAUUAGUAUCUGCACCUAUACAUGAUGAACCUCAUAUACAUGUGCAAACUGAUGACUUUGUACCUGCAGAAAUUAGGUGCCUAUUAUUGAAAAAGUGGUUCAGGCACCUGCUGUUGUUGAUCAAGAGGUUCAGAAUUUAAGGAGAUCAAGUAGACCAAGACGAUCGUGCGCUAUUGGAUGAUUAUUUAGUAUACCUAGAUGAAGGUGACAUUGUUGAUCCUGUAACCUUUUCGGAAGCUUCAUCGUGUGCUCAAUCAAAGAUGUGGCUUGAUGCUAUGUCUGAAGAGAUAAAAUCCAUGAGUAAAAAUAAUGUGUGGGAGCUUUCAAAGCUUCCUAAAGUCUAAAAGGUUGUUGGAUGUAAAUGGAUUUUUAUGACCAAGAAGGAUUCAAUGGAAAUAUUGAACGAUUCAAGGCGAGAUUACAAUGAAACUUUUUCACCAGUGUCAUCUAAGGAUUCUUUUAGGAUCAUUAUGGCAUUAGUAACCCAUUUUUAUCUUGAGCUACAUCAAAUGGAUGUAAAGACAACCUUUUUGAAUGGUGAUCCUAAUGAAGAGAUUUACAUGCAACAACCCCAAGGUUUUGUUGGUAAAGGCAGCGAGCAUCUUGUGUGUAAAUUGAAGAAAUAUAUUUAUGGCUUGAAGCAAGCUUCUCGAUAGUAGUACUUGAAGUUUGAGGAAAUUAUGAAUUCUAUGGGGUUUGUGGAGAACAAUAUUGAUCAUUGCUUCUAUCUCAAGAUUAGUGGGAGUAAUUUCAUCAUUCUCACUCUUUACGUUGAUAAUAUUUUACUUGCUAGUAAUAAUUCAGGACUGUUGCACGAAAUUAAACAUUCAUUAAAUAAAAUUUUUGAUAUGAUAUAUCUAGGAGAGGCAUCAUUUGUUCCGGGCAUUGAGAUUCGACGAGAUAGAUCUCGUAAGUUAUUGGGGUUUUCACAAAAGGCCUAUAUUGAUCGUAUUUUGAAAAGAUCUCAAAUGAAAAAUUGUAAGCCUGGUGAUGUCCCUGUGGUGAAAGGUGAUAAGUUAAGCCUAGACUUGUGUCCCAAAAAUGAUCUUAAGAAAGAUUCUAUGAAAUAUGUGCCUUAUCGAAGUGUUGUUGAAAGUCUUAUGUAUGCACAAGUUUGCACUCGUCCUGACAUUGCUUUCAUUGUCAAUGCUCUUGGAUGUUAUCAAACUAAUCCAGGAAGAAGUCAUUGGGUAGCUACUAAGAAAGUAAUGAGGUGCUUGAAGAAGACAAGAGAUUAUAUAUUAGUGGACAAAAACGUUGACGACCUUGAGGUAAUUGGUUACAUAGACUCAGACUUUGCUAGGUGUCCUGAUGAUUUGAGGUCCACAUCUGGCUUUAUCUUUAUGUUUCCAGGGGGUGCGAUAUCUUGGAAGAGUGUGAAGUGAACUCUUAUAGCAUCUUCCACUAUGCAAGCAGAAUUCGUAGCUUGUUAUGGUGCAGCUACACAAGCCAUUUGGUUUAAGAAUUUUAUUUCAGGGCUUGUGGUAGUUGAUUCCAUCUCUAGCCCCUUGAAGAUUUAUCGUGACAAUAAGGCAGCUGUGUUUUACUCAAAAAAUAAUAAAUCUUCUUCAGUUUCUAAGCAUAUGAAAAUAAAAUCUCUGACUGUGAGAGAUAUGGUUAAAAGGGAGGACAUUGUGAUUGAACAUACACCUACCGAUUUGAUGUUUGUUGCUCCACUAAUCAAGGUGCUAAGACCUAUAGUUUUUACACAACAUAUUCAUAAUAUGGGUGUUGUUGAGUCAUUUGAUUUGUUGGGUUAGUGGGAGUAUUUAAUAUUGUUAUUCAUUUGUCAUUAGACUAUUCACCUUAUUGUUUCAUAUUUAUGGUGAUAUUAUCUCUUGAAUUUACAUUUAUGCUAUAGUAGAUUUUGCUAUCAUUUAUGUUGUUGAUUAUUAUUGUGUACACUUUAAUAUUGUUUUAUUAUAUUAAGGCUUUUUGCCUUACGUGUUAGCUAUAUCUCAUAUUGAUAAGAUGAUAUUGUUGUUUUAUUGAAUUUUUCUUUUGGAGACAUACGAUAUAUCAUUCUACCUAGUGAAUUUUUUGGUUGUUGCACCAUGUAAUAUGUUGCACAUGUUGAACCUUGAAAAUCAAGAUUUUCUGCUGGAGCACAUGUUGUUUUAGUGCUCACACAUGUUGUAACAAAAUCGCGGUGAUGAUUUUUCUAUGGUACGCAUGUUGAUUUUAAACGUACAUGUUAAUAUGAAAAAUCGUUUGAAGGACUAACAAUGAAAUAGCCUCGAUUUGGAGUCCAUGUUUGCUAUUUUUUGCUACACUACCACAUUAUUUGGUUUAUGUCUACAAAACUUCAGUGUUAGUAAUCGUGGACUGAUUUUGUAUCGUUGGUUGAUGCACGUACUGUUGCAGUUCAACAGUGAUGUUUUCCUUGACUGAACUAUGUUGGAGAUGGCGUUCCACCACUAAAUAUUUAUGGCCACUGUCUACUCAGUUUGAGAGUCAUUUUCAUAAAAAUAUUUUUUUCAAAACUUUUCUUUAAAAGUUAACGUUGUCAAGUGAAAGAAUGUUAGAAUUAUUUAUUUUAUAUGGACUUAACGUUAACUUUUUAUUACAUUAAAGUAAAACGAGAUGAUGAUAUUAAUUGGUGGACAAGACACAGGUCGUGUAUUCAUGUGGAUUCCAUAUCGGCCUGUAUCCAUUUCAUAUUAUUGGUAUGGGCUGACAAUAAUGUAGGCCUGUAGUAGACCUGUGAGCCCAUAAUGAGGGUGCACUAGGUUAAGGCUUUUAAGCCUAUAAAUAUAAGGCUAGGUCCCCUCUCCUGAUUUUAACAUAAGACGUAUUCCCAUAACUUAAGUUGCUACUAUCAUAAGCAAAGGAGAGGAAGACUCCGCCUAGUUCGUCUUCCAUUACAUGUAAGCAAUGACGAACAAAGGUACACACCUUUCCUCUCUCAUAUUCCGUUAUUUUGUGUUCUUGAUUUAUGUGAAUCUGUGAUGUGUUUCUCUAUUAAUUUCAACAUAAAAUGCUUCUCCAUAUUUUUUUUUUUUUAAGUGGCUAAAUUCCCUUUUUGUAAUUACUUGGAUCAUGUGUUAUCGAUUCAUUGAUUAUUUUUACUAAAGUUCAUUAUUUAAAAAUUAUUUUGGCACAAAUGACAAAUGACAUCAUUUUAUUCAAUGUUUUACACAUCAUUCGCGAGUGUGACUCACACAUGUGAUAUAUUUUGUAUUGAUUAUGUAAAAAGUGCCAAAAUUAAGUAGUAAAACAACAGUUAAGAUGUUUAAAAUGAACCAUAUAUAGUUGAAGUGCACAAAUAAAAAUUGAUGAUGACUUCAAGGAGGUGGGGAUGUGUUUGGCCACAAUAGGAACUUUCUAUCUCUCUUAAGUUAUAUAUUUCCAUUGUCACUUCAAUUGAAUCCAAUAUUUCUAGGCUCAAAUGAAAUAUUGAUUCUAUUUUGUUGACAAUGUUCUGAAAACAUUCAGAAUAUUAUACUCACUCGGUGUUUAUAUCAAAAUAAAUAAUUUAACUUCAGAAAUUAAAAAAUGAAAUGACAAUACAUAUUUUUCAGUAAGAAAUUUUUUGAUUGCAAUCACAAGAAAACAAAUGAAAACAACAAAAGCUUAGUUUAUGAGCAACAAUGAAUGUCAAUUUGUCUUUAUUUUUUUUAGAACUUAUUUCUCAUCACAACUUAUCUCUGCCUUCUUGUGAGGGGCAAGGCCUGCUGUUUAAAUUGUCUUGUUCUUAGAUAUUUCUUUAAGGCAUCUGAUACUGACAAUUUUUGUCUUGGUUUGAGACAACAUAAAAAAUAUCUAUGCACUUUGUCAUUUUCUUUAUUUUGAUGUUUCACCUACCUCAUAGAUCUAAAGGAGAUGUUCAAAAACAAGAACAAUGAGCUAAGUGGACUCAGGGGGCAGACCUAUGUGUAAUUUUGUAGUGUCCCAGCAUCCGUUGAACACGACGUAAACAAGAUAUAAUUAUAUAAGAAAUGUAAUAAAGAUUGAUAUAAGAUUUAAAAAAUGAAGGUUGAGUGCUUGGUUUCCAGGCGGAAUCCUAAAACCUUGGGCAUCAAUAUGCGUGUUUGAACCACCCGGACACCCACGACCCCUAGAUCCUGAAUCUACCGUUGAUGUGGUUUCAUGAUACCUAACUCAUCAAUGUAUGAAAAUCGAUGGGCUUUACAUUUUCUUUAACUAAUCAGUAUAUAAGGACCUAAAAAUAGUUGAGUCAUAUAAGCAUUUCACAUUACAUUCUUCUACACUUUUUCUACCCCUUUCAUAAUAGUACCAAGCCAAAAGGUACCUACAAAGAUGGAAGUUAAGAACAAGUAUGUAGCAAUAAAAGCCAACAUCAAUGGUGCACCAGAAGAGUCAGACUUCGAGAUAAAAGUCAAAAACCUCUCACAUAUAGUUGAGCCAGAGUCUAAGGAGGUUGUCAUCAAGAACCUGUUAGUAUCGAUUGAUCCUUAUCAGAUAAACCGGAUGAAGAGCCAAAGUUCAUCACAAACAUCGAUAAGUUAUGCAACUGCCAUUACUCCUGGCGAGGUCAUUGACACUUAUGGUGUAGGAAGAGUGUUGGUUUCUCAUCGGCCCGACUUCAAGAAAGGUGACUUGGUAUCUGGGCUGCUUACCUGGGGAGAGUACACUGUUGUAAAGGAAGGUUCCCUGUUGAAUAAGUUGGACCCUUCUCUGGCAUUUCCUUUGUCUUACCAUGUCGGAGUUUUUGGAUUCAGUGGACUUGCUGCCUAUGGUGGAUUCUUCGAAGUGUGUAAACCGAAGCCAGGGGAGAAAGUUUUCGUGUCUGCUGCUUCUGGUUCAAUAGGACAUUUAGUAGGACAGUAUGCUAAAUUACUAGGAUGUUAUGUUGUUGGCUCUGCUGGUAGCCAAGAAAAGGUAAAUUUUCUUAAGGAGACACUUGGAUUCGACGAUGCAUUCAAUUAUAAACAAGAAACUGACCUCAAAUCGGCUCUCAAAAGGUGUUUCACUCAAGGGAUCGAUGUCUACUUUGACAAUGUGGGAGGCAAGAUGCUAGAAGCAGCAGUGGCAAACAUGAAUUCAUUCGGCAGAGUAGCCAUCUGUGGGGUUAUUUCUGAGUACACGAAUGCUAGCACACGAGCUGCCCCAGAUAUGAAGGAUAUAGUCUACAAGAGGAUUAGAAUCCAAGGAUUCCUAGCAGCUGAUUUCAUGCCAGUGUAUGCAGAUUUCCUGUCGAAAACAGUUGAGUACCUCCAAGAUGGAAAACUUAAGACCAUCGAAGAUAUCUCACAAGGCGUUGAAAGCAUCCCCUCUGCUUUUAUUGGACUGUUCAAUGGUGAUAAUAUAGGCAAAAAGAUUGUCAAAGUUGCAGAUGAGCGAUAAAAAGAACAAGAAGAUUCAAGACUGUUGACCUAUUUGUUCAUGAAUUCACGAACAAUAUCUUAUCUGUACUUCUUUCAAGUUGUAAUCCAUUUAAACGUUCAUCUUCUGCAUCAAGUUAACGAACAAGUUUAUGUAUUAUGCCUAUCAGAUUCUUGUUUACUUUUCCUUUUCAUGUACCCUAGAUUGAAACAAACUCUGUGACCCUAUCGUCUACCAACUAUGUCUCAAUCCCAAAUUUAGUUGACUACAUGAAUCUUUUACAUCAACUCAACAAAGUGGAAAAAUACAUCUUUAGCAACUACUUCAAGACCACCAUAAGAUAAAGCAAUAUCCGGGUCCUCAUCAACAUACAGACCAACUAUUAUGCCAAAACGAAUCCCGGUACUGAAAUAGCAGCAAAGUAAAGUGACAAUGGAUGUACAUAAGUUAGUUUCAAUAGAAUGACACGAUAGAAAACACUAAUGUACUAGUAUCACAGUAGAAACAAAAUUUGAGAGGAAUGGAUCAGGAAGGGGAUGAAUGUAAUACCAAGUGUUACAUUAACAGCAUUAAUAUUGAACCUGCAGUCUUCCUUCCAUUCAAACAGACUGUCAACAGCCUCUGCCAAUGCAGAACGAACAACUAGCUUCUUGUGUUUUCAAGAAAUUAUGGACCUACAGGAAGACACACACAUAUUAGUGAAUGCUUCAGCGUAAAGCUAUUCAUCAUUGAGCGGGAGCGGUUAAAAGACAGCAUAAAGAUGCAUAACCGCAGUUCCUCUGGAGAGCAAAGAACGUGCCAAAACUUGCACUCAUCAACUAGCAGCACUUUUUCUUUCUGAACUAGUUGCAAUAUCAAGGAAAAAGAAUUCCAUGAUGUGGAACAAUUAUCAUCAUAAGUAUCAUAUGACAGAUCAACAUCUUGUUCAGAUCAAUCUACAUACAACACAUAUUCAAGGAAGGAGAAGCUUGUUCACCGUUUUGUUACGAUGAACUUGAAUUUUAAGCUACCAACAAUGUGCGAUAAAAUUUAGCAGAAGUAGGUGAGUCUCGCUCUAUACAUGCACAUUGUAACAACAUAAGUACAUCAGAAAUGAACUGUAAAAACAGGGAAAGUUCGCGUUUCUUCAUUGCACUCCAUGUAUAGUUAGCAGGGAUGGAUAGUUGCUUGGUUGUUCCUAACACAGCGUUUUCACUUCCUCAAAGUUCAAUAAUAUAGAACAUUUAACAGAAAACCUCAUUGACAUCUCAUACAACAAGAAAAAGCAGUGUCGAUCUAGAAAGCAUCAGAUGAACAGCUAGCUCCGGCACAGUAAACAUUAACAUGUACUAAACACAAGUUGCUGUCCUUGUUUGAGCAAAAAAAAUAAAUAAAACAAGCUCAUUUCCCUUCAUUUGAAUAUGUUGUAGGUUCUUAAAUUCAUGCUGUAAGCAGUGAACAUGAACAUUGCAUGAAAGUUAACAAUUGUCCCCCGUAUAGUUUCCACAAAAUGUACAAUUAGAGAUAUCUUGGCUACGUUUCAUUUCCAUUUUCACCCAUAUUUCCUCAAUUUAGUGCCACACAGGAUGAAAAUCAACAAAUUGAAACACAACAAAAAGUAAAUCCAAAUGUGUCAAAUUCUUGAAAUAAAAUCCCUACAGGAUUUUCCUUGUUAAUACACGUGCGGCUACAUUGACUUCAGUCAGAUUGCACAAAAUCAUUCUAAUACAUUGACAUCAAACAAAAUAGACUUUCUGUCAACGCUAUCAGUUUCUUACUUGGUGAUAUUUUAUAUGUGUUGAUUAUUGCCUCAGUUACUGCAGUAAAAGUAGGAGCAAUUGUUGGACAUUAUCCAGUUUUUUUAGCCAUGCUCUCUUUAACUUAGUUUAGUGGCUGAUUUUUAGAUGUUAGUGGUGCAGUUGUUUUGGAUAUUGCUGAUCAUGGAAUCAUGUACAAAGUAGUGGCUUAAUUAUAGGCUUUAGUUAUUGCAUUUUUUUAGUAUUUAAGCACCACUUCAAAUUUAAUGAAAAAUCAACCUUUGUGCAGUAAAUUAAUUUGUUGUCUUCUUUCUUUCUUUGUUUUCACUUCAAAGAGUUGAAGUUAACCUUACAACUCCAACAAAUUGGUAUCAAAGCUCUCUUCUUGAGGGACCUGCAUUUGAGGGAAAUAUAUCUUUCUCUUCUUAUUUUUUUCUCCUAUGGAUUCAGAGACUCCUUUCACUGUACUAGCACCACCUGUCUUCAAAAGUGAAGGCUAUCAUGUCUGGGAAGCAAGAAUGGAGGCACAUAUGGAGACAAACGAUUUGUGAGAAGCUGUUGAGGAGGACUACGAAGUUCCUCCCUUGCCUGAAAAUCCAAUCAUGGCGCAGAUGAGGAAUUACAAGGAAAAGAAAACAAGAAAAUCAAAGGCUAGAGCAACGUUAUUCGCUGCAGUCUUAUCUGAAAUCUUUGUCAGGAUUAUGACAUUGAAACCAGCUUUUGAGGUCUGGAAUUUCCUAAAUAAAAAAUAUGAAGGAGAUGAACGGAUCAAAAGUAUGCGUACUCUUAAUCUGAUCUGAGAAUUUGAACUUCAGAAGAUGAAGUAUUCAGAGACAAUCAAAGAGUAUUCUAAUAUGAUUACUUAACAUUGCCAACAAUGUAAGAUUACUCGGCUCUGCAUUUUCUGAUUCUAGAUUGUUUCAAAAAAUUCUAGUAACAGUCCCUGAAUGGUUUGAAACAACUAUUUUCGCACUAGUAAAUUCUAAGGAUUUGUCACAGAUUAGUUUGGCAGAACUACUGAAAGCUUCGCAGGCAUAAGAAUAUAGAAGACUUAUGAGGUCUGAAGGAUCUGUUGAGGGUGCACUACCUGCAAAAGUUCAAUCAAACCAGGGAGACCAAGGAAAGAAGAAGUGGAACAACAAGGAAAACUCAAGUUCUCAUUCUCCUGGGAUCCAUAGGGGAGCGAAACAUGAUUUCCCUCUUUGCAAGCAUUGUGAAAAGAAGGGUCAUCCACCGUUCAAAUGCUGGAGAAGGCCAGACCAACAGUGUGACAAAUGUCAGCAGAUGGGACAUCAUUAGAAGGUUUGCAAAAACAACACUCAACAAACUAAUGCUGCACAGGUAGCUAAUCAGGAAGAUGAAGAGCAACUCUUUGUAGUGACAUGUUUGGCAACUAGCUGCUCUAGUGACAAGUGGCUUACCGACAGUGGUUGCACAAACCACAUGACAUUUGAUCGUGAUCUCUUCAAGGAGUUGGAUACUUUAGUAAUUUCCAAAGUACAAGUUGGUAAUGGAGACUAUUUCUGCCGAAGGCAAAGGUACUGUGGAAAUGAAAUGCUCCUCAAAUACAAAACUAAUCAAAGAUGUGUUUUUUGUACCUAAAAUUAGUCAUAGUCUGUUAAGUGUUGGCCAGAUGCUUGAGAAUGGUUUCAAACUUCUCUUUGAAUCCAAUUACUGUCAAAUUAAGGAUGAAGAUGGCAAAAACUUAUUCAAGGUAAUGAUGAAGGGAAGGAGCUUUAUAUUGGAUCUUUUAGAUCAUGAGCAAAAAGCUCAUUCUGCAACUAAGAUCAAUGCACAAUUUUCGCACAAAAGACUCGGACAUUUCAAACAUGCUGCUGUAAUUAACUCACAAAAGAAAGAUCUGGUUCGAGGGUUGCCUAAUGUUGAAGCCGAAAUACCAGAUUGCAGAACUUGUCAAUUUGGCAAGCAAGCAAGACUUCCUUUCAAGAAAGCAAUCUGGAGAGCUACUGAAAAGCUAAAAUUAAUCCACACUGAUCUGACUGAUCCUCACCGAACUCCGUCACUCAAAGGGAGCGCUUUCCCCCGAAUGGGGCCCUACGCUAGGGGUGGGCAUAUUUUGGUUUAAACCAAAAAAAACGAAAAACCAAACCGAAAUUUAAUUUUGGUUUCGGUUUUUUGGAUCGGAUUUGGUUUGUAAUUUUAGAAUUUCGAUUUUUCGAUUCGAUUUUUGGUUUUAAAAAAAAAAUCGGUUUAAACCGAAAAACUGAAAUUUUAUAAAAAAAUAAAUAAUAUAUAUAUAUUUUAUUAUAUAUAUAUAAUAUUUAGUAAUUCACAUUCACAAUUAACAUUUAACAGCAAAUUCGCAUACGCCGUAGGCUGUUUAUGGAUUGUUUUAGUGACUCAAAUAUUUUAUGGACUAUUUUGGUGACUUUAGACUGUUUUAUGGACUAUUUAUGCAGAAAAUAUGUUGUUUCAUGGACUAUUUUUACGAGUUUUGUGUUGUUUUGUAGACUAUUUAUGCAAGGUUAUAUUAUAUGUAAUGAUUGAUGACGUUAUGUAUUAUCUUAAGCUUAUGAUUAUUUCAUUCCGUUUCAUCCAUUUUGAGUUAUUUAUAAUUAUUUAUAUUUAGGAAUGAAAAACAGGUUUGAAAAAAAUAAUUUUUCUAAAAAAAUUCAUCAAUUUUAAAUGCUCAGUUAUGAAAAAGAGAGGCUAACUACUUUAAUAUUUCAAACCGAAAUAAAAAUCCGAAAUAACCGAACCGAAUUUGUAAAAACCAAACCAAAUCGAAUUUAUUACGGUUUGGUUAUGGAUGUCAUUUUUGUCACUCCGAAAAUCGAUAAACCGAACCGAUAUUAAACAAUCAGACCGAACCGAUCGAACGCCCACCCCUACCCUACGCAGGGCGAAUCCAAAUUAGUCGGACUCCAAUGCGGGUACCGGAAACCGGAUGGGGAAAAAAUACUGCAAGACGGAUCUUUAACUGGCAGAUAUGUUUACCAAAGCCUUGCCAAAGAGCAAAUUUAAAUUUCUCAGAGAAAGACUUAGAAUUUGCAGCAACUGAAGCAAGGAGGAGUGUUGAUUAUUGCCUCAGUUACUACAAUAACAGUAGGAGCAAUUGUUGGACAUUAUCCAGCUUUAUGAGCCAUGUUCUCUUAACUUGUUUAGUGGCUGAUUUUUAGAUGUUAGUGGUGUAGUUGUUUUGGAUAUUGCUAAUAAUGGAAUCAUGUACAAAGUAGUGGCUUAAUUAUAGGCUUUAGUUAUUGCAUUUUUUUAGUAUUUAAGCACCACUUCACAUUAAUGAAAAAUCAACCUUUGCGCGGUAAAUUAAUUUGUUCUCUUCUUUCUUUCUUUCUUUGUUUUCACUUCAACGAGUUGAAGUUAACCUUACAACAAUAAUAUGGACGGUGAAUAAUACUGAGAGUCAGACAAGUACGAUUAACAACAACAAUAAAUAGAAAGAAAGUUUAACAUUAUAUGAAUGUAACCUGUAGUGUGUGUGUGUGUGUAUAUAUAUAUAUAUAUAUAUAUAUAUAUACAAAGGUUACUGAAUUACGUUAACCCGUAAGUGGGCUACAAGAUAAUCUGUUUAAAUUGUCUUGUUCUUAGCCAUUUCUAUACACAUUGAUGCUUACGACAGUGACAACCUUGCUGCUAAUGACAAUAUUGUCUUGGUUGAGACAGCAUAAAACAUAUCUAUGCAUCUGUAAUUUUCAUUAUUUUGAUGUUUCACCUACCUCAUAAAUCUAGAGGAAAUGUUCAAAAACAAGAACAGUGAGCUAAGUGGUCUAAGGGGCUGCAAUUUUGCAGUGCCCCAGCAUCCAUUAAUACGAUGCAAACUGGGUAUAAUAAUAUAAGAAAUGUAUAAAAAUUGGUAUAGGAUUUAAAAGAGAAUGCUGGAAACCAAGAUGAUAGUUGAGUGAUUUGGUUUAUUGGCGGAACCUUAAGGCCUUGGGCAUCAAUAUGUGUGUUUGAACCCGACACUCACGAUCACUAAAUCCUGAAUCUGCCACUGAUGUGGUCUCAUGAUACCUAACUAAUCACUAUAUGAAACAUCUAUGGCCUUUACAUUUUCUUUAAUUUGAUGUUGCAGCCUGCCACAUUAAUCUAAUGGACCUUUUCUAAUUAAAAACAGUGAGCUAACUGGUCCAAUAAUGCCUAACUAAUCAGUACAUAAGGACCUAAAGAUAGUUGAGCCAUAUAAGCAUUUCACAUUACAUUCUUCUGCACUUUUUUCUUCCCCUUUCAUAAUAGUACCAAGCCAAAAGGUACCUACAAAGAUGGAAGUUAAGAACAAGUAUGUAGCAAUAAAAGCCAACAUAAAUGGUGCACCAGAAGAGUCAGACUUCGAGAUAAAAGUCGAAAACCUCUCACUUAUGGUUGAGCCAGAGUCUAAGGUGGUGGUUGUCAAGAACCUGUUUGUAUCGAUUUAGCCGUAUCAGAUAAACUGAAUGAAGAGCCAAAGUUCAUCACAAACAUCGAAGUUGUGCAACUACCAUUACUCCUGGAGAGGUCAUUGACACUUAUGGUGUAGGAAGAGUGUUGGUUUCUCAUCGGCCCGACUUCAAGAAAGAUGAUUUGGUAGCAGGCUUUCUUACCUGGGGAGAGUACACUAUAGUAAAGGAAGGUUCCCUGUUGAAUAAGUUGGAUCCUAGACUGGAGUUUCCUUUGUCUUACCAUGUCGGAGUUUUUGGAUUCAGUGGACUUGCUGCCUAUGGUGGAUUCUUCGAAGUGUGUAAGCCGAAGCCAGGGGAAAAAGUUUUCGUGUCUGCUGCUUCUAGUUCAAUAGGAC